rnacentral:lncRNA from 1 species
AAGGGCCGGAUGGCGAAGCUGGCGCUGGCGCUGGCCGUGUGCGUGUUCACGUCGGCGGGGCUGUACGUGCUCCCAUUCGCCGUGCCGUGCACGCCGUGCGACCCGGCGUUCGGCACGGCGUGCCCGGCCACCGGGAGGAGCGGCAACUUCAAGCAGUUCAACUGCCCGGCCGGGCAGUACAACGACCUGGCCACCCUCCUGCACGCCACCAACGUGGACGCCACGCGCAACAUCUUCUCCACGGGCACCCCCGGCGAGUUCCGGCUGGACUCGCUGCUCAUCUUCUUCGCCAUAUACUGCGUGCUGGGGCUCUUCACCUUCGGCAUCGCCGUGCCGUCGGGGCUCUUCCUGCCCAUCAUCCUCAUGGGCGCCGCCUACGGCCGCAUCGUGGCGCUCGUGCUCCAGAGCGCGGUGGGGGCGAGCAUCGACCACGGGCUCUACGCCGUGCUGGGCGCGGCGGCGCUCAUGUCGGGCUCCAUGAGGAUGACCGUCUCGCUCUGCGUCAUCUUCCUGGAGCUCACCAACAACCUGACCCUGCUGCCCAUGACCAUGUUCGUGCUGCUCAUCGCCAAGACCGUCGGCGACGCCUUCAACCCCAGCAUCUACGAGAUCAUCCUCGACCUCAAGGGGCUUCCCUUCCUAGAACCCAAGCCGGAGCCAUGGAUGAAGGAUCUCACCGUGGGCGAGCUCGCCGCCGCCAAACCGCGCACCAUCAGCCUCCAGGUGAUCGAGAAGGUGUCCAACGUCCUGGAGGUGCUGCGGAGCACCGGCCACAACGGGUUCCCGGUUGUGGACCGGCCGAGGCCCGGCUUGUCGGAGCUGCACGGGCUGGUCCUCCGGUCGCACCUGGUGGCCGUGCUGAGGAAGCGGUGGUUCCUGGCGGAGAAGAGGAGGACGGAGGAGUGGGAGGCCAGGGAGCGGUUCUCGUCGGUGGAGCUCGCCGACAAGAACUGCAAGAUCGACGACAUCGAGCUGACGCCGGAGGAGCUGGAGAUGUACAUCGACCUCCACCCGUUCACCAACACGACGCCGUACACCGUGGUGGAGACCAUGUCGGUGGCCAAGGCCGUCGUGCUCUUCCGCUCCGUCGCGCUCCGGCACAUGCUCAUCAUGCCCAAGUACCAGGGCCCCGAGGUGCCAAAUCAAAUGAUUCACCAAGCUCCAAGCAUCGACACAUUGUUCUUGCGCAUUUGGAUCUGAUGGUGGGUUGAUUUUGGUGUGCAGAUAUCUCCGAUUGUGGGGAUCUUGACGAGGCAGGACCUGCGGGCGCACAACAUCCUCGGCGCGUUUCCUCACCUGGCGAACAAGAGCAAGACGCACUGAAGCUCAAGCUGAAAGCUAAGACCAUUUUUGGGAAAUAUUACCGUCAGACAUGUUUCUUGUCUUGAAGCAAAGAGAACAUGACUCACUUGUCUCACUUGCUUAUACGAGACAAGACACCAUUUUUGGGAUUCUAUGUUUUNNNNNNNNNNNNNNNNNNNNNNNNNNNNNNNNNNNNNNNNNNNNNNNNNNNNNNNNNNNNNNNNNNNNNNNNNNNNNNNNNNNNNNNNNACACACAUACACACACCAGUUUUUUUUAAUGUUUCAGAAAAGAUUUGGAAAGCGAAAUGUUCCAACUUAUUGUCUGAGUUUUUUGUUUUUGUCAUCUUUUAGGCGCCUCUGUUGGAGUUUGUUGUCAGCAUUGACAUCCACCUACGAACACGCGAUCGUGCGCGCACACGCACAAUUGUUUAAGCUGUAUAUACGCUGGAAAGAGCAUUCAAAAAUAGUUUUUGAUCUUUCUCGGAUCAAAGGUGCCAUGUAAACAAAGUUUAAAUGCUAACUAUUUUAAAUUAAUCAAAUAUGUAGAAGAAAAUAUCAAGAACUGCGAAAUAUGUGGAAGAAAUAUCAAGAACUACAAAAUAGAAUGUGGUGUUGGUCCCUAGACGAUGGCAUUGCCCUUCUUGCCGCGACAUUGCUUGAAGCUUUGAGAAGAGCGAGUGGUUGAUGAUGCACGGUGGUUCAGACCUUGCCAAACGGGCCGACCAGGCAUGGCCCGACCCGGCAGGCCUAAUCAUGCUAGGCUUGGCCCAGCCCACACGUGCACGUUUAGCAAACGGGUAGUGACGUGCCAUCCCAUGUGUUGCGCCUCUAGGCCGAGGCAUGACCUGGUUACUGAACGGGACGGUACGUUGGCCCGCACUUUUUUAACAUGUUGUUCUUAUUUUUAGGUUUAUUAAGCUUUAUAUUAGGUUAUAUAUAUUAAAAAUAUUAAAAAUACAUAAAAAAAUUAAAACAAGCCGUGUCAUGCUGGCCCACAUGCCUAGCCUGCAUGCUUUGGCGCGGCCCAAGGCGCGUCGUGUGCCAGACCUGACUCGUUUAAAUCGUGUCGUGCCUGGUCCAUGAUGGAUCGUGUCGGUGUAUUCGUGGGCUGGGCUGGUUGGCCCGGCCCAUUUGGCCAGGUCAGCGGUUAUCAUCUGUCGUGGACUUAUGAUGAGGUGACAUGACAACUGUGAUAGAAAUUGGGAUCAACAUCGGUUUUAGUCUGCAUCGUCACAGCAGAAGGGUUUCACUUUUGCCGUGGCAAUGGCAAGCAUCAAUGUCAGGUUUCAAUUGCAUCUAUGAGACAACAAAGCAAAUAAGCAAUUGUAUCAGAUGACAAGUCACCAUCGAAGCAAAAAAAAAUGCAAGUCUAAAAAAUGUAGCAUAUAUUUACCUUGUCACCACCGAAGCAAAGAAAAAAUGCAAGUCUAAAAAUUUUAGCAUAUAUUUACCACUUUAGCUACUUGUAAGUCUCCUGAAAAUAGUUUUUGGGUCAGUCGAUUUUCGCAAGGAGCCGCUGGAGGGAAGGAAGAAGCUAAUGCCACAGGUGACGGCGUGCUGUUAAGCAGGGGUAGAUCAGCAGCUCAAAGUAGAAGAUGAACACUGAAACCGUUUCAGAGGUUGAAGCUGGUAUGACCAUCCAUCUCACAUCCGACGGCUCAUAACGAUCGACUGACCCAAAUUCGUUUUUCAGUCACGUGACAUCUAGCUAGUCCCUACAUUUACAUAACAUCAGCACGUAGUUUUUGGUUACCCCAAUCAAUGCCUAGCCCUGCAACAAACCAGCGCAUAAUUCUGUACAUAAAUAACAGCUAGGGGCACUGGUAAAAAGAACCAAUAUGUAGGUGUUAAACUGCAGAAAGAACCAAUAUGUCAGCGGUUAUAGAUAUAUUAUUUGAAAUGAAGCAUGCUUUAUUGAUGAUUUUACGAAGCAGUCUUCUAACUCAGACAUACCGCCUUCAUGAUGUGGUUGAAUUUUGCGUGAAUUUUCUGCUGUUCUGCUGUGCCAUUAGUCCUUGCAGAAGCAGCUUCAGAACAUAGCUUCGAAGCCUAUGUGGUGACAUAACGAAAUGCAAUAUGUCAGCUGUUUUUGGAAGGGAAAAAAGAUACAGUUAACGAAAAAAAAGGCAACUAAAUCUGCAGGCUUUAACAGUCGAAGAGAUGGACAGCUAGUAUCGUGUUUCUGUAUGAACAGUGGCAAUAAAUACUAAUAAGGCCUUAAAAGAAUCACCAUAUAUAGGACGUGUUACGUCCAGAGUCCAGACACGAAGAUUAAUGACAUUUUCCCAUUCUAAAAGGACAUUAAGUUCAAACAAGCCAUUGCUUCAGAAUAAAGAACAUUACCUUCACGAUCAUUGCCUCUACUUUCUUUUCUCUGGGUUCAAGGCAUUGCAGUUUACCCUCAAUCUCGGAGCUCAAAGCACCCAGCUUCUGAUUUUCAUCUGCUAUUAUUUGAUACCUUUCUUUCAGUUUCGCCUUGAGACGCUCCUCCCGUUCAUGUACUGGUUGGAAGGGAUUCAUGGAACAAUGUGGGGGAAACCGUAACUCUAAGAAAGGGAAGAACAUAUAAAAUAUAUUUUACAAACUAGAACUAUAACCUUUUCCAAAUUUCUAUAAAAUGAAAAAGGUUUCACCUGAACCUUCUCGGGGGCCUUUACUAAUUUGGACCUCAAUUUGGAGUUGUCUAGGGCAUGCUUAGUCAACUCAAAAUCAGCUUGGGUUGUCUGCAGCACGAAACAUAGAUGCAACAAAUAUACAUUAUGCAGUGAGCUGUUGUUCUCCACAGAAUAUCAAACAAUCGGCUUAAAUUGGCGAGCGCAAUAUAUCAGAUGUUCAAUAUCCUCAGAAGCAGAUGUCAAGACUCAAGAGUAAAUGGUGGGUAUUGUGCACAGGGUUCACUUUUCAGAUGGUAAAUUGUAGAUACCCUGGUCCUAUGUGGGCUGGAGCACUUGUACCCUACGAAGGGUUGAUGUAGCUUCUCAAAGUUAAAAUGGAAUAGGAGAUGUGUUAGGUAGGGCCAAUAGCUCCUGUUCUAAUGAAAUCUGUGGCCCUAUAAAUAAAUAUAUAGUACUUAAUAUUGCAAGUUAUAACCAAUCACAGUUAAUGCACCUUGUUGUGAUUAAGGCUCAUACUUUUUCAAGCUAGUUUGAACUCCAAUUUAGUUUGAUUUGGCAGAUCUCCAGCUUUCAGGUUUCAAAAAGGAUGGUAGGAGAGCUCUGGGUUUAUUGCACCAGAAGCUUUCAAAUUAAGUCCAUACUUACCAUGUAAAUUAAGUCUAGUACAACAAGAUCUCAAAUUAGACUAAAUUAACCAGAUGUCCAACAAGUAUUUGUGUUAGAAAUAUGCCCUAGAGGCAAUAAUAAAUUAUUUAUUAUUAUAUUUCCUUGUUCAUGAUAAUCGUUUAUUAUCCAUGCUACAAUUGUAUUGAUUUGAAACUUAGUUACAUGCGUGGAUACAUAGACAACACUAUGUCCCUAGUGAGCCUCUACUAGACUAGCUCAUUGAUCAAAGAUGGUUAAGGUUUCAUAACCAUAGACUUGAGUUGUCGUUUGAUAACGGGAUCACAUCAUGAGGAGAAUGAUGUGAUAGACAAGACCCAAUCGUAAGCAUAACAUUUGAUUGUAUCACUAAGUUUACUGCUAUUGCUUUCUACAUGUCAAGUAUCUGUUCCUAAGACCAUGAGAUCAUGCAACUUCCUAACACCGGAGGAAUGCCUUAUGUGUAUCAAACGUCACAACGUAACUGGAUGAUCAUAAAGAUUCUCUACAGGUAUCUCCGAGGGUGUUUGUUGGGUUGGCAUGGAUCGAGACUGGGAUUUGUCACUCUAUUUGACGGAGAGGUGUCUCUAGGCCCUCUCGGUAAUACAACACUACAAGAAGUUUGCAAGUAAUUUGACUAAGGAGUUAGUCACGGGAUCUUGUAUUACUAAACGAGUAAAGAGACUUGUCGAUAACGAGAUUGAACUUGGUAUUGAGAUAUCGACGAUCGUAUCUCGGGAAAGUAACAUACCAUUGGACAAAGGGAAAUGGAUACAAGAUUGAUUGAAUCCUUGGCAUCAUGGUUCGACCAAUAAAGAUCUUUGUGGAAUAUGUGGGAACCAAUAUGGGCAUCCAGGUCGCGCUAUUGGUUAUUGACCAGAGAGGUGUCUCGGUCAUGUGUAGAUGAUUCUGGAACCCGUAGAUGUAAGAGCACAAUUUCUCCUAAGUAAUUUUGGUGGUUGAUGAAGAUACCCUUUGCGGACUAAUCGUGUCUGAUAUGCUUUCAGAUAAUUAUCACGUGGUAUGAGACGGUUAUAUUCCCCUCAGUGAAUCAAAGUGAAGACGUUGCUUAGCUAUUGAUUUAGGGUUGGUGGAAUCGAGUCAUAGAUAAUCUCGUACUAUCAAGAGGGGAUCCGCGUUUGGAAAGGUUGGGUGGAACAAUAUCUCUCACUCUUGGACCCCAUCAUUUUCCUGGAUCAAUGGAGUUCCCGUGAAAAGUGCCCAGAAUUUAAUCUAAGCGGAAGUACCGCUCCAGCGGUACUGACAGACUCAAGAGCCGGGCACACUACCGCUUAUAUUAUUCUUCUGGUGUCGAGAAGGGGUUUUCUUCUUUUAAGAGGAAGUACCGCCCGAGGUGAGCGAUAGUACCGCUCCAGCGGUACUACCACCCGUCUCUGCCGCUCUCACUUUCGCUUAUUUUUUCACUUUUUUGGUUCUGCUUAGCAAUUAUUUUUGGAGCGCAAGUUGUAAGUGGAAGUACCACCCUCGGUAGUACUUCCGCCCUACCUCCACUAUUUCCUGAGUGGCGGUAGUAUCACUGGUUGCAGCGGUACUACCUCUCUAGCGGAACUUCCGCUCCUGUCUGUUGUGUGCCCAACCUGCUUCUACCGUGCAAGAGGUAGUACCGCUCCUGCACGAUUUGUGGGCAGAUAAUGGUCUAAUUCCUCCUCCACUAUAUAAGUGGGUCUUCUUCCCCGUGGAGACUCACCUUUUCCCCUCCAGCUCCAUUGUUGCCCCAAAAGCUCAAAUUUUCUCGAUUUCCCUCCCUAGCCAUCAACUCUUGUUAAUUCUCUAGGGUUUGGAGGAGAAGGCCUUCCCCCACACUUCCACCAAGAGAAAAGCCGUUCCCCCCAUUAAUCCCUCGCGGAUCUUGUUACUCUUGGGUGUUUGAGCACCCUAGACGAAAUAUGUCACCUCGAAGCAAUAUUCCAUUGUGGUGAAGCUUCGUGGUCUCGUUGGGUGCCUCCAAUUUAGUUGUGGAGAUUGCCCCAACCUUGUUUGUAAAGGUCCGGUCGCCGCCUUCAAGAGAACCACUUAGUGGAAUCACGACACCUCGCAUCUUGUGAGGGCGUGAGGAGAAUACGGUGGCCUUCGUGGCAUCUUGGGAAGCAUUUUUCCUCCACACAGCUCCAACAGAGACGUACUUCCCCUCAAAUGGAAGGAAAUUCGGAAACACAUCCUCAUCUUCAUUGGUUCCACUUGUGGUUAUUUCUUACCUUUACUUGUAUUUACUUCUUGCUCACUAUUGUUGUUGUUAGCAUCAUAUAGGUUGCUCACAUAUUUGCAUAUCUAGACAACCUAUUUAUUUCUUAACUUAAUUUGUUAAAAGAAAAGAUUAAAAUUUGUAAGUUGCCUAUUCACGUCCCCUCUAGUCAACCAUAUUGAUCCUUUUAGUAGGGUCGACACGCUUAACGUUCCGUGAUGAUAUAGUUUUAUUGCGUUAUGUAUGUUGGUGACUGAAUAUUCUUCGGAGUGCCGGAUGAGACCCCGGACAUCAUGAGGAGCUCCGGAAUGGUCUGGAGGUAAAUAUUUAUAUAUGGGAAGUCACAUUUUAGCUACCGGAAAAGUUUUUUUUAGUAUUGUAGCGAGAAUCUUCUAGAAGGUUUUGGAAACUUCCGGAGGAGUCCGGAAGUCCACCAAGGGUUCCACCACAUCCCAAGAGUUUUCUUGGGCUGAGGGGAGUCACCCUGGCCUUAUUGGGCCAGGCGCAAAAGUCCCUCAAGGCCCAUGUAGCUUGGGAGAGGUGGAAAGUCAACGUGUGUAUGGAAAGAGAGGGAAUUGGACUAGGAGUCCAACUCCUCCCACUUGGUUGCGGCCUAGGGAUUGUAGGGUAAGUUCCCCAUGCCCCUCCACCUAUAUAUAGAGGGGAGGGAGCAUCCCAAGAGGACACACCAAGCCCUUGGCGCCGCUCUCUCUCCCCGGGUCGUUUUCUCCUUCAUUUGCAGUUUCGAUAGCACACAGCGUAGGCCUGCCGGGAUAGCACCACCACCGCCGCCACCACCCAUCGUGUUGCCAUAGAACUCAUCUACUACUCUUCCCUCAUUCACUGGAUCAAGGAGGUGGAUAUUUCAUCCAGCUACACAUGCGUUGAACACGGAGGUGUCGUAUGUUCGGCACUAGAUCGGAACGGAUCACGAUUGGAUCAUGAAGACGUACGUCUACAUCAAACGCGAUAUAUACACUUACGCUUAGCGAUCUACAAGGGUAUGUAGAUACAUUCCCCCUCUCAUAGAUCUGCAUCUCCAUUGAUAGAUCUUGCAUGUGCAUAGGAAAUUUUUUGUUUCCCAUGCAACAUUCCCCAACAUUGGUACGAGAGCUAGGUCUAUGCAUAGAUGAUAUGCACGAGUAGAACACAAAUUGUUUGUCGUCGUUGAUGUUCAGAUUGCUUACUUCCUUAGUCUUGUUUUGAUUCAGCAGUAUUGUGGGAUGAAGCGGCCCGGGCCAACCUUACUUUUCCACCUGCAAGAGACCGUUUCCACCGACUGACAUGUAACUUGGUUGCAUAAAGGUGGUUGGCGGGUGUCUGUCUCUCCCACAUUAGUUGUAUCAGAUUCGACAGAGAUGGUCCUUCUAGAAGGUAAAAUAGAAACUUGAAUACCACCAUUGUGACUUCAUGUCGGUAAUAACGGUUAUUGCUAGUUGCCCAUAUGAGCCACAUAAAACUUGCAACAACAAAGUAGAGGACAUCUAACUUGUUUUUGCGGGGCAUGUUUGUGAUGUGAUAUGGCUAGAGACGCGAUUUGAUAUAUGUGAUGUCUGAGAUGAUCAUUUUUUGUACAUAUUAUCACGACUUGCAUGUCGAUGAGCAUGUCAACCAACAGGAGUGAUAGGGUUGUCUUUAAUUUAUUUGUUCCAUGUGCUUUAUUUUAUCGAUGUGAGUUAGUAAUAGUUGUAGAAGCAAUAGUUGGUGCGAAAACCAGAUGAUGACACGAUGAUGGAUAUCAUGAUGAUGGAGAUCAUGGUGUCAUGCCGGUGACAAUGGAUAUCAUGUCGGUGCUUUGGAGAUGGAUAUCAAAAGCACAAUAUGAUGAUGGCCAUAUUAUGUCACUUAUAUGAUUUGCAUAUGAUGUUUAUCUUUUAUGCAUCUUAUUUUUCUUAGGACGACGGUAGCACUAUAAGGUGAUUCCUCACUAAAAUUUCAAGAUAAAAUUGUGUUCUCCCCAAGUGUGCACCAUUGCGAAGUUUCGUCGUUUUGAAACACCUCAUGAUGAUCGGGUGUGAUAGACUCUACGUUCGUAUACAACAGGUGUAAGCCAGUAUUGCACAUGCAGAACACUUGGGUUAAACUUGAUGAGCCUAGCAUAUACAUACAUGGACUCGGAACAUAGGAGACCAAAAGGUCGAACAUGACUCAUAUAGUAGAUAUUAUCAACAUGGAUAUGUUAACCAUUGAAACCACCUCAUCUCAUGUGAUGAUCGGACUUGGGUUGGUGGAUUUGGAUCGUGUUACACUCAGACAACCCGAGGGAUGUUGAUUUGAGUCGGAGUUCUUUAGUAUUAUGAUUAAUUGAACUCAUUAUCAUGAGUAUAGUCUAAGUUGUCGUUGCAAAGUAUGUUGUAGAUCAAUAGAUCGCGUUGUAGCUCCCCUGUAUUUUGAUACGUUCCUAGAGAAAACUAAAGUUGAAAGAGGAUAGUAGAAAUUAUGCGUACUAGGUCCGUAAACCGAGGAUUGUCCUCAUUGCUGCAAAGAAGGCUUAUAUCCUUGUUGCACCACUCGUUUUGCCACCCCCUCAAGAGUCAUAUGUGAGUGUUGUGAACAUAUGACAGACAUGUUGUUGAUGACUACUUUAUAGUUCAAUGUGUCAUGCUUUACGGCUUAGAAUUGAGGCUCCCAAGUCGUUUUGAACGUCACGGAGCAUAUGAGGUGUGCCAAGAGCUGAAAUUAGAAUUUCAGGCUCAUGCCCAUAUUGAGAGGUAUGAGACCUCCAACAAGACUCUUUGCCUGCAAGAUGAAGGAGAACAACUCAAUCGAUGAGCAUGUGCUCAGAUUGUCUAGGUGCUAUGAUACGUCUCCAACGUAUAUAAUUUUAGAUUAUUCCAUGUUGUUAUAUUAUCAUUCUUGGAUGUUCUGUGAUCAUUUAUAGCAACUUUAUAUAACUUUCUGGGACUAACCUAUUGACAUAGUGCCUAGUGCUAGUUGAUGUUGUUUUCCUUCGCAGAAGAUCAAUAUCAGAUGAAGUCCAAAUUCAACGAAACUUUACAGCGAUUUUUUGGACCAGAAGGAAACUUGGGAGCCAAGGAGGAUCACCAGAUGAAGCCCGGGAAGCCCACUAGGCACGAAGGCGUGCCCAGGGCCCCUGGCGCGACCUGGUGUCUAGUGGGGCCCUCGAGCGCCUCCUUCGCUACCUUUGAGAUCUAUAAAUACCCGAGUAUUCAGAAGACCCUAGGAGAGUCAACAAAAAAUCCUUCUAACCGCCGCAAGUUCCAUAAGCCACGAAACCCAAUCUAGAGCUUGUUUUGAAGAUGAACACUAUCAUGGAGGGGUUCAUCAUCCUCAUUAGUGCUCCUCCGAUGAUGUGUGACUAGUUCAUAUCAGACCUACAGGUCCGUGAUGCCUAUAUACAUGAUCAUUGUCUUGGAUAUCAUCAUAAUUAUUUUCUAUUCUAUCAAUUGCCCGACAGUAAUUUGUCUACCCACCGUUUGCUAUUUUCUUGAGAGAAGCCAUUGGUGAAAGCUACGGCCCCCGGGUCUACUCCACAUCAUCUAUUUGCAAUCUCUACUUUGUUAUUCGCGUUACUAUUUUAUUUGAUCUUUUAUUUUCAUAUAUAUAUAUCAUCCAAAAUCCUAAAAUACCUUGUUGUAUUUUAUUUGCUAUCACUUUGAUUUGCAUUUAUCAAUCUAUCCUUACUUUACCCACGAGGGAAUGACAACCCCUCCAUGCGUUGGGUUGCGAGGAUUUGUUAUUUGUGUGCAGGUGUCGCUUACAUAGUCUUGUGGAUCUUCCUACUGGAUUGAUACAUUGGUUUCAUAACUGAGGAAAUACUUGUCAUCGUUGUGCUACAUCACCCUUUAAGCUUUGAGAGAAACCAACGCAAAUCAGCGGGGAGUCAAGAUUUCUCGCGCCGUUGCCGAGGAAGAUCAAGUCAAGAUCUAUCGGGUUCCUACACACAACUCUCAUCUCCUUGCAAUUACAUUAUUUGCCAUUUGCCUCUCAUUUUCCUAUCCCCCACUUGACAAAAUUUUGUCUUUUUAUUUGCCUUUUUUCCAUUUGCCGUUUUCUUGUCGGAUCUCUUGUUUGCGUAGUCACGAUGACUCAAGAAAACACUAAGUUGUGUGAUUUUUCCAAUAUAAAAAACAAUGAUUUUAUUAGCAAUCCGAUUGUUCCCCCGCCACUAGUCUGGAGUCUUAUAUUAUUAAUGUCUCUUUGUUGAAUCUUGCUAUGAAGGAGCGAUUUUCUGGUACUCAUAAUGAGGAUGCCGCGUCCCAUCUAAACACUUUCAUAGAAUUGUGUGAUAUGCAAAAGAAUAAAAUGUGGACAAUGAUAUUGUCAAGUUGAAAAUAUUUCCUUUCUCUUUGCAUGAUCAUGCUAACAUUUGGUUUUCUUAUUUGCCACAAAAUAGUAUCGAUUCUUGGAACAAGUGCAAAGAUGAUUUUAUCACAAAGUAUUUUCCUUCGGUGAAAAUUAUUUCUCUUGGAAAUCAGAUUAUGAAUUUUAAACAACUUGAGCAUGAGCAUGUUUCCCAAUCUUGGGAAAGGAUGAAAUUGAUGAUAAGAAAUUUCCCAACUCAUGGUUUGAAUUUGUGGAUGAUCAUACAAUUUUUUUAUGCGGGAUUGAAUUUUGUUUCUAGAGAUAUUUUAGAUUCCGCCGCGGGUGGUACUUUUAUGGAAAUUACUUUGAGUGAUGCUAAUAAAUUGCUUGAUAAUGUUAUGGCUAAUUAUUCACAAUAACAUACUGAGACAACUCCUACUAGUAAAAAAGUUAAUUCUAUUAAAGAGUUGAUGCUUUGAGCAGUGAUAAAGUUGAUGCUCUUAUGAAAUUUGUUGCUACUAAGCAUGAUCCAAUUGAUCCUAAUGAUGUGCCUUUGUCUACUUUGAGAAAAAUAAUGAUCACAUAGAUGUCAAUUUUGUCCAUAAACAACUUUAAUAAUAAUGCUUAUAGGAAGAAUUUAAUCCUAGGUCGUAUCUUGGAGGUCCUUCAAAUAAUUAUGGUAAAUCCUAUGGUAAUUCUCAUAAUAAUAAUGCUAGGAUACCCUUUGAUAUUGACAGUAAUAUUAAGGAAUUUAUUAAUGCUAAAAAAAUCUUUCAAUAAUAUGACAGAAGAGAAGUUGAAAAAGAUUGAUAAUAUGUCUAAAAGCAUUGAUGGAAUUUCGCAUGAUAUAGAAAAUCUCAAGAAUAUGUUUUUCCUAAGGUUGAUAUUAAUGAAUCAAUUAAAGCUUUAUAUGUUUCAUAGAUGAAAGUAAGAAAAGAACCGCUAUGCUUAGAGCUAAACGAGAAUUUCUGAAAGAGCGUCUCCCGAUUGCUUUCAUUAAAAUCAUGAAGAAAUUAAAAUGAUUUGUGUUUCUUCUAUUGAUUCCCUGUUUAGUAAUGUUAAAAUUAAUGAUGAGGGAAUAGAACAAGAGUCAACUUUAGAUAGAGGGUGUUCCCAUGAUUUGGAGGGUGAAAAUCCUAUUGAAAAAUUUGAUAAAAGUGGGAUUGAAGAUGUCAAAACUUUAGCUAGUGAUGCAACCACUAUUUUGGAUUGCAAAAACUUUAAUUUCGAUAGUUUCUCUUUGAUUGAGUGUAUUUCUAUGUUUCAAUAUAUGAUAAAUUCACCCAAUGCCUAUGAACAAAAUAAAUCUUUUACUAAACAUAUUUCAGAUCCGGUAAUAAAAGCUUUGGAGGAAAAGUUAUAAUUAGAGAUUUUGAUUCCUAGAAAAUUAUAUGAUGAAUGGGAAGCCACCAUUAAGAUCAAGGUUAAGAAUUCUGAGUGGUAUGCUUUAUGAGAUUUGAGUGCUAGUGUUCCCACAAUUCCGAAAUCCCUUUGUGAAGUGCUUGGUGUUACCAAUAUUGAAGAAUGUUCUCUCAAUUUGCACUUGGCGGAUUCUACUACUGAAAAAUAUGUGGGAAGAAUUAAUGAUGUUCUUAUUCUUUCAAAUAGGGAUUAUGUGCCCUACAUUNNNNNNNNNNNNNNNNNNNNNNNNNAUUGAUUGCAAUCCGUGUUGUCCAAUAAUUCUUGGUAGACUAUUCUUGCGUACUAUAGGAGUCAUGAUUGAUAUGAAAGAAGGGAAUAUUAAAUUUCAGUUUCCACUAAGAAAAGGCAUGGAAUACUUCCCUCGAAAUAAGAUUAAAUUACCAUAUGAAUCAAUCAUGAGGGAAACCAAUGGAUCAAUCACUAAGGAUGACAUCACUUAAAAUCUAUGCUAUAUGCCUAGCUAGCGGCGUAAAACGAUAGCGCUUGUUGGGAGGCAACCGAGUGAAUACAAUUUAUUUUUCACUUUUGCUUUCUGUUAUUUAGUGUUUGCACAAUUAUGCUACAUUUACAGUUGUGUUUUAUUUAGUGUUUGUGCCAAGUAAAGCCUUUGGGAUCAUGUGGAGUGUUAGUUGCUUUAAUCCUAUUGAAAUACAAAAUUUUUGCGUCCAGUACAAAUAAUCAAAAAAAUCACAGAAACUUAAAAAGUGUAUGAAUGUUUUAUAGAAGAUUGAUAUACAAAUUCCCUACGUUGUCCUAAUUUUUCAGAAUUUUUGGAGUUACAGAAGUAUGAGUAAAAUUUGAGUCUUUACAAACCGUUCUGUUUUUGACAUAUUCUGUUUUCUUUGCAUUAUGUGCUUGUUUUGAUGAUUCUAUUGUCUAUAUCCCCCCCCCCCCCCCGGGGGGGGGGGGUAUAAUCCAUUGUAAGCUAGAAUACAGUAGGUAUAAUGCAAAAAAAUUGAAUAGGUUUUCAAAAGUACCUAAAGUAAAAUUUGGUUUUCUUAUACUAAUGGAUCUCACAAAAAAAUUGUUGAGUUUUGUGUGAUUGAAGUUUUCAAGUUUUGAGUGAGAUUACGAUGAAUGAAGGAAUAAGGAGUGAUAAAAGCCUAAUCUUGGGGAUUCCCCAUGGUACCCCGGGGUAAUAUCCAAUGAGUACCAAGAAACUAGGUUUGGGUAUGCCCCAGAAGGCAUCCCCUCUUUCUUCUAACAACCAUCGGUAAUUUUACUUGGACCUAUAUUUUUACUCAUCACAUAUCAUGAGUUUUGCUUGGAGCUUCUUGUAUCAUUUGUGUCUUUGCUUUCUUCACUGUUUAGUUUGAAAUAAUAAACCUUGCUGGACGCACCAAUUUGAGAGACACAAAUUAUGCUAUGAUUUGUUAGAAUCGCUCUUUAUGCUUCGCUUCAAUUUUUUGAGCCAUGGAAUUGCUCAAGUGCUUCACUUAUAUAUUUUUGAGCACAUCGGUGUUGUUAUUUUGAAAAAAAAUCUCUCAUGCUUCACUUAGAUUAUUUUGAGAGUAGUAGAUAUUUGGAAGAAAUCCUCUCUUGCUUCACUUAUACUCCUGAUGACCCACAAGUAUAGGGUAUCAAUCGUAGUCCUUUCGAUAAGUAAGAGUGUCGAACCCAACCAGGAGCAGAAGGAUCUCACAAGUGGUUUUCAGCAAGGUAAAAUCUACAGGCACUGAAAUUGUCGGUAACAAGUGAUUGUGUGGUGAGAUGAUCCGUAGCAAGAAACAAGUAACAAAAGUAGCAACGGUGCAGCAAAGUGGCCCAAUACCUUUUGUAGAAGGGACAAGCCUGGACAAAGUCUUAUAGGAGGAAAAACGCUCCCGAGGACACACGAGAGUUUCUGUCAUGCUAGUUUCAUCAUGUUCAUAUGAUUCGCGUUCGUUACUUUGAUAGUUUGAUAUGUGGGUGGGCCAGCGCUUGGGUACUGCCCUUACUUGGACAAGCAUCCCACUUAUGAUUAACCCCUCUCGCAAGCAUCUGCAACUACGAAAGAAGAAUUAGGGCAAAGUCUAACCAUAUCAUUAAACUAGUGGAUCCAAAUCAGCCCCUUACGAAGCAACGCAUAAACUAGGGUUUAAGCUUCUGUCACUCUAGCAACCCAUCAUCUACUUACUACUUCCCAAUGCCUUCCUCUAGGCCCAAAUAAUGGUGAAGUGUUAUGUAGUCGACGUUCACAUAACACCACUAGAGGAAAAACAACAUACAACAUAUCAAAAUACCGAACGAAUACCAAAUUCACAUGACUACUAUUAGCAUGACUUAUCCCAUGUCCUCGGGAACAAAAGUAACUACUCACAAAGCAUAAUCAUAUUCAUGACCAGAGAGGUAAUGAGUAGCAUCAAGGAUCUGAACAUAAACUCUUCCACUAAAUAAUCCAACUAGCAUCAACUACAAAGAGUAAUCAACACUACUAGCAACCUUACAAGUACUAAUCGGAGUCGCGAGACGGAGAUUGGUUACAAGUGAUGAACUAGGGUUUGGAGAUGAGAUGGUGCCGAUGAAGAUGUUGAUGGUGACGAGUCCCCUCCGAUGAGAGGAGUGUUGGUGAUGACGAUGGCGAUGAUUUCCCCCUCCGGAAGGGAAGUUUCCCUGGCAGGAUCGUCCUGCGGGAGCUCUAGAUUGUUUCUGCUCAAGUUCCUCCUCGUGGCGGUGGCGAAUCCACGAAAGAAAUCCUCCCUGAUUUUUUUCUGGACGAAACCCUUCAUAUAGCACAAGAGGGGGGCUAGUGGGCCAACAGGCUGCCCACAAGCCCUCAUGGCACGGCCUGGGGGGUGGCCGCGCCGUGCAGGCUUGUGGCCACCUGCUGGUGCCCCUCUCGCGCUUCUUCGGCCCAGUAUUUUUUAUAAAUCCGGAAAAAAAAUCCUCGUUGAUUUUUACGGCGUUUGGAGUUGCGCAUAAUAGGUAUCUCAACUUUGCUCCACUUUCCGGCCAGAAUUCCAGCUGUCGGCAUCCUCCCUAUUCAUGUAAACCUUGCAAAAUAAGAGAGAAAAGGCAUAAGUAUUGUACCGUUAAGUGAAAUAACAGCCCAAGAAGCGAUACAUAUCAACAUGAAAACAUGAUGAAAAAUGGACGUAUGAACUCCCCCAAGCUUAGACCUCGCUUGUCCUCAAGCGAAACCCUAGCUCAAUAAAUAUGUCCACAUGUUUAGGGAGAGAGGUGUCGAAAAAACAAGAUACGAACAUGCAUGCAUCAUGAUCAUGAUCAGAACAGCAAUACCAACAUAUAAUCUCUCAUGCUAAAGUGAUAAGUCCUUCACAAAGUAAAGCAUGGAUCAAGAACCUUACCGAGAAGUAACAACCGAUAGCCUUUAGUCAUUGAAGCAAUUGCAAUUUAUCACAACAUAAGAAAGAGUCAAAUAAGAGCUUGUAAAGCAAAUCCACAUAGUCAAUCAUUCUUUCGUUCUCUACAAUUGCUACAACUCACAUGGUACUCAUGAGAUCAAAGUUUCAGCUGGACACAGAGAAAGAUAGGGGCUUACAGUUUUGGCUCCCAACUGCUUACCUCAAGGGUAAUGUCAACAAUAAUAAUUCAUGAAUACUUACCUCCAAGUUUACAUAUGAAUAUAGAUCUUUCCCAAGCAUAUGACGUUAGCCAAGACAAAGGUGAAAUAAGGAAUUGGUGAAGAUCACCAUGGCUCUUUCAAGGGAAAAAAGGAAAGGUAGAAGAUAGGCCCUUCGCAGAGGGAAGCAGAGGUUGUCAUGCACUUUUGAGGUUUGGAUGCGUGUCCUCUUAGUGCGGAGGAACGUCACUUUAUAUUGCCUCUUGUGAUAAAGAACUUUAUUAUGCAGUCUGUCGCUUUUAUGUCUUCCUCAUCACAGGUUCGUAUAAAGCUUAUUUUCCACACACUAAUAGAUCAUACAUAUUAGAGAGAAAUUUUUAUUGCUUGCACCGAUGACAACUUACUUGAGGGAUCUUAUUCAAUCCAUAGGUAGGUAUGGUGGACACUCAUGGCAAAACUGGUUUGAAGGUUUAUGGAUGCACAAGUAGUAUCUCUACUUGGUGCGGGAGGUUUUGGCUAAUGUGAGGUUUAAGCAAUCGUCACAUGCUAAGGGAUCUCUAAUCAUAUAACAUUGUUCGGAGCCAAGCAAACACAAUUCAUUAUGUUGUCUUCCUUGCCAACAUCUACUUCUAGGCAUGCAAUAGUUUAGUGAGUGUUCACAAUCAUAGAUGGUGUCAAAGAUGAUAUAUUUAUAUGUGAACCUCUCCUUCUUUAUCACUUCCUAUUAAUUGCAACAAUGACCAAGGUCUACAUUUGUCUACCCUCAACAAGUUUCAAUCAUCAUCCUUUUUAUAUGUAAAGCCAUCACUUCCUAUAAGAUCAUUACAUGAUCUUUCAUGCUUGUGUUCUAUUCUCACUAUUUUGAUCAUGGCAAGAGCCAAAGCCCUUCAACUAAGACACUCUUUAUUAUAUGGCUCACGAGCUCGAAUACAUCGGGGGUGACACAAAGCAAAACUCAAGACUAAAACACUAAGACUUUUAAUCUACUAGAGAAAGAGAAAACUGAAAAGGAAAACUAAAACUAAGGUAAAGGCAAAAGAUGUGAUGGUGAGACGAUACCGGGGCAACUCCCCCAAGCUUGGCAUAAGCCAAGGGGAUUGCCCAUACCAAUGCUCAGUUGUCUUCCUUUAGUGGUGAUGGUGGUGGACUUGUUGCAAUCUUUGACUCCAAGAGGGCCAUUAAUCUUUGAUUUAUACCUUGGAGAUCUGCGAUAUGUUUUUCCAGCAAAACAACUUCACGAGUGAGACAAGUAUUGCGAGAACGAGUUGUUUCACAAAACCUCAAGAUUUCAAUCAAAGAUGGAGACAGUAGGUGGAGGUAGGGUUGGAGGAAAUCCACUUCUUCAACUUCUUCCUUGUUGAGCACAAAUUGCACUUCGUCCCAUACCUGAUCCUUCUCCUUAGCUUUGCCCUUGGUUUGUUUAGGUAGCCUCUCCUUAGACUCCAUGACCUCCAUCCUUUUCAGAUCAGCAUGAACUUCUCCAUAGAUUUGAUGGAGGUUGUUCUCCCCCACAGAUUCCUGGGAUGACAUCUUGACCUAGAUCUGUGGCAGAAAACAGGCUCGAAACGAAAAACAGAGGAAAUCUGCGUGAUGCAGGGUUCAAACCAAACGGGAGUAUAUAUAAUGAUUUUUUUCAGACCAGAAGGACUACUCCGCACGAAAACAGUGUCCGGGAGGCGCACGAGGUGGCCACAAGCCCUCAGGUCGCGGCCAGGGGGUGGGCCCGCGCCGUGCAGGCUUGUCGCCUCCUCGCGCACUUUCCGGACUACUUCCAAGUUUUGUAUUUUUUCAAAUAUUCCAAAAUGGAGAAAAUUUCCUACUGGAAAAGCUUUGGACUCGGUUUUCUUACCGAAUCACACACCUCUUCGUUUUCGGAGUCUGAAACAGGCUGAUAAAUAUCCCUUAGGUAUUCUUCUAGAGUUAUGGUAUUGAUGAUAUUGCUUUCAACAUUUAUGGGAGUACCUGAGAUAUAAUGCUUGAUUCUGUGUCCAUUUACAACUCUCGGACAAUUACCUUCCGUGUUGUUGAUCUUCAUAGCACCGAAACGAUAUACUUCCUCAACAACAUAGGGACCUUCCCAUUUAGAGAGAAGCUUGCCUGCAAAGGAUCUUAAACGAGAGUUAUAUAACAAGACAUAAUCACCUACAUUGAACUCACGCUUUUGUAUCCUCUUAUCAUGCCACCUCUUAACCUUCUCUUUGAACAGCUUGACAUUCUCACAUGCCUGAGUUCUCCACUCAUCAAGCGAGCUAAUAUCAAAUAACCUCUUCUCACCGGCAAGUUUGAAAUCAAAGUUGAGCUCUUUGAUUGCCCAAUAAGCUUUAUGCUCUAGCUCAAGAGGUAAAUGACAUGCUUUACCAUACACCAUUUUGUAUGGAGACAUGCCCAUGGGAUUCUUAUAGGCAGUUCUAUAAGCCCACGGUGCAUCAUCGAGCUUCUUAGACCAAUUCUUUCUAGACCUGUUGACAGUCUUUUGCAGAAUCAGUUUAAUCUCUCUAUUACUUAGCUCUACUUGACCACUGGACUGAGGGUGGUAGGGAGGCGCAAUUCUAUGGUUGACAUUGUACUUAGCAAGCGUUUUACGGAAAGCACCAUGAAUGAAGUGUGAACCACCAUCGGUCAUUAGAUAUCUAGGGACUCCAAAUCUAGGGAAGAUAACUUCUUUCAGCAUCUUGAUAGAGGUGUUGUGAUCAGCACUACUAGUGGGGAUAGCUUCUACCCACUUAGUGACAUAAUCAACAGCAAUUAGGAUCUGAGUAUACCCGUUGGAUUUUGGAAAAGGUCCCAUAUAAUCAAAGCCCCAAACAUCAAAUGGUUCAAUGACAAGUGAAUAGUUCAUAGGCAUUUCCCGACGUUUGCUAAUAUUACCUAUUCUUUGACAUUCGUCACAAGACAAGACGAACUUACGAGCAUCCUUGAAGAGAGUGGGCCAAUAGAAACCUGAUUGCAAUACCUUGUGUGCAGUUCUAUCUCCCGCAUGGUGUCCUCCGUAGGCCUCGGAGUGACACUUCUGUAGGAUCUGUCCCUGUUCAUGUUCAGGUACAUGACUGGCACUCUCUGGCAAUAGCUAGACGAAUGCUGAUUUUGUGACAACAAACAUUCCCUUGCAACGGCACCAGAAGAAUGCUACUAGCACUCCCCAGCAAUGAAACUAGAAGAAUGUUGUUGACAGCCCACCAGCGCGUGGGUUCGCAACAGUUUUCGAGGGUAGAGUAUUCGACCCAAAUUUGUUGGUACGCCAGACAGGAGGUGAGAGAAUACUCUCGAGUAUUAGCAGCUGAAUUUGUCUGAUUCAACCGCACCUGAAACAUUAGUAUCUGCAAGCAAAGUAGUAACAGCAAAGUAGUAUGAUAACAACGGUGUCAGAAACGAUUUGUUGACACGGCAGACUAUUUCUAACGAUUGUAUCAAUGGAGCCAAGUUGCCUCGUUGACAGAAGUUGUCAGUUCCCGUCAACGUCCAACGAAUCAAGAUUGUAGCAGGUAGCACAGUGUAACGAGUAAUAGCAGCGGCAAGGAACAACAAUAGUGACAGCAGUAGCAAGUAGCAACAGUAGCAAGCGACAGUAGUAGCAACAGUAGCAGCAGACCAAGACAAGUAACAACAAUAGCAACAGUAGUAACAGCAGUAGAGCAAGAUAAGUAACAUCAGUAGCAACAGUAGUAACAACAGCAGUAGGACAAACUCGUAGGCAAUGGGUCGGUGAUUUGUUUGGAUGAUAUUCAUCAUGCAACAGUUAUAACACGGAGAGAUAUGUGGCUAGCUCCCGUUCGUCAAUGUGAUGUAGGCAUGCAUUGCGUGUGUCGUCAUACGUGCUUAGGGAAAAGAACUUGCAUGACAUCUAUUGUCCAUCCCUCCCGUGGCAGCGGGGUCCAAAAGGAAACUACGAGAUAUUAAGGUUCUCUUUUUAAUAAAGAACCGGACCAACGCAUUAGCACUUGGUGAACACAUGAACUCCUCAAACUAUGGUCAUCACCGGGAGUGGUUCCGGUUAUUGUCACUCCGGGGUUGCCGGAUCAUAACACAUAGUAGGUAACUACAACUUGCAAGAUCGGAUCUAAAACACACAUAUAUUGGUGACAACAUAAUAAUUUCAGAUCUGAAAUCAUGGCACUCGGGCCCUAGUGACAAGCAUUAAGCAUGGCAAAGUAGUAGCAACAUCAAUCUUAGUACAUAGUGGAUACUAGGGAUCAAUCCCCAUCAAAACUAACUCGAUUACAUGAUAGAUCUCAUCCUACUCAUCACCGCCCAGCGAGCCUACGAAUAGAUUACUCAUGAACGACAUAGAGCUUCAUGGAAUUGGAGAGGGAAGAAGGUUGAUGAUGACGAUGGCGACGAUUUCCCCUCUCCGGGGCCCAAGACGGACUCUAGAUCUGCCCUCCAGAUGAAGAACAGGUGGUGGCGGCGGCUCCGUAUCGCAAACGCGACGAAAACUUCUCUUUUUUAUUUUUUCUGGGACGAAAGGGGACUUAUAGACCUGAGGUUGGGGGCGACAGAGCUGUGUGGGCCCCACAAGCCUGCCCACCGUCACCAGGGGGGUGGUGGCGGAGCCAGGGCUUGUGGCCCACUGGCCCACCCCCUGAGGUGGAACUUGGCACAAAUAUUUUUUAUAUUUUCCAAAACUGCUCCCCGUAUAUUUACAGGACGUUUGGAGAACUUUGAUUUCUACACAAAAAUAACACCAAGGCAAUUCUGCUGAAAACAACGUCAGUCCAGGUUAGUUCCAUUCAAAUCAUGCAAAUUAGAGUCCAAAACAAGGGCAAAAGAGUUUGGAAAAGUAGAUACGAUGGAGACGUAUCAACUCCCGCAAACUUAAAAUCUUGCUUGUCCUCAAGAAACUCAGUUGACAAACUGAGAGAGAAAUAAAAACUUUGAAAAACUCUGUUUGAUCUUGUUGUUGCAACUAUGUCUAACUCAUAACCAGAAUUUCAGCAAGAUCACAAGUUAACCACAUAAGCAAAUGACAAAAAGGUCUCACGGUAAACUAAUAUCAAUGGCAUAAUCAGCUAACGAGCAAAUAAUAAUCAGUUUCAAAUACCAACACUUCAAUCAAAACAAGCAUGAAGCAAUAUUAAUAGGUGGUAUCUCGCUAGCUCUUUCUGAGACCGCAAAACAUAAAUGCAGAGCACUUUCAAAGAUCAAGGGCUGACUAAACAUUGUAAUUCAUGGCAACGAAGAUCCAAUCAUAGUCAUACUCAAUAUCAAUCAAAAGCAAAGCAUAAAAAUGACAAAGGUGCUCUCUAAUUGGUGCUUAUAUAAGAGGAGGAUGACUCAACAGGAAAAUAAAUAGACAGGCCCUUCGCAGAGGGAAGCAUUGAUUUGCAGAGGUGCGAGAGCUCAAGCUUUGAAAACAGAGAUAAUAAUUUUGGGUGGCAUGCUUUCAUUGUCAACGCAAUGACCAAGAGUUCUCAAUAUCUUCCAUGCUACUCAUGCUAUAGGCGGUUCCCAAAUAGAAAAGUAAAGUUUUAACUCCUCCACCACCAAUCAAUCACACUCCACGGCUAGCCGAAUCCUCGGGUACCGUCCAUACUAACAUCAAUCCGGGGGAGUCUUGUUUUACAGUUAUGUUUUCGAUUUAAGCGUGGAACUGGGCAUUCCAAUUACUGACCCCUUUCUCGUGAAUGACAAUGAAUAAACACAUGUCGAGGAUAACACUCCUAGCAUGGAAGAUACCAAUAGCCCCCUGUCACCACAUGAGCGGUUCGAGCAUGCAAAACAGAUUAUUUCUUGAAGGUUUAAGAAUGGCACAUGCAAAUUUACUCGGAACGGCAGGUAGAUAUUGCAAAUAGGUAGGUAUGGUGGACUCUCAUGGAAAAACUUUUGGGUUUAUGGAAGUGGAUGCAAAAGCAGUAUUCCGCUUAGUACAAGUGAAGGCCAGCAAAAGACUGGGAAGCGACCAACUAGAGAGCGACAACAGUCAUCAAGCUGAAAUGAGUUUGACUAACAUUAAAUGCAAGCAUGAACAUGAUAUAAAUCACCAUGAACACGAACAUCAUAGAGGCUAUGUUGAUUUUGUUUCAACUACAUGCAUAACCAUGCGCCAAGUCAAGCCACUUGAAACAUUCAAAGGAGAAUACCAUCCUAUCAUACUACAUCAUAGUCAUCUCAAAAUCUAUGUUGGCAUUCAAGACAAACCAUUAUAAGCUCUCAGCUAAAUAAGCAUGGCAUCAUAAACUAUGAUCUCCAAGUUGUCAUUGCAAACAUGGUUCUCUCACAACAAAGCUAAGUCUGGGUCGACAAGCUAGUCAUAUUUACAAAAACAAAAUAGAUAGAGUUCAUACCAGCUUUUUAGUCUUAGUCACUUCAUCAUAUAUCAUCAUUGUUGCCUUUCAUUUGCACGAUCAAACGAUGUGAACAAUAAUAAGAGUGCUCGUGCAUUGGACUAAGCUGAAUCUGCAGGCAAACACAAAGGAGAAGACNNNNNNNNNNNNNNNNNNNNNNNNNNNNNNNNNNNNNNNNNNNNNNNNNNNNNNNNNNNNNNNNNNNNNNNNNNNNNNNNNNNNNNNNNNNNNNNNNNNNAUCAAAUGUCACAACGUAAUUGGGUGACUAUAAAGGUGCUCUACAGGUAUCUCCGAAGGUGUCCGUUGGGUUAGUAUGGAUCAAGACGGGGAUUUGUCACUCCGUGUGACGGAGAGGUAUCUCGGGGCUCACUCGGUAAUACAACAUCACACACAAUCCUUGAAAGCAAUGUGACUAAGUGUAAGUCACGGGAUCUUGUAGUACGGAACGAGAAAAGAGACUUGCCGGUAACGAGAUUGAGAUAGGUAUGCGGAUACCGAUGACCGAAUCUCGGGCAAGUGACAUACCGAAGGACAAAGGGAAUGACAUACGGGAUUGCCUGAAUCCUUGAUACUAAGGUUCAACCGAUAAGUUAUUCGGAGAAUAUGUAGGAUCCAAUAUGGGUAUCCAGGUCCCGCUAUUGGAUAUUGACCGAGGAGUACCUCGGGGCAUGUCUGCAUAGUUCUCGAACCCGCANNNNNNNNNNNNNNNNNNNNNNNNNNNNNNNNNNNNNNNNNNNNNNNNNNNNNNNNNNNNNNNNNNNNNNNNNNNNNNNNNNNNNNNNNNNNNNNNNNNNNNNNNNNNNNNNNNNNNNNNNNNNNNNNNNNNNNNNNNNNNNNNNNNNNNNNNNNNNNNNNNNNNNNNNNNNNNNNNNNNNNNNNNNNNNNNNNNNNNNNNNNNNNNNNNNNNNNNNNNNNNNNNNNNNNNNNNNNNNNNNNNNNNNNNNNNNNNNNNNNNNNNNNNNNNNNNNNNNNNNNNNNNNNNNNNNNNNNNNNNNNNNNNNNNNNNNNNNNNNNNNNNNNNNNNNNNNNNNNNNNNNNNNNNNNNNNNNNNNNNNNNNNNNNNNNNNNNNNNNNNNNNNNNNNNNNNNNNNNNNNNNNNNNNNNNNNNNNNNNNNNNNNNNNNNNNNNNNNNNNNNNNNNNNNNNNNNNNNNNNNNNNNNNNNNNNNNNNNNNNNNNNNNNNNNNNNNNNNNNNNNNNNNNNNNNNNNNNNNNNNNNNNNNNNNNNNNNNNNNNNNNNNNNNNNNNNNNNNNNNNNNNNNNNNNNNNNNNNNNNNNNNNNNNNNNNNNNNNNNNNNNNNNNNNNNNNNNNNNNNNNNNNNNNNNNNNNNNNNNNNNNNNNNNNNNNNNNNNNNNNNNNNNNNNNNNNNNNNNNNNNNNNNNNNNNNNNNNNNNNNNNNNNNNNNNNNNNNNNNNNNNNNNNNNNNNNNNNNNNNNNNNNNNNNNNNNNNNNNNNNNNNNNNNNNNNNNNNNNNNNNNNNNNNNNNNNNNNNNNNNNNNNNNNNNNNNNNNNNNNNNNNNNNNNNNNNNNNNNNNNNNNNNNNNNNNNNNNNNNNNNNNNNNNNNNNNNNNNNNNNNNNNNNNNNNNNNNNNNNNNNNNNNNNNNNNNNNNNNNNNNNNNNNNNNNNNNNNNNNNNNNNNNNNNNNNNNNNNNNNNNNNNNNNNNNNNNNNNNNNNNNNNNNNNNNNNNNNNNNNNNNNNNNNNNNNNNNNNNNNNNNNNNNNNNNNNNNNNNNNNNNNNNNNNNNNNNNNNNNNNNNNNNNNNNNNNNNNNNNNNNNNNNNNNNNNNNNNNNNNNNNNNNNNNNNNNNNNNNNNNNNNNNNNNNNNNNNNNNNNNNNNNNNNNNNNNNNNNNNNNNNNNNNNNNNNNNNNNNNNNNNNNNNNNNNNNNNNNNNNNNNNNNNNNNNNNNNNNNNNNNNNNNNNNNNNNNNNNNNNNNNNNNNNNNNNNNNNNNNNNNNNNNNNNNNNNNNNNNNNNNNNNNNNNNNNNNNNNNNNNNNNNNNNNNNNNNNNNNNNNNNNNNNNNNNNNNNNNNNNNNNNNNNNNNNNNNNNNNNNNNNNNNNNNNNNNNNNNNNNNNNNNNNNNNNNNNNNNNNNNNNNNNNNNNNNNNNNNNNNNNNNNNNNNNNNNNNNNNNNNNNNNNNNNNNNNNNNNNNNNNNNNNNNNNNNNNNNNNNNNNNNNNNNNNNNNNNNNNNNNNNNNNNNNNNNNNNNNNNNNNNNNNNNNNNNNNNNNNNNNNNNNNNNNNNNNNNNNNNNNNNNNNNNNNNNNNNNNNNNNNNNNNNNNNNNNNNNNNNNNNNNNNNNNNNNNNNNNNNNNNNNNNNNNNNNNNNNNNNNNNNNNNNNNNNNNNNNNNNNNNNNNNNNNNNNNNNNNNNNNNNNNNNNNNNNNNNNNNNNNNNNNNNNNNNNNNNNNNNNNNNNNNNNNNNNNNNNNNNNNNNNNNNNNNNNNNNNNNNNNNNNNNNNNNNNNNNNNNNNNNNNNNNNNNNNNNNNNNNNNNNNNNNNNNNNNNNNNNNNNNNNNNNNNNNNNNNNNNNNNNNNNNNNNNNNNNNNNNNNNNNNNNNNNNNNNNNNNNNNNNNNNNNNNNNNNNNNNNNNNNNNNNNNNNNNNNNNNNNNNNNNNNNNNNNNNNNNNNNNNNNNNNNNNNNNNNNNNNNNNNNNNNNNNNNNNNNNNNNNNNNNNNNNNNNNNNNNNNNNNNNNNNNNNNNNNNNNNNNNNNNNNNNNNNNNNNNNNNNNNNNNNNNNNNNNNNNNNNNNNNNNNNNNNNNNNNNNNNNNNNNNNNNNNNNNNNNNNNNNNNNNNNNNNNNNNNNNNNNNNNNNNNNNNNNNNNNNNNNNNNNNNNNNNNNNNNNNNNNNNNNNNNNNNNNNNNNNNNNNNNNNNNNNNNNNNNNNNNNNNNNNNNNNNNNNNNNNNNNNNNNNNNNNNNNNNNNNNNNNNNNNNNNNNNNNNNNNNNNNNNNNNNNNNNNNNNNNNNNNNNNNNNNNNNNNNNNNNNNNNNNNNNNNNNNNNNNNNNNNNNNNNNNNNNNNNNNNNNNNNNNNNNNNNNNNNNNNNNNNNNNNNNNNNNNNNNNNNNNNNNNNNNNNNNNNNNNNNNNNNNNNNNNNNNNNNNNNNNNNNNNNNNNNNNNNNNNNNNNNNNNNNNNNNNNNNNNNNNNNNNNNNNNNNNNNNNNNNNNNNNNNNNNNNNNNNNNNNNNNNNNNNNNNNNNNNNNNNNNNNNNNNNNNNNNNNNNNNNNNNNNNNNNNNNNNNNNNNNNNNNNNNNNNNNNNNNNNNNNNNNNNNNNNNNNNNNNNNNNNNNNNNNNNNNNNNNNNNNNNNNNNNNNNNNNNNNNNNNNNNNNNNNNNNNNNNNNNNNNNNNNNNNNNNNNNNNNNNNNNNNNNNNNNNNNNNNNNNNNNNNNNNNNNNNNNNNNNNNNNNNNNNNNNNNNNNNNNNNNNNNNNNNNNNNNNNNNNNNNNNNNNNNNNNNNNNNNNNNNNNNNNNNNNNNNNNNNNNNNNNNNNNNNNNNNNNNNNNNNNNNNNNNNNNNNNNNNNNNNNNNNNNNNNNNNNNNNNNNNNNNNNNNNNNNNNNNNNNNNNNNNNNNNNNNNNNNNNNNNNNNNNNNNNNNNNNNNNNNNNNNNNNNNNNNNNNNNNNNNNNNNNNNNNNNNNNNNNNNNNNNNNNNNNNNNNNNNNNNNNNNNNNNNNNNNNNNNNNNNNNNNNNNNNNNNNNNNNNNNNNNNNNNNNNNNNNNNNNNNNNNNNNNNNNNNNNNNNNNNNNNNNNNNNNNNNNNNNNNNNNNNNNNNNNNNNNNNNNNNNNNNNNNNNNNNNNNNNNNNNNNNNNNNNNNNNNNNNNNNNNNNNNNNNNNNNNNNNNNNNNNNNNNNNNNNNNNNNNNNNNNNNNNNNNNNNNNNNNNNNNNNNNNNNNNNNNNNNNNNNNNNNNNNNNNNNNNNNNNNNNNNNNNNNNNNNNNNNNNNNNNNNNNNNNNNNNNNNNNNNNNNNNNNNNNNNNNNNNNNNNNNNNNNNNNNNNNNNNNNNNNNNNNNNNNNNNNNNNNNNNNNNNNNNNNNNNNNNNNNNNNNNNNNNNNNNNNNNNNNNNNNNNNNNNNNNNNNNNNNNNNNNNNNNNNNNNNNNNNNNNNNNNNNNNNNNNNNNNNNNNNNNNNNNNNNNNNNNNNNNNNNNNNNNNNNNNNNNNNNNNNNNNNNNNNNNNNNNNNNNNNNNNNNNNNNNNNNNNNNNNNNNNNNNNNNNNNNNNNNNNNNNNNNNNNNNNNNNNNNNNNNNNNNNNNNNNNNNNNNNNNNNNNNNNNNNNNNNNNNNNNNNNNNNNNNNNNNNNNNNNNNNNNNNNNNNNNNNNNNNNNNNNNNNNNNNNNNNNNNNGUGUCAAGUAUUUGUUCCUAUGACCAUGAGAUCAUAUAACCCACUGGCACCGGAGGGAUACCUUGUGUGUAUCAAAUGUCACAACGUAAUUGGGUGACUAUAAAGGUGCUCUACAGGUAUCUCCGAAGGNNNNNNNNNNNNNNNNNNNNNNNNNNNNNNNNNNNNNNNNNNNNNNNNNNNNNNNNNNNNNNNNNNNNNNNNNNNNNNNNNNNNNNNNNNNNNNNNNNNNGCCAGAAAUUGACACGUUGAAGGGAGACUUUUCUUGACUUGAUACUCCCCGACAACGGUGCCAGAAAUUGGCACGUUGACGGGAGACUAUUCUUGACUUGAUCCUCCCCGGCAACGGUGCGAGAAAUUCUUCUUGCUACCUCUUGAGCUUGCGUUGGUUUUCCCUUCAAGAGGAAAGGGUGAUGCAACACAGUAGCAGUAAAUACUUCCCUUAGUUUGAGAACCAAGAUAUCAAUCCAGUAGGAGUAUCAAGGCAAGUAUCCAAAGUACCUACGCAAAAACAAGCAAACUUGCACCCAACGCUACAAAGGGGUUGUCAAUCCCUUCACAGUUAACUGCAAGGUGAUAUCUGAAGGCGUAAAGUGCAACAAAGUAAAAGUGUAGAGCUGAAAAUAUGAAGUGAAGUAGAACCGGGGGCCACAGUGUUCACUAAAGGCUUCUCUCAUGAUAGUAAGUAUUAUAGUGGGUGAACGAAUUACUGUCGAGCAAUUGAUAGAAUCGUGCAAAGUCAUGAUGAUAUCUAAGGCAAUGAUCAUACAUAUAGGCAUCACGUCCGAGACAAGUAGACCGAUAUUGUUUGCAUCUACUACUAUUACUCCACACAUCAACCGCUCUCCAGCAUGCAUCUAGUGUAUUGAGUUCAUAACAAAACAUAGUAACGCCUUAAGCAAGAUGACAUGAUAUAGAGGGAUAAAUUCAUGCAAUAGAUAUAAACCCCAUCUUUUUACCCUUGAUGGCAACAACACGAUGCGUGCCUCGCUACCCCUUCUAUCACUGGGUGAGGACACCGCMCGGUAUGAAMCCAAAACCAAGCACUUCUCCCAUUGCAARAAUURUAGAUCAAGUUGGCCAAACGAAACCCACAACUCGAUGAAAAUUACAAGGAUACGAAAUCAUGCAUAUAAGAGAUCAGAGGAGACUCAAAUAAUAUUCAUAGAUAAUCUGAUCAUAAAUCCACAAUUCAUCGGAUCUCGACAAACACACCGCARAAGAAGGUUACAUCGGAUAGAUCUCCAUGAAGAUCAUGGAGAACUUUGUAUUGAAGAUCCAAGAGAGAGAAGAAGCCAUCUAGCUACUAGCUAUGGACCCGAAGGUCUGUGGUGAACUACUCACGCAUCAUCGGAGAGGCAAUGGUGUUGAUGAAGAAGCCCUCCGUGUCCGAAUCCCCCUCCGGCAGGGCACCAGAACGGUCCCCAGAUGGGAUCUCGCGGAAAUAGAAGYUUGCGGCGGCGAAAAAGUAUUUUCGUGKCUCUSUSUGUUGGUUUGGRGAUUUUAGGGAAUUUAUAGGCGAAAGAGGUAGGGCAAAGGAGGCACGGGGGGCCCACGAGCGUGCUAGGCGCGCCGCCCUGGGGCGCGCCCAGGGGGCUCGUGGCCUCCUCCGUGGCCCUCUGCCUUGGUUCUCAAGUCUUCUCGAUCCCUUCUAAUAUGGAAAAAAUCAUCCCAAAAGUUUUAUUCCGUUUGGACUCCAUUUAAUAUUCUUAUCUGAAAAAGGUCAAAAGCACGGAAAAAACAUAAAUUAGCACUAGGCACUGAGUUAAUAGGUUAGUCCCAAAAAUGAUAUAAAAUAACAUAUAAAUGCAUAUAAAACAUUCCAAGUUGAUAAUAUAAUAGCAUGGAACAAUCAAAAAUUAUAGAUACGUUGGAGACGUAUCAAGCAUCUCCAAGCUUAACUCCUGCUCGUCCUCGAGUAGGAAGUGAUAAAGACCGAAUUUUUGAUGUGGAAUGCUACCUAACAUAUUUGUUCUUUGUAACUUCUUUAUUGUGGCAUGAAUGUUCAGAUCCAUAAGAUUCAAAACAAUAGUUUAAUAUUGACAUGAAAACAAUAAUACUUCAAGCAUACUAGCAAAGUAAUCAUGAACUUUUUAAAUAACAAGGCCAAAGAAAGUUAUCCCUACAAAAUCAUAUAGUCUGGCUAUGCUCCAUCAUCCCCACACAACGAAUUUAAAUCAUGCACAACCCCGGUAUUGGCCAAGUAAUUGUUUUCGCACUCUUACUUUCUCAAACUUUUUCAACUCUCACGCAAUACAUGAGUGUGAGCCAUGGAUAUAGCACUAUAGGUGGAAUAGAGUGUGGUGGAGGUUGUGAGGCAAAAAGGAGGAGAUGGUCACAUCGACUCGGCGUAUCAAUGGGUUAUGGAGAUGCCCAUCAAUAGAUAUCAAUGUGAAUGAGUAGGGAUUGCCAUGCAACGGAUGCACUAGAGCUAUAAGUGUAUGAAAGGUCAAAAAUAAAAACUAGUGGGUGUGCACCCAACUUGCUUGCUGAUAACCCACAAGUGUAGGGGAUCGCAACAGUUUUCGAGGGUAGAGUAUUGAACCCAAAUUUAUUGAUUCAACACAAGGGGAAGCGAAAGAAUAUUCUCAAGUAUUAGCAGUUGAGUUUGUCAGUUUCAACCACACCUGAAAGAUUAGUGUUUGCAAGCAAAGUUUCAGUAGCAAAGUGGUAUGAUAGCAACGGUGCCACAAAAAGAUCUGUUGACGGCAGACUAUUCCUAACUUGUUGUAUCAAUGGCACCAGAAAAUAGCACGUUGACGGGGGACUAUUCUUGAGAAUAAUGCUUCCUCAGCUGCGGCUCCAGAAAAGUCUUACAACAGGUAACAACAAAGUAAAAGCAGUAGUGACAGCAGCAGCAACAGAGUAACAACAGUAGCAACAGAGUAACAUAGCAAGGACCAGUAGUAAAAGACUCAUAGGCAUUGGAUCAGUGAUGGAUGAUUAUGCCAGAUGUGAUUCAUCAUGUAACAGCUAUAACACGGAGAGAUAAGUAACUAGCUCCCGUUCGUCAAUCUAAUGUAGGCAUGUAUUCCGUAUGUAGUCAUACGUGCUUAGGGAAAAGAACUUGCAUGACAUCUAUUGUCCAUCCCUCCCGUGGCAGCGGGGUCCUAAUGGAAACUACGGGAUAUUAAGGUUCUCCUUUUAAUAAAGAACCGGACCAACGCAUUAACACUUGGUGAAUACAUGAACUCCUCAUACUAUGGUCAUCUCGGGAGUGGUUCCGGCUAUUGUCACUACGGGGUUGCCGGGUCAUAACACAUAGUAGGUGACUACAACUUGCAAUAUAGUAUCUAAAACACACAUAUAUUGGCGACAACAUAAUAGGUUCAGAUCUGAAAUCAUGGCAUUCGGGCCCUAGUGACAAGCAUUAAGCAUGGCAAAGUAGUAGCAACAUCAAUCUCAGAACAUAGUGGAUACUAUGGAUCAAUCCCCGUCAAAACUAACUCAAUUACAUGAUAGAUCUCAUCCAACUCAUCACCGUCCAACAAGCCUACGAUGAGAUUACUCACGAACGGUGAAGAGCAUCAUGGAAUUAUCGAUGGAGGAAGGUUGAUGAUGACGAUGACGACGAUUUCCCCUCUCCGGAGCCCAGAACGGACUCUGAUGACCCACAAGUAUAGGGGAUCAAUCGUAGUCCUUUCGAUAAGUAAGAGUGUCGAACCCAACGAGGAGCAGAAGGCUCUGAUCAACGGUUUUCAGCAAGGUAAUAACUGCAAGCACUGAAAGUAGCGGUAACAAGUGAUGGUGUAGUGAGGUGAAACGUAGCAAGUGAAAAGUAACAAGAAACAAGUAGUAGCAAUGGUGCAGCAAGUGGCCCAAUCCCUUUUGCAGCAAGGGACAAGCCUGAACAAAGUCUUAUAGGAGGAAAAACGCUCCCGAGGACACACGGGAAUUUCUGUCAUGCUAGUUUCAUCAUGUUCAUAUGAUUCGCGUUCGUUACUUUGAUAGUUUGAUAUGUGGGUGGACCGGCGCUUGGGUACUACCCUUACUUGGAGAAGCAUCCCACUUAUGAUUAACCUCUCUCGCAAGCAUCCUCAACUACAAAAGAAGAAUUAAGACAACGUCUAACCAUAGCAUUAAACUAGUGGAUCCAAACCAGCCCCUUACGAAGCAACGCAUAGACUCGGGUUUAAGAUUCUGUCACUCCAGCAACCCAUCAUCUACUUACUACUCCCGAGUGCCUUCCUCUAGGCCCAAGUAUGGUGAAGUGUUAUGUAGUCGACGUUCACAUAACACCACUAGAGGAAAAACAACAUACAACAUAUCAAAAUACCGAACGAAUAUCAAAUUCACAUGACUAUUAUCAGCAUGACUUAUCCCAUGUCCUCAGGAACAAAAGUAACUACUCACAAAGCAUAAUCAUAAUCAUGAUCAGAGGUGUAACGAAUAGCAUCAAGGAUCUGAACAUAAACUCUUCCACCAAGUAAUCCAACUAGCAUCAACUACAAAGAGUAAUCAACAUUACUAGCAACCUUACAAGUACCAAUCGGAGUCUUGAGACGGAGAUUGAUUACAAGAGAUGAACUAGGGAUUGGAGAGGAGAUGGUGCUGAUGAAGAUGUUGAUGAAGAUGCCUCCCCUCCGACGAGAGGAGUGUUUGGUGAUGACGAUGGCGACGAUUUCCCCCUCCGGGAGGGAAGUUUCCCCGACAGGAUCGUCGUGCCGGAGCUCAAGAUUGGAUCUGCUCAAGUUCCGCCUCGUGGCGGCGGCGAAACCACGAAAAAUCUCCCGCUUGAUUUUUUCUGGAACGAAAGCCUUCAUAUAGCAAAAGAGGGGGGCUAGUGGGCCGUCAGGCAGCCCACAAGCUUGCCCUCCGCCACCAGGGGGUGGCGGUGGCAGGGCUUGUGGCGCCCUGGUGGCCCCCCUCCAGUACUUCUUUCGCCCAGUAUUUUUUAUAUAAUCCCAAAAAAAUCCACGUAACUUUUCAGGGCAUUUGGAGAUGUGCAGAAUAGUGGACUAAGAUUUGCUCCUUUUUGAGUCCAGAAUUCCAGCUGCGUGAAUUCUCCCUCUUCAAAUAAACCUUGCAAAAUAAGAGAGAAAAGGCAUAAAUAUGGUACCACAAAGUAAUAUAACAGCCCAUAAAGCAAUAAAUAUAAACAUGAAAUCAUGAUGCAAAAUGGACGUAUCAACCCCCCCCCCCCGAAGCCUUAGACCUUGCUUGUCCUCAAGCGAAAACCAAGUUCCAUAAACAUGUCCACAUGUUGAGGGACGAAGGUGUCGAUAAAACAUAAUACGGACAUGAGGGCAUCAUGAUCACACAUAGGACAACAAUACAUCAUAAAUAUUCUUAUGGGAAAGUAACAAUUCCUUCACAAAGCAAAGCAUGAAGCAAAAACCUUACCGAGAAGUAACCAACAACAGUCCAAAGUCAUUGAAGCAAUUGCAAUUUAUCACAACAUUAGAAAGAGUCAAAUAAGAGCUUGUAAGGCAAAUCCACAUACUCAAUCAUCUAUUUUGUUUUCCACAAUUGUUACAACUCACGUGGUACUCAUGGUGUCAACGUUUCAGCUGGACACACAGGAAGAUAGGGGCUUAUAGUUUUUCCUCCCAACGAUUUACCUCAAGGGUAAAGUCAACAAUAAUAAAGCAUGAGUACUCAACUCCAAGUUGAUAUAUGAAUAUAGAUCUUUCCCAAGCAGGUGACGGUAGCCAAGACAAAGGCAAAAUAGGGAAUUGGUGAAGAUCACCAUGACUCUUACACGGGCAAAAAGUAAAGGUACAAGAUAGGACCUUAGCAGAGGGAAGCAGAGGUUGUCAUGCGCUUUUGAGGUUUGAAUGCGUGGCCUCUUAGUGCGGAGGAACGUCACUUUAUAUCGCCUCCUGUGAUAAAGAACUUUAUUAUGCAGUCUGUCUCUUUUAUGUCUUCCUCAUCACAGGUUUGUACAAAGCUUAUUUUCCACACACUAAUAGAUCAAACAUAUUAGAGAGCAAUUUUUAUUGCUUGCACCGAUGACAACUUACUUGAAGGAUCUUAUUCAAUCCAUAGGUAGGUAUGGUGGACUCUCAUGGCAAAACUGGGUUGGAGGUUUAUGGAUGCACAAGUAGUAUCUCUACUUGGUGCGGGAGUUUUGGCUAAUAUGAGAUGGAAGCAAUCGUCACAUGCUAAGGGAUCUCUAAUCAUAUAACAUUGUUUGGAACCAAGCAAUCACAAUUCAUUAUGUUGUCUUCCUUGUCCAACAUCUACUCCUAAGCAUGUAAUAGUUUGGUGAGUGCUCACAAUUGUAAAAAGUGUCUGAGAUGAUAUAUUUAUAUGUGAACCUCUCUUUCCUUAUUACUUCUUAUUAAUUGCAACAAUGACUGAGGUCUAUGUUGAUUUAUUCUCAACAAGUUUCAAUCAUCAUACGUGUCAUAAGUGAAGUUAUCACUUUCCAUAAGAUCGUCUCAUGAUCUUUCAUGCUAUUGUUCUUUUCAUACUAUUGAUCAUGGCACAAAGCAAAGCCCUUGACUAAGAUACUCUUUAUUAUAUAGCUCGUAAGCUCGAAUACAUCGGGGGAGAGACAAAAGCAAAAGACUCAAACUAAACUCUAAAGACUUAUUCCUCUAAGAAAAGAAAUAAAAACUGAAAAGGAAAGAACUAAAACAAAGGUAAAAGCAAAAGAUAUAAAGGUGAUACGAUACCAGGGCAACUCCCCCAAGCUUGGCAAAAGCCAAGGGGAUUGCCCAUAACAAUGCUUAGUUGUCUCCCUUUGGUGGUGAUGGUGGUGGAGUUGUCGCCUUUGAUUCCAAGAGAGCUAUGAAUCUUUGAUUUAUAACUUUGAGAUCUGUGACAUGGUUUUCCAGCAAAACAAAGUCACGAGAAAGGGAAAUAUUGCGAGCACGAGUUGUUUCACAAAACCUCAAGAGUUCAAUCAAGGAUGGAGACAGCACGUGGAGGAAGGGUUGGAGAAAAUCUACUCCUUCAACGUCUUCAAUGUUGAACAUAGGUUGAACUUCCUCCCUAGCUUGGGUUUUCUCCUUAGCUUGGUCCCUGGCUUCCGUGACUUCUACUCUUUUCAGAUAAGCAUCUACUUCCUCAUGAACUUGGUGAAGAUCAUUCUCCCCAACAGAUUCCUGAGACAUCUUUGCUCUAAAUCUGCAGUAGAAAUAGGCUCGAAACGAGAACAGAGGAAGACUGCACGAUACGGAGAUCAAAACCUUCGGGCGAGUAUAUAUUGAUUUUUUCUGGACCAGAAGGAGUGCUCCGCAAGAAAACGGAGUCCGGAAGGCACACGAGGUGCCCACAAGCUUGCCCUCCGCCACCAGGGGGUAGGAGGCGGUGGCAGGGCUUGUGGCCGCCUCGUGCGCUGAUGUCAGUUGUGCUUCCCUUGCAACGGCGCCAGAUAUACUUCUGCUACCUCAAAAAGAUCUCCGGCAACGGCGCCGGAAAUUGUCGUGUCGACGGCACCAGGAAUCCUUCAGCUGCGGCUACGCCUUAAGGGAGUUCCUAGGCAAGUAUGCAAAGGAUUUCCCCCGUGGCCUUGGAGCCUUGCGUUGGUGUUCCCACGAAGCGUAAAGGGUGAUGUAGCACAGCGGUGGUAAGUACUUCCCUCAGUUUGAGAACCAAGGUAUCAAUCCGAUGGAGGAGUAUCUCAAGAUCCUACACAAACACUAGAACUUGCUCCCAACGCUAUGAAGGGGUUGUCAAUCCCUUAUAGAUUGUUUGCCAAGUGAGAACUGAAAGCAACAAAGUAACAAAGCAAAGUAAAAGCGGAGGUGUAAACGAUGGAUGUGAAUAGACCCGGGGCCGUAGUGUUUACUAGUGGCUUCUCUCAUGAAAGCAAGUAGAGGUGGGUGAACAAAUUACUGUCGAGCAAUUGAUAGAACCGCGCAAAGUCGUGACGAUAUCUAUGGAAUGAUUAUUUCUAUAGGCAUCACGUCCAAAACAAGUAGACCGAUAUUGUCUGCAUCUACUACUAUUACUCCACACGUCGACCGCUAUCCAGCAUGCAUCUAGUGCAUUAAGUCCAUAAGAACAGAGUAAUGCCUUAAGCAAGAUGACAUGAUGUAGAGGGAUAAUCUCAAACCAAUGAUAAAAACUCCAUCUUUUACCCUUGAUGGCAACUACUUGAUGUGUGCCUUGCUGCCCCUACUGUCACUGGGAAAGGUCACCACAUGGUAGAACCCAAAACCAAGCACUUCUCCCAUUGCAAGAAUCAUAGAUCUAGUUGGCCAAACAAAACCCAAGACUCAGAGAGACUUACAAGGAUAUCAAAUCAUGCAUAUAAGAAAUCAGCAAAGACUCAAAUAUAUAUCAUUGAUAAUCUGAUCACAAGUACACAAUUAAUCGGAACUCGACAAACACGCCGCCAAAGAAGAUUACAUCGGAUAUAUCUCCAUGAAGAUCAUGGAGAACUUUGUAUUUAAGAUCCAAGAGAGAGAAGAAGCCAUCUAGCUACUAACUACGGACCCGUAGGUUUGAAGUGAACUACUCACGAGUCAUUGGAGGGGCGAUGAUGAUGAUGAAGAAGCCCUCCACUUCCAAAGUCCCCUCCGGAAGGGCGCCGGGAAGGGUCUCCAGAUGAGAUCUCGCGGAAACGGAAGCUUGCGACGGCGGAAAAAUAUUUUCGAGGCUCCCCUCAUUUUUUGCGGAAUAUUUGGGAAUUUAUAGGCCAAAGAUCUAGGUCAAGGGGCGGCCAGGGAGGCCACAAGCCUGCCCACCGCCGCCUCCCCCUGGUGGCGGAGUGGGGGCUUGUGGGCUCCUUGGAGCCCAUGGCUUGGCCCAAAAGCCCCGUGGACUUCUUCUGUUCGGGAAAAAAACCAUUUCGGGGUUUUUCUUCCGUUUGGACUCCGUUCCAAAAUCAGAUCUGAAAAGAGUCAAAAACACGGAAAAAACAAGAACUGGCACUUGGCACUGAAUUAAUAAGUUAGUCCCAAAAAGAUAUAAAAAGGUACAUAAAACAUACAAAGAAGGCAAGAUAACAGCGUGAAACCAUCAAAAAUUAUAGAUACGUUUGAGACGUAUCAGGGUCCUCAUAGGAGCCCCGAAUCCUUGCAAUCCGAGAUUGUAUGCUAGCCAAGAUUGCUACCGGAUCCAUAUGACAUCUUCCGCAUGAUAGCACGAGAGGAAGCUCCUUCCAGGUUUCUCCAUCGUCACUGACCGAGUCUGAUGCCUCAAAUCGUCAAACUAACUCUCCUUUUUUUACCGGGGAAGGGGAGGGGCUUGAAACCAACUAUGCUACACGAGAUCAACAACCUCCUAUUCUCUUUGAAGGCCAUGGAGAAACCACCCUCCAAGCGGGGAAGGAACCCGCAUGGCACGGGAGGAGGGGCGGGGAGGGGGAGGGUUGUAGGGCUAUCAAAGUCGUCGCAUGUGCCCCGUAGGGAUGGGAAUGUGCCGACCUAGAUCUGGCCUUGGACCCGACGCCCCAAGGCCAAUUUCAUAGGCCACAUAUCAACUUAUAUAAAGAAUAGCAUGUGGCCUCGUUUCUUGAUGGGUAAUUUGGGUCGACCCAAAUUCUUGCUUUACAUUGCCUCAUGGACAAACGAGCUGUUCAAAGUAGGCAUAAUUUAAUGGAAUCCAACUAGUGUAAGAAUUAAGGUUUCUAAGACGUGGUUAAUAGGAAAAAAAUCAAGUCCUGUACUUGUGGUUUUGUACUUGCACAUCUUUCUGACAAAUAGCAAGACAAAUUUGUUGUUCAUAUGCGCGAGCGAUCAUCAAAAAUAAAACGGCAAACUACGUCGUAAAACGAGAGUUUGUUACUCUAUGGAUGCUUGGAUCCUCAAGAUCAAAUAGAACAUUAUUGACUCCAACUCAAUUCCAGGAGUUUUUUUACUCUAUGGAUGCUUGUGCAUAAUUUCCUCUUGAUGAUCUUGUGGAGGAUGACACUAUCUAGAAGCACUCUAGUGACGAGAUAUAUUUGGCAUCCACCAUGUAUAAAGCACAAAUUCUUGUAAUGACUCUUUCCCCAAUGGAUCACAUGCCAUGGAAGGGUUGGGCUCCACCAAAAGUCAAGUUCUUUUCUUGGCUCGUGAUCCAAGAUCGUAUUUGGACGACCGACCGCUUGAGGAAGAGGGGUUGUGAAAAUUGUAGGCUUUCUCACUAUACAAGAGAGUAGGAAACCAGGUCACAUCUUUCUAGAAAUGUCCCUUCUCCUUCGAGAGUCUCGCGUUUGGUCCUUGAGAAAGUUGGUCGUCCACAUGAUGAGACUUUGACUUGGCACAACGAGGACUCCAUGUUGGCUUGGUCGGGCAAGAAGACAAAUGCUAGAACCACGAAUAGAUGCAUGAGGGCAUCCCUAACCAUGCAUGUUUGUCUCGUGGACCCUGUGGAUUGGGAGGAAUGCUAGGGUCUUCCGGCACAAGAGUGCAUCGCUCCACAUCUAGUUGCACUUAAUUGUCUAUGAGGCUAGGCUUUGGGAUAGCGCGGGUGCUAAACACCUAGGGCUUAUUGUAUCGAGUGAGUAAUUGUGAGGCCAUGAUACUGGAUCACUUGUAAAACUCGAACUUCUCCUUUUUAAUAGAUGAGGCAAAUAUCAUGCCUACCGUUUUGAAAAAAAAGGACAAAGCCAACCUAUGCACCUCAUGUGUAAGGUGAAUACAUUUCUAUUGUUCUAAAUGCAAAAGAUAUCUGUGAUACAUGAAGAAAAAUGACUAACAAGAUUUACUACUAGCAUACAUGGUUGGUAGUUCUAGCAAAUACUUUUGUAUAACUUAUUUGGUCUUACUAUUAAUUUUCUUCUAUCAUGUGCAUUUUUCCAUUUCCUAGUAGGUAUAUUGGCCACCUGAAGGAAAGAAAGCUCAAGGACCAGGUGGCUAAAGACUCAACUGAAGUGAUUCGUAAGGCUGUCAUGCGCAUGCUUCCCCAGAAUAAAUUGCAUGAUGUAAGUGAAAUUUCAUUUAUAUGUUAAACCGAGUAUUUGAAGAAAAGAACAAAAUCUAGUAAAAUACCAUACGAUCUCUUUUCAUCUGUGUGGUUACAAGUGCUUAUUAUUCAAUGUAUAUUGAAUUACUGAUGAGCCGUAGUCUAUCUGUUCCCUCCCCAAACUACCAUUUAUCAUGUACUAGUUUUAUGAUGGUAUUAUCAUUUAGCACCCUCCCGUCUUGAUUCUCCAGGAUAGGGAUCACAAGCUAAGGAUAUUUGCUGAAGGCGAGCAUCCAUUCCACCACGCCAAGCAUGUGAGAUGUGCCCCCCCCCCGGCAAGACGUGCGAUGAUGAGGGCAUAGAAGAAAGAUUAGGGCAUGGCAGCUAAGAAAGCCGAGGGAGAAGUAACUAAGAAUGGCAAAGUUGCGGUCGCUGCAUAAGUCACCUUCAAAUGUGUGUGGACAAUGGAGACCAAUGAUCUUCUACCCGAUGCAUUUUCUGGAUGAUGAUGUGUGUACCUUUUAUCCCUUUGACAUGUAGUGUUUCAUGUUGAAUUUCGUAGACAUGCUGCACUAUAAUCUUUAUCAAGCCUUGUUAAGGUAGCCAGAUUGCUCAGAAGCGUACUGAGUUGAGUUGAGGAUGCACUAGAACUUACAAAAACUCAAAACUCACUUUGAAUUUUAUUUUCUUUAAACCUGCAAGUGGGAUCUUGUAUCGCAAAUAAAUUCAUCGCAUUAUGUAGAAUGAUGUAGGUUCACAUUCAUAUCUUGAAUGGAGCACAUAACUCAUACGGUCGAGCUAUAUAACUCACCCUAUUUUUGUCAAAAGGAAUGUUACAAUACUAUUUCUCAAAUAAAAGUUACUAUUCUAUGAACAUUUUUGAAGGUAAAAGAAAAAUCAACACCAUUAUUUCCACGAUUAAUAACUAUUUUUAAAAGAAAACCUUGAGAUUCAACUUUUUUCUUUGAGUCCACCUUGAGAUUCAACUUUUUUUUGAGGGAAACCUUGAGAUUCAACUAGCACAAAUAACUUUCAUGGGCAUCAGUAGUACUAGUGGCCCAACAAUAGCCCAUUAAGGCCUUAAACCCUAAUGCGAAACCUUUCACUGCCUCUCUCCCUCAACUCCCGUGCUCUGCGUCUCCACCACACAAGACAACCACCACAGCACCUCGCCGCCGCCGCCGCCGCCGCCGUCGACGACGAUGUGGCGUUCCCGAGCUCGCGCUCUCCUCCUACUCCGCUCAUCCGUCCCCAGGUCGCCACCGCCGCCGCAAAAUUCACUUCGGAGCUUGACCCGAGCCCCGCCCCCGCCACCACGCCUUCUCUCCCGCUUCCUCUCCUCCUCCUCCCCGGAGGCCCUGCCGGACGCCCCCUCCUCUUCUGCGGAUGCCCUCCAGGAUGAUCCCUUCGCCUUCGCGCCCGGCGUUGAACCCGGAUCGGCUGAUCCCACCGAGGCCGACGAGGACAACCUGGCCGCGCUCUGGGAGCAGGAUGCGGGCGACGCCAACGACAUCUUCGUCUCCCCCGCCUCCCCCGACACCGCUGACUCAGAGGCCAGCGACCAGGAGGUCGCCCGCGUCCGCGCCGUCGUGCAGUCCACCCCGGAGGACCAGAUCCCCUCCGCCAUCGCCGACAUGGUCGUUGACUUCACCGAGCCGCUCCUAGCCGCCAUCCUCCUCUCCGCCGAGAACUGCUCUGGUAAAAAAGCUACUCCUCUUGUUCAAGUCUGCUGGGAAGAACAACCCUGAUGUCAAGAGCCUUGCCAAUCUUGACAUCGUCGCGAGCAAGGUUGCUGAUUCGGCCGAGAUUGACAAGAUGGACGCUUACAUGCUUUGGGAUUUGGUGAAGGAAAUGGGCAGUGUGCCUGGAUCAUUGAGCACCCCACUGUUGAACAGAGUGCUAGCAAUGUUCUGGAAGCUUCAGAAAUCGAAGGCGGCGCUGGAGGUGCUUGACAAGUUCAGUGAGUUUGGCUGCACUCCGGACGGUGACAGCUAUUAUCUGGCGAUUCAAGCGGCUGGAAAGAAGUCCAUGGUUGGCGCCGCAUGGGGAGUUUGCGAGAAGAUGAUUAGCUCUGGGUGCUUCCCUGAUGGGAAGAAGACUGGUGAGAUUGUGACCUUCUUUUGCCAGGGGAAGAUGGUGACGGAGGCGCAUUCAGUAUACCUAGCAGCAAAGGAGAAGAAGGUUCAGAUUCCAACAUCAGCCUUGGACUUCCUUGUUGGUGCUUUGGCGAAGAAUGAUGCGACCAUCACUACGGCUCUGGAGCUGCUUGGGGAAUACAAAGGAGACUCUCUUAAGCAUGCGGGCAAGUCCUUUGCUGCUGUUAUACAUAGUUUGUGCAGGAUGAAGAAUGUGAAUGAUGCAAAGAAGCUGUUGAUGAGGAUGGUGAAUCUUGGCCCAGCUCCUGGUAGUGCAGUGUUCAACUUUGUCAUCACAGGAUUGUCUAAAGAGGGAGAAAUGGAAGACGCAAAGGAUUUGAUAAGAGUGAUGGAGAGCCGAGGGCUGCGCCCUGAUGUUUAUACAUACAGUGUGAUAAUGAGUGGCUAUGCAAAGGGAGGCAUGAUUGAUGAAGCCCAUUCUCUACUUCGCGAAGCUAAGAAGAUCCAUCCAAAACCAAGCAGGGUUACUUAUCACAUUCUAAUCCGUGGUUACUGCAAGAUGGAGGAGUUUGAGAAGGCCCUGGAGUGCCUAAAGGAGAUGAAGGAGGAUGGGUUGCAGCCAAACAUGGAUGAGUAUAACAAACUCAUCCAGUCGUUAUGUCUGAAGGCUAUGGACUGGAGGACAGCUGAGAAGCUCCUUGAGGAAAUGGAGGGCAGUGGGUUAUGCCUUAAGGGCAUUACCCGCAGCCUCAUAGCAGCAGUCAAGGAGUUGGAAAUGGAAGAGGCGUCAAAAGACAGCCAAGAAGCAUAGUUUCUCUAGGAUACGCUUGAAGUGACACAGCCACUAAUCAGUUUUGCGGAAUCACCCUCUUUUUGCUCUCUGCAUCUCUGGUGAGGUUAUGAAAAACACCAUCUUUUGUACUUGUCUGCUUGUUGUUAGAUGCUAAAAUAAUAUUGCAUUUGUAUUAUAAAUGCUGGACCUGAACGGAUGCAUAUUUAAUUUUGGUCUAGAGUUUCUGCUUCUUUAGAAGUAGAACCAAGAAUUUCCAUGCAAUUUUUUAUCCAAUCUUCAUGACGAUUCAAUGGAGGAUACAUGUUUGUCUAUUCCCAGCAUCAGGCCUUGCAAACCGAAAAAUGGAUUCUUUUGGAAUGUGCCUAACAAAUCAAAAGGGAAGUAGUAAAAAGAAAAACGUGUUGAUGCAGCAGCAGGUACCUGUUUGUACUUUGGUGCAUGAUAUACAAGAAGAUGCCUAUAUGCUGUUAUCAUGUAAAAUAUCGGAGUUACAAUUGCUACUAUUGUUAACCUGUAAUUCAUAGGCUUGUUGGCCAUUGGUGUCUUAUUCAGGGAAGAUACUCCCUCCAUUCCCUUAUACAAGGCCACCAUUGAAAAUACAUUUUGCAUCUAUAUAAGGCCACCAACAGUAAUCGAGGUAACAUUAAUGAUGUUUUCUCAUACUAGCAACUUAUUUAAUAAUUGCAUGCAUGUAUUCAUAAUGACAGUUGGCUACUUUCUUCUCACUCAUUCGUUGCAUGCAUGCAGCGUAUUAAUGAUUCCGGUUAACGAAAAGAAAACUUGACUUUCAACCCGGUCAUUAAAUUUUGCCUUGGUACCUGUAAUAUGAAUUUGUGGCCUUGUAUAAAGGAAUGGAGGGAGUACUUGAUUGAUCUGGUUUUUAACGACAUGUCUUUACCAAUUUGAUCUGCUAUAUAAUGGAGUACUUUUCUGGGAAUGAACUUGAUUUAUCACUGAUGUGUAUGAGUGUAUCCACAUACAACUCUCCUGGGCAGUAAUCUGUUUAUCUCUUGUGCACAAUUUGGAGCAUGGUAUAGUUGCAUGACUAUAACAUAGGGUUCGUCUAUUUGAUGAGCUUACUGUCAACGAUUUUGUAUUUUAAUCGGUUUCUCUUUUAUUUGUAAUCUGUUGAGAACACAGAACCGUACCUACCGAGUUUUGCAUUCCAUGUCACUUCCAAGCUUAGUACCUACCGAGUUUUGCAUUCCAUGUCACUUCUUAGUUUACUGCAGUCGUUGCACUUCCUCUACAUAGAGCAGGCUUAAUUCCCGGCCGCUAGCGCUGAUGGGUUACAGUCCUAGGGUAGGGUCAUAGGCCUGCCCUAUAGGUCCUACCCAAGGACUACCCUUCAUAAAGGACAAGGCCCUUAGACAGUUCCGACUGAACUAAGGACUCUCCAUCAUCCAGUCGGUGACGAUUCCCCAUCAUCCAGUCGGUGAUGAGCAUUCGGAGUGUACUAAACGUACCGACUGGAUUCCACUCUGUAUAUCGUAACCUCCCUGGAGGGCAACGGUCAUACGUUUUCAUACGCCAUUAAUAGCAUUUAAGGCAUACGCUACCUGUAACGUAGGCAUUUAUUCGCCACUACUCCACCCCUGUCCACCGGACCGUUGUGAAGGGCAGCGCACUCUAUAUAAGCCGCCCUUCCCCACUGGUGCAGGGGUUGGCAUUUACUGUAAUCCAUAUUCCACUCGACAUCAAGCUCCCAAGAGCACUGAGACGUAGGGCUUUUACCUCCACCGUAGAGGGGCCUGAACUCAUACAACCUCGCCGUAGCUAAGGCUCUGCCCAUCCUUUCGUACCAUACACAUCUACUGUCAGACUUAUACCCACGACAAGCGGCAAAUGACACUUGAAAUAAAUCUCAGCUAGACCGGUUUUGAACAAUUGUCUGGUUAAGGCCUAAUCAGGAGUAGAUGCUUUGUGCAGUGAGGCAUGAUUGUGUAUUGAAAACCAGAAAGUGUGUGAAGAUUUUAUUGUGUUUGUCCAAAACAGACAUUUCAGGGCCAUUUUCUUCAGAAAUAAGAAAUGCCAGGCCUCCUUCAGUUCACAGGAUAGGAAUAAAUAACAUUCCCUCCGUCCCAAAAUAACUGUCUCAACUUUGUAUUUGCUCUAGUACAAAGUUAUACUAAGUUUAAGACACUUAUUUUGGAACGGAUGAAGUAACUUGUAGGAGAUGAGAUGCCAUUUAUCUUAAAUCUAGGAAUAGCAAGAGAGAUGUCCUUUGGUUCACUUCAUAGGAACAUUUUCGUUGAGUCUGGUUUAAUGUUUAUUUUUCUAUAUGAAAUGCGGAGGAUAGGAAGAUUCCUCCACGGAAAUAGGAUUAUGUCCCUACAAACCAAAGGACUCUAAAGUUAUUUUGUUUAUAAAAAUCAUAUCCUAUGGAAUUCCUCCGAAUCAAAAGGAGGCCUAAAAAAGUGUUAUGUCUCGUUAGUGCUGCCGUGCCCGACAGAGAAGGCUAAUGAGAAACCGGCCCAAAAACUGGCACUGAAGUGCUGGCUGCAGACAGAAGCAGUGGCUGCUCACUCACAAUAGCAAUAGGACCUGUGAUUGCGUCAAGACCUUGAUUCUACAUUCUGCAAACCGGCUGGCUCAUCGAUCAUCCAUCACGCAGUAGGUCUCUUCUUCGGUUGCUUGAUCUGUUGGGUUGAUAAAAUACUGUCGUGUCGCGAUCAGCUGUCACCUGUCAAUCCUCACCCAUUUUACUUCUCUUCGUGCAUAGUGUGACAGGAGUAGUAUAAUUCCUGGCGCUGACACUGCUGUUAGUUACGCUGUCAAGUGAUGUCUGAUGGCGGACGCGAUCACACUUGACAAGCGGCGCAAGCUAGGGUGCACGGCCACGUACCACGCACAUCCGGAGCUAUAUUUUACUCCCAAUUAGUAUAAAAAAAAGCGUCUUAUAUUAUAAGACGGACGGAGUAGAAUUGUAUCAAUAAACGUCUUAUAUUGUAGAAUUGUGUCAAUAAACGUCUUAUAUUAUGAAACGGACGGAGUAGGACAGUAUGAAAAAGUGUGAAACGGACGGAGUAGAACAGUAUCAGAAAGUGUGUUAUAUGACGGACGGAGUAGAACAGAAAUAAACUGUGGCCAGUCGCGAAAAAGAGAGGGAAAUAAACAGUCGCCGUCCAUGGUGACAAUCAGAAUCUGAUCCGAGUGUUAUCAUAUAUAUUUGCAUUUUUCCGUGCGCUUGGGAAGAUAAGCUAGAGUACUCACUGGUAGUAUUGUUUUGGGUUUCAGUAAACUGAAGCUCUGCCGGCCACUCGCAUCUUCUAUAGGGAUGCGGCCAGACAAAUGGACGGUGGCAGAUUUGUGUGCGCGUUUUAUAUUUCAAGUGCCGUACUUGUUGUCCCAAAUUCGAAAUGGUCGGUCAGACGCGAGUCGCAACAAGUACGUGUAUGGUACUCCCUCCGCUCGCAAAUGUAAAAUCCUGAAUCGAAUGUGUAUAGACACGUUUUAGGUGUUUUUUGUUCAUUCAUCUCAGUUUGUAUAUGAGUAAUUUAUAUUAAAUAUUCAAAACAUCUUUUAUUUGCGAACAUAGAUAGUAGGAUAUAAAUUUCCUAUUAAUCCACUCCAAGUUCAUUGGGUUCUUCCAUCGCCACAUAUGUUGCUAUCUCUGAAAUAAAAGCCAUGACCACAUUCAACUGCCACACCAGACAAAAAGCAAAGCUAUUCAGUAGCAUUUUUUUGCGAAAAAAACUUUCAUACUAUUCAUCAACUAUCAAAAUAGCAUAAUGAACCAGAAAUAAAAGAUACAUCGAAGUAUGCAGACCACCUAGCGACGACUACGUGUACCAGAGCGAGCCGAAGACGCGUCACCGUCAUAGCCCCUCCAUCUUUGGGUCGGGCAAAUCUUGUUGUGCUACACAGUUGGAAAGUCGUCGUACUAAGGCCCGAGAGGAUCGGCACAUCAGAUUAGUAGCCGUCGAUGACGAAGAGAAGCGUAGAUCAGAAAUGUUCAAUUUAUAGACACACUAACAUAGACAGGCGAAGACCUGAUCAACCGAAGACAAAUGUCGGCCGAAUAAUGUGAGAUCCAUCGGAGACUCCACAUGCGCUCCGACAAUGCUAGAAGUACCACCAUGACAGGGGCUAGGCGGAGAGAAACUUAUUUCAUCUUUAAGAAGCCACCACCGCUUCACUUUCCUGAACAAGAUACAACCCUACCAAACACACAAGUAAAUACCCAAAAACGGAGCCCUGCUGUCGGCAAGGAACGGGAUCCAUCGUGCCCCCAUGGCCCUAAGUCCAUAGGAGAUGAGGCAGGUGGGUGACUGUGCGACGAGAGGCAACGGAAACCCUAGCUUUGGGUGCCGUGGGAGUGUGUCGCUGAGGAAAUUUUACUACCAAAGAAUUUAUAUAGACUACGUGUCAAUCAAAAAGUCAUUUCGAAGGACAACACCCACAUAGCUUGGAAUCUAGACCGCCGGUGUUCCUCGUGAUGUGAAUUAGCUGGUCCAUGCAUGUGUUAAUAUUACAACCGUUACUUUUAAAUAGUUGAAAUUUGGUGAAACUUGACAAGAACUUAAUAUUACAAUUAACAAACUUUAAUAGUUGAAACCCGGUAAAGUUUUAAAAACUUGUAGAACAAAUUCAGGAGUGAUCUUCCAAAACCCUUGUUGCAAGCAACACAACUUUGCAAAGAAAACAUAAAUUAAAUUUUCCAUUCAAAAGAUAUAUUAGAUUCAAAAUUUGAAGUAAAAAUAAAAUAAAAUAGGAGAUGGGGUGGGUGAAGCAUGCACUCUUUGCCAAAAGUUGCAUGCAUGCCCCCCCCCCCAAACUUUUUUUUUGGGGUAUUCCUCUCGAGUCCAUUUUUGAGGUGCUUUGAGCAUCGUGUUGGCCAGAUUUUCUUGAACACCUACUGUUGAGGAAGAGGAAUAUGAAGCCCCUCAUCUCCUCAAGAAGUUGAUACAAUUUCUGACAUCACAUGAUGAUGCUCAUCUAGAGCCAUAAGAUAUGAAGAAGAGGAAACACAAAUGUUUGAGAAAAUGAAGAUCCACUGAUCCUGAUGCUCCAAGAUCAAGGAAGACCGAUGUGGACUAUAUGUUUCAUACUGUGGGCAACAUGACUUUUAUGAGACAAUUUUGUUAGAUGARUGGGAAAAUAUUCUUGGUUUGCCUCCAAGUGUUGAAAAUUUCAUUGAUGUGUAUGCUAAGAAAAUUUCAAAAAAGCGUGCUUAAUCGANNNNNNNNNNNNNNNNNNNNNNNNNNNNNNNNNNNNNNNNNNNNNNNNNNNNNNNNNNNNNNNNNNNNNNNNNNNNNNNNNNNNNNNNNNNNNNNNNNNNCAUGAUACCUCUGAAGAAGGGGUGAGGAGGCAGAGAGAAGCCCCGGUACACGUGACUGAGCAGCAAGACGCGCUCUCCCUCCUGCGGCGUCGGCUCCGUCUCGCCCUCCGCCGGCAGCCUCCACGACUUGUUGGCAAUCAUGCCUUGCUCCACCAGCUCCAGCAGGUCGUCCGUCGUCACCGUGGAGGGGAGGAAAUCCCCCUAGAUCCAACCCGCCGGCAGUGCCCGCUGUCGCCGCUAAGCAGGGGCCGCCUUCUUCUUCUUCUUCUUCUUCUUCUUCUGCGACUCAAGCUUGCUCGUCUGCCCCUUCGUCAUGGUGGAGGUAGUAGAUCCGCAGGGGAGGAGAGGAAGGAGGAGGCUUGGAGCGCGCAAGGAGCUGCGGGAGAAGCGGGGCGAGUGCGAGUAAACAGGGGAGCGCAACGAGAGACCCCCGCCGGAGAGGUUUAAAUAAGCUUCCGACUGGGUCACUAGCAGGUGGCCCCGAAAUCUUAUCCCCCGACCGGCUGCUGCGAUAUUAGUGGAGGAGAUAAAGGCGCGGUAAUCGAGGCGGCAGAAACUACUCGAUGACGAUGUCGUCAUUCCCGCUGAGCGCGCGGCAACCGAAAUUUGAGGAUCCCGGAAAAUCCGCCGCUGUCAGUUGAUCGGUCACGUCGAAAGAUUCCGCGGAAGCACUCGGUCCCUGAUGGUUCGUUUCACAGAUAUAAUCACUCGGAUCACGGGUCAAGAAGAUAAAAUGGACCGAGGCAAACAACGCCAAAGUCACAUCCAUACCAGUCGGAUCCGUACUCCAGGCGUCACUUCGUCGUUCCAACCCCGAUCCAUUCGGGGACUAAUGAUGGGGUUAUAGUCCUAGGGUAGGGUCAUAGGCCUGCCCUAUAGGUCCUACCCAAGGACUACCCUUCAUAAAGGACAAGGCCCUUAGACAGUUCCGACUGAACUAAGGACUCCCCAUCAUCCAGUCGGUGACGAUUCCCCCAUCAUCCAGUCGGUGAUGAGCAUUCGGAGCGUACUAAACGUACCGACUGGAUUCCACUCUGUAUAUCGUAACCUCCCUGGAGGGCAACGGUCAUACGUUUUCAUACGCCAUUAAUAGCAUUUAAGGCAUACGCUACCUGUAACGUAGGCAUUUAUUCGCCACUACUCCACCCCUGUCCACCGGACCGYUGUGAAGGGCAGCGCACUCUAUAUAAGCCGCCCUUCCCCACUGGUGCAGGGGUUGGCAUUUACUGUAAUCCAUAUUCCACUCGACAUCAAGCUCCCAAGAGCACUGAGACGUAGGGCUUUUACCUCCACCGUAUAGGGGCCUGAACUCAUACAACCUCGCCGUAGCUAAGGCUCUGCCCAUCCUUUCGUACCCUACACAUCUACUGUCAGACUUAUACCCACGACAGUUGGCGCCCACCGUGGGGCAGGCGUCUAAGCGAAUUCCGGCGAGUUUGCGACUUUAUCUUUUCAUCAUGUCGUUCGGCGGAGAUUUGUGCAUGGGUCAUGAGAUCCUCUUCGGCGCACUCUCCUUCAUCGUCGACGAUUCGGCAUGGCUUCGGGAUGCGCCUCUCGACGUCGAGGCGCUCCCCAGUCGCGGGGCUACGCACUUCCGUGCCGGCGCCCGCGGCGUCCUUUUUCUCCAGCAGUCGGCUCCGGUGUCGAUCUUCGCCCCCGUCACGCGCCGCAACAAGCGGUCUCGCCGUCCGCGGCUCCAGCGUUGGGUGCGACACGCCCAGGCGCGCCAAAACGCGUCCUCUCAAGUGGCGGUCCUCGAGUCGGUUGUGGUCGCGCCGCCGUCCCAGUGCUUGGACUCAGUUCCGACUGAGUUGCCCUCCGAGUACUUGGGUCGCGUGCCCGCAGCCGAAGUUCUCAUGGCCAAUUCCCAUGAUAGUCCCCGCCAAACUGGUCGGAACGAGCACGAGGUCGGCGAGUCAUCCGGCGCUCGCCGUCAGCCCCGCCGUUCUGCCAGUCGACGCACUUGUCAGAGCAACGUGGAGGUGUUCCGCACACCCGUCCUUAACCUGGCUGUCGCCGCCAAGAUAGCCGAUUCCCUCCAACCGACUGAUUCAGAGGCUGGUAGAGGGAUCGAGCAGAUCCGUGCCCUCUUGCACACGGCGCAGCAGCAGAAUUCGGCGGUCUUCCAGUCGCACAACAGGAUCCACAACAGUUCUGUUCACGCGAACGCGCAUCGGUCGGUUUUCAGCCCCGAUUCUCAUCAGCGACGCAGAGGAGACAGCCGUUCCAUGAAUCCCGAAGAUCGUCGCCGUUCACGCACCCCUCCGCGGGGUGGGCCUUACGGGCCCCGACAUCAUGAUGAUCGGCGUUCAGUCGGUGACACAUAUGAUCCAAGGCCCGACGCAAGAGGGUACAUCGCCCAGAGGAAGGUCGACAGGAGUCGAGCCCACCGUGAUGGUCAUGAUAGAGACCGUCCGAGUGGAAGCAGGACCAUCGUCUCUGGCCCCGAGUGUUUCAGUCGAGCCAUCCGUUCGGCUGACAUCCCUCCCAACUUCCGAUUGGCGACGGGGAUUGGCAAGUUUACAGGAGAAUCCAAGCCAGAAACGUGGCUGGACGACUACCGAGUGGCGGUCCAGAUCAGUGGUGGAGAUGCCCAGGUCGCCAUGAAACAUCUCCCCCUGAUGCUCGACGGCUCGGCACGAGCGUGGCUGAACCAGUUGGCUCCUUCAAGCAUCUACAGCUGGGCAGAUCUGGCCCGAGUCUUCAUUAGGACCUUCGAGGGCACGUGCAAACGCCCUGUUGGUCUCGUGGAGCUCCAGCAGUGUGUCCAGAAGCAGAAUGAGCUCCUGCGGGAUUUCAUCCAGCGUUGGACAACCCUCUACCACACGGUGGAGAACGUCACACAGCACCAAGCAGUCUGCGCCUUCAAGGCAGGCGUGCGGUACAGAGAUCUGUACCUGAAGUUCGGUCGGACAUGCGACAUGUCCAUGAGCAAGAUGAUGGAGAUAGCGGCACGCUAUGCAAAUGGCGAAGAAGAGGACCGCAUACAUAGCGGCAAGCAUAAAGCAGUCGCCGAUGGAGAUGGGAACAACACUCGGAAGCAGAAGCAGAAAGCUCCGUCCACUCCGCACGCAGAGGCCGCAGCCGUUACCAAUGCCAAGUUCAAGGGCAAGGGGAAGGCACAGUUCACCCCCAAGAAGAAGCAGUUCGGAAACUCCAUCCUGGACCAGCCAUGUCCAAUCCACACGAAGAUGGACGAAGAAGGCAACGCCAUAUUCCCGAAGCACACCACUCGGCAAUGUCGCCUCCUGAUCCAAGGGUUCGGCGAAGGGCAGCCGAGUGAAAAAGACAAUGAACAGGAUGAUGAGGACAAGGAGGAUCCGUUCCCCCAAGUCCAUGCAACAUUGAUGACUUUUGCUGAUGUGGAAAGCAAGAGUCGACUGAAGCUGGUGAACAGGGAGGUGAACAUGGCCACCCCAACCAACCUCACGUUCCUCAAAUGGUCUCAGACUGCGAUCACCUUUGAUCAGUCGGAUCAUCCAGCACAUGUGCCCACCCCAGGGAGGCAGGCUCUGGUCGUCGACCCAGUGGUGGAAGGAGUCCGACUAUGCAAAGUCCUCAUGGACGGCGGCAGCGGCUUGAACAUCAUGUACGCCGACACUCUCAAGGGGACGGGCAUUCCGAUGUCCAAACUUAGCGAGAGCAGCAUGCAGUUCCACGGAGUCGUCCCUGGACGAAAGGCCAAAUCACUCGGCCAGAUCGCGUUGGACGUCGUUUUCGGCUCCGACAAGAACUUCCGCAAGGAAAAGCUGACGUUCGAGGUGGUGGACUUCCAGAGUGCAUACCAUGCGAUUCUGGGCCGUCCGGCGUAUGCACGUUUCAUGGCCCGUCCAUGUUACGUGUAUCUGAAGCUGAAGAUGCCGGGUCCCAAAGGUGUGAUCACCGUCACGGGCAAUUGGCAGCGGGCCGAGGAGUGUCUGCAGCAGGGGUCGAGGAUCGCCGAUCAGCAGAUGACUAUCCUCGAGCUGGACGAGUACAAGAAGACAACCGACCCCGCUGACUUGAUGCAUUCGAAGAAGCCAGCUUCGGAGUCCGCAUUCCAGUCGGCGGGAGACACGAAGAAGGUCAGCAUCCACCCGACGGACGACACCGCUGCCCCGACGAACAUCUCCACCACCCUCGAUCCAAAAUAGGAAGCCGAGCUCAUCCAAUUCCUCCGUGAGAACUGGGACAUUUUCGCAUGGAAGCCCACUGACAUGCCAGGUGUACCCAGGGAGUUGGCUGAGCACCGACUGCAUGUGGAUCCUGCUGCUCGGCCCGUCCGAGAACGCCUGCGUCGGUCCGCCGCGUACAAGAGGAAGGCAAUCAGAGAGGAGGUGGCUAAACUUUUGGGAGCAAACCUCAUUCGCGAGGUACACCACUCCGAGUGGCUCGCCAAUGUUGUCAUGGUGCCCAAGAAGGACAAGUCCCUCCGAAUGUGCAUCGACUUCAAGCAUCUCAAUAAGGUCUGCCCGAAAGACCAUUUCCUGCUCCCCCGCAUUGAUCAAAUUGUUGAUUCGACUGCGGGUUGCGAGCGUUUGUCAUUCCUUGAUGCCUACUCGGGCUAUCAUCAGAUCCGUCUGUAUGGCCCCGAUGAAUUAAAAACAGCCUUCAUCACCCCAUUCGGGGUACUUCUGCUACAUCACUAUGCCAUUCGGUUUGAAGAAUGCAGGAACAACUUUUAUGCGUAUGGUCCAAAAAUGCCUCCUUGACCAGAUUGGUCGAAAUGUGGAGGCGUAUAUGGAUGAUAUCGUAGUCAAGUCACGCGAAGGUUCCGACCUGCUGACUGACUUGGCAGAAACAUUCACCAACCUUCGUAGGUACGAUAUCAAGCUCACCCCUGCCAAAUGUUCAUUCGGUGUUCCCCGCGGAAAGUUACUCGGUUUCUUCGUUUCCGAACGAGGGAUCGAUGUCAACCCCGAAAAGAUCGGGACCAUCGUCCGAAUGGAGCGGCCGGUCAGAAUACAUGAUGUUCAAAGGCUCACAGGUUGCCUAGCGGCUUUGAGCAGGUUUAUUAGUCGACUCGGCGAGAAGGCGCUACCUCUGUACCGACUCAUGAAGAAAUCAGAUACUUUCGACUGGACAAACGAAGCCCAAAUUGCAUUCGACGACCUCAAAGCCCUGCUUUCCACCCAGCCGGUUCUUACUGCCCCGCUCAGUAAAGAACCCCUUCUUCUGUACAUCGCGGCUACAAAUCAAGUCGUCAGCACUGUCCUCACAGUCGAACGCGAAGAAGAAGGCAAAGCGUACAAGGUUCAGCGGCCAGUAUAUUAUGUCUUCGAAGUCCUGACUCCUUCCAAGCAGAGGUAUCCCCAUUAUCAAAAGCUUAUUUACGGGAUCUACAUGACUGCGAAGAAGGUAGCUCAUUAUUUCCAAGACCACUCGGUGUCUGUCAUUUCUGAUGCUCCGUUGUCGGAAAUCCUCCACAAUUGGGACGCAUCAGGCCGAGUGGCAAAGUGGGAAAUGGAGAUGUUAUACUGCGACAUCAAGUUCGAAGCCAAGAAGGCUAUAAAGUCUCAAGCUCUGGCUGACUUCAUAGCAGAAUGGAUAGAACAGCAACAACCGACUCACAUCUACUCGACUCACUGGACAAUGUUCUUCGAUGGGUCCAAGAUGUUGAAUGGCUCCGGCGCUGGCGUAGUGAUCAUAUCGCCAAAAGGCGACAAACUCAAGUAUGUGUUGCAGAUACAUUUCGAUUCCUCCAACAACGAGGCGGAGUAUGAAGCUCUCCUUUAUGGAUUGCGCAUGGCCAUCACACUCGGCGUCCGUCGCCUGAUGGUUUAUGGCGAUUCAGAUUUGGUGGUUAAUCAAGUGAUGAAGGAGUGGGAUGUAAGGAACCCCAGCAUGACUACAUACUGCAAUGCAGUGAGGAAGCUCGAGAAGAAGUUUGAAGGUUUGGAACUUCACCAUGUUCCGCGACUGAAAAACCAAGCAGCUGAUGAAUUGGCAAAACUUGGAUCCACUCGGAGACCAGUCCCGAGUGAUGUCUCCCUCGAGCACCUACAUCUCCCCUCGGUGAAAGAAGAUCCUUUUACAGAGGAACCAGUACAACCGAAGAGCUCAACAGAUCCGACUGAAGUCGAGGUCCCUGCUGUGGUUGAUUUGAUUAUGGAGAUUCUUGCUAUCAUCCCCGAUUGGACUGUGCCGUUCAAUGCGUACAUCCUAAGGCAAGAAUUACCAGAAGACGAAGUCCAAGCCAGGCAGAUCGUCCGCAGAUCGAAGUCGUUCACCGUCAUUGAUGGCCAGUUGUACAAAGAAAGUGUUUCGGGCGUCCUUCAACGAUGCAUCUCCCCUGAGGAGGGACAGUUAAUCCUGGAAGAAAUUCACUCGGGAACCUGCGGCCAUCAUGCCUCCUCAAGGGCAAUCGUCGCAAAAGCAUUCAGAGCUGGUUUCUUCUGGCUACAGGCGAAUUAAAUGGCGAAGGAUAUGGUCGACCGAUGCGAAGGCUGUCAGUUCUACUCGAACAAGUCCCACAAGCCAACAUCUGCGCUGAAGACAAUCCCUAUUGUUUGGCCGUUCGCAGUGUGGGGAUUAGAUACAGUCGGUCCAUUCAGAACAGGCCAAGGGGGAUUCACACAUCUGUUGGUGGCAGUCGACAAGUUCACCAAGUGGAUUGAAGCCAAGCCCAUCAAGAAGCUCGACGCCCUUACAACUAUCAAGUUUGUCAGAGACAUCAUCUCCAGAUUCGGGGUACCGCACAGCAUAAUCACUGACAACGGCACAAACUUUGACCCGGACAGAUUCAAAGAUUUCUGCACAUGCCAAGAUAUCCGAGUGGAUUUUGCAUCUGCUGCGCAUCCCCAAACAAACGGGCAAGCAGAGCGGGCGAAUGGACUUAUUCUUCAUGGGUUGAAACCUCGACUCCUGCGAGAAGUUGGACAUGCUGCCGGCGCAUGGGUCACCGAGCUGCCUUCGGUGUUGUGGGGCCUCCGCACAACUCCAAAUAGAUCUACAGGGCGAUCCCCGUUCUUCCUCGCUUAUGGAGCAGAGGCAGUCCUUUCGAGUGACUUGCUUCACAACUCUCCACGAGUCGAACUCUUCUCCGAAGCCGAAGCAGAGCAAGCCAGGCAAGACGGAGUGGAUCUUCUAGAAGAAGAGCGCGAGAUGGCACUAACUCGCUCAACAAUUUAUCAACAAGACCUGCGGCGUUUUCACGCGCGGCACGUCAGGAGUCGUACAUUCCAAGCAGGCGACCUGGUGCUCCGAGUGGAUCAGCAGAGACCUCACAAGUUGGCCCCCGCCUGGGAAGGACCCUUCAUCAUCUCCAAGGUGCUGAACAACGGAGCAUAUCGACUCUACAACCUCGACAGGGAAACAGACGAGCCGCGUGCAUGGAACGGAGAUCUCCUGAAGCGCUUCUACACGUAACCGCUGACGGAGGCAAUGUAAAGAACAAGUAUCAUUGAAGUAAUACAAAGCAGAUAGAUUUUUUGCAAAUUCAAAAUUCUUCCGCGUUGGCAGACUUCGGUCUAAAAAAUUAAAAUUUUGCUUCGAGUGCGCACUAAAAGUCGCACUCGGGGACUUAGCUGCGAUCCAGAAUCGCCUAAGUACAAACUCUCUCCGAGUGUGCACUAAACGUCGCACUCGGGGACUUAGCUGCGAUCCAGAAUCGCCUAAGUACAAAACCCUCUCCGAGUGUGCACUAAAAGUCGCACUCGGGGACUUAGCUGCGAUCCAGAAUCGCCUAAGUACAAAACUAUAUCCGAGUGUGCACUAAACGUCACACUCGGGGACUUAGCUGCGAUCUAGAAUCGCCUAAGUAAAAAGCUUCCUUCGAGUGUAUCCUAGAGAUCCACUCGGAGSCUUARCAGAUCCUCAUUGAGGCUCAUGUGGAUGUGAAGACAACUGACAACUACAUGAGUAGCAACUCACUCCGAGUGCGACCUUACAGUCGCGCUCGGGGACUUAGCUGCGAUCCAGAAUCGCCUAAGUAAAAAAGCUUCCUUCAAGUGUAUCCUAGAGAUCCACUCGGAGACUUAGCAGACCCUCAUUGAGGCUCAUGUGGAUAUGAAGACAACUUACAACUACAUGCUCCGCAUGUUUGCCAUUGGCUUCACCAAGAAACGCCAAACAAAAACCACGAGCCGAAAUCGUGUCAAAUUUUUUUUUUGGCGAAAGAAGAGCAAAAUAUUCGAUUCGAAUUCAAAGUUGGUUCAACGAUAGUCGGCUCGGUGUAGAUCAAGCUUAUCCACGCCGAACCACGAAUGUAACGGCCAACAACAGUGGCCAAAGUUUGAUACAGAUACCACUCGGCAUACCGAGGUAAAGUUUUUCAAGCGUCACCAGGACUGGCACCGGGACUGGCAGGCUCCACAAAAGUGUCAAGGUCGAUCCCGUCUGCGAUGCGAGUGGCUGUCUCAAGGAAGGUCUCUAUGAAAUCUUCGAAUCGAAGCUUCUUGGUGUUGGCGAACUGCAACGCCUUCAGCUUCUCUUCGCGAGCUUCCUUGCAGUGCACUCGGACCAGCGAUAGUGCCACGUCCGCACCACAACGAGCGGCAGACUUCUUCCACGCCUGCACUCAGUUCGGGACGUCCUCCAGCCGAGUCAUCAACCCUUCUAUCUCCCGCCGGGAAUCGUCUUCGGGCCACAACUCCUUGUCGAUUCGGCCGACGACUUCUCUCAGGCGGCCGAUGAAAGGUCCCACUCUGCCAAGGCGAAUGUGCGCUCGGAGCAUGUCUCGAUUGGCUUCGUCGCUGAGUGGAACGUUCGGAAUAACCGACCGCUCAAUGUCAGCUGCUUCAGCCUCAGCGUCCAUACAAAAAUCUGCAAAAGACAAGACGAGCAGAAAGUAAGCGCAGAAUGAAAUUCAAAGUCAAGAAACACUUGGCAAAAAACUUACCACCGAGCAAUGCAAUCAUCUUCCUUGCCCAGUCGUUGACGUACUUCUCCUGCGAUAUGCACCGACUGUUCAUCAACUUCAUCUGACCCAUCAGUUUAGUUCUUUGCUUGCCCAUUUUCUCAAUUUCGGCCACCAAUGCCUUGUUCGCCUCACGGGACUCCUCCAAAGACUUUUCUCGGUCAGCAAGAGCUCCCUUCACACCAGCUAAGUCAUUCAAAGCUGUCUCCAAUUCCGCAGCAAGUUGAAUCUUUUCAGCCUUCAGAGCAUUGUACGCUGACCCCAUUUCGCAAGUCUUCUGCAAAUCAGUGCGAAGAGAGGAUCAGACACAUUCAACAAGGAAAACAAUAAAAGCUCAAAGUUCUUCAGACCCCUGCCGACGCAAGCAGUCGACAGCGGUCUCGGGGACUACACCUAGUGGGUUCACUGAGAGUGACCCCACUGGCGUGAAGCUCGAACAGGCCCGCCCUAUUGAGCUACAUGACAAAAACAAGCCUAUGAGGCUACUAUUACCCAACCUGAGUAAAACUACUCUCGGGGACUACUUUCAGUGGGUGCACUCGGAGUGCCCCCCACUCGUACCAUUCGGGCAGAUCAGUUCUGAUCCGAUUAAGUCACGGAAAAUGUGUAUAAAGACAACUGCCGGUGCAAGCACUCGACAGAAGUCUCGGGGACUACACCUACUGGCUUCACUUGGAGUGAACCCACUCCAAAAUAAUCCUACUGUAUCCGAGUAUAUCACUUAAACCCCUAGUGGGUUACAAGAGAAAGUAAAUACUUACUAGCGCACUUACUCGGAUAUCGUCCCGGAGCUCCAAGCUUCUCUUGUACAAAGAUGUGAUGGAGUCGUACGCUCCCUUGGCAUCACCCGCCAUCAACUCCACCUGCACCAUGGCCUCCUUGGCGGCUCCCACUUCGUCUUCCGGAGGUGUCGGGCGUCGUACUGGACGGUCGACGGACCCGGCACGACAGGAGACUCCUUGGGCAUCCCAAGUCCCGCUCCAGUCGGUUCUGCCGCGAGGGGCACCGUCUCAGUCGACGACAUCGUCUCGGUCGGCGGCGCGUCCAUGGCGGGAGCAGCAGCAGAUGGAACAGCCUCAAGGACAGGCGCCAAAGCUUGCCCUGACCUCUUCUGGUCAUCCUCCUCCACAUGAAUCACCUCUCAAAGAAGCCCAACUGAACAACAUGAGAUUACAGAAAAAGGGCAAGAUUAAAGACAGAAUUCGCGAAGCAAUAAUGCAAACUCUCGGAGUCGUCACAACGUACCUUGCUGGGAUGUGUCAACGUUAUCCGUAUCCAUGGGAUCGUCUUCCUGGCGUGGCAAAGAGGUGGCGGAGGUAGCAGCUCUGUCGAGUAAAAUCCACUCGACCAAUAAGCAUGAGUUCAAUCAAAUACUGAAAGAAGAUAGGAGAACGAGACACUUGCGCUGAGGCAACGGGAAUAGCGAUCCUCAUCCGAGGUAAAGCUUUCCGAGGCUUGGACCCACUCGGUCUGGCCACCUUAGAAGGUUGGUCCGUGGGCUCGGUAGCAGCGUCCCUGAUCCUCUUCGCACUCCGAGCACUCGGAGCCACGAGAGGAGCUGGAGAGGCACUCGGGGCCGCUGGAGGAGCUGACGGAGUCGCAGGUUCGUGACGGCGCUUGGUGCGAGGCUCUGAUGGUGGAGGUGGCGAGCUCUGCUCCCCAACUUCCCCCUCCUCCUCUUCGGUCUCCUCCUCCGUCUCCCCACUGUCGGAGACGUACUCGACGCUAUCCACGCUGCCCUCCUGGCUGCCCUCCUCUUCCUCAGCCGGAUUCCCGUUUGAGACGGGAGAAUACCAGUUGGUCCACGCCUGCACAAAAUACAGUCGACAACAUCGGACAUCAGGCGGUAAUGCAAGAAAAAGCGAUAAAUCUAAGAGGAUUGAAAGCACUCGACAAGAUAUGCUCACCUCAUUCGGAGGAGGAUUGUCAGCGCGGAAGGGCUUCACUCGCCGGGCUCCUCUGGGGUUAUCGCAGGCGUCUGUGCUGCUGCGGACCCACGCCGUCACAACCUCCCCGGUCACGCAUUCGGGAUGAGUCCGAGUGGAGUCCCCAGGCCCCGCGUAGUGCCACAUGGCGUGGUGUCGAGCUUGCAGCGGCUGGAUGCGCCAACCCAGAAAAGUCUCCAGCAAAUCCGUGCCGGUGACUCCCUUGCGGACGACAUCUAUCAGCGCUUCGACUAGAGGUUGGAUCUGGAUCUUUUCCACCUUUGAGAGUGCAAGCUGCCUGGGAGGAGCCGGUCGGUCUAGGCUAAAAGGUGGCAGCCCAGUUGCAGCAUUCGGACAAGCGACGUCCUGGCAAUAGAACCAAGUCGACUGCCAAUUCCUAACGGACUCGGACAACUGAAGAGGGGGUAGCUACUUUUGUUUUUCUUCUGGAAGCCUAAGCCCCCGCAGAGCUGGAUGAUAUGAGUUUUGUCGUCCGACUGGCUAAGUUUUUUGACAGUUUGGGAUCUGGCGGAGAAGAUGUACUUAAAGAGCCCCCAAUGGGGAGGACAACCGAUAAAACACUCGCAAAGCACGACGAAUGCAGCAAGAUGAGCUAUCGCGUUGGGAGGAAAAUGAUGGAGCUACGCCCCGAAGUGGUUCAUGAUACCUCUGAAGAAGGGGUGAGGAGGCAGAGAGAAGCCCCGGUACNAUGCUAAAGUCUGUUGGAAUUAUGUUAGCAGUUGCUGCAUUAUUUAUGAAAUAUUGCACCUAGGAUGUCAAAACAUUGUUUCCUCGACGGUUUCCUUGAGGAAAGGUUGUAUGUGAUACAACCAGAAGGUUUUGUCAAUCCUAAGGAGACUAAUGAUGUCUACUACGCAACCUUCUCCUUGUAGACGUUGUUGGGCCUCCAAGUGCAGAGGGUUGUAGGAUAGUAGCAAUUUUCCCUCAAGUGGGUGACCUAAGGUUUAUCAAUCCGCAGGAGGCGUAGGAUGAAGAUGGUCUCUCUCAAGCAACCCUGCAACCAAAUAACAAAGAGUCUCUUGUGUCCCCAACACACCUAAUACAAUGGUAAGUUGUAUAGGUGCACUAGUUCGGCGAAGAGAUGGUGAUACAAGUGCAAUAUGGAUGGUAGAUAAAGGUUUUUGUACUCUGAAAUUACAAAAAGAGCAAGGUAACUAGUAACAAAAGUGAGCACGAACGGUAUUGCAAUGCGUGGAAACAAGGCCUAGGGUUCAUACUUUCACUAGCGAAGUUCUCUCAACAAUGAUAACAUAAUUGGAUCAUAUAACUAGCCCUCAACAUGCAACAAAGAGUCACUCCAAAGUCACUAAUAGCGGGGAACAAACGAAGAGAUUAUUGUCCGGUACGAAACCACCACAAAGUUAUUCUUUCUGAUCGAUCUAUUCAAGAGUCCGUAGUAAAAUAACACGAAGCUAUUCUUUCCGUUCGAUCCAUCAUAGAGUUCGUACUAGAAUAACACCUUAAGAUACAUAUCAACCAAGACCCUAAUGUCACCUAGAUACUCCAUUGUGACCUCAAGUAUCCGUGGGCAUGAUUAUACGAUAUGCAUCACAUAAUCUCAGAAUCAUCUACUCAACCAACACAUAGAACUUCAAAGAGUGCCCCAAAGUUUCUUGUAGAGAGUCAAAACGUGUGCCAAACCCUGUGCAUAGGUUCCCAAUGUCACGAACCCGCAAGUUGAUCACCAAAACAUACAUCAAGUACUCACAUGAAUCCACGUAUGCCAACCCAUAUGCAUAGGUUCCCAAUUGUCACAAACCCGCAAGUUGAUCACAGCAGAUAGACACGUGCAAGACAUACAUCAAGUGUUCUCAAAGACUCAAUCCGAUAAGAUAACUCCAAAGGGGAAACUCAAUUCAUUACAAGAAGGAGAGGGGGAAGAACAUCAUAAGAUCCAACUAUAGUAGCAAAGCCCAUGGUACAUCAAGAUCAAGACAUCUCAAGAACACGAGAGAGAGAUAGAUCAAACACAUAGCUACUGGUACAUACCCUCAGCCUAGAGGGAGAACUACUCCCUCCUCAUCAUGGAGAUCGUCGGGAUGAUGAAGAUGGCCACCGGAGAUGGAUUCCCCCUCCGGCAGGGUGCCAGAACGGGCUCCAGAUUGGUUUUUGGUGGCUACAGAGGCUUGCGGCGGCGGAACUCCCGAUCUAGGUUUCUUUCUGGGGGUUUCUGAAUUUAUAGGAAUUUAUGGCGGUGGAAUUGCGUCACUUGGGCCCAUGAGGAGGUCACAAGCAUGCGCGCCACCACGGGGGGGGGGGGGGGUGGCGGAGUGAGGGCUUGUGACUCCCUCGUGGCCCAUCUGUCCUUCUCCCAAAGCUUCGGGGGUCUCUUUUGGUCCAAAAAAAUCAUCGUAAAGUUUCAUUCCAUUUGGACUCCGUCUGAAAAUGGGCCAAAAACACGGAAAAAACAGAAACUGGCACUUGGCACUGAGUUAAUAGGUUAGUCCCAAAAAAGAUAUAAAAUAGCAUAUUCAUGCGUAUAAAACAUCCAAAGUUGACAAGAUAAUAGCAUGGAACCAUCAAAAGUUAUAGAUACGUUGGAGACGUAUCAAGCAUCCCCAAGCUUAACUCCUGCUCGUCCUCGAGUAGGGAAGUGAUAAAGAAUGAAUUUUUGAUGUUGCAUGCUACCUAGCAUAGAUGUCCUUUGUAACUCCUCUCACGUGACAUGAAUGUUCAGAUCCGUUAAAUUCAAAACAAUAGUUUGCUAUUGACGUGGAAACAAUAAUAAUUCAAGCAAAGUAAUCAUGAACUUUCAAAAUAACAAGGCCAAAAGAAAGUUAUCCCUACAAAAGCAUAUAGUCUGGCUAUGCUCUGUCAUCAUUGCACAACGAAUUUAAAUCAUGCACAACCCCGGUAUUGGCCAAGUAAUUGUUUCACACCUUUACUUUCUGAAACAUUUUUCAACUCUCACGUAAUACAUGAGCGUGAGCCAUGGUUAUAGCACUAUAGAUGGUGUGGAAUGUAGUGGAGGUUGCAAGAUAAAAAAGGAGAAGAUAUAAGUGAAGCACAUCGAGCAAAAGUAUCUAGCUCAAAAGAUAUAAGUGAAGCACAUGUGAGCUGAAUUGUCUACCAAAAGAUAUAAGUGAAGCUCGACAAAAUCACGGUGUGUGCAUGUCUCUCUCUCUAGGUGUGCAGAAAGGAUGAUUGUGACACAACAACAAAAAAAACUCCUACGAUACAAGACGCUCCAAGCAAAACACAUAACAUGUGGUGAAUAAAAAUAUAGCCCCAAGUAACGUUACCGAUGGAUUGAAGACGAAAGAGGGGAUGCCUUCCCGGGGCAUCCCCAAGCUUAGGCUUUUUAGGCAUCCUUGAAUCAACUUGGGGUGCCUUGGGCAUCCCCAAGCUUGAGAUCUUGCCACUCUUUAUCUCUUUGUCCAUAAGAACUUCACCCAAAACUUGAAAACUUCACAACACGAAACUUAAACAGAAACUCGUGAUAACAUUAGUAUAAGAAAGCAAACCACCACUUCCUUAGGUACUGUAGCAAACUUAAAUUCUACUUAUGUUGAUGUUGGGUUACUGUAUUUUCAAUCUUCCAUGGCUAAUACCCCCCGAUACUAUCCAUAGUUUCAUCAAAAUAAGCAACCAACUCGACAAUAACAGAAUCUGUUAAAAGCAGACCAGUCUGUAGCAAUCUGUAUACUUUGUAUACUUAUGGUACUUCAAAAAUUCUGAAAAAUUACGACAGUUUGAAGAAUUUGCGUAGCAAUCAUCAUAAAAAAGAAUCAACUCAAAAGCUCUUACAGAAAAAACGAAAAUUCUUAUCGUGAGCAGAAAGUUUCUGUCCUUUCCAGCAUGACCAAACGAUCAUCCCCAAGACUAAUCAUAACGGUUUCACUUGGCACAAACGCAAAAGGAACACAAAAAACACAAUCAUAACAGAAUUAUGAAAGUGUGGAAAACACAAAACAGAAAUAAAAAGGAUAGAUUCGUUGGGUUGCCUCCCAACAAGCGCUAUUGUUUAACGCCCUUAGCUAGGCAUAAGGUGAUGGAAUCACGUAUAGUCAUCUUUGGUGCUCAAACCAUAAGUAGCCCUCAUCAUAGAUUCAAAAGACAAUCUUAUUUUCCUUCUAGGAAAAUGCUCCAUGCCCUUCUUUAGAGGAAAUUGAAAUCUAAUAUUCCCUUCCUUCAUAUCGAUGAUAGCACCAAUAGUCCUUAGGAAAGGUCUACCAAGAAUAAUGGGACAUGAAGGAUUGCAAUCUAUGUCAAGUACAAUGAAAUCCACGGGUACAUAGUUCCUAUUUGCAACAAUAAGAACAUCAUCAAUCCUUCCCAUGGGUUUCUUGACAGUAGAAUCUGCAAGAUGCAAAUUAAGAGAACACUCUUCAAUCUCAUGAAAACCAAGAAUAUCACAUAAAGACUUUGGAAUCGCGAAAACACUAGCACCCAAAUCACACAAAGCAUUGCAUUCAUAGUUUUUGAUUUUGAUUUUGAUAGUAGGUUCCCACUCAUCAUGAAGUUUUCUAGGUAUAGAGACUUCUAAUUCGAGUUUCUCUUCAAGAGAUUUCAUCAUAGCAUCUACGAUAUGUGCAGUAAAGGCUUUGCUUUAGCUAUAAGCAUGUGGAGAGUUUGCAAUGGAUUGCAUCAAGGAAAUGCAUUCAAACAAGGAGAAAUUAUCAUAAUUSAAUUCCUUGAAAUCCAAAGUGGGAGUUUCAUUACUACCCAGAAUUUUGACUUCUUCUACUCCACUCUCCACACCUUUAUCAUCAAGAUAGGUGGACUCCGAAUCAUUGGGGCGUUUUUCAAUCAAAGUGGAUGCAUAUCCAGCCCCUCCAUAAGUAGGUUUGACACGCUAAAACAAAGAUUCAAGAGGAGACACACCAAGCACUUUAAGAUCUUCGCGAUUUGCAUCACUAGAACGCACCCUUUUAAACCAUUCAGGUCUAGCGCGAAUUUGGGCGGUUCUUUCUUUGCUCUCAUUCAUGGAGAUACGCAUAGCUUUCAAAGUUCCAUCCAAGUUGAACUUGGGAGGAGCGCAUCUAACUUUCAAAGCAUCAAUAUCACAAGACAUCCUAUCAACGCUCUUAGCCAAAUCAUCUAUUUCGAGUAGUUUUUCCUCUAUGGACGCAUUGAAAAUCUUUUGAGAGUUGAUGAACUCUUUGAUAUUACUCUCUAGAUCAGAGGGUAAUUUGUUAUGAUUUCCAUACGUGUUGCCAUAGGAAUUGCUAUAAUUGUUAGAGGAGUUACUAGGAAAAGGCCUAGGAACAUAGUUUCCUCUAAAAGCAUUGUUGUUGCCAAAAUUGUUCCUACCAACGAAAUUCACGUCCAAACUAGCGUUGCUACUCUCAAUCAAAUAAGAUAGUGGCAUGUCAUUAGGAUCUACGGUAGCGUUUCUACUAGCAACCAAAUUCAUCAACUCGUCCAUCUUAGCACUAAGCGAGUUAAUCUCUUCUAUAGCGUGCACCUUUUUGCUAGUAGGCGACCUUUCAGUGUGCCACUGAGAGUAGUUGGUCAUGAUAUUGUCUAGGAGUUUUGUAGCGACUCCUAACGUGAUUUCCAUGAACAUUCCACCUGAGGCGAAGUCCAAGAUAUUGCGAGAAGCGAAAUUCAAGCCAGCGUAGAAGAUUUGUAUAAUCAUCCAUAAACUCAAGCCAUGAGCAGGAUAAUUUCUAAUCAUAAGCUUCAUCCUCUCCCAAGAUUGUGCAAUGUGUUCAUGAUCAAGUUGCUUGAAAUUCAUGAUAUCGUUACGUAAGGAGAUGAUCUUAGCCGGCGGAAAAUACUUGGAUAUGUAAGCAUCUUUGCACCUAUCCCAAGAAUCGAUACUAUUUUUAGGCAAAGAAGAAAACCAAGUUUUUGCGCGAUCUCGCAACGAGAAAGGAAAAAGUUUCAACUUAAUCACGUCAUUAACCACAUCUCUUUUCUUUUGCAUAUCACAAAGCUCAAUGAAGGUAUUGAGAUGGGAUGCGGCAUCUUCACUAGGAAGGCCAGAGAAUUGCUCUUUCAUAACAAGAUUCAGCAAAGCUGCGUUGAUUUCAUACGAUUCCGCACUAGUAGCGGGAGCAAUCGGAGUACUAAUAAAAUCAUUAUUAUUAGUGCUCGAGAAAUCGCAAAGUUUGGUGUUUUCAGACAUGAUGUCUUCAAUAAACAAACAAGCACACAAGCAAGCAAGAAACCGGCAAACGAAAACGGCAAGGGCAAGAGAAAACGACGAAGGAGAAAGGCGAAUGAAAACGGCAAAUGUGAAGUGGGGGAGAGCAAAACGAGAGGCAACUGGCAACAAAAGUAAAUGCAAGAGAAGAGUUUGUGAGACCUGAUAGAUCUUGAUUUCUCCUCCCUGGCAACAGUGCUAGAAAUACUCUUGAUGGCUGGUGUGUAUCCCUUCCAACGGUGCCAGAAAUAGUUGUGUCGACGGCACCAGGAAUCCUUCAGCUGCGGCUACGCCUUAAGGGACUUCCUAGGCAAGUAUGCAAAGGAUUUCCCACGUGGCCUUGGAGCCUUGCGUUGGUGUUCCCUCGAAGCGGAAAGGGUGAUGUAGCACAGCGACGGUAAGUAUUUCCCUCAGUUUGAGAACCAAGGUAUCAAUCCGGCGGAAGAGUAUCUCAAGAUCCUACACAAACACAAAAGCUUGCACCCAAUGCUAUGAAGGGGUUGUCAAUCCCUUAUAGAUUGUUUGCCAAGUGAGAACUGAAAGCAACAAAGUAACAAAGCAAAGUAAAAGCAGAGUUGUAAACGAUGGAUGUGAAUAGACCCGGGGGCCGUAGUGUUUACUAGUGGCUUCUCUCAUGAAAGCAAGUAGACGGUGGGUGAACAAAUUACUGUCGAGCAAUUGAUAGAACAAUGCAGAGUCGUGACGAUAUCUAUGCAAUGAUUAUUUCUAUAGGCAUCACGUCCGAAACAAGUAGACCGAUACUUUCUGCACCUACUACUAUUACUCCACACGUCGACCGCUAUCCAGCAUGCAUCUAGUGUAUUAAGUCCAUAAGAACAGAGUAACUCCUUAAGGAAGAUGACAUGAUGUAGAGGGAUAAUCUCAAACCAAUGAUAAAAACCCCAUCUUUUUACCCUUGAUGGCAACUACUUGAUGUGUUCCUUGCUGCCCCUACUGUCACUGGGAAAGGUCACCACAUGGUAGAACCCAAAACCAAGCACUUCUCCCAUUGCAAGAAUCAUAGAUCUAGUUGCCCAAACAAAACCCAAGACUCGGAGAGACUUACAAGGAUAUCAAAUCAUGCCUAUAAGAAAUCAGAAAAGACUCAAAUAUAUAUCAUAGAUAAUCUGAUCACAAGUCCACAAUUCAUCGGAUCUCGACAAACACACCGCCAAAGAAGAUUACAUCGGAUAGAUCUCCAUGAAGAUCAUGGAGAACUUUGUAUUGAAGAUCCAAGAGAGAGAAGAAGCCAUCUAGCUACUAACUACGGACCCGUAGGUCUGAAGUGAACUACUCACGAGUCAUUGGAGGGCGAUGAUGAUGAUGAAGAAGCCCUCCACCUCCAAAGUCCCCUCCGGCAGGGCACCGGGAAGGGUCUCCAGAUGAGAUCUCGCGGAAACGGAAGCUUGCGGCGGCAGAAAAGUAUUUUCGAGGCUCCCCUCAUUUUUUGCGGAAUAUUUGGGAAUUUAUAGGCCAAAGAUCUAGGUCAGGGGCGGCCAGGGAGGCCACAAGCCUGCCCACCGCCGCCUCCCCCUGGUGGCGGAGUGGGGGCUUGUGGGCUCCCUGGAUCCCACCUGGCUUGGCCCAAAAGCCCCUGGACUUCUUCUGUUCGGGAAAAAUCAUUUCGUGGUUUUUCUUCCGCUUGGACUCCGUUCCAAAAUCAUAUAUGAAAAGAGUCAAAAAACACGGAAAAAAACAGGAACUGCCACUUGGCACUGAAUUAAUAAGUUAGUCCCAAAAAGAUAGAAAAAGGUACAUAAAACAUACAAAUAAGGCAAGAUAACAGCGUGAAACCAUAAAAAAUUAUAGAUACGUUUGAGACGUAUCAAGCAUCCCCAAGCUUAACUCCUGCUCGUCCUCGAGUAGGGAAGUGAUAAGAAUGAAUUUUUGAUGCUUCCAUGCUACCUAGCAUAGGUGUCCUUUGUAAUUCCUCUUAUGUGAUGUGAAUGUUCAGAUCCAUUAGAUCCAAAACAAUAGUUUGCUAUUGACGUGGAAACAAUAAUAAUUCAAGCAAACUAGCAAAGUAAUCAUGAACUUUCAAAAUAACAAGGCCAAAAGAAAGUUAAUCCCUACAAAAGCAUAUAGUUUGGCUAUGCUCUAUCAUCAUUGCACAACGAAUUUAAAUCAUGCACAACCCCGUUAUUGGCCAAGUAAUUGUUUCACACCUUUACUUUCUCAAACAUUUUCAACCCUCACGCAAUACAUGAGCGUGAGCCAUGGUUAUAGCACUAUAGAUGGUGUGGAAUGUGGUGGAAGUUGCAAGACAAAAAGGAGAAGAUAGUCACAUUAACUAGGCAUAUCAAUGAGCUGUGGAGAUGCUCAUCAAUAGAUAUCAAUGUGAAUGAGUAGGGAUUGCCAUACAAAUGAUGCACUAGAGCUACAAGUACGUGAAAGCUCUUAAAGAAAACUAGUGGGUGUGCAUCCAACUUGCUUGCUCACGAAGACCUAAGGCAAUUUUGAGGAAGACUAUCAUUGGAAUAUACAAGCCAAGUUAUAUAAUGAGAAUUUCCCACUAGCUAUAUGGUGGUGACAAAACGAGAGACUCUCAAUCAUGAAGAUCAUGGUGCUCAAAAUGCACAAGUGUGGAAAAAGUGGUAGCAUUGUCCCUUCUCUCUUUUUCCUUCUUAUUUUAUUUUAUUUUGGUGGGCUCUUUGGCCUCUUUUUUAUGGGCUUCUUUGGCCUCUUUUAUUUCCUCACAUGGGACAAUGCUCCAAUAAUGAUGAUCAUCACGCUUUCAACUCAAAACUUAGAGCAACUAUGACUCUAUAUGGAAUGCCUUCGGUAGUGUACCGUGGCAAUGAUCUAGCAUGGCAUAGACAUCAAUGGAAACAUCAUGCUAGCUAUCUUACGAUCGUGCAAAGGCAAUGUAGACGUGGUAGAACAUAUCAUGGUGGUAGUUGCAUGGCAAUAUAUCUCGGAAUGACUUUGAAAAAGCCAUGGUAGGUAGGUAUGGUGGCUGUUUUGAGGGAGGCUAAUGGUGGUUUUGUGCACCGGCGAAAGUUGCGCGACACUAAGAAGAUAGUGAUGGUGGAAGGUGAAAGUGCAUCUAAACCAUGUACUCAACAUUAGUCAUGAAGAACUCAUAUACUUGUUGCAAAAGUUCUAUUAGUAAUCGAAACAAAGCAUUCAAUGCAUACUCCUACGGGAAGGGUUGGUAGGUAUAAACCAUCGGGCGAUCCCGACCGCCACACAAAGGAUGACAAUCAAUAUACUAAUCAUGCUUAGAUUUCAUCACAUAGCGGUUCACCAUACGUGCAUGCUACAGGAAUCACUAACUUCAACACAAGUAUUUCUAGAUCCACAACACCUUACUAGCAUGACUUCAAUAUUACCAUAACCACAACUCAAAACUAAUUGAGAUGAAUCAAACUUCUCUAACUAUUCAAUGCACAUGAAGGUGGAAGUUUUCGUAUCCCUUUGUAUAACUACCCCUUUUGAGACUACUUUCAAAGCAUAGAUCAACUACCAAGCCACGCACCGCUGCGCUCUAAAAGAUAUAAGUGAAGCACAUGUGAGCUGAAUUGUCUACCAAAAGAUAUAAGUGAAGCUCGACAAAAUCAUGGUGUGUGCAUGUCUCUCUCUCUAGGUGUGUAGCAAGGAUGAUUGUGACACAAAAUAAAUAAAAAGACUCCUACUAUACAAGACGCUCCAAGCAAAAAACACAUAACAUGUGGUGAAUAAAAAUAUAGCCCCAAGUAACGUUACCGAUGGAUUGAAGACGAGAGAGGGGAUGCCUUCCCGGGGCAUCCCCAAGAUUAGGAUUUUACGGCAUCCUUGAAUAUCUUUGGGUGCCUUGGGCAUACCCAAGCUUGAGCUCUUACCACUCUUUAUCUUUUUGUCCAUAAGAACUUCACCCAAAACUUGAAAACUUCACAACACGAAACUUAAACAGAAACUCGUGCUAUCAUUUGUACAAGAAAGCAAACCACCACUUCCUUAGGUACUGUAGCAAACUUAAAUUCUACUUGUCCUGCUGUUGGGUUACUGUACUUUCAAUAUUCCAUGGCUAAUACUCCCUGAUACUAUCCAUAGUUUCAUCAAAAUAAGCAACCAACACAACAAAAACAGAAUCUGUUAACAGCAGACCAGUUUGUAGAAAUCUGUAUGUUUCGUAUACCUGUGUUACUUCAAAAAUUCUGAACAAUUACGACAGUCUGAAUAAUUUGCGUAGCAAUCAUCAGCAAAAAUAAUCAUUUCGUGAGCAGAAAGUUUCUGUCUUUCCCAGCAUGACCAAACGAUCAUCCUCAAGACUAAUCAUAACGGUUUUGCUUGGCACAAACGCAAAAAGAAACACAAAAAACACAAUCAUAACAGAAUUAUGAAAGUGUGGAAAACACAGAACAGAAAGAAAAAGGAUAAAUUCGUUGGGUUGCCUCCCAACAAGGGCUUUGUUUAACGCCCUUAGCUAGGCGAAAGUGAUGGAAUCACGUAUAGUCAUCUUUGGUGCUCAAACCAUAAGUAGCCCUCAUCAUAGAUUCAUAAGGCAAUCUUAUUUUAUUUCUAGGAAAGUGCUCCAUGCCCUUCUUUAAGGGAAAUUGAAAUCUAAUAUUCCCUUCCUUCAUAUCGAUGAUAGCACCAAUAGUCCUUAGGAAAGGUCUACCAAGAAUAAUGGGACAUGAAGGAUUGCAAUCUAUGUCAAGUACAAUGAAAUCCACGAGUACAUAGUUCUUAUUUGCAACAAUAAGAACAUCAUCGAUCCUCCCCAUGGGCUUCUUGACAGUAGAAUCCGCAAGAUGCAAAUUAAGAGAACACUCUUCAAUCUCAUGAAAACCAAGAAUAUCACAUAAAGAUUUUGGAAUCGCGGAAACACUAGCACCCAAAUCACACAAAGCAUUGCACUCAUAGUUUUUGAUCUUGAUUUUGAUAGUUGGUUCCCACUCAUCAUGAAGUUUUCUAGGUAUAGAGACUUCUAGUUCGAGCUUUUCUUCAAGAGAUUUCAUCAUAGCAUCUACGAUAUGCGCGGUAAAGGCUUUACUUUGGCUAUAAGCAUGUGGAGAGUUUGCAAUGGAUUGCAUCAAAGAAAUGCAUUCAAACAAGGAGAAAUUAUCAUAAUUCAAUUCCUUGAAAUCCAAAGUGGGAGUUUCAUUACUACCCAGAAUUUUGACUUCUUCUACUCCACUCUCCACACCUUUAUCAUCAAGAUAGGUGGACUCCGAAUCAUUGGGGCGUUUUUCAAUCAAAGUGGAUGCAUAUCCAGCCCCUCCAUAAGUAGGUUUGACACGCUAAAACAAAGAUUCAAGAGGAGACACACCAAGCACUUUAAGAUCUUCGCGAUUUGCAUCACUAGAACGCACCCUUUUAAACCAUUCAGGUCUAGCGCGAAUUUGGGCGGUUCUUUCUUUGCUCUCAUUCAUGGAGAUACGCAUAGCUUUCAAAGUUCCAUCCAAGUUGAACUUGGGAGGAGCGCNNNNNNNNNNNNNNNNNNNNNNNNNNNNNNNNNNNNNNNNNNNNNNNNNNNNNNNNNNNNNNNNNNNNNNNNNNNNNNNNNNNNNNNNNNNNNNNNNNNNAAACCCAAAAGCUUUGAUCAUCUCAUCAAAGCGUAUAUUUCCAACUCCGAGAUGCUUGUACCAGUCCAUAGAAGGAUCGCUGGAGCUUGCAUAUUUGUUUGCAUCCUUAGGAUCGAAUAAAACCUUCUCGUUGUAUUCACAUACAACCUUUCCUCAAGGAAACAGUCGAGGAAAACAAUGUUUUGUCAUCCUAUGUGCAAUAUUUCAUAAAUAAUGCAGGAACUGCUAACACAAUUCCAACAGACUUUUAGCAUUGCUACGACUGAGAAAGUCUCAUCAUAGUCAACUGYUUGAWCUUGUCGGAAACAUCUUUGCGAYAAKUCGAGCUUUUCUUAAURKUGACUUWUCACCAUYAUCGUMUGUCUUCMUUUURAAGAUCCAUCUUUWCUYAAUAGUCUUACGASCAUCAAGUAGUUCUUCCAAAGUCUACACUUUUGCUUUCAUACAUGGAUCCUCUCUCGGAUUUUAUGGCCUCCAGCCAUUUGCUGGAACCGGGUCCCACCAUCGCUUCUCCAUAGCUCGUAGGUUCAUUGUUGUUCAAUAACAUGACCUCCAAGAUAGGGUUACCGUACCACUCUGUAGUAGUACGCGACCUUGUCGACCUACGAGUUUUGUAGUAACUUGAUUCGAAGCUUAAUGAUCACCAUCAUCGGCUUCCACUUCAAUUGGUGUAGGCACCACAAGAACAAAUUCCUGCGCCCUGCUACAUACUGGCCGAAGUGAUGGUUCAAUAACCUCAUCAAGUUCCACCACCCUCCCACUCAAUUCUUUCGAGAGAAACCUUUCCUCGAGAAAGGAGCCGUUUCUAGAAACAAACACUUUGCUCCCGGAUCUGAGAUAGGAGAUGUACCCAACUGUUUUGGAUAUCCUAUGAAGAUGCAUUUAUCCGUUUUGGGUUCGAGCUUAUCAGACUGAAACUUUUUCACAUAAUCGUCAUAGCCCCAAACUUUCAAGAAAUGACAGCUCAGGUUUCUCCAAACCAUAGUUCAUACUGUGUCAUCUCAACGGAAAUACGCGGUGCCCUAUUUAAAGUGAAUGUGGUUGUCUCUAAUGCAUAACCCAUAAACGUUAGUGGUAAUUCGAUAAGAGACAUCAUAGUAUGCACCAUAUCAAAUAGGGUGUGGCUAUGAUGUUCGGACACACCAUCACACUAUGGUGUUCUAGGCGGCAUGAAUUGUGAAACAAUUUCCACAUUGUCUUAACUGUGUACCAAAGCUCGCAACUCAGAUAUUCAUCUCUAUGAUCAUAUCGUAGACACUUUAUCCUCUUGUCACGACGAUCUUCACUCUGAAAUAGCUUUGAACUUUUCAAUAUUUCAUACGUGUGAUUCAUCAAGUAAGUACUCAUGUAUCUACUCAAAUCUUUAGUGAAGUAAGAAUAUAACGAUAUCCACUGCGUGCCUCAGCACUCAUUGGACUGCAUACAUCAAAAUGUAUUACUUCCAACAAGUUACUUUGUUGUUCCAUGUGGUAUGAUUUUCAUGUCUCAAGUGAUUCAAAAUCAAGUGAGUCCAAACGAUCCAUCUGCAUGGAGUUUCUUCAUGCGUUUAUACCAAUAAGUAUGGUUUGCAUGUCUCAAACGUUUCAAAAAUGAGUGAGUACAAAGAUCCAUCAGCAUGGAGCUUCUUCAUGCAUUUUAUACCAUCAUGACUCAAGCGGCAGUGCCACAAGUAAGUGGUACUAUCAUUACUAUUUUUGUAUCUUUUGGCAUCAAUAUUAUGAACAUGUGUAACAGUACGAUCGAGAUUCAAUAAACCAUUGAAGGUAAUUAUUCAAGCAAAUAGAAUAACCAUUAUUCUCUUUAAAUGAAUAAUAGUAUUGCAAUAAACACAAUCCAAUCAUGUUCAUGCUCAACGCAAACACAAAAUAACAAUUAUUUAUGUUUAACACCAAUCCCGAUGGUAGAGGGUGCGUGCGAUGUUUGAUCACAUCAACCUUGGAAACACUUCCAACACGUAUCGUCACCUCGCCUUUAGCUAGUCUUCAUUUGUUACGUAGAUUUUAUUUCGAGUUACUAAUCACUUAGCAACCGAACUGGUAUCUAAUACCCUCGUGCUACUAGGAGUACUAGUAAAGUACACAUCAAAAUCAUGUAUAUCAAAUAUACUUUUGUCGACUUUGCCAGCCUUCUCAUCUACCAAGUAUCUAGGGUAGCUCCACCUCAGUGACCGUUCCCCUCAUAACAGAAGCACUUAGUCUCGGGUUUGGGUUCAAUCUUGGGUUUCUUCAUUAGAGCAGCAACUAGUUUGUCGUUUCAUGAAGUAUCCCUUCUAGCCCUUGGCCUUCCUGAAACUAGUGGUUUUACUAACCAUCAACAAUUGAUGCUCCUUCUUGAUUUCUACUUUUGCAGUGUCAAACAUUGCGAAUUUCUCAAGGAUCAUCAUAUCUAUCCUUGAUAUGUUAUAGUUCAUCACGAAGCUCUAGCAUCUUGGUGGAAGUGGCUUUUGGAGAACCAUCACUAUCUCAUCUGGAAGAUUAACUCCCACUUGAUUCAAGCGAUUUUUGUACUCAGACAAUCUCAGCACAUGCUCAACGAUUGAGCUUUUCUCUUUUACUUUAUAGACAAAGAAUCUUGUCGGAGGUCUCAUACCUCUCAACAAGGGACGAGCAUGAAAUCUCAAUUUCAUCUCUUAGAACAUCUCUUAUGUUCUGUGACGUUUCAAAACGUCUUCGACGCCUUGCUUCUAAGCCAUUAAGUAUUACGCACUGAACUAUCACGUAGUCAUAAAAAACGUGUGUGUUAGAUGUUCGCAACAUCCACAGACAACGCUAGAGGUGUGAUACGUCUCCGUCGUAUCUACUUUUCCGAACUUCUUUUGCCCUUGUUUUGGACUCUAAUUUGCAUGAUUUGAAUGGAACUAACCCGGACUAACGCUGUUUUCAGCAGAAUUGCCAUGGUGUUGUUUUUGUGCAGAAAUAAAAGUUCUCGGAAUGACCUAAAAAUUUACGGAGAUUUUUUUUGGAAUUAAUGAAAAAUACCUGCGCAAAGAUCCACCGGAGGAGGUGAGAUAGUGGGCCACAAGCCCAGGAGGCGCAGCCACCCCCUGGCCACGCCUGGCAGGCUUGUGGGGCCCACGAGGCUCCACCGCCUCCAAUCUCAGCACUAUAUAUUCCGUUUCGUCCGGAAAAAAAAUCAGAGAGAAGGAUUCAUCGCGUUUUACGAUACGAAGGCGCCACCUCCUCCUGUUCUUCCUCUGGAGGGCAGAUCUGGAGUCCGUUCUGGGCUCCGGAGAGGGGAGAUCGUCGCCAUCGUCAUCAUCAACCUUCCUCCAUCGCCAAUUUCAUGAUGCUCUUCACCGUUCGUGAGUAAUCUCAUCGUAGGCUUGCUGGACGGUGAUGAGUUGGAUGAGAUCUAUCAUGUAAUCGAGUUAGUUUUGACGGGGAUUGAUCCCUAGUAUCCACUAUGUUCUGAGAUUGAUGUUGCUACUACUUUGCCAUGCUUAAUGCUUGUCACUAGGGCCCGAGUGCCAUGAUUUCAGAUCUGAACCUAUUAUGUUGUCGCCAAUAUAUGUGUGUUUUAGAUCCUAUCUUGCAAGCUGUAGUCACCUACUAUGUGUUAUGACCCGGCAACCCCGGAGUGACAAUAGCCGGAACCACUCCCGGAGAUGACCAUAGUAUGAGGAGUUCAUGUACUCACCACGUGUUAAUGCGUUGGUCCGGUUCUUUAUUAAAAGGAGAACCUUAAUAUCCAGUAGUUUCCAUUAGAAUCCCGCUGCCACGGGAGGGAUGGACAAUAAAUGUCAUGCAAGUUCUUUUCCCUAAGCAUGUAUGACUACAUACGGAAUACAUGCCUACAUUAGAUUGACGAACGGGAGCUAGUUACUUAUCUCUCCGUGUUAUAGCUGUUACAUGAUGAAUCACAUCUGGCAUAAUCAUCCAUCACCGAUCCAAUGCCUGCGAGUCUUUUACUAUUGGUCCUUGCUACGUUACUUUGCUGCUAAUGCUGUCACUGCUGAUGUUACUCUAUUGCUACUGUUGUUACUUUGCUACUACUGGUUACUGUUGCUACUGCUACUAUCAUACUACCUUGCUACUGAUACUUUGCUGCAGACACUAAAUCUUUGAGGUGUGGUUGAAUUGACAACUCAGCUGCUAAUACUUGAGAAUAUUCUUUCGCUUCCCCUUGAGUCAAAUCAAUAAAUUUGGGUUGAAUACUCUACCCUCGAAAACUGUUGUGAUCCCCUAUACUUGUGGGUUAUCAAGAAGGUGCAGCACACCGAGUGGUGCAUUAAGGACAUAAGCCUUCUGCGCAGCAAUGAGGACAAUCCUCAGUUUCACGGACUCAGUCCACAAAGUUGCUACUAUCAUCUUUCAACUAAAUUUUCUCUAGGAACAUCUAAAAACAGUAGAGCUAUAGCGCAAGCUACAUCAUAAUUCGCAAAAGACCUUUUUACUAUGUUCAUGACAAUUAGUUCAAUUAAUCAUAUUACUUAAGAACUCCCACUCAAAAAAUACAUCCCUCUAGUCAUUUGAGUGGCGCAUGAUCCAAAUCCACUAACUCAAGUCUGAUCAUCACGUGAGUUGAGUAUAGUUUCAAUGGUAAACAUCUCUAAGCUAACCAUAUCAACUAUAUGAUUCAUGCUCGACCUUUCGGUCUCUUGUGUUCCGAGGUCAUGUCUGCACAUGCUAGGCUCGUCAAGUUUAACCCGAGUGUUCCGUGUGUGCAACUGUUUUGCACCCGUUGUAUGCGAACGUUGAGUCUAUCACACCCGAUCAUCACGUGGUGUCUCGAAACGAUGAACUGUCGCAACGGUGCACAGUCGGGGAGAACACAAUUUUAUCUUAAAAUUUUAGUGAGGGAUCACCUUAUAAUGCUACCGUUAUUCUAAGCAAGAUAAGGUGCAUAAAAGGAUUAACAUCACAUACAAUUCAUAAGUGACAUGAUAUGGCCAUGAUCUUGUGCUUCUUGAUCUCCAUCACCAAAGCACCGGCAUGAUCUUCAUCGUCACCAACGCCACACCAUGAUCUCCAUCAUAUCACCUCCAUCAUCAUGCCGCCAUUGAGGUUGUCGUGCUAUCUAUGAUAUUACUACUAAAGCUACGACCUAGCAAUAUAGUAAACACAUCUGCAAACACAAACGUUAGUUUAAAGACAACCCCAUGGCUCCUGCCGGUUGCCGUAGCAUCAACGUGCAAGUCGAUAUUAAUUAUUACAACAUGAUCAUCUCAUACAUCCAAUAUAUCACAUCAUGUCGUUUGCCAUAUCACAUCACAAGCAUACCCUGUAAAAACAAGUUAGACGUCCUCUAAUUUGUUGUUGCAUGUUUUACGUGGCUGCUAUGGGUAUCUAGUAUGAUCGCAUCUUACUUACGCAAAAACCAAAACGGAGAUGUGCAAAUUUCUAUUUAACAUCUCUCCAAGGACCGCCUCGGUCCCCGACACCCGCCAGUCAUCUUUAUGCAACGAGUUGCAUGUUGGUCAAUGAAACCAGUCUCUCGUAAGCAUACGAGUAAUGUCGGUCCGGGCCGCUUCAAUCCAACAAUACCGCUGAAUCGAGAAAAGACUAAGGAGGGUAUAAAAUCGAGCAUAAACAUCCACAAAAACUUUUGUGUUCUACUCGAGAUAACAUCUACGCAUGAACCUAGCUCAUGGUGCCACUGUUGGGGAACGUUGCAUGGGAAACAAAAAAUUUCCUACGCACACGAAGACCUAUCAUGGUGAUGUUCAUCUAUGAGAGGAGAUUAGAUCCACAUACCCUUGUAGAUCUCUAAGCGGGGAGCGUUAAGAAAUGUGGUUGAUGUAGUGGUACAGCUUCGUGAUUCAAAUCACCGUCGUCCCACGAUCCGUCCCACGAUCCGUUCCGAUCUAGCGCCGAACGGACGACACCUCCGCGUUUAGCACACGUACAGCUCGAUGACGAUCUCGGCCUUCUUGAUCCAGCAAGAGAGACAGAUAAGUAGAUGAGUCCUCCGGCAGCGUGACAGCACGCCGGUGGUUGUGAUGAUCUACUCCUGCAAGGCUCCGCCCGAGCUCCGUAGAAAUCCGAUCUAGAGGAAGAACUACGUGGUAUAGGUUUGAGUUGCACGUGACAAAGUUGUGUCUCAAAAGCCCUAAAACCACCAAUAUAUAUAUAGGAGGAGGGGAGAGGCUAGCCUUGGGGAUCAAGGGAACCCCAAGGGCGCCGGCCAAGGAGGAGGAGGUGGACUCCCACCCCAAUUCGGUUUGGGGGAAGGAGUCCACUCCUUCCUUCCCACCUCCCUCUUUCCUUGUUUUUCUUUUUCCUUUGGUAUUUUUCUCUUGUGGCGCCAUAGCCCUCUUGGGCUGGCCUCACCAGCCCACUAAGGGCUGGUGCGCCACCCUAGGGUUACUGGGCUCACUCCCGGGUGGGUUGGCCCCUCCCGAUGAAUACCCGAAACCCAUUCGUCAUUCCCGGUACACUAUCGAUAAUGCCUGAAAUCUUUCCGGUGACCAAAUGAAACCAUCCUAUAUAUAAAUCUUCGUUUCCGGACCGUUUCGGACACCCUCGUGACGUCUGCGAUCUCAUAUAGGACUUCGAAUAACCUUCGGUCACCAACACAUGUAACUCAACUAUACUAAAACGUCCCCGAACCUUAAGUGUGCAGACCCUGCGGGUUCGAGAACUAUACAAACAUGACCCGAGGCACUCCCCGGUCAAUAUCCAAUAGCGGUACCUGGAUGUCCAUAUUGGAUCCUACAUAUUCUAUGAAGAUCUUAUCGGUUGAACCUAUGUGCCAAGGAUUCAUAUAAUCCCGUAUAUCAUUCCGUUUGUCCUUCGGUAUGUUACUUGCCCGAGAUUUGAUCGUCGGUAUCCCUAUACCUAUUUCAAUCUCAUUACCGCCAAGUCUCUUUAUUCGUUCCGCAAUACAAGAUCUCGUGACUUAAACUUGAGUCACAUUGCUUACAAGGCUUGUAUGUGAUUUUGUAUUACCGAGUGGGCCCCGAGAUACCUCUCCGUCACACGGAGUGACAAAUCCGAGUCUUGAUCCAUGCUAACUCAACGGACACCUUCGGAGAUACCUCUAGAGCACCUUUAUAGUCACCCAAUAACGUUGUGAAAUUUGAUACACACAAGGUAUUCCUCCGGUGUCAGUGAGUUACAUGAUCUCAUGGUCAUAGGAAUGAAUACUUGACACGCAGAAAACAAUAGCAACAAAAUGACAUGGUCACAUGCCACGUUUAUAAUUUGGGUCUUGUCCAUCACAUGGUUCUCCUAAUGAUGUGAUCCCAUUAUCAAGUGACAACACUUGCCUAUGGCUAGGAAACCUUGACCAUCUUUGAUCAACGAACUAGUCAAUUAGAGGCUCACUAGGGACAGUGUGUUGUCUAUGUAUCCACACAUGUAUUUGAGUUUCCAAUCAAUACAAUUCUAGCAUGGAUAAUAAACGAUUAUUAUGAACAAGGAAAUAUAAUAAUAACUAAUUUAUUAUUGCUCUAGGGCAUAUUUCCAACAGUUGAACCAAGAUGCUUGUAAGGGCAAGGAGAUCGCCUGCUUCGUGAAGUUCUUCCGUGAGUAAGGCUAGUCCUCCGUGGACGGAAGCUGUGGUGGGAUAGACAAGGUCGCUUCUUUGUGGACCCUCCGUGGGUGGAGCCCUCCAUGGACUCUCGAGUCGUUACCUCCGUGGUUGAAGUCUCCACUGACAUGGACGUACGACAGCGCCACCUACAGGAACCAUGCCAAAAAUCAUUGUGUCAACCCCUUGUGUUUGAUCUCCUAAACUCUACUCCUUUACAUGUGCAAAGUAUUUACUUUUCCACUGCCAUAUAUGUUGACUAGCAUGUGUAGGGUGCUCUAGACUUGUUAGAACUGCUAGAUUUCUGCCCUCCUAGAAAUUGGGUUAGGCUAGAAAUUUUAUCUUGACAAGUAGUCUAUUCACCCCCCUCUAAACACAUCUUCUAUCGAUCCCUCAAUUGGUAUUACAGCAAGGUCUCCAAAACCUUGGUUUAACAACCAUUGGAGGAAGACGAAUGUGACUAGUUCCUAGAUUUUUAGUUGUAGAGUGCCUAUUCUUGAUGGGAGUACUUUAGACAAUGGAAAGAUGAAAUGCUUGUUAUAUUCGAUGAGUUCCAUUUACGCAAGUUACUGAAUAUCCCUAUGCGCCUCCCAUUGACCCCAUACAUCCUUCUCAUGAUGAUGAAGUUAACAUGCUUGGCAACCUCAACACCGUCAAUAUUUUCAUUAGAGGUUUACUAAGAAACGUGCCUAAUAAGUUGCAAAAUUUUGAGUGUGCUCAUACUUUGUGGAAAGACUUAGAGGAAACAUAUCCAAAUUAUUCUCUGAAAAAUCUUGAUAUCAUUGUUCACAAAUACAUUGCUUUCCAUAAAAUGAAGCCAACCGAUCUGAACUUCGAUUAAUGCUUAUUUGAGCUUCGUGACCUCAUGCGUGCCAAAGGAAAUGUCAUUACCAUCAACAACAUCAUUGUUGAAGCCAUUCGAAUGCAUAAACUUGAAUAUUGUAAUAGUCAAAUUUCUGAUGAAACAUUUGUCUCUUACGAGGAAACUUCAUCCAAUGAUGACUAUACGGAACAUGGCUACUACGAUGAAGAUGAGAACCUCGACACCGAGUAUGAGAAGACCAUGAAGAAUGGCAGUCUUAUGGCUAACCUUAAAGACUACACGGCUGGUGGAAAAGAGUGGGUUCUCGAAAGUGGUUGCACUGAUCACAUGACCGGAGGUAAAGACAUGUUCCAUGAAAUCACACCGAAUCAUGGACCUCGAAGAUAUGUAACUUUUGGAGACAAUUCCAAAGGUAAGGUACUUGGUCUCGGUAAGGUGGUUGUAUCUCAUGUUAGUUCUAUUCAGAAUGUAAUGCUAGUAGAAUCUCUUGGAUACAAUCUACUUUCCAUAUCUAGACUAGCAGAUUUUGGUUUCGAUGUGGUAUUUAUGAAAGUUGAAUGCCGAGUAUUCCAUAGCGACAAUCAUAACAUCGUCUUUACUGGUUUUCGUAAAGGUGAUCUAUACAUUGUUGAUUUCUCUAAGAUUUCCAAACCCCGUACAUGCCUUGUUGCAAAAUCUUCUAAAGGUUGGUUAUGGCAUAGAAGGCUUGGACAUGUUGGUAUGCGUAAUCUUGACAAACUUAUCAAAGGUGAUCAUAUUCUUGGUGUUAAAGAUGCUAUCUUUGAAAAAGAUAUACUUUGUAGUGCCUGUCAAGCAGGAAAACAGGUUGGAGGAAGUCAUCCCAUGAAGAACAUCAUGACCACAAGAAGACCCCUCGAGCUGCUUCACAUGGAUCUCUUUGGUCCUAAUGCUUAGAAGAGCUUCGGUGUAAAUUCUUAUGGUCUAGUUAUUGUUGAUGAUUUUUCCAGAUUUACGUGGGUAUUCUUUCUCAAUGAUAAGUCGCAGGUACAAAUGAUCUUCAAGAACUUCGCUCGAAAGGCUCAAAACCAGUUUGAAGUGAAGAUCAAGAAGGUUCGGAGCAACAACGGAACGGAGUUCAAGAACACUAAUGUGGAUACUUUUCUUGACAAAGAAGGUAUCUCACAUGAGUUUUCGGCGAUGUACACACCUCAACAGAAUGGAGUUGUUGAGAGGAAGAACCGGGCGCUCAUAGAGACGGCGAGAACGAGGCUUGAUGAAUACAAGACUCCAAGACACUUUUGGGCAGAAGCCGUGGAAACAGCUUGCCAUGCCAUAAACCAAAUCUACCUGCACAAGCUUCUCGGUAAAAACGACAUACGAGCUACUCACCGGUAACAAACCCCAAGUUCGGAUACUUUCGACUAUUCGGCUCUAAGUGCUAUAUUCUUGAUAAGCAUCAUCGAUCUAAAUUUGCACCUAAAUCUUAUGAAGGUUUCCUUCUUGGUUACAGAUCAAACUCUCACGCCUACCAUGUGUACUACAACUUCACUCGAAAAGUUGAAGAGACAAUAGAUGUGAAGUUUGAUGAGACUAACGGUUUGCAAGUUGAACAAUUGCCAAUUGAUAUAGGAGAUAAGGAACCUUCGGAAGCUAUCGAAGAUUUGUCCAUUGGCAAGAUUCGUCGCAUGGAGGUGAAGGAAAGCACUUCAUCAACUCAAGUGGAAUCUACUACUUCGCAUCAAGGCAAACCGCAAAAUGACAUGGAAGCAUCCACAAGCGGAACACGACAUGAUGAAGAAGAGGAAUAAGUACAUUGUGAUGAUCCACCUCAACAUUCCUCACCACCACCUCAAGGAGAAGAUGACGCCAACGACAAUGCUCAAGAUGAUGAUAAACAAGAAGAAGAAGCUCCUCCACCAAACAAGAAGAAGCUGUCAAGAGUUAGAGCAAGAGUGGAUAGAGAUCAUCCGCUGAAACAAAUCUACAACAACAUAAACAACGAGAGAAUCACUCGCUCUAAAUCUCGAUUAGCUAGCUUCUGUGAGAAUUAUUCUUUCAUAUCUAGCAUUGAACCCUUGAAGGUAGAAGAAGCUCUCCAAGAUCCAGAUUGAAUGAAUGCCUUGCAUGAAGAGAUNNNNNNNNNNNNNNNNNNNNNNNNNNNNNNNNNNNNNNNNNNNNNNNNNNNNNNNNNNNNNNNNNNNNNNNNNNNNNNNNNNNNNNNNNNNNNNNNNNNNGGGUUUGUUGACCCCCGUCACAAAGACCAUGUGUACAAACUUCACAAGGCUCUGUAGUGGCCUCAAACAAGCACCCCGUGCUUGGUACGAUCAUCUUAAGAAGUUCUUACUCGAUGAUGGCUUUGUGAGAGGGGUGAUCGAUCCCACUCUUUUUACUAAGAGGGAAAACGGUGAUUUAUCUUAUGCCAAAUCUAUGUGGAUGACAUCAUUUUUGGUUAUCCUAACAUCCAUUUAUGCAAGAAGUUUGUGGCCUCCAUGACCAAGACCUUUGAGAUGUCACUCAACACGGACUUGAAGUUCUUUCUUGGGUUUCAAAUACAACAAUUUCAAGAAGGAAUUUUCUUGUCUCAAACUAAAUACCUCAAGGACAUUCUAGAAAAAUUUGAUAUGACAAAUGCUAAACCAAUGAAGACACCCAUGGCCACAGAUGUUGUUCUAAAUGAAGACACCAACGGUAUUCCUUUUGACCCAUCUACUUACCGCUCUAUGAUUGGUUUGUUGCUUUAUCUUUGUGCAUCUAGACCGGACAUCAUGUUAAGUGUAGGCAUAUGUGCUAUAUUUCAAGCUUCCCCUAGGGAAAGCCAUCAUACGGCGGUGAAGCAUAUUCUUAGAUACCUUGUUCACACCCCAAAGUUAGGCCUAUGGUACCCUAAGGAUGCAAAGUUCGAUCUCAUUGGGUACUCAUAUGAGGAUUGGGCUGGUGACAAAGUGGGAUGGAAAUCCACUUCCAGUGCAUGUCAGUUUCUUGGACGUUCCUUGGUAAGUUGGUCCUCGAAAAAGUAGAAUUGUGUUUCUCUCUCCACGGCCGAGGCCGAAUAUAUUGCAGCCGCAAGCUGUGCAACCCAACUGCUAUGGAUGAGGCAAACCCUAAAGGAUUAUGGCAUCACCUAUCGACACGUGCCUCUUCUCUGUGAUAAUGAAAGUGCCAUCAAGAUCUCCAAGAACCCCAUUGAUCACCCUCACAAAAAACACAUUGAUAUUAGGUAUCAUUUCUUGAGAGACCAUGUGCAAAAGGGUGACAUUGAUAUUGCUCAUGUGGGUACAGACAUGCAUCUCGCUCACAUCUUCACCAAGCCACUAUGCAAAGCAAGAUUCUGUCAACUUAGGCGUGAACUUGGUAUCUUGGAGCUUGAUAAUAUAACUUGAAAUCCUGUGCACAUGCACACACUCACAUUAUGUUCUUGUAUUGAUGUCGGCAUGCAUUUAGGGGGAGACACUAGCACUCACAUCAUAAUUUUUGUUUUAACCCUAUAAUAUGCAUAAGUCAACUACCUCCCACAAGUAGUAUAUAUAGUUCUUAUAGGCAACACUGAUGAUCUCUGAGCAUUGUGGAUGUUUCUGAUGCCUCCCUUUUCGGUACUUGAUGCCAAAGGGGGAGAAAUUUACCCUAGUAUUAGGCUUUGGAGUUUUAGCUGUUAAACUCAAUUUGCAUGUUUGAACUACGAUAAUGUAAUGGAUAAAUGACUAUGAUGUACUAUGUAUUGCUAUCUAUGAAUGUCGUGCAUCAUCAUAUGCUAUUAUGUUUGUUCUAUUUACUCCAUGUGAUGAUCUUCUGCCAUAUGAUUUCUUUGAUACACAUAUUAAGGGGAUGCUCCCACAUUUACCUAUUUUACCAUGCAUAUAAUGAGGGGGAGUUUCGACAAAACUCUCCCAUCAUUCUUACCAUGCAUGAAAUCAGGGGGAGCCGUCGUAACUAAAUCUCUCCUAAGCCACUAUAUGUUUAUUAAUAUUUUUUGAGAACUAUAUGUAUGUUGUCAUCAACUACCAAAAAGGGGGAGAAUGAAAGUGCAGUCAUGCCCUUAAUCGUGUUUUGGUGUUGCUGACAACACACAUAUAGAUAACUAAUCACUAAUCCCCUUUAAGCUGUUGUUAAUGAUCAUGUGUUGAUAAGGACAAGCUCAUGUGCUAACAAGGACAAGAUCAAGAUAAGCAUUCGUGAGUACUACAUGCUUGAAUCUUGUGGAUGCCCACAUGGUGGACAGAUGAAGAUGAAUACACAAGCUAGGCUCUCCACAUUGUGUAUGGGAGAGCUUCUUGAAGACUUCAUCAUGUCUUGCUUUCAACUUGAGUCAAGAAGGAACAACAACAUCAAGCUCAAGUGAAAGGCUAACUCAAAGGUAUCAGUUCCUUUGACGUUAGUGGUGCGGAGUGACGAUCAGCGAAUAAAAGUAUACACGCAAGUAUAGAUCAUUGGUACCCCUUCUUUUGAUGAUUCUUGAGUCUUUAGGGAUCCCGCACUAUUAAGAGGGGAUCACUGGGUAUUGCGAUAAAUUUGCUCAAAACUACAUGUCUACUUCUCUGCUCAUGCCACAUCUCCACUGCUCUGCUUUGAUCCCAAAACAGAACCAAUGCCUCGGACAUCUAGCUCCCUCCGGACGUCCGAGGGCCGGACACCCGACUACUUCGGAAAUCUGGAACCUUAUACCAGAGUCAAAGUCUUGGACAUCCGGCUCCCUCCGGACGUCCGAGGACAGGACGCCCGACUACUUCGGAAAUCCGGAACCUUAUACCAGAGCCAAAGUCUCAGACAUCCGGCUCCCUCCGGGCGUCCGAGGGCCGGACGUCCGACCACUUUCGGGAAUCUGGUGCCCUUGAACACAGCUGAACUCUCAGACAUCCGACCUUCUCUUCGGACGUCCGGUCCCUGUUCGUCUAUACAGUGGUUCGUGAUAUAUAUACAUCCCUCGGACGACCGACCCGUGUCGGACAUCCGACCCAUUGUGGGCGUCCGGACAUCCGAGAACUGCCGGACGUCCGACCAUUGUCUGACUUAAGUGACCCCAACGGUUAUUUUAGUCCCCCCACUAUAUAUACCCCCUCCCACUUCGUGAGAGGGGGUCCAACACAGCAAGAACACUUACAAGAACACCUUCUUCCAUUCUCACUCUUGCCUACACCCAAUCUUAGAUCCCAAGAGCAUUUGUGAGCCCCUUUGAGUGUUGUUCCAAUCAAAAGAUAGAUCGUCUCCUUCUCCUCCUCUCCACCAAAGCGAUUUGUGAUUUGAGCAAGUUUUGAGCAAUCCCCGUGAUCUUGUUACUCUUGGAGGUUGGAGACUCCUAGGCGGUAGGAGUCUUCGGAGAGGAAUCAAACCAUUGUGAUUACCCCCUGAAAUGUUUGUGAGGGUUUGGAAGCCACCUCAAGGCUUACCACUAGUGGUUGAGAAACGCCUUCGUGGUGUUGUCUCAAAGGGAGAAUAGGGUGAGCCUUCAUGGCAUUGGUGUGCCUUCGUGGUAACAUCCGCCCCUCCAACGGUGACGUAGCUUCCCUCCAAGGAAGUGAACAUCGGGAUACAUCCUCGUCUCUCUUGGAGUUGUGGUUAUCCCUAACCCUAACUCUCUACUUGUGUUAAUCCUUAUUACGUACUUGCAUUUGAUUAUAGUUUACCGGUUGCCUUACUUUACUCUAAAUAGCUUACUCUUUGUCCUUGCAAUUUUUAGGCUCACUCUCAUAUUCCGCAUCAUUGCCUAAAAUUGCUAAGUAACUAUUAAAAUUUGGAACUGUACCUAUUCACCCCCCCUCUAGGUCCAUCUCGAUCCUUUUCAAUUGGUAUCAGAGCCUCGGGCUCUAUUCUUGUGGCUUAACCGCCCUAGAGAGAGAUGGACGGGACUCCCAUUACUGUAGCUUCAGUGGAGAAGGACGGGACUUCCACGGAAGUCAGGUCCUUCACCUCUGAGGACCUGGAACGUGCUCUUGCCAAGAAAAAACGAGGAGCAUGAUGCUUCUCUUGAGGCCUUGGUCCAAAUGAGAUUGGCCUCAUUAACCACGGGGAGAGCCACGUCUCCGAGGGCCUCAGGGCAAAAUGUGCCCGGUUCUUCAUUUGGCCAACAACCUCCAGGCAAUAACCAAACCAGUGUUCCAUGGCUUUAUGCUAGAUCUCAAGUUGAGAAACCUAAGUACAAUCCUGGAGGAAAACCUCCUUUGCUUGAUGACAAUUCCGAUUUUGCUUUAUGGAGAGUUGGUACGCAGGAUCAUCUUAGGUACGCCAAUGAUGAGAUGUUGGACAUCCUCGAGCAUGGCUACCACCCUGUAGAUCCAAGGUGCCUCACUCCCAGAGAAACUUAUGACAAGCAUCUCAACGACACUGCGAUCAUGUGCAUAAGAAAAGGAAUGAAUGACAAGCAACGGAGACCUUACAUACACAUCACAAGCGCCAAGGAACUGUGGGAUAGCAUUAUAAGGACCAAGACCGGUACCUCCACUCUCCGGCUUGCUCAGUAUGAAAUUGCCAAGGGGCAAUUGCAGAACUUCUGUAUGGAAAAGGGUGAAUCUCCCAAGCAACCGCUAGAACAGCUCAUGACUCUCGCUGCAGACAUUGAGUCCUGUGACUGUGACAAGAUGCAAGAUGGUUUCAACCUGGCCAAGAGAUUUCUCGUGGACAAGUUACUCCAUGCCCUUGCUCCGUACCACCAUCAAAUGGUAUGGGACAUAAGGCAGCACCAUGGGUUCAAAUAAAUGACCCCAGAUGACAUCAUAUCCACUUUCCAAUUAUUUGAAGAGUCAAAGGCAAAUGCAACAAAGCACCUUGCCAUGCAUGGUAUUUCAACAUCAAAGAUCAAUCUUGCUUUGAAAGCCAAGCAUGAAUGUGACGAAGAAGAAAGUGAAGAAAUAGAGGGUGAUGAAGACUACGAAGAUGGUGAUGAUGCUGACUCUGAUGAAAGCCUAUCUUAUGAGGACCUUGCUCUCUUUGUAAAGAAGUUCAGUGCAGGAAAAUUCAAGGGAAGAUUCCCAAAGAAGAAAGUAAGAAAAUGCUAUAACUGUGAGGAAACCAACCAAUUCUCCAAUGACUACCCUUAUGAGAAGAGAGAAGAUAAACCAAGGUUUCCAAAGACGUUUGUAAAGAAGAAAUUGCCAAACCCUAUUAACUCCAAGCUCAAGAGGAGAGAUGGAAGAGCAAUCGUUGCACAAGAAGAAUCAGAUCCAGAAGAUGUUAGUGGGGUUGCCGGAGUAGCUCAGAAUACACAAAACACCUUGAGGCUCGUCAACAAAAGUGGCGAUGUUGUUCACUACAACUAUAUGAAAGACUACAAGGGCAACACCCAAAAGUGUUUGAUGGCAAAGACCGCCGUAGAAGAUGAGGAAGACCAAAGCCCCCAUGAUAAGGUUAAGGUAACUCCACGGUUAAACUCUUUCAGUCUAGUUUCUAUCUCAUCUGAUGAGUACCUUGAUGCGGAGGAUCACUAUGAGGACAAUGACUUAGAUCAUCCUAUGUUUGCCAAAAUAAACAAAUUUAUGUGCUCUCUUAAAGGAAAGAAGCUCACUAUGUUUCGCAUACUUAUGGAAAUGGUGAGUAAGCACACCAAUACCAUCAAGGAACUCGAAACCCUCGUCACUGAGGAGAAGGAAAGGAAUGAAAUCCUUGAGCAGAAAGUCCUGUAUGAGGAAGCACAAAAUGAUGCAUUAUGCUCAAAAGUUGGUGAAAACCUUGAUAAACAUGCUAACGAUCUUGCCUCCUUGAAAAAGGCUGAAUCUGUGUGCAAAGAGUUAUUAAAUGAUAAAAACAGACUUGUGAAUUCUCAUGCUUCUCUUUCAAAGGACUGUGAGCGCCUAUCCUUGUCCCUCAAGGACAAGGAAGAGAAACUCACUGUCCUUACAAAGAGCUUUGAGGCACUCAAGGUUACUUAUCUUGACACUCUAGCUAAGGCUUACUCCUCACCUAUUAUUAAUGUUGAUACCUGCACUGCUAACUUUAGUAGUGAACUGGCAUCUAUUCUUGAGGAAAACUGUUCGCUAAAGGCACAGCUAGAUAGAGGUCUCAUGACAUGUGCACAAGGACAAAAGACUCUCAAUGAGAUCUUAAGUCAACACAAUGAAGUCUUUGCCAAGGAAGGGCUUGGGUUCAAUCCAAGCACCGCCAAGAAAAGUGUAUCUCCUCUCAAGUGCACCACCCCGCUUAAAGAAAUAUUUGUACGAGAGGGACACAAGGAGAAAGGUAAGGUUGUGAGUGGGUCGGCCACUAGGGGUUUGCCCACUCUGAACAAGACAACAGAGUUCAUGCCUCCAUCCUAUGUACUUCGCAAAUCAAAGGAAGGAGAGGUUUAUGCUAAAUUCGUUGGUCCCCGUAAUGCAUUUCGGUUUUAUGCUAUUUGGGUCCCUAAGACUCUUGUAACUAAUGUGAGAGGCCCCAUGAAGAAAUGGGCACCUCAAACCAAGUCUUAAUUCGUGUACAGGCUGUUUUCUCCGGAGGAGUCAAAUGGGUGAUCAACAGUGGAUGCACCAAUCAUAUGACCGGAGAUAGUAACUUGCUCUAUGACUUUAUGCAAGCCAUUUGACCAUACAUGAGCAUUGUAUUCGGAGGAGGGUAGAAAGGGCAGGUAAUUGGGUUGGGCAAGGUGGCAAUCACUAAUGACAUGUCUCUUGAAAAUGUCAUGCUUGUUCAAUCUCUUCAAUAUCAUUUGCUUUCAGUUAGCCAAUUGGCUUCCGUUGGUUAUGACACACUAUUUGGACUAACAGAUGUGAAAGUCUUCAAGAGAGACACUAUCGAAGUGGCCUUUGUUGGAGAGUUAGAUGGCAACCUUUACACGGUUGAUUUCUCGAAAGAGAGCACUUUCCAUACAACUUGUCUGAUGGCCAAGGCUGACAUGGGAUGGCUGUGGCAUCGCCGGCUCGCCCAUGUCGGCAUGAGAAAUCUUCAAAAUAUCUUAAAAGGCAAUCACAUCCUUGGACUAACCAAUGUGUCUUUUAAGAAAGAUCGUGUGUGCAGUGCAUGCAUAGCUGGGAAGCAACAUCAAUCGAAACACUCACCCAAGAAUAUUGUAUCCACCUCAAGGCCUUUAGAGCUCCUUCAUGUGGAUCUGUUUGGGCCUCCUUCAUGGGCUAGUCUUGGUGGGAAAAAGUAUGGACUAGUCAUUGUUGAUGAUUACUCAAGAUACACAUGGGUAUUCUUUCUCAAGUCCAAGGACGAGACGAAGAUCACCUUCAUUGAUUUUGCCAAACAAGUCCAGCGCAAGUUUGACAAGGCCAUCAAGGCAAUAAGAAGUGAUAAUGGCUCCGAGUUCAAGAAUUACACCCUAGAAGAAUUUCUCAGUGAUGAGGGAAUUGAACAUCAGUACUCCGCACCUUACACUCCUCAGCAAAAUGGUGUAGCAGAGAGGAAGAACCGGGCACUUGUGGAGAUGGCAAGGUCCAUGUUAGACGAAUACAAGUCACCACAUAGUUUUUGGGCUGAGGCUGUCAACACAACAUGUCAUGCAUCAAACCGGCUUUUCUUUGAGCAAUAUUGGAAAAGACUCCAUAUGAGCUCCUAACCGGGAACAAGCCCUAUGUCAAGUACUUCCGUGUAUUUUGAUGCAAGUGUUUCAUCCUCAACAAACGGGACCGGUUAGGAAAAUUUCAAUCCAAAACAACUAAAGGGAUUUUUGUUGGCUAUGGAUCAAACUCUCACGCCUACAGAGUCUACAACAAAUCCAAUGGAUGUGUUAUAGAAACCUGUGACGUGACGUUUGAUGAAUUUAACCGAUCCCAUGGGGAGCAAGUUGAUCUAAGUGAUGCAGGUGAAGAAGAUUCCUCGCAAGAUAUCUUGAACAUGGGUGUAGGUGCACUUCUUCCCAUGGAACAAGAACCCCAUGAUGAUGAUGAAGAUGAUGAGAGUAUUUCUCAUCCUCAAGAUAGUUCACUUCCCGUACCUCCACAAGAUACUAGCACACAUACCAUGUCAGUUGUUCAGGAUCAAGUGGGAGAACAUGUCUCUCAUCCUGAUCACACUCAAGAACAAGUUGAUCUUCAAGAGCAAGACCAAAGUAUGGAUAUUGUUGCUGAUGAGCCUCAACAGGUGCAACGCGAAGAGGAAUAUCUUCCACCGCACGUUAAUGAUCCAUAUGUUGAGGACGUUGAUGAUGGAAACGAAGUCGAACCUCGUGAAACCCUGACCUCCAUCAUGCCACGCGUAGCCGGUCGUGUUGAUGUUGAUCAAAUCCUCACCGGCGUGUCGGAAGGUAGAGUGACUCGUAAACAAUUAACAAACAUUUGUGCUCACUUUUCGUUUGUCUCUAGUAUUGUGCCACACAAGGUUCAGGAUGCAUUGUGUGACAAUGACUGGCUCCUUGCUAUGCAAGAAGAGUUAAACAGUUUUACACGCAACAAAGUAUGGUCAUUGGUAGAACGACCAACUGAGGAACACAAUGUCAUUGGAACUAAAUGGAUCUUCAAGAACAAGGAAGAUGAGAAUGGGACUGUCCUCCGCAACAAGGCAAGGUUAGUAGCACAGGGGUACUCCCAAGUUGAAGGUUUGGACUUUGGUGAGACUUUCGCCCCUGUUGCUCGUCUUGAAUCCAUUCACAUUCUAUUGGCCUAUGNNNNNNNNNNNNNNNNNNNNNNNNNNNNNNNNNNNNNNNNNNNNNNNNNNNNNNNNNNNNNNNNNNNNNNNNNNNNNNNNNNNNNNNNNNNNNNNNNNNNUUAAACUUUUUUACUAUUUUAGUUCUUUGGAAAUUUAAUCGGGUGUUAACCGUUAAUCCUAGCGCACCGUAUCGAGGGCAAUGUCUACAGGUCAGCCUCCGCCAAGCUUGUCCUGCUGAGUUCGACUUUUUCAAAGAAAUUAUGUUGGUCGAUCUACCAGAUUACGUACCUGAGCUUUCAGGGUGCAAAUUAAGGCACAUUUAUCUUUAUGCCCUGAUGUUCAAAAAAUCUAAUCUUCACCAAAUGGGCCGUACUAGUCUACUACCCAUAUAAAUAUGUAUGAGUUUUGCGUGGUUUCAAGUUUGUAUAUGGAUUUGUUAAUUUUAAAAGUUGUUGUACCGUGGGUGUGAUUAACUCUAUAAAUAACUACUACCUCCAUAAAUAACGAAACGGUUUUGUGGGGUUUUCAAAUUUGUUUAUGAAUCUGUUAAUUUUAAGCAAGUUGUUGUAUCGUAGGUGUAAUUAACUCUAUAAAUAAUUACUACCCUCAUAAAUAACAAAACGGUAUUGCUUGUACUUCCCGACCCACGACUCCUGCUGCCACCCAAGCGUUCGAAAAAACCCGCCCAACUCCACACGCGACCACGCCCCCAUUAAUCACUUCCACGCCCCACUCAUCCAGCCGCGGCCGCCAAUUGGUCGCGCUCCACAUAGGCCCGACUGUCGCCGCCCCGUCUCAUUGUUUAAUACCAUCGUCGCCCCUCGCUCCCGGCAACGCACCACGGCUCACGCACACACGUCCCUCACUCCAACCCCCUCGCUCCCAAUCUAAUCUCUUCCAAGCAAAAUCACCAAUACCUGCCAUGGUGACUAGCAGUCGAGGACCGACAUUCCUUCUCUCCUUUGCUACCCAGCCACCUGUCACGCGUCUUCCUAGCGACAAACUUGUGCUACUAUACUAUGAAAAUCAUCAUAUCUACGUGUAGUCCUCGAUGCCGUAUUAACUUUCGGUUGUGAGUUAUCUCUUUCUUUUUAGUGCUCUCUCUAUUUAGUUCAUUACGUUGUUGUGAUUGGUUCUGAUUCGAAGUUCUAAAAUAAAAUUGAAUCUUCUACUCACCGUCCUCUGGUCGAUAUUACUCUCGGUCCUAACAUAUGAGAACUUCGGUGAUUUUUUGGUGUGCAUUUCUAUGUUCAUUUGCUAAUCUAUAUUGUUUUAUUAACGUUGCAUGUUUUACUGUGCGUAUAAGAUAUGAGAUACACGGAUGUGGAUGACAUCAUUUAAGAAUUGAUCGAUCAAUGAACAAGAACGCGUUCGCGGCGUUUGAGGGGGCACUUUUGAUGACCACACGAACCCCAAUUACGUGCAAAAAGGAAAGAUGCUCUAACCAACACGCGUUCACUCCCAUCCAGCUCAUCCAGGAAAGAAAAAAAGAAAAGAAAAUGACGCACACAAAGCAUUGGCGGAAGAUAAGCGACGUCUAUCUCCCAUUUUUUGUUGUACACAUUAUUCCUCGAUGCUACCACAAUAUUGCUUGAUACUCGAUAUCAUCAUAUACGUACAGGACUGCAACGUCGAUUCUUUGUGCAGACGAGGGCCUACACACACACACACACACUGCAAGCGAAUGCGCAGAAGAACCAAUAAAUCACAGGGGCAUGAACCGACGACUGCGCGCCUGUGGUCGAUCGAUGGCGCCUCGGCCAUGCAUGCGUCCGUCGUCAGGCCUCAGGACACACCUGGACGGAGCAGUACGACAGCAGUCGUCCGUCCGUGGCUGCUCGCUAUACGUAGCUCUGCCCGUGUGCGCGCCGCUCGUUCUCCGCUGCGUUCCGCAGGCGCACCUCCGUGGCGUUCCCCAACGCUGCGACGGCAAAACAGCAAACCUUGAGAAGAGAAGAAUCCACGGAUUCCACGCUAGCCUAGUUUGUUACUACUCCCAAGUUCCAAUCAUAAGUUCAGAUUCGUGCCGCAAAAAGGAAAGAAAAAAGACGAAAUAACUGGGCAUUUCAAAAAUUCAACAGGCAUUUCAGGCGAAGUAAGAUGUUUGUUGGUUUGUACCAGACUGCAGGUAGGACGGGAGGUUGACGUAGCGAGGGCAAUGGCUUCUCCUGCUCGACGACCACGCGUCGUCCUCCUCCGACCCGCAAUCCCGGGGCUGCAAUGGAUGAGAACAUCUGAGCUCCGUUUUCUUCUCCUGAAUUUUGCUUCUCCGCUGAUGGAUCGAGAUGCUACCACGUAGCACGUACCUGGUAGUCCUUGUGGAAGCAGAGCCUGAGCUCCUGCAGGGAGCCGUUCUUGCAGACGAGGUGCGGCAGCCGCCCGAAUGCGUGGUCGAUGGCGGCCACGAUGUGCGCCACCGCGUACUUCCUGCCGUUCCGCGGGUAGAUGUGCGCUUUCCUCAGUGCUUUCUGCGCGCAGAUUUAACAGAACCCACUCACUGCCAUGCCGAACAAAAACAAUCUAUCCGUACUCGUAGUAUUAGCUUUGAUUGAUUACCGUGACGUUGUACUUGCUGUAGAGGUAGAGCGCCGUGGAGAAGUAGUCGUACUCGUCCUGUAUCUCAGGGUAGCCGCACGUCCCGUGAGUCGCUGAACAACGGCGAGUCACUCGAAUGUUAGAUACUACAGAUUAUAGGAUCAGGAUAACUGCAUCGCUAGUACUCCUAGAUUCUACUGUAGUAGAUUCAGAGAACGCAUACAUACCCCACUGACGAAGGUUGCACGCAAUUUAGCGAAAGAAACAUCAGCACAUGCACAAGCAGAAACAAAAUGAGGUCGUGAGUUAGUGUGCGGCAGUGCUGUCUGUUCUUCCCCCCUCAAUAAUCAGGUCCGGUUAACUGAACUACUAGCAGUACCUCGUGGGCCCAGAAGGGGCCUCUUCCGCCGAAGCAGGUGGAGGUGUCGCCGCAGUAGAGCGACGGCCAGUACCUCUCCAGGAUCGGCCUCAGCAUCGCGAUCUGCGCCAAGCAAGGGAUCCAUUAACCGAAGCACAUUGACUUAGUUUCCUUGCAUACAUGGAGAAACGAGCCCGGCAUGUGCCAUUCUGAUGAGAUUUUGACUGAAUCGAGGUAGAGGGCUCUUCACGCGUACUGUACCUUGUUCAUGUUGAAUGUGGUGGUUGGUCUGCAGCAGGACGGCCACCCACCGUAGCUGUACUGCGGCCAAAGCCCAUCUGUUAUGUGCCCCAACAAAGAAAAAAAUGAAAUUGAUAUAUAUCGGCAUCACUUGCAAUUGGAUAUUGUCUCCACGGCUAAGUUUUUGGUAUCUGGCACAACCGCACAAGCGUGCACGUGCAAUCUAUAAUCCUGUGACUGCUUCUGAAUUUUGUUUCUGGACUAGUACAAAUGUAACUUGAGAUUGAAAGCGUUCCAGGAUGAGCAGAGCGGGUCAACACCAAGACAGACUGGUCAUUGGUGGCUGCAAUUUCACUGGAAUCUGAAAGAUAAACGAAGGAUUGUGCAACUUACGGAUUGUGAACCAGUUGAGAGGGUUUGAUCUGCAGAGCGCACGCAAAAGGGAGAAAGCCAGAUGAGAGGAAAUUCGCAGGGAGGUCACAAUGCGUACGCGAGAGAGAAAGGGAAGCGAGUGGUGGGCACCGUACCGGCAGCAGCCGUUGGAGCUGCAGCAGUGGUUGGUCUGGCGGCAGACGGAGCCCGGCCACUGCAGGGCCAGCACGUACGUAGUCGAACCCGGCCUGCCGCCGCUUCAUCCCGGCCGCCGGCGACGCCAGCAGCGCGCCGGGGAGCAGCACGGCCAGGCAGAGGAAGCAGAGCGGCACGAGCAGGCGCCUCCCGCGCCUCGUCCUGUCCAUUGCUAUCUGCAGCACAAGAGUCUUCUUGGGCUCGGUCGAUCGGGUCUGAUAAUCUUACGUGCUACCCACCACCAUUAGCUUCCUGCCUGCUACCCCCCCAUGUGAUCCGCUGCCGCUGUUGCAAUUUAUGGCGCCUUCUUUGGAGUGGCUUGCGGGACAUGGCAGCUAUGCAUGAUUGGUCCACUCUGAUUAUUUAGCUUGACGUCGCUGAGAGAAACACGCUCCCCUCGUCUUUGGGUUUUCUUCCCUCUCGCGGUGUAUCCUUGCUUCCAUGGAGGGUGCAAGUUUACGAGAGUCACAGAUUUACGUGCAUUCUAUUGACAAGGUAUACCAUGGGAGCGCCAGCAAGUCACACGUGUGUUUGAAAAACACGACUUUGAUUUUAGCCAGAUGAGAAUAUUAGUCUCGGUUCUGUUACGAACCGGGACUAAUGAAGCAUCAGUCCCGGUUCGAGCGGCCAGUACGUCGGCCGGGCCUCACGAGGCAUCAGUCCCUGUUCAAUUGGGACCUUUAAUCCCGGUUUCACACAUCAACCAAGACUAAAGGUCAUCACUCCUCACGCAACCCCUUUAGUCCCGGUUUGUGUCUUUAGCCGGGACUAAAUGUCUGUCUUUAGUCCUGGUUUUAGACAUCAACCGGGACUAAGAAAAUGCCUAUAUAUACUCGCCUCUGCACCCCUAUGGGGACCCCGGCUCAUAAGUCGAAAUCACCGAAUGUACGUGCAAAGUAAUCCAAGAGAUCAUUGCUCACUAAACGCACAGAAACUGAAUAACAAGAGUCUUACAUCCAUUACGUACCGUUUAUGCAGAUAUGGCCUCCAUGGCCAAGUCUUCGUAUACAUUGCAGCGGAAAAUCUUCAUCGAUGACAUUAACUCAUGUCAUCAGCCUUAACCCUAAAAGCAUUCUCACUCGGAAGCGUCCUAGCUUGCUCGAACGUCACCAAGAUAUUCUUCUCCAUAUCCUGCUCUCUCAUUCCUGGUCAAUGAAAUAACUAGUGGCAAGCCAAUGAGUACGUUGAAUGUACUCGCAAGCAAUCCAUGUUUGGAACAAGGCAAUAAUAAUGCAUGGUAUAGCACUGAUAGGUAAAUUGCGCAAAGCUGAUUUUCAUGUGCAACGUCAUGAUCAAUUUCUUAUGAGGCAUGCUUCACGAGGUAAACGAUGUCCAUACAAAUAGGUUACAAAUAUCAAAAAUCAUUUGAGGGUCGAACAUCCCAUGUCCACCUGUCAUGCAAAGUCGUGUGACUUAGCUCAUGAAUCAUACUACCAUCUUUGUCACACAAUCACCCUUCUCACACACACAUACUUGGUUUAUGCCAAAACUUCUGGACGUAGUUUAAGCAACACCACCCAACUGUCCUGGGCAGUGGACACGGUUAUUCGAAUAAUUUUACACUUUGCACAGGUUGUGCGCUAUACCCACAAGACUCAGGGAACUUUCGUGUCAUCCACGAUUUGCAGUAUAUUACAUACCCUGAGGUAUGCACUCGAACAAUGUCUUUUCCCUGGUGACACUAAACAAAGAGUCCACUCAUUGGUGCCAUCCCUCAUGAUGUACAUCAUACGAGCCUUGCUCUAGAUCGUACAAUUCAUGAGGGCACGCAACAGUGUGUCCAGUGCCUAUGAAAACAGCUCGUGGCCUCCCUACCUGUCAUGAUCCCGUCUCGAGAGUGACCAUGCCACUCCCUCCGUUAGUAAUGUGGGCUCUCUGCUAGCAUCGACCAAAGUAAUCAACAAAGCCUCGUCCCGUAAGGGGUAUCGUGAUCGCACAUGUAAGGUUGGGACGGUCGACAAAUCUUAAAUCUAAUCCUAUUUUCGAUACAACACACACAGAGCUUGCCUCGGUACACCACUUCUUUAUCAAGUGGUCACCUAGCUCAACACAUCUCCCUCGGACUUUGGUGGCACCCGACGAGUUUUUCGAAAAGUCUUUGAAGUAUUUUCCUUUCCGUCACCAUGCAUAUUCGCAUCCCAAUUUGUGUAGCAUCUACAUAGCAACCUAACUACUUACCACCGACACAACCUUCAUACGAAGGUAGGGUCAUGCCCAAGUGCAAGUAACAACGAGGAGUUUUCCGGAGGCAACCCACCAAGGUGGUCAGCGAUGCAACAUGAUUCAAUGCAUCAGAACGAAGUGCUAUAUGUCAUGCAUAAAAGUAGUUUCUUGGAAAUGGUCAAAGGGUCGCUUGCCUAGUUUCGCAAAGUCUUCGAGAUCUUCUCACACUUAUCGUCCAACUCCAAGCACUUUGUCUAUAUCAUCACUAUCGUCAGAAACAACCACGAUCAGCCACACAACAAGCAGAAACACAAAGUGCUCUAUAAAUAGAAGUUUUAUUUUUCUUGGACAUCUCUGGUCAUAUUUUUUUCCCCUAAAGCUUGUUCUAAGAGAUUUGGACCACCACAGAUUUUUGAAUAGCGGAAAUAAAGGCAUCACUGACCCCCACAAGAAGUAUACAGAAAAUAUUCUCAUAUAAAUGAGUGGACGCAUCCAACUGAUAGGGCAUAAUUUUACUAGACUUUUGAAAGUGGUCUAAUUGCAUUUGGAGUUGGGAUGAUUUCCCUAUCAAUUUAAUAAGUUGGGAUAAAUGGAAACGUGACUAUUUAUUUGGGGCUAGCAGAAAUAGUGAAUGAGAAAAAUGUUAACUAAGGCUAGAAAAAUAGUGCAUGAUUUUAUAGACAACUAGGAACUUGAAUCAUUCCAUUUGGAGUUGAUUUGGAUGCUCUAGGAAUUUUGCAAGGAGGGGUUUGGAUAAUUCAAAUCAAAAUUUUAUUUAGAUCUCUACAGAAAAUGUUUCAAUAAAAAUGUGCAAAGCACAUAUUUGGAUAGGUCUUGAUUUUAGGAACACCUAGGAAUUUGAAUCAUAAAAUUUGGCUUUACUAUGAAUUUCCUAUGAAUAUUUGAACCAGUCUGAAAAAGAAAAAGAAAAAGAAAAGUUUAUACCAUUGGUCUAUUUAGCGCGAGAGCGCAUGAUAAGCAAAUGGGCCGCCCAAUGGACCGACCGAGUUCCACGCAGGGGGGCACAUUGAAGGCACCUUGGUGGAAGGCGCUUCCGCCACACGGAGCCGGAAACCCGCGGGGGCACGUCCACUUAAACGGCUCGACUUGGUGCAUGGCUACGCUUACAUGCAGGGCCAGGCCGUAAAGCCUUCCCUACCUCUCGCCCGACAAAGGAGGAGCUGGGGAGAGAGAGAGAGACCGAGCCCACCGAUGUUUUCCCUAGUGGCUCCGGCCAGCCCCGACGAUGCUUUGGCCACCAGUGGGCUCGAGGCAUCAUGACGCACCCGCCUGGGUGGUUUCCUCCCAUCGAGGGGCGUCAGAGAGCGACGGUCUUGGCCGUGGCGAUGCCGAUGACGACAGUUGUGGUGAUGGUGCUCCGGCCGGUGGAAGGAGAAAAGUGACAUGGGGAAGGGCCACUGGUGGUCCUGGGGAGGUUCCUGUGAAGGCAAAAGGAGAGGAGGGGCUCGUAAGAGCUUGCAUUUGAUCUUGGACGAGGCGGAGCCAUGGUGGCCGCAGGAGGAGGGAGAGGGCAUGGGGAGCUAAGUGGGGAGGCCCGGGAGAUCUACUGGAGGGAGAUGAGAGCGAAGGGGAGCAAGGGGAGCUGAGGGCGAGGUAAAUGGAGGGGGCGAUGCGGUGGAGGUCGGGAUGCGCUUCAGAUGCUCUAGCCACGGCGGUACACGCAUGCCAAGGCUGCUUGGAGCUUAGAUGGCGUCGUGGAGGGGUCAGGGGAUGGAGAGAGGGACCUCCUGGCGUGAGUUGGCAUCAUGCAAAGGUCGGCCACGAGCUGAAGGGUAUGGGCAGGCUAGAGAGCACCAUUUUUGCAUGUCAGCAGAGCGGUCACCAUGCCCAUUCAUGUACACAUUAAAAAAAUUGGUCAGCAAAAUAUGUGUGUCAUACAAGGCAUGCGUGCAGGAGAGUGAUGGAGGAGUUUGGUCUCAUAUGUAGCAGUGUAGGGGAGGUUUCAACAUGGGCUAAGUUUGCAGCAACAAACUUGGGCUCUAUCAAAAGGGGUUUUACUGUUGCGCAUAGGGGAUGAAACCUUGUCUGGAGGUAUUAGGUAUGGAAGGACUACAAGUACAACAAGUUUGAGCUCAGGGAGACGAGAAUAGCUAGUACUUGUAGUUCAAUGCUACAUUUCUGCCAAUAAUCAAGUUUUAGAAGGGCUGCUCAUAUUUUCCACAUGAGCAUGCCAUAUCUUUCCUUGAAAUGGUGCAUUAGCACACUAAAGGUGUUUUGCAAAGAUUUGGGGGCAUUUGCUAGAACAGAAAUAAUGGAAGAGGGGUAAAAGAGGUGUUGCCAUGGUAAAGAGGAGAGGUAAAUAGAGGGAGUUACCCUCCCAUAAUUGAUCACGGGCCAUGGCAAAGUUAUUGGAGGUAAAAUAGGGUCAGAAAAUACUAUGGUAGAAAUUAUGAGGCAAGAGGAAGAUCUUAGGGCCAACUUUGCUUGUCCUCUAGUUUAUGGUAGAAGGUGUUUGAUGCUGUCAGGGGCACCUAGGGGGAUCCAAUGUNNNNNNNNNNNNNNNNNNNNNNNNNNNNNNNNNNNNNNNNNNNNNNNNNNNNNNNNNNNNNNNNNNNNNNNNNNNNNNNNNNNNNNNNNNNNNNNNNNNNCAAUAACAACUACUAAAACUACUAAAAAUAAUAAAACUACUAAAAAACAAUGCGGGUGGGGGGUGGGGGUGGGGGUGUGGGGGCUCACCGAGAGGGGCGGCUGUGGAGGGGCUGGGGUGUUGGGGGUGGCGGGGCGGCGCCGGGGGCGCCAGGGGCGGCGGCGUGACGGUGGUGGUGCAGCGGCAGCGGGGGCGAGGUGGGGAGAGAGAGAGAGGGGCGGCGAUGGGGCGACAGAGGCGACAUGGGCGGCAGUGGGGGCGACAGGGGCGGCGGCAAGGCGGUAGGGGCGGCGGCGCGACGGUGGUGGCGGCGGCCGUUACAGAGAGAGGGGCGCGCGGGGUGGGGAGAGAGAGAGGGGCACGCGGGGUGACCGUUACAGAUAGAGAGAGGGGCUGGGGUGGGGGGGAAGGAGCCGUUAACGGUGUUAGAGCAUUGCCGUCUGCCGGCGGACGGCAAAGAGUCUAGACUCUUUGCCGUCUGCCUCCGGACUCUUUGUCGUCCGCUAGCAGACGGCAAAGGUCCGACUCCAGUUUGACCUAGCCACCCCGCGGUCAGGUGGGCCUAUCUAUAUCUUUGUCCUCUGCCUCUGGAUUCUUUGUCGUCCGCUAGCAGACGGCAAAGAUGUGACAGAUGGCAAAAAGACUGUAUGCCAUCAGCCCGUGCUUUGCCGUCUGUUUUGCUGAAGCUGACGGCAAAGACACUCUUUGCCAUCAGCUAGCAGACGGCAAAGACUAGGCAGAUGGCAAAAAACUGUUUUCCAGUAGUGCUUACUUCUCCAGGAGUGUCUUCGUUCAUAACGAUCUUCUCUACUCCUUCUCUCUAUGCGAGGUGACUCUUCUCUUGAGCUUCAUCUUCUACGUGACUCUUCUCUUCGCUUGUGGGGAGCCGAGCACUCAUUGGAAUGGUGUUCGAGCUUUCCACAAUUGUAGCAGUUUCUGUCAUGACUAAAUGAACGUUUCUCUUCAUAUCUUGAGCUAGAGCUUCUCUCUUUGCCUCUACUCUCGUAGAACUUGUUGAUUUUUCUGACCAUGAGGCUUAUAUCUUCAUUGGUAACAAGGUUGUCAUUUGAAGUAGCGGGGGUAUCACUUGAAGCUUUGUAAGAACCGCUUGACUUGUUGUGCAGCUCAUCUUUGUCCUUGAGUGACAUCUCAUGAGCGACAAUCCUUCCAAUAACUUCCGUUGGCUUGAGAUCCUUGUAGUUUGGCAUCAUUUGGACCAAUGUGCACACUAUGUCGUAUCUUCCAUGCAAGUCUCUAAGUAUCUUCUUGGUGAUGAAUUUGUCGGUCAUCUCUUUGCUUCCUAAGCCGGCAAUCUCAUUUGUGAUGAGAGGUAGCCUAGAGUACAUCUUAGCGACUCUUUCACCAUCCUUCAUCUUGAACUUGUCAAGCUGACUUUGUAGCACAUCCAACUUAGAUUCUCUGACAGAUUUUGUACCUUCGUGCAUAUCAACCAAUGCAUCCCAAAUUUUCUUUGCAUUCACAAGGCGACUAAUUUUGUUGAAUUCUUCGGGGCACGGGUAGUUGAAUAGAAUGUCGCAGGCUUGAGCAUUGUAUUGCAACAUCUUCAAUUCUUCCACUGUUGCAUCGCGAUUCAUUUCCCUUCCAUCACCGAAAAAAUCACCUUGCACACCAACACAAACAAAAACCCAAAUGGCAGGGUUAUGACCAAGAAUAUACAUUUUCAUCUUAUGCUUCCAACUAGCAAAGUUUGUACCAUCAAAAUAUGGACCUCUACGGUGGUAAUUUCCCUCACUAGACGUCAUACUCUCCUAGGUUGUGAAACCAAUGCAAUGGAGACCAACACUGUGAUACCACUUGUAGGAUGUGAAGUAAGUCUAGAGGGGGGUGAUUAGACUACUUGACCUAACAAAAACUUAGCCUUUUAUUGAUUUAGUUGUGGGCCAGUUUUAGCAAAUAUGACUAGUCAAGUUCACCCUACACAUGCAUAUCUAAGAGUAUAGCAGUGGAAAGUAAAGACAUGCAAAUGUAACUAGAUGGUAGGGAAGGAAGAUCACAUGCAAAGGUUGGCAUGAUGAUUUUUGGCGUGGUUCCGAUAGGAGGUGCUAUUGUACGUCAACGUUAGUGGAGACUUCAACCCACAGAGGGUAACUGCUGCGAGAGUCCACGAAGGGCUCCACCCACAAGGGGUCCACGAAGUAGCGGCCUUCUCUAUUUCACCAUGGCUUGCAUCCACAUAGGACUAGCCUCACUCAGGGUAGAUCUUCACGAAGUAGGCGAUCUCCUUGCUCGUACAAACUUCUUGGUUCAACUCCACAGCACGAAGUAGGAGGCUCCCAAGCGACACCUAACCAAUCUAGGAGGCACCACCCGCCAAAAGGUAAUAGAUGCGGUAGAACAAUGAACUCCUUGCUCUUGUGCUUCAAAAGAUAGUCUCCUCAACACUCAAUCACUCUCUCAUAGAUUUGGCAUGGGCAGGAGAGAUUGAUUUGGUGGAAAGCAGCUUGGGGAGGCUAGAGAUCAAGUUUCUAAUGGAUGGAUUGGAAUAUCUUGAUCUCAACACAUGAGUAGGUGGCUCUCUCUCAGGAAAAUUGGAUCUGGCAAGUGUAUAUGUGUUCUGAGUGCUUCCUCUGUGAAUGAUAAGUGGUGGAGGGGUAUAUAUAGGCAUCUCUAAAAAUCCAACAGUUACAACAUUAUUGCCCAACUCGGUGACACCGAAACGAAUCUCGGUGGUACCGAGUUGCACUAAAUGUGGCAAAUUUUGAAUUCUCGGUGAGACCGAUAUAUCAAUCUCGGUGGUACCGAUUCGAUGACCUAGGACAGUUUCCAAUUCUCGGUGAGACCGAUUUCAAAACUCAGAAUUUCCGAUUCUUGAAAUCGACAUACCAGAAAGUUGGUCACUGUUUUUCGGUGGCACCGAUAUGAAAGUUGGUGGUACCAAGAGAUUAGAGUUUCGGAAAGGUCCUGUCACUCGAAAAAUCGGUAGGGUCGAAAUGGAAUUCUUGGUGGCACCAAUUUUGAUGUGUAGGCUUUGGACAGAGAUUGUUGUGAGAGAAAUGCUGAGUAUUUUUGGUGGCUAUACCUAAGCACUUGAGCAACCAAUUCAUCAUAAAUACCUCAUCCCCUUUUAAUAGUAUUGGCUUUCCUACAGACUCAAAAGUGAUUUCUCACAAAAUAUAAAAUGUAGAGUCCUCUUGCUUGAAGCUUGGCCAAUCCUAUUCCUUUCAUUGCAUCAAGGGGGUUUCUGGCCAAUGCAUCCUUGAACUUUUCGGAAAUAUAGUUGGAUAGAAUCAUUAGUUCAAUGAUACAUAUGUUGUUAUUAAUUACCAAGACCACCUUCGGGGGUAAUUGUGCUUUUAGUUACACAUUUUUUUCCACUUUGUUUUCAACUAUUAUGAUACCAACAAACAAAGGUUGUUUCCUCAAAGUCAUUGUGCGCGCCCUAUAGUUGUGAGGCAAUGUGAUUUUUUACAUAGGAGCCUCUUUUCCUUCUGCAUGGCUCACACCAGACACAUGCUUAGUCAUAGAGACAAAGAAAUGAGGAUAUAAUAAUGGAUAAAAAGUAGGCUAACCCAUGGUCCCUGCUGCUUAUGGGAUUGUGACUGAAUGUGUCGAGAAAAACUAGGUCGGUGAAACGGGAAUUUAUAUGGAAGUGCAUGAAAGGAUCCUAAGCGAGAGAGAAAGAAGGGUUUGUGGGUCUAGCUUUUGUUUAAGGAUUAUAGAACAAGUUGACUUGAACAAUGUAGGCUUGUGAUGUUGGAUAAUGAAUCAUUGCCAUACAAAGUAAGUCUCCAAGGUUGCAUUGAGUGUUAUCUAUAUUGAAUAAUCCUUCUUUUCUAAUAUUUCACAAUCACUAUGAUUCUCUUCCCAUUUUUCUGCAAACUGCUUGUCCUUCAACAUACCUCGAGACAUAUGGUGUCAAAAUGUAUCAAACAUAUCCCAUACAAGGGUCACGGGAAGACACCAAUUACUAUUCCAAUUAUCGUGAGAAGCAUCACAAAUGGUUAUCCUCACGAAAAAGUCAAGACGUUUUGAAGUUCCAUAAAUGAUUCCUCACUAUUACUCUCGUGCCACCCCUUUGCCUUACUUGUUAGAAAAACUCCCCACAAUAAUUGGAAUUGGGACCAGUGAUGCUUUCAUUCCCCAUUUAUUUGUGUAAGUCUAAUUCAAAUCUCAAUCAUGUACUCUGGUAUGAAACGAAGUGAAGGCUAAGGAUCCCCUCUCGAGGGGAAAGCCUUAAGCGCAUACACAACAAGCACUAAUGGACUCUUCCAAGACUUCCAUGGAUUCUCUUUCAUGACUUCACUGGUAUAGAGGCAAAAUGAAGUGAGGUCUAAAGGUCUCCUUACCGAGAGGGGGGCUCCAUUGCAUACAUAAUAGGCAUCGACGAACUCUUCGAAACCACAACUUCUCCCUAGGUGGUUUUGGUAAUUAACUACAACAUAUAGCUCAUUGAACUAAUAAACCUAUCAAGUAUAUUUUAGGAAAAGUUCAAUGAAUGGAUUGGCCAGGACAUGUUGAGGAACCCCUUGGAUGCAAAAGAUCCAUAUUGGCAAAAGCUUCAAGACUAUACAUUUUUCUUUAAGCGGUUUGAUCUCAUUGAGUCCAUAGGAAAACCAAUACUAUUAACAGGGGAUGAGGUAUUGGUGAUGAUCUGGUUGCUCAAGUGCUUAGAGAUAUGCCUCCAAAAACCGCAAUCAUUUCCUACCAAAGAUUUUUGUCAAAUACCUAAACUACCAGAAUCGAUGUCACCAACUUUUCCACUCCGGUCUCACUGAGUUAGCCCAAGGCAGAACCCUAAUUUCUCCGUGCAACCGAGACUGCAUUUGGCGGAACCGAAAAGCAAUGACCAGGUUUCUCUGAUCGAGUAUUCGAGUUUGGGAAUUUCCGAGAUUUAAUCCUUAGUGUCACCAAAGUGAUGGAACUGCCUAGAUUAAGCCGAAUAGGUGUCACCGAAAAGUGGAAGUUAGAACUUUUUGUACUAGUCUGUAGCACCGAUAUUUCUCUUUGUUGUCGCCGAGUUAGGUAAUAAUAUUGUAACGGUUGGAUUUUGGUGAAGGCUAUAUAUACCCCCUCCACCACCCUCUCACUCGUGGAGAGAGCACUCAGAACGAACCAACACUUCCACCAUUCAUUUUUUGAGAGAGAACCACUUACUCAUGUGUUGAGAUCAAGGGAUUCCACUCCAACAAAUAGAUCCUUGAUUUUUAGCCUCCCCAAGUUGCUUUCCACCCAAUCAUCCUCUUCUACCAAGCCAAAUUCUAUGAGAUAGUGACUGAGUGUUGAGGAGAAUAUCAUUUGAAGCACAAGAGCAAGGAGUUUAUCAUCUGUACACCAUCCAUUAUCUUCUGAAGAGUGGUGUCUCCUAGAUUGGUUAGGUGUCAUUUGGGAGCCUUCAAAUCAUAUGGAGUUGAACCAAGAAAUUUGUAAGGGCAAGGAGAUCGCGGAGUUGAACCAAGAAAUUUGUAAGGGCAAGGAGAUCGCCUACUUCGGGAAGAUCUACCCCGAAAGAGGCUAGUCCUUCAUGGUCAUAAGUCAUGAUGGAAUAGGCAAGGUUGCUUCUUCGUAAACCCUUUGUGGGUGGAACCCUCCAUGGACUCACACAACCGUUAUCCUCCAUGGGUUGAAGUCUCCAUAAACGUGAACCAGGGGUGGAGCCAUGAUGAAAAUCAAGAGGGGGCAAAGAGGUGCACUAUUUUUUGUUCUAGAAACGUGUAUAUAAACUAAUGAAUAGAUCAUUUGGGAAACUGACCUCACAAGCAAAUAUAUAGUGUGUAAGAAUCAAAAUAAUAUAUUUCAGAUAAUGUCAUGACACGAGUAAUUAUGAAAAAUUCAUUGCCAAAAUAAAAGUAAACAAACCACUUAAGACACAAUAAUCUGAGAAAUAUGAAUGCCAUUUAUUUCUGUUGGUACGUCACUAAAUUGUAACCUUCAAGUUGCAUGAAUUUUUUUGCUUAAAUAUAAAGAGAAUGCAAACAUUGGCUGCUAAAAAUAUAAGCUUGAGCAUAUUACCUUCUUCCGUUUAGAUGAUUGAUAUUAAAAUAUGUAAGUAUCUUCCUUUUAGAUGGAUCCUAAGCUUGUCCAUCGACUAUUUCACGCACCACUAGCUGCGGAUUUGGCAAAAAAUCUCUCCAUUAGCUUUCUAAUUAAAUCGAAGCACAUGAAGGUAGAAUAUUAUUACAAUCUAUUGAUUUUUUUUCUAUUCACAUGUGCUCGAAUUUAAUCAUAUGAAAAAUAUUACAUAGAACAAGAUUCAAUCAACCUAAUUACUAAUUUCUACCUUUGAAACAUGGAAUCGGAAUAAACUGACAAUAUGGAAAUUAGAAGAAAAAAUGAGAAUUGAACAUACUGCUUACCUUGAUUGAAUGAUUCAUGAGUAGCGCACGUACUUUUCUACUUAUUAGGACGGCGCCCCGGAGACGCAAUUCAAUAGCAAACCAGUUUUUCUUUCCCCUAGUCCCUCGCGACUAGGGUUUUCUAGUCCUCCGACGGCCCCGCCGUCGUGAGUUUCUGCCGGCGAUCUCUACGCCGUCCUUCAGUCCCUCUCGCCCCUGACAAGAUCUGAACAUCCGAUCAUGUCGGGCUCACAGGAAAAUAUGGGAAAACAAGAUGGAGAGGUUGGAUCGACAAGCAAUCUUCUGGAGAGAUUAACGUUGCAAGAGGAUGAGGCUCACGAUCUAAUCUGGGAGGAAGAACUGGAAGCGAGGGAUAUUAAGCCUAAGUGGUUAGCCUUGGGGCGUUUGCUCACAACAAAAACCUACAGUCAUAGCGCCCUGAUUGCAGAUAUGAGGGCUGCAUGGAACCCAGCCCUCAAGGUGACUUGGAGAAGGAUUGAUGCAAACUUAUUCUCAGUUCAGUUUAACUGACUUGGAGAUUGGAAUAAGGCUAUACACCAAGGGCCGUGGGACUUCAAAGGUUAUGCAGUGAUCUUGGCUAAGUAUGAUGGGUUUACAAACCCAGAGAAAGUCAAGCUAGAUAAGCUUGAGACAUGGUCUUUCCAGCACAGUGGNNNNNNNNNNNNNNNNNNNNNNNNNNNNNNNNNNNNNNNNNNNNNNNNNNNNNNNNNNNNNNNNNNNNNNNNNNNNNNNNNNNNNNNNNNNNNNNNNNNNAAACCAAUGAUAAAAACUCCAUCUUUUUACCCUUGAUGGCAACUACUUGCUGUGUGCCUUGCUGCCCCUACUGUCACUGGGAAAGGUCACCACAUGGCAGAACCCAAAACCAAGCACUUCUCCCAUUGCAAGAAUCAAAUAUCUAGUUGGCCAAACAAAAACCAAGACUCGGAGAGACUUACAAGGAUAUCAAAUCAUGCAUAUAAGAAAUCAGCAAAGACUCAAAUGUAUAUCAUAGAUAAUCUGAUCACAAAUCCACAAUUCAUCGGAUCUCGACAAACACACCGCCAAACAAGAUUACAUCGGAUAGAUCUCCAUGAAGAUCAUGGAGAACUUUGUAUUGAAGAUCCAAGAGAGAGAAGAAGCCAUCUAGCUACUAACUACGGACCCGUGGGUUUGAAGUGAACUACUCACGAGUCAUUGGAGGGGCGAUGAUGAUGAUGAAGAAGCCCUCCAACUCCAAAGUCCCCUCCGACAGGGUGCCGGGAAGGGUCUCCAGAUGAGAUCUCGCGGAAACGGAAGCUUGCGGCGGCGGAAAAGUAUUUUUGAGGCUCCCCUGAUUUUUUGCGGAAUAUUUGGGAAUUUAUAGGCCAAAGAUCUAGGUAAGGGGGCGGCCACGGAGGCCACAAGCCUGCCCACCACCGCCUCCCCCUGGUGGCGGAGUGGGGGCUUGUGGGCUCCCUGGAGCCCACCUGGCUUGGCCCAAAAGCCCCCUGGCCUUCUUCCGUUCAGGAAAAAAUCAUUUCGGGGUUUCUCUUCCGUUUGGACUCCGUUCCAAAAUAAGAUCUGAAAAGAGUCAAAAACACGGAAAAAACAGGAACUGACACUUGGCAGUGAAUUAAUAAGUUAGUCCCAAAAAAGAUAUAAAAGGUACAUAAAUCAACCAAAGAAGACAAGAUAACAGCGUGAAACCAUCAAAAUUAUAGAUACGUUUGAGACGUAUCAUGCACUCUCCGGACUGCUUUUUAUUUUUCUAAUUUCCAAAAAUUCCAAAACGGAGGAAAUUUCCUAUUGGAAAAGCAUCGGAGUCCAAUUUCUUACCUAAACAAAUACCUCUUCGUUUUCAGGGUCUAGAAUAGGCUGAUAAACAUCCCUUAUGUACUCCCCUCGAGUUAUGACAUUGAUGAUAUUGGUCUCAACAUUUAUGGGAGUACCACAGAUGUAAUGCUUGAUUCUUUGCCCAUUUACCACUCUAGGAAAAUUUCCUUCCGUGUUAUUGAUUUUGAUGGCACCGAAACGAUAUACUUCCUCGAUAACAUAAGGACCUUCCCAUUUAGAGAGAAGCUUGCCUGCAAAGAAUCUCAAACGAGAAUUGUAUAGCAAGACAUAAUCACCUAUAUUGAAAUCUCUUUUCUGUAUUCGUUUGUCGUGCCAUCUCUUAACCUUUUCCUUGAACAACUUGGCAUUCUCAUAUGCCUGGGCUCUCCAUUCAUCUAAUGAGCUGAUAUCAAACAACCGCUUCUCACCGGCAAGUUUGAAAUCAAAGUUGAGCUCUUUGAUUGCCCAAUAAGCUUUGUGUUCCAGCUCAAGAGGUAAAUGACAGGCCUUACCAUAAACCAUUUUAUACGGUGACAUGCCCAUGGGAUUCUUAUAAGCAGUCCUAUAAGCCCAUAGUGCAUCGUCAAGUUUGCAACUCUAUUACUCAACUCCACUUGACCACUAGACUGAGAAUGAUAAGGAGAUACAACUCGAUGGUUGACAUCAUACUUAGCUAGCAUCUUGCGAAAAACACCAUGAAUGAAGUGUGAACCGCCAUCAGUCAUCAACUAUCUAGGGACUCCAAAUCUUGGGAAUAUGACUUCUUUAAGCAUCUUAAUAGAGGUGUGGUGAUCAGCAUUUUUAGUGGGGAUAGCUUCUACCCACUUAGUGACGUAAUCCACAGCAACUAAGAUGUGAGUGUACCCAUUGGAACUCGGGAAGGGUCCCAUAUAAUCAAAGCCCCAGACAUCGAACGGUUCAAUGACAAGUGAAUAGUUCAUAGGCAUUUCCUGACGCUUACUGAUGUUCCCUAUUCUUUGGCAUUCGUCACAAGACAAGACAAACUUACGGGCAUCCUUGAAGAGAGUGGGCCAAUAUAAGCCCGAUUGCAAUACCUUAUGGGCAGUUCUAUCUCCACCGUGGUGUCCUCCGUAGGCUUCGGAAUGACACUUCUGCAAGAUCUAUCCCUGUUCAUGUUCAGGUACACAACGUCUAAUAAAACCAUCUACUCCUUCCUUAUAAAGGUGAGGAUCAUCCCAAAAGUAGUGUCUCAAAUCAAAGCAGAAUUUCUUAUUUUGCUGAUAGGUGAAACUGGGUGGUAUGUAUUUGGCUACAAUAUAGUUUGCAUAAUCGGCAUAUGAUACGUCCAUUUUGCAUCAUGCUUUCAUGUUGAUAUUUAUUGCUUUUUGGGCUGUUAUAUUACUUGUGGUAUCAUAUUUAUGGCUUUUUCUCUCUUAUUUUGCAAGGAUUAUUUGAAGAGGGAGAAUUCAGGCAGGUGGAAUUCUGGACUGGAAAAGGAGCAAAUCCUAGUCCACUAUUCUGCACAUCUCCAAAUGCCCUGAAAAGUUACGUGGAUUUUUUCUGGAAUAUAUUAAAAAUACUGGGCGGCAGAACUACCGGAGGGGGGGGGGCACCAGAGCUCCACAAGCCCCCACUCUGCCACCACCCCCCUCGUGGCACAAGGCAAGCUUGUGGGCUGCCUGGCGGCCCACUAGCCCCCCUCUUUUACUAUAUGAAGGGUUUUGGUAUGGAAAAAAAUCAAUAGGGAGCUUUUUCGUGGUUUCGCCGCCGCCACGAGGCGGAACUUGAGCAGAUCCAAUCUAGAGCUCCGGUAGGACGAUCCUGCCGGGGAAACCUCCCUCCCGGAGGGGGAAAUCGUCGCCAUCGUGAUCACCAACACUCCUCUCGUCGGAGGGGAGGCAUCUUCAUCAACAUCUUCAUUAGCACCAUCUCCUCUCCAAUCCCUAGUUCAUCUCUUGUAACCAAUCUUCGUCUCGCAACUCCGAUUGGUACUUGUAAGGUUGCUAGUAGUGUUGAUUACUCUUUGUAAGUUGAUGCUAGUUGGAUUACUUGGUGGAAGAGUUUAUGUUCAGAUCCUUGAUGCUAUUCGUUACACCUCUGGUCAUGAUUAUGAAUAUGUCUUGUGAGUAGUUACUUUUGUUCCUGAGAACAUGGGAUAAGUCAUGUUAAUAAUAUCAUGUGAAUUUGAUAUUCGUUUGGUAUUUUGAUAUGUUGUAUGUUGUUUUUCCUCUAGUGGUGUUAUGUGAACGUCGACUACAUAACACUUCACCAUAUUUGGGCCUAGAGUAAGGAAUUGGGAAGUAGUAAGUAGAUGAUGGGUUGCUGGAGUGACAGAAGCUUAAACCCCAGUCUAUGUGUUGCUUCGUGAGGGGCUGAUUUGGAUCCACUAGUAUAAUGCUAUGGUUAGACUUUGUCUUAAUUCUUCUUUUGUAGUUGUGGAUGCUUGCGAGAGAGGUUAAUCAUAAGUGGGAUUCUUGUCCAAGUAAGGCCAGUACCCAAGCGCCGGUCCACCCACAUAUCAAACUAUCAAAGUAACGAACGCGAAUCAUAUGAACAUGAUGAAACUAGCAUGACAGAAAUUCCYGUGUGUCCUSGGRAGCGUUUUUCCUCCUAUAAGACUUUGUUCAGGCUUGUCCCUUGCUACAAAAGGGAUUGGGCCACUUGCUGCACCGUUGCUACUACUUGUUACUUGUUAAUUUUUGCUCGCUACGUUUCACCUCGCUACACAAUCACUUGUUACCGCUACUUUCAGUGCUUGCAGUUAUUACCUUGCUGAAAUCCGCUUAUCAGAGCCUUCUGCUCCUCGUUGGGUUCGACAUUCUUACUUAUCGAGAGGACUACGAUUGAUCCCCUAUACUUGUGGGUCAUCAGCAUACCACGGUGCACUAUCUGAAGUGCGGAUGACAUUUAAUUGCUCAUCAGGAAAGCUGUCAUCAAUAGGUAGUGGGUCAUCAAGGACAUUCUCUAGCCUAGACAAGUUAUCUGCUACAGGAUUAUCAGCACCCUUUCGGUCAACGACGUGCAAAUCAAAUUCCUGUAGCAGGAGAACCCAUCUGAUCAGCCUAGGCUUAGCGUCCUUCUUCUCCAUAAGGUACUUAAUAGCAACAUGAUCAGAGUGAAUAGUGAUUGGAGGCAACUAUAUAAGAUCUGAACUUUUCACAUGCAAACACGAGUGCUAAAAAUUCCUUCUCCGUAGUGGCAUAGUUUUUUUGGGCAGUGUCUAGAGUUUUACUAGCAUAGUGAAUAACAUUCAACUUCUUGUCAACUCUGUGUCCUAGAACAGCACCAACAACAUAAUCACUAGCAUCGCACAUGAUUUCAAAGGGCAAGUUCCAGUCAGGUGGUUUAACAAUAGGUGCGGUUAUCAAAGCCUUCUUAAGUAUUUCGAAAGCUUCCUCAAAAUCCUCAUCAAAAACAAAAGGAACAUCCUUCUCCAAGAGGUUGGUAAGAGGCCUAGAAAUCUUAGAGAAGUCUUUAAUGAACCUUCUAUAGAAACCAGCAUGACCUAGGAAACUUCGUAUACCUCUGAUAUCUGUGGGGCAAGGCAUUUUCUCAAUUGCAUCAACCUUAGCCUUAUCAACUUCAAUGCCUCUUUCAGAGAUUUUGUGUCCUAAGACGAUGCCUUCAUUAACCAUAAAGUGGCACUUCUCCCAAUACAAUACGAGGUUGGUAUCUUCGCAUCUCUGUAAGACUCGAUCAAGGUUGCUGAGGCAAUCGUCAAAGGAAGACCCGUAAACGUAGAAGUCAUCCAUGAAAACCUUGACAAUCUUUUCACAAAAGUCAGAGAAUAUAGCCAUCAUAAAUCUUUGAAAGGUGGCAGGUGCAUUGCAUAAGCCAAAAGGCAUACGUCUAUAAGCAAAGGUACCGAAGGGGCAGGUGAAAGUGGUUUUCUCCUGAACAGAUUGUGCAACAGGUAUUUGCGAGAAACCUGAAUAACCAUCUAGAAAGCAGAAGUGUGUGUGUUUUGAUAGCCUUUCUAGCAUUUGGUCGAUAAACGGCAAAGGAUAAUUAUCUUUCCUGGUUGCCUUGUUGAGUUUCCGGAAGUCUAUCACCAUUCUAUAGCCGGUAAUAAUCCUUUGUGGGAUUAGUUCAUCCUUAUCAUUAGGAACGACGGUGAUGCCUCCCUUCUUAGGUACGCAAUGUACUGGACUUACCCAAUCACUAUGAGCAACAGGAUAAAUGAUUCCUGCUUCCAGAAGCUUUAAUGUUUCUUUUCUAACAACCUCUUUCAUCUUAGGAUUUAAUCUCCUUUGAUGAUCAGCAACUGGUUUAAAGUCAGGAUCGGUUUUAAUCUUGUGCUGACAUAGAGUAGGACUAAUACCCUUAAGAUCAUCAAGAGUAUAUCCAAUAGCAGCACGGUGCUUCCUCAGAGUUCUUAGUAACUUCUUCUCUUUGUGCUCUGAGAGGAGAGCACUAAUAAUAACAGGAUAUAUCUCCUUCUCAUCAAGAUAGGCAUACUUAAGAGUAUCAGGCAACUGUUUAAGUUUGAACACAGGAUCACCCUUUGGUGGGAGAGGAUCCCCAAGCACUUCAACAGGCAGAUUAUUCUUGAGAAUAGGAUAUUGUUCUAAGACAAUUUUAUCUAUCUCAUCUCUCUCCUCCAUAUGAAUAUCAUUUUCAUGCUCAAGCAGAUAUUGCUCUAAAGGAUCCGUAGGAGGUACGACAAAUGAGGCAAGAGCAAUAAUUUAAUCUCUCCCAAACGACUCUCUUUCAUGGGGUUGUCUUCCAAACUUAGAGAAGUUAAAUUCAUGAGACACACCCUCGAAAGUAACUGUGACGGUCUGCUUAAUGCAAUUAAUGUGAGCAUUGACAGUGUUGAGAAAGGGUCUACCAAAUAUGAUGGGACAAAAGCUAUCUUGUGUAGUACCAAGGACGAGGAAAUCAGUAGGAUACUUCGUCUUACCACACAGGACUUCUAUGUCUCUCACAAUUCCCAGAGGGCAGAUAGUGUCUCUAUUAGCUAGCAUAAUAGUGACAUCAAUGGGUUCUAACUCAGCAGGUGCAAUCUCAUCUUUGAUUUCAUCAUAUAGAGAACGGGGUAUUGCACUAACACUAGCUCCCAUAUCACAUAAACCAUGGUAACAGUGACCUCCUAUCUUGACAGAAACAACGGGCAGGCCAACUACAGGUCCGUGUUUGUCUUUCGCAUGAGGUUUAGCAAUUCUAGCGGAGUCCUCACAGAAUUUGAUAACAUGCCCUUCUAUGUCUUCGGCUAAGAGAUCUUUGAUAAUAGCAACACUAGGUUCAACUCUAAUCUCCUCAGGGGUGCAAGUGAUCUAAUGUAACACCUACGUAUCACAGUUGGNNNNNNNNNNNNNNNNNNNNNNNNNNNNNNNNNNNNNNNNNNNNNNNNNNNNNNNNNNNNNNNNNNNNNNNNNNNNNNNNNNNNNNNNNNNNNNNNNNNNGGAUGCCUAAAAAGCCUAAGCUUGGGGAUGCCCCGGGAAGGCAUCCCCUCUUCGUCUUCAAUCCAUCGGUAACGUUACUUGGGGCUAUAGUUUUUAUUCACCACAUGUUAUGUGUUUUCCUUGGAGCGUCUUGUAUCGUAGGAGUCUUUUAGUUUUUGUUGUGUCACAAUCUUCCUUGCUGCACAUCUAGAGAGAGAGACGUGCACUCACCGUGAUUUUGUCGAGCUUCACUUAUAUCCUUUGGUUAGACAAUUCAGCUCACAUGUGUUUCACUUAUAUCUUUUGAGCUAGUUGAUUUUGCUCUAUGUGCUUCACUUCUAUCUUUUAGAGCACAGAAGCGCAUGGCGUGGUAGUUGGCAUAUGCUAUGAAAGUAGUCUCAAAAGGGGUAGUUAUCCAAAGGGAUAUGAAAACUUCCACCUUCAUGUGCAUUGAGUAGUUAGAGAAGUUUGAUUCAUCUCAAUUAGUUUUGAGUUGUGGUUGUGGUAAUAUUGAAGUUAUACCAGUAAGGUGUUGUGGAUCUAGAAAUACUUGUGUUGAAGUUAGUGAUUACCGUAGCAUGCACGUAUGGUGAACCGCUAUGUGAUGAAGUGUGAGCAUGAUUAGUCUAUUGAUUGUCAUCCUUUGUGUGGCGGUCGGGAUCGCGCGAUGGUUUAUACCUACCAACCCUUCCCGUAGGAGUGUGCGUUGAAUGCUUUGUUUCGAUUACUACUAAAUUUUUUGCAACAAGUAUAUGAGUUCUUCAUGACUAAUGUUGAGUCCAUGGUUUAGAUGCAUUUUCACCUUCCACCAUCACUAUCUUCUUUAGUGUCGUGCAACUUUCGCCGCUGCAUAAAACCCACCAUUAGCCUCCCUCAAAACAGCCACCAUACCUACCUACUAUGGCUUUUUCAAAGCCAUUCCGAGAUAUAUUGCCAUGCAACUACCACCAUGACAUGUGCCAAAACUUCUACAUUGCCAUUACAUGAUCAUAAGAUAGCUAGCAUGAUGUUUCCAUUGAUGUCUUUGCCAUGCUAGAUCAUAGUCACGGUACACUACCGAAGGCAUUCCAUAUAGAGUCGUCAUUUCUCUAAGUUUUGAGUUGUAAGUGUGAUGAUCAUCAUUGAUGGAGCAUUGUCCCAUGUGAGGAAAUAAAAUUGGCCAAAGAUUCCCACCAAAAAAAGGCCAAAGAGCCCACCAAAAAAGGCCCAAAGAGACCCACCAAAAAAACUGAGAGAAAAAGAGAGAAGGGACAGUGCUACUAUCUUUCCACACUUGUGCUUAUUAAGCACCAUGAUCUUCAUGAUUGAGAGUCUCUCGUUUUGUCACCACCAUAUAGCUAGUGGGAAAUUUUCAUUAUAUAACUUGGCUUGUAUAUUCCAAUGACAGGCUUCCUCAAAAUUUGCCUUUAGGUCUUCGUGAGCAAGCAAGUUGGAUGCACACCCACUAGUUUUCUUUAAGAGCUUUCACAUACUCUUAGCUCUAGUCCAUCAUUUGUAUGGCAAUCCCUACUCAUUCACGUUGAUAUCUAUUGAUGAGCAUCUCCAUAGCUCAUUGAUAUGCCUAAUCGAUGUGACCAUCUUCUCCUUGUUUGCCUUGCAACCUCCACCACACUCCAUUCCACUUAUAGUGCUAAAACCAUGGAUCAUGCUCAUGUAUUGCGUGAGAGUUGAAAAAGUUUGAGAAAGUAAAGGUGUGAAAAAAAUUACUUGGCCAAUACCAAGGUUGUGCAUGAUUUAAAUUCGUUGUGCAAGGAUGAUAGAGCAUAGCCAGACUAUAUGAUUUUGUAGGGAUAACUUUCUUUUGGCCUUGUUAUUUAGGAAGUUCAUGAUUACCUUGCUAGUUUCCUUGAAGUAUUAUUGUCUCCACGUCAAUAGCAAACUAUUGUUUUGAAUCUAAUGGAUCUGAACAUUCACUUCACAUAAGAGGAGUUACAAAGGACAUGUAUGCUAGGUAGCAUGAAAGUAUCAAAAAUUCAUUCUUUAUCACUUCCCUACUCGAGGACGAGCAGGAGUUAAGCUUGGGGAUGCUUGAUACGUCUCAAACGUAUCUAUAAUUCUUGAUGGUUUCAUGCUGUUAUCUUGUCAACUUUGGAUGUUUUAUAUACCUUUUAUAUCUUUUUUGGGACUAACUUAUUAAUUCAGUGCCAAGUGCCAGUUCCUGUUUUUUCUAUGUUUUUGACUCUUUUCAGAUCUGAUUUUGGAACGAAGUCCAAAUGGAAUAAAAUCCCCGAAAUAAAUUUUUCCAGAACAGAAGAAGAUCGGGGGACUUGAGGGCCAAGGCAGGAGGCCCACAGGGAGCCCACAAGUCCUGACAACGCGGCCAGGGGGGCCACGGCGACUAGGCUUGUGGCCUCCCUGGCGCUCCCCUGCCCUAUCUCUUUCGCCAAUAUAUUCCCUACAAUCCCUGAAAAUAUCAGGGCAUCCACGAAAACACUUUUCCGCCGCCGCAAGCUUCCGUUUUCGCAAGAUCUCAUCUGGAGACCCUUCUCAGUGCCCUGCCGGAGGGGACUUUGGAGUUGGAGGGCUUCUACAUCAACAUCAUCGCCUCUCCAAUGACUCGUGAGUAGUCCACUUCAGACCUACGGGUCCGUAGUUAGUAGGUAGAUGGCUUCUUCUCUCUCUUGGAUCUUCAAUACAAAGUUCUCCAUGAUCUUCAUGGAGAUCUAUCCGAUGUAAUCCUCUUUGGCGGUGUGCUUGUCGAGAUCCGAUGAAUUGUGGAUUUGUGAUCAGAUUAUCUAUGAAUUAUAUUUGAGUCUUUGCUGAUUUCUUAUAUGCAUGAUUUGAUAUCCUUGUAAGUCUCUCCGAGUCUUGGGUUUUGUUUGGCCAACUAGAUCUAUGAUUCUUGCAAUGGGAGAAGUGCCUGGUUUUGGGUUCAUACCGUGCGGUGACCUUUCCCAGUGACUGAAGGGGCAGCAAGGCAUGCAUCGUGUUGUUGCCAUCAAGGGUAACAAGAUGGGCUUUCAUCAUAGAUUUGAGAUUGUCCAUCUACAUCAUGUCAUCUUGCUUAAGGCGCUACUCUGUUCUUAUGAACUCAAUACACUAGAUGCAUGCUCGAUAGCGGUCGACGUGUGGAGUAAUAGUAGUAGAUGCAAAAAGUAUCGGUCUACUUGUUUUGGACGUGAUGCCUAUAGAUAUGAUCAUUGCCAUAGAUAACGUCAUGACUUUGCGCGGUUUUAUCAAUUGCUCGAUAGUAUUUCGUUCACCCACCGUCUACUUGCUUUCAUGAGAGAAGCCACUAGUGAACACUACGGCCCCCAGGUCUAUUCAGAAUUGUCGUCUCCACUUUGUUGGUGAACGUCGCAUGGGAAACAAAAAAUUUCCUACGCGCACGAAGACCUGUCAUGGUGAUGUCCAUCUACGAGAGGGGAUUUCCGAUCUACGUACCCUUGUAGAUCGCACAGCAGAAGCGUUAAGAAACGUGGUUGAUGUAGUGGAACGUCCUCACGUCCCUCGAUCCGCCCCGCGAACUGUCCCACGAACCGUCCCGCGAUCCGUCCCACGAUCCGCUCCGAUCUAGUGUCGAACGGACGGCACCUCCGCGUUCAGCACACGUACAGCUCGACGAUGAUCUCGGACUUCUUGAUCCAGCAAGAGAGACGGAGAGGUAGAUGAGUUCUUCGGCAGCGUGAUGGCGCUUCGGAGGUUGGUGGUGAUCUAAUCUCAGCAGGGCUCCGCCCGAGCUCCGCAGAAACGCGAUCUAGAGGUAAAACCGUGGAGGUAUGUGGUCGGGCUGCCGUGGCAAAAGUUGUCUCAAAUCAGCCCUAAUAGCUCCAUAUAUAUAGGAGGAGGGGAGGGGAGGCUUUCCUUGAGGCUCAAGGAACCCCAAGGGCUGCGCCACCAAGGGAGGAGGAGUCCUCCUCCAAUCCUAGUCCAACUAGGAUUGGAUGGUGGGGUCCUUCUCUCCUUUCCCACCUUUCCUUUUUUUUCUUUCUCUUCCUUUGGGUUUUUCUUUCUCUUGCGCAAGACAGCCUUGGGCUGACCCCACCUACUUGGUGCGCCACCCCCAAGGUCCUUGGGCCCUCCCGGGUGGGUGGUCCCCCCUCCCGGUGAAAAUCCAGAACCCAUUCGUCAUUCCCGGUACAUUACCGGUAAUGCCCGAAAACCUUCCGGUAACCAAAUGAAGUCAUCCUAUAUAUCAAUCUUUGUUUCCGGACCAUUCCGGAAACCCUCGUGACAUCCGUGAUCUCAUCCGGGACUCCAAACAUCAUUCGGUAACCAACCAUAUAACUCAAAUACGCAUAAAACAACGUCGAACCUUAAGUGUGCAGACCCUGCGGGUUCGAGAACUAUGUAGACAUGACCCGAGUGACUCCUCGGUCAAUAUCCAAUAGCGGGACCUGGAUGCCCAUAUUGGAUCCCACAUAUUCUACGAAGAUCUUAUCGUUUGAACCUCAGUGCCAAGGAUUCAUAUAAUCCCGUAUGUCAUUCCCUUUGUCCUUCGGUAUGUUACUUGCCCGAGAUACGAUCGUCAGUAUCCGCAUACCUAUUUCAAUCUCGUUUACCGGCAAGUCUCUUUACUCGUUCCAUAAUACAAGAUCCCGCAACUUACACUAAGUCACAUUGCUUGCAAGGCUUGUAUGUGAUGUUGUAUUACCGAGUGGGCCCCGAGAUACCUCUCCGUCACACGGAGUGACAAAUCCCAGUCUCGAUCCAUACUAACUCAACGAACACCUUCGGAGAUACCUGUAGAGCAUCUUUAUAGUCACCCAGUUAUGUUGCGAUGUUUGAUACACACAAAGCAUUCCUCCGGUGUCAGUGAGUUAUAUGAUCUCAUGGUCAUAGGAACAAAUACUUGACACACAGAAAACAGUAGCAACAAAAUGACACGAUCAACAUGCUACGUCUAUUAGUUUGGGUCUAGUCCAUCACAUGAUUCUCCUAAUGAUGUGAUCCCGUUAUCAAGUGACAACACUUGCCUAUGGUCAGGAAACCUUGACCAUCUUUGAUAAACGAGCCAGUCAACUAGAGGCUUACUAGGGACAGUGUUUUGUCUAUGUAUCCACACAUGCACCGUGUUUCCAAUCAAUAUAAUUAUAGCAUGGAUAAUAAACGAUUAUCAUGAACAAAGAAAUAUAAUCAUAACUAAUUUAUUAUUGCCUCUAGGGCAUAUUUCCAACAGUCUCCCACUUGCACUAGAGUCAACAAUCUAGUUCACAUCACCAUGUGAUUCCAACGAAUCCAACACCCAUAUAGUUAUGGGGUCUGGUCACGUCUUGCUCGUGAGAGAGGUUUUAGUCAACAGUUCUGAAACUUUCAGAUCCGUGUGUUCUUUACAAAUCUUUAUGUCAUCUUAUAGAUGCUGCUACUAUGUGCUAUUCGGAAAUACUCCAAAUAUCUACUCUACUAUACGAAUCUGUUUCACUACUCAUAGUUAUUCGGAUUAGUGUCAAAGCUUGCAUCGACGUAACCCUUUACGACAAACUCUUUAACCACCUCCAUAAUCGAGAAAAAUUCCUUAGUCCAUCAGUUACUAAGGAUAAAUUUUGACCGCUGCUAGUGAUUCAAUCAUGGAUCACUUUCUGUACCUCUCAACAGACUUUGAGUCAAGGCACACAUCAGGUGCGGUACCCAGCAUGGCAUACUUCAGAUUCUACGGCCAAGGNNNNNNNNNNNNNNNNNNNNNNNNNNNNNNNNNNNNNNNNNNNNNNNNNNNNNNNNNNNNNNNNNNNNNNNNNNNNNNNNNNNNNNNNNNNNNNNNNNNNGUAAGCAAAAGGAACAAUAGGAUCACUAAAAACUAUGAUUUUCUCCGCAACUAGAUUGGUUUUGGCUAUGUUGCUUUCUACAGGAGGAUGAUAUUUAAACCACUUCUCUUUGGGAAGAUCAACAUGAGCAGCAAAAGAUUCACAUAGAGAAGCUACUAUCUCAGAGUCAAGUCCAUACUUAGCGCUAAAAUCUCUAAAAGUGUUUGUCUCAAUAAAAUAUUUUACGCAAUCAAACUGGAAAUUCAUACCUGACUCCUUACCUUCCUCCAGCUCCCAAUCUUCAGAGUUGCGUUUGAUUCUUUCCAAUCAAUUCCACUUGUGAUCAAUAUCCUUCUUCAUAAAAGAACCGGGACAAGAAGUGUCAAGCAUGGUACGAUCUUCAUGAGAAAGCCGAGCAUAAAAGUUUUGAGUGAUGAUUUCUCUCGAGAGGUCAUGAUUGGGGCAUGAAUAUAGCAUUGAUUUAAGCCUCCCCCGAGCUUGAGCUAUGCUUUCCCUGUCACGAGGUCAAAAGUUAUAAAUAAAGUUCCGAUCACGAUGUACUAAAUGCUUAGGAUAAAACUUUUGAUGAAAUUCCAAUUUCAACCGAUUGUAGCCCCAUGAUACAAUAUCAUCACAUAGCCUAUACCAUGUCAACGCCUUAUCCUUCAAAGAUAAAGGAAAGACUUUCUUCUUUACCUCACCCUCGGGCAAACCUGCAAGCUUAAAUAAACCACAAACUUCAUCUACAAAGAUCAGAUGCAACUCUGGAUGUGAAGAUCCAUCUCUUGUAAAAGGAUUAGCCAGCAGUUUCUCAAGCAUACCCGAAGGAAUUUCAUAAAAGAUAUUUUCAGUAGGUACCUCAGGUUGAGGAACAACUCCUCGUGCUUCCGUUCGUGGUGAAUAUACCCCGAACAAACUCCUCAAAGGAACAAUUUCCAUAGUGACAAGUGACAAUAAAUUUCAGCACAGUAUAAAAAUGUUUCCUUACCAAUUUCCACUUACCAAAGGCGCUUCACUCCCCGGAAACGGCGCCAGAAAAUAUUCUUGAUGACCCACAAUUAUAGGGGAUCAAUCGUAGUCCUUUCGAUAAGUAAGAGUGUCGAACCCAACGAGGAGCAGAAGGCUCUGAUAAACGGUUUUCAGCAAAUAACUGCAAGCACUGAAAGUAGCGGUAACAAGUGAUGGUGUAGUGAGGUGAAACGUAGCAAGGAAAAAGUAACAAGUAACAAGUAGUAGAAAUGGUGCAACAAGUGGCCCAAUCCCUUUUGCAACAAGGGACAAGCCUGAACAAAGUCUUAUAGGAGGAAAAACGCUCCCGAGGACACAUGAGAAUUUCUGUCAUGCUAGUUUCAUCAUGUUCAUAUGAUUCGCGUUUGUUACUUUGAUAGUUUGAUAUGUGGGUGGACCGGUGCUUGGGUACUAUCCUUACUUGGACAAGCAUCCCACUUAUGAUUAACCUCUCCUGCAAGCAUCCGCAACUACAAAAGAAGAAUUAAGACAACGUCUAACCAUAGCAUUAAACUAGUGGAUCCAAAUCAGCCCCUUACGAAGCAACGCAUAGACUGGGGUUUAAGCUUCUGUCACUCCAGCAACCCAUCAUCUACUUACUACUCCCCAAUGCCUUCCUCUAGGCCCAAGUAUGGUGAAGUGUUAUGUAUUCGACGUUCACAUAACACCACUAGAGGAAAAACAACAUACAACAUAUCAAAAUACCGAACGAAUAUCAAAUUCACAUGACUAUUAUCAGCAUGACUUAUCCCAUGCCUUAGGAACAAAAGUAACUACUCACAAAGCAUAAUCAUAAUCAUGAUGAGAGGUGUAAUGAAUAGCAUCAAGGAUCUUAACAUAAACUCUUCCACCAAGUAAUCCAACUAGCAUCAACUACAAAGAGUAAUCAACACUACUAGCAACCUUACAAGUACCAAUCGGAGUCGUGAGACGGAGAUUGAUUACAAGAGAUGAACUAGGGAUUGGAGAGGAGAUGGUGCUGAUGAAGAUGUUGAUGAAGAUGCCUCCCCUCCGACGAGAGGAGUGUUGGUGAUGACGAUGGCGAUGAUUUCCCCCUCCGGGAGGGAAGUUUCCCCGGCAGGAUCGUCCUGCUGGAGCUCUAGAUUGGAUCUGCUCAAGUUCCGCCUCGUGGCGCCGACGAAACCACGAAAAAGCUCCCGAUUGAUUUUUUCUAGAAGGAAACCCUUCAUAUAGCAAAAGAGGGGGCUAGUGGGCCGUCAGGGAGCCCACAAGCUUGCCCUCCGCCACCAGGGGGUGGCGGUGGUAGGGCUUGUGGCGCCCUGGUGGCCCCCCUCCGGUACUUCUUUCGCCUAGUAUUUUUUAUAUAGUCCCAAAAAUUCCAUGUAACUUUUCAGGGCAUUUGGAGAUGUGCAGAAUAGUGGACUAAGAUUUGCUCCUUUUCCAGUCCAGAAUUCCAGCUGCCUGAAUUCUCCCUCUUCAAAUAAACCUUGCAAAAUAAGAGAGAAAAGGCAUAAAUAUGGUACCACAAAGUAAUAUAACAGCCCAUAAAGCAAUAAAUAUCAACAUGAAAGCAUGAUGCAAAAUGGACGUAUCAGACUCCAGAUCUUCCCUCCACAUGAAGAACAAGAGGUGGCGGCGCCUCCGUAUCGUAAAACGUGAUGAAUUCUUCGCCUUUAGUUUUUUUUCGAGCAAAACAGAAUAUAUAGAGCUGAGUUUGGAGGCGGUGGUGCCACGUGGGCCCCACAAGCCCUCACGACGCGACCAGUGGGUGGCCGCGGCCCCUGGUCUUGUGGCCCACUGGCACACCUCCUCCGGUGGAUCUUUGCGGAGGUAUUUUUCAUUUAUUCCAAAAACCAUCUCCGUAAAUUUUCAGGACAUUCCGAGAACUUUUAUUUCUGCACAAAAACAACACCAUGGCAAUUGUGCUGAAAACAGCGUUAGUCCGGGUUAGUUCCAUUCAAAUCAUGCAAAUUAGAGUCCAAAACAAGGGCAAAAGAGUUCGGAAAAGUAGAUACGACGGAGACGUAUCACUUGCUCAUGAAGACCUAGGGCAAUUUUGAGGAAGCCCAUCAUUGGAAUAUACAAGCCAAGUCAUAUAAUGAAAUUCCCAAUAGUAUAUGAAAGUGACAAAACAAGAGACUCUCUAUCAUGAAGAACAUGGUGCUAUUUUGAAGCACAAGUGUGGAAAAAGAUAGUAGCAUUGUCCCUUCUCUCUUUUUCUUUCAUUUUUUUGUUUGGGCUCUUUGGCCCCUUUUUUCAUUUUCAUUUUUUUUUUGUUUUUUCUGGUGGGCAUCUUUGGCCUCUUUUUUUUGGGCUUCGCUGGCCUCUUUUAUUAUUUCCUCACAUGGGACAAUGCUCUAAUAAUGAUGAUCAUCACACUUUUAUUUACUUACAACUCGAUACUUAGAACAAUAAUGACUCUAUAUGAAAUGCCUCCGGCAGUGUACUGGGAUGUGCAACGAUCUAGCUUAGUGUAUGACGUUGAAACAUCUCGCUAGCUAUCUUACGAUCAUGCAAUGGCAAUAUGAAAGUGAUGGCACAUGUCAUGAGAUGGAACGGUGGAAGUUGCAUGGCAAUAUAUCUCAGAAUGGCUAUGAAAAUGCCAUAAUAGGUAGGUAUGGUGGCUGUUUUGAGGAAGGUAUAUGGUGGUUUUGUGCACCGGCAAAAGUUGCGCGGCACUAGAGAGGCUAGCAAUGGUGGAAGGGUGAGAGUGCAUCUAUACCAUGGACUCACAUUAGUCAUGAAGAACUCAUAUUCUUAUUGCGAAAGUUUUAUUAGUAAUCAAAACAAAGUGCUAAACGCUUACUCCUAGGGGAAGGGUUGGUAGGAGUUAACCAUCGCGCGAUCUCGACCGCCACACAAAGGAUGACAAUAAAUAAAUCAAUUAUGCUCUGACUUCCUAACAUAGCGGUUCACCAUACGUGCAUGCUACGUGAAUCACUAACCUCAAUACAAGUAUUUCUAGAUUCACAACACCCUACUAUCAUAACUCUAAUAUUACCAUAUCCAUAUCUCAAAACUAAUUGUGAGGAAUCAAACUUCUCUUACUAAUCAGUACACUUGAAUAUGAAAGUUUUUAUUAUAUCCUCUUCGGAUGCCCAUCAUAUUUAGGACUAAUUUCAUAACACAUGCCAAUUACCAUGCUACUUAGAGAGAGCGCUCUCAAAAUGAUAUAAGUGAAGAUCAGGAGUUUUUAUUUCUACAAAAUAUGACACCGCCGUGCUCUACAAAGAUUUAAGUGAAGCACCAGAGAAAAAUUAUCUAGCUCAAAAUAUAUAAGUGAAGCUCAUGGGAGCAAAAUUAUCUAGCUCAAAAAGAUAUAAGUGAAGCACAUGCGAGCUAAAUUGCCUAACUCAAAAGAUAUAAGUGAAGCUCAUUGAGUAUUCUAACAAAUUCACGAUGAGUGCAUGUCCCUCUCAAAAGAUGUGCAGCAAGGAUGACUGUGAAUAAAACAAAAAGCAAAGACUCCUAUAAUACACGACGCUCCAAGAAAAACACAUAUCAUGUGGUAAAUAAAAAUAUAGCUCCAAGUAGCGUUACCGAUGGAUUGAAGACGAAAGAGGGGAUGCCUUCCCGGGGCAUCCCCAAGCUUAGGCUUUUUGGUGUCCUUGAAUUUGGAUUGUGAUGACUUGGGCAUCCCCAAGCUUAGGCUCUUUCCACUCUUUAUUCCAUUGUCCAUAAGAACAUCACCCAAAACUUGAAAACUUGACAACACAAAACUUAAACAGAAACUCGUGAUAUCAUUAGCAUAAGAAAACAAACCACCAACUUUUUAGGUACUGUUGUAAACUUAAUUUCCAUUUAGAUUGAUGUUAUAUUACUGUAUUCUCACUUCUCCAUGGCUCGUACCCCCCGAUACUAACCAUAGUUUCAUCAAAAUAAGCAAUCAACACAAUAAAAACAGAAUCUGUCAAAAACAGAACAGUCUGUAGCAAUAUGUACAUUUCGUAUAACUCUGCUAUCCCAAAAAUUCUAAAACAAUUAUGAAAAUUAGGGAAAUUUGCAUAUCAAUCAGAAUAAAAAAGAAUCAACUCAAAAUCUCUUUCUGGAUAGGAAUUAAAAAUNNNNNNNNNNNNNNNNNNNNNNNNNNNNNNNNNNNNNNNNNNNNNNNNNNNNNNNNNNNNNNNNNNNNNNNNNNNNNNNNNNNNNNNNNNNNNNNNNNNNUGUUUUGCGGCAAUUAAUGGCCAAGAAAAUGCAAGUUAAGUAUGAUACGUAUUGGGAUGUUGGCAUGAGGAGGUGGACAUUGUGAAUGAAAAGGGGAAGGUGAAAGGAAAUAAAAAGAGGAGGAGUAUGUGAACAUAUUUGUAUUUGCUGUACUGUUCUUGACCCAAGAUUCAAGCUAUCAAAUUUCACAAAACUAGCAAUUGAAGAAAUGUAUGGUGAAAUAAAUGUAGACAAAGCUUGGGAGGCGGUGAAAACAUUUGUGUAUGUUUUGUUUGAAGAGUACAAAGCUAAGUAUUCUCUAACUGAUGCAAGUAAGCAUGUGGGUGCUCCACAAUCUGAACCAGCUCAAAAAGGGAAGGAAGAACAUUGGUGUCUCGGAUUAAUAAGAAGUUGAGAGCUGUUGGUGGUGGUGAAACUAGCAUGAGCAAAUCUGAAUUGGAGAAAUACUUGUAUGAGGAGAAUUAAGUAAAUAGGGGUGAUUUUGACAUUCUAAAAUGGUGGAAGAACAAUGCUGCUAGAUUCCCAGUAUUGGCAAGAAUGCCCCGUCGAUGUGUUAGUUGUUCCGAUAUCAAUGGUUGCGUCGGAGUUGGCAUUUAGUCACGAAGUGGACACGAUCCUAAAAUGAUACUUACGUAAACCUCCUUUUACACCAUUCAUGGUCCGAGCUCUUGUUUGUACCCAAGAUUGGCUAAGGGUUUCGAUGACUCUCGACACUGAAGAUGAGGAGGCAUUGUUAAUCUUGGAAAAGGGUAAUAUGUUGUGAUUGUUUCCUAUAUAAUUUUGUUUAUUUCUGCUUUCCUAUGCUUAUUUCAUUCUUUUUCAGAACUUAUUGAAGAGUUUGGUAGUACAAGUUCAUCUAAGUCAAAGGCAAGCAGUAGCAAGUCUGUUUGCAAGCCAUCUUGUCCACCUCCAUCCUCCACUUAACUGUUGGUGAGUGAGUUGCAAGUAAUUGUUUUUCUCUUGUUCAUAUUUUUUCGUUAGGUAUGAUUCAAAAGAAUGAAAGAUGCAUAACGUAGCCAUGUGUUUUCCAACUUGUGUUGGAAACUCUCAUGACGAAAAGAACAACAUAUUUGCUUCAUAGUUUUUGUUUUAGAUAUUAUAGUUCACCAGAUUCUGUUUUACAUAUAUGAAGUUAUUUUAAUUGAUUCAUGUACACUAUACAGAACAUUACAGAUUUGCACAUCAUCUGUCUCGCUGGAACUUGGGAGUUGGCAACUUGGGAUGGUCAUGAUUCUCCGCACAUGUCAAGAUGCUCAUGUUCAUGAUGGAAAAAAGAGUCUUAUUUCUGGAAUUGUGGCUGCUCUUGAAGUGCACUUCAAUCUCCUGUGUGCUAUGUCUUGAAGUGUAAUAAUAUGAACAUGUGAGGUUGUGUUUGCUAGAACUUGGACUUUGGUUAAGUGUUGUGCUGGUACAUGGACUUUGAUUAUUAUUGGACUAUGUGUUUGUGCUGACUAUUAUUAGACUGCUGAGGCUAUUAUUAUAUUGUGAGAUUGUCACUUCUUUGUUGUGGAUUUUGGAAGUUGAUUUGUUAUGCAUUUUGUGAGAUUAUCACUUAUUUUUUUGUUAUGAAAUCCUUCUAUAUGAUAUUAUGUGAAAAUUGACAAGUUGUGAAUAUGUUCUAUAUUGUGCAUUUUUACAAUUUUGGGUCGUUAUGGUGUCAAAAUUUUCUUUAAAACAUGCAUACUAUAUGUUUGAAAGUGCAUUUUAUGAACCUGAACCAUACUUCGGUGAAAACCGAAAACCGAACCGAAAUUUCGGUUAACCAAAAUUUUCGGUUAGUUACAUUUUCACUCUACAUAUGGUUUCCACUUUUGCAAACCAAAUUCACAAAUAAACCGAAUAGCAGAAACCAAAAUGUCAGUUUCUACCGAAUGCCCAAGCCUAGCCCAACCCACGAGGGGCUGGUGCACACCCUUCUUAGCCCACAUGGCCCCUCCGAGGCUGGUGGACCCCAGAACCUUUCGGCACCAUUCCGAAACUCCACGUGACGUCCGGGAUCUCAUCCGGGACUUCGAAGAACCUUCGGUCACCAACAUACAUAACUCAACAAUACCAAAUCAUCACCGAACGUUCAGUGUGCAGACCUUGCGGGUUCGAGAACUAUGCAGACAUGUCCGAGACACUCUCAGGUCAUAAACCAAUAGCAGGACAUGUAUGCCCAUAUUGGCUCCUAUAUAUUCUACUAAGAUCUAUAUCGGUCGAACCAUGAUGUCAAGGAUUCAACCAAUUCCGUAUACAGUUCCCUUUGUCCAUCAGUAUGUCACUUGCCUGAGAUUCGAUCGUCGGUAUCUGCAUACCUACUUCAAUCUCGAUACCGGUGAAAGAGCAUGUAGUUCCCAUGUGUGGUGUUGGUAAUUGAUGACAAUCCUAAUGGACUAAUGUUUGCAUUGAGUUAUACAUUUGAAGGAAUGAUCUAUUUGCAAUACAUGAAUAAUAUUGGAUGAAUUGAAGUAUGUUUGUUCCAUGAAUAUGGAAGAAGGAGCUUGAAUGAAUUCUAAAUGAAUGUCAUAUACAUAUUGUUGUGCAUGCAUCAAGGAUGAGCUCAAUGAUUGAAUCAAAUAUGAUACGAUCAAGAUGAAUUCCAUGUGAUGAACAAGAUGUGAUCUAUGUGGAGUUCAUUGAGGAUCUUAUACAUUCUCAUGCUUUGGCCUAUGGUUUGAAUCAUGAUGGUUCAAGAUCUUGAGAGAAUAAUUAAAGAUAAGAAUUCUACAUAUGUCUUGAAAAUAGGAUCAUGAUGAGCUCACAUGUUGUACCAUGAAGACGAGCAAGUUAUAGCCAAUAUGAGAUUCAUGGAGAAACUUGAUAUGGUCAUGGUGAAUUGAGAUAUUGGUAACCAUUUCUUAAAGCAAUGAAGCCUAACAAGAGAUCAAUAGGGCCUUCAAGACAUCAAGAUUAAUUAGGGAUCAAAGAUAAAUAUUGACCAAGAUGAAGAUCAAAUAUUUAACUCAAAGUUGGUCAUCACACAAGCGCAAAUGAUGUACCACAUGGGAUCUUGUGGUAUGGUAAGUAAUUGUCCAUUGUACUUUGUGUACUAACCCAUACUAUGGGUUGCCUAUGUCUAUGAGGUUUAGGUAAUUCUCAUGGGCUCGCAUCAAGAGAGCGAUUCCAAGUGUCCAUGAGAGGAUGAAAUCAAGUGUUCAUGAUCAUGUUUGACAAGGGCAAGUUCAAGAUAACCAUUCCUAAGGAUUACAUGCUUGAAGCUUGUGGGUGUUCACAUGAUGGACAAGUGAAGAUGAAUACAAAGCAAGGCUUUCCACAUUGUGUAUGGGAGAUCUACUUGAAGACUUCAUCAAUGUCUUGCCUUCAUCUUGAGCCAAGAAGAAACAAUAACAUCAAGCUCAAGUGAAAGGCUUGACUCAAAGGUAUUAGUUCCUUUGACGUUAGUGCUGUGGAGUGAUGAUCACCGAAUAAACAUAUACACUCACGAAUGGAUUAUCGGUAGCUAUGUAGUGUAGCUCUUUUAUGAUUCAUGAGUUUUAGGGAUCCUGCACUUUUUAGAGGGGAUCAGUGGGUCUUGCAAGAAACUUUCUCAAAAAUCUAGCAAAUACCUCUCUUUCUCUAUCUUCCUGUUGUUGGUCUGCUCUUGUCCGGUCGUCCAGUGGUUCUCGGACGUUCGGACGCCGGAUGACCGACGUCCUCCGGAAAUCCAGAGCCAGCCAACAGAUUCAAACCCUCAGACUUCCGGCUCCUCCGGUCGUCCGAGGACCGGACGUCCAGGUAUGGUAGGAAAUCCGUUGCCACUCAACAGAUUCAAACUGUCGGAUUUCCGACCAUUUCCGGACGACCGUGGCCCAGACGGCCGAUGCCUUUCGGACAUCCGUAUGCUGCUCACCCUAUCACCAAAUGUUGUGCUGACCUAAUACCUUAUGUAUCUUUAGACGACCAGCGUCCUCUGGACUCCGUAUGCUGAUCACCUCUCCACCAAAUACUGUGAUAACCUGGUAUCUUUUGCAUCUUCGGACGACCGACCACUGUCGGAUGUUCGUCCCCUCAUGGCUAUCCGGACGACUGUGAACCAUCUCAAGUGGGAGUUGUCCAACAUAGCUGAAACAUUCCAUGCACAUCUUUCUCUCCCACUCCCAUUUGCUUACACCAAAUCAUAGAUCCCAAGAGCAUCUGUGAGUUCCUUUGGGUGUUGGUCCAAUCAAAAUAUAGAUCGUCUCCCUCUCCUCCUCUCAACCAAAGCUAUUUGUGAUUUGAGCAAGUUUUGAGCAGUUCUUGUGAUCUUGUUACUCUUGGAGGUUGUUGACUCCUAGGCGAUUGAACUUCUUCGGAGAGGAAUCAAACCUUGGAGGGUUUGGAGGCCACCUCAAAUGCCUACCACUAGUGGUUGGGAAUCGCCUUCGUGGUGAUAUCUCAAGGAGAAUAGGGUGAGCCUUCAUGGCGUUGGUGUGCCUUCGUGGCAACAUCCAACUCUCUAACGAUGACUAGCUUCCCUCCAAGGAAGUGAACAUCGGGAUACAUCCUCGUCUCCAUGACUUUGGUUAUCCCUAACCCUAACUCCUUGCUUGUGGUUACUUGAGCGUACAUUCACUUCAUAUUGUUGUCCUCAUUAUAUUGUGUUGGCUAUUUCCCUAUAAAGAUUAAUCAUUUAGGCCUACACUUUAUAUCCCGCAAUUCAUACUUGUUACUAUUGAUAUAUCUUGUGUUUAGUGUGAUUUGCUAACUUGUGUCAUACACUUACAUAUCUUGUGAUAUUUCUCAAGUAAGUUUGUGUAACUUACUUGUGCUUGUGAGUAAUCUUGUUGUGUUCAUCUUAGUAGAACAAGUUGUAGGUGCAUGUAGUUGAGCCUAUUAUAUUUAUGAUUUGUGCUUGAAAAGUAUCCUCUUAGUUUAUUUCCUCAUUAGGAUAAAGCAAAAUCCACAUAAGUUUUAAAACUCCUAUUCACCCCCUCUAGGUGACAUCUUGGUUCUUUCAACCGUCAAGUCUCUUUACUCGUUCCGUAACACAAGANNNNNNNNNNNNNNNNNNNNNNNNNNNNNNNNNNNNNNNNNNNNNNNNNNNNNNNNNNNNNNNNNNNNNNNNNNNNNNNNNNNNNNNNNNNNNNNNNNNNUGAUCACCAUCAUUAGACUCCUCUUCAAUUUAUGUAGGCGUCAUAGGAACAUGUUCCUGCACUGUGCUACUCUCCGGUUGAAGUGACGGUUCAAAAAACCUCAUCAAGUUAUAUCUUCCUCCCACUCAAUUCUUGCGAGAGAAAUGCUACGACAACAAAAGAACUUCCCUGGCAACGGCGCCAGGAAUCCUUCUGCUACGGGCUACGCCUAUAGGGACUUCCUUGGCGAAUAUGCAAAGGAUUCCCCCGCGGCCUUGGAGCCUUGCGUUGGUGUUCCCUUGAAGAGGAAAGGGUGGUGUAGCACAGCGGCGGUAAGUAUUUCCCUUAGUUUGAGAACCAAGGUAUCAAUCCAGUAGGAGGAUCGCGUCAAGUCACAAGUACCUACACAAACACAAAGAGCUUGCACCCAACGCUAUGAAGGGGUUGUCAAUCCUUUAUAGAUUAUUUGCAAAGUGAGAACUGAAAGCAAAAAGUAAACAAAGCAAAGUAAAAGUAAAAGUGUGUUGGAAAUAUGCCCUAGAGGCAAUAAUAAAUUAGUUAUUAUUAUAUUUCUUUGUUCAUGAUAAUCGUUUAUUAUCCAUGCUAUAAUUGUAUUGAUUGGAAACACAGUGCAUGUGUGGAUACAUAGACAAAACACUGUCCCUAGUAAGCCUCUAGUUGACUGGCUCGUUGAUCAAAGAUGGUCAAGGUUUCUUGACCAUAGGCAAGUGUUGUCACUUGAUAACGGGAUCACAUCAUUAGGAGAAUCAUGUGAUGGACUAGACCCAAACUAAUAGACGUAGCAUGUUGAUCGUGUCAUUUUGUUACUACUGUUUUCUGCGUGUCAAGUAUUUGUUCCUAUGACCAUGAGAUAAUAUAACUCACUGACAUCGGAGGAAUGCUUUGUGUGUAUCAAACGUCGCAACGUAACUGGGUGACUAUAAAGAUGCUCUACAGGUAUCUCCGAAGGUGUUCGUUGAGUUAGUAUGGAUCGAGACUGGGAUUUGUCACUCCGUGUGACGGAGAGGUAUCUCGGGGCCCACUCGGUAAUACAACAUCACAUACAAGCCUUGCAAGCAAUGUGACUUAGUGUAAGUUGCGGGAUCUUGUAUUAUGGAACGAGUAAAGAGACUUGCCGGUAAACGAGAUUGAAAUAGGUAUGCGGAUACUGACGAUCGAAUCUCGGGCAAGUAACAUACCGAAGGACAAAGGGAAUGACAUACGAGAUUAUAUGAAUCCUUGGCACUGAGGUUCAAACGAUAAGAUCUUCGUAGAAUAUGUGGGAUACAAUAUGGGCAUCCAGGUCCCGCUAUUGGAUAUUGACCGAGGAGUCACUCGGGUCAUGUCUACAUAGUUCUCGAACCCGCAGGGUCUGCACACUUAAGGUUCGACGUUGUUUUAUGCGUAUUUGAGUUAUAUGGUUGGUUACCGAAUGUUGUUUGGAGUCCCGGAUGAGAUCACGGAUGUCACGAGGGUUUCCGGAAUGGUCCAGAAACAAAUAUUGAUAUAUAGGAUGACUUCAUUUGGUUACCGGAAGGUUUUCGGGCAUUACCGGUAAUGUACCGGGAAUGACGAAUGGGUUCCGGAUCUUCACCGGGAGGGGGGACCACCCACCCGGGAGGGCCCAAGGACCUUGGGGGUGGCGCACCAAGUAGGUGGGGUCAGGCCAAGGCUGUCUUGCGCAAGAGAAAGAAAAACCCAAAGGAAGAGAAAGAAAAAAGGGGAAAGGUGGGAAAGGAGAGAAGGACUCCACCUUCCAAUCCUAGUUGGACUAGGAUUGGAGGAGGACUCCUCCUCCCUUGGUGGCGCAGCCCUUGGGGCUCCUUGAGCCUCAAGGCAAUCCUCCCCUCCCCUCCUCCUAUAUAUAAGGAGCAAUUAGGGCUGAUUUGAGACAACUUUUGCCACGGCAGCCCGACCACAUACCUCCACGGUUUUACCUCUAGAUCGCGUUUCUGCGGAGCUCGGGCGGAGACCUGCUGAGAUUAGAUCACCACCAACCUCCGGAGCGCCGUCAUGCUGCCGAAGAUCUCAUCUACCUCUCCGUCUCUCUUGCUGGAUCAAGAAGUCAGAGAUCAUCGUCGAGCUGUAUGUGUGCUGAACGCGGAGGUGCCGUCCGUUCGGCACUAGAUCGGAGCUGACCGUGGGACGGAUCACGGGACGGUUCGUGGGACGGUUCGCGGGGGGGAUCGAGGGACGUGAGGACGUUCCACUACAUCAACCGCGUUUCUUAACGCUUCUGCUGUGUGAUCUACAAGGGUACGUAGAUUGGAAAUCCCCUCUCGUAGAUGGACAUCACCAUGACAGGUCUUCGUGCGCGUAGGAAAUUUUUUGUUUCCCAUGCGACGUUCCCCAACAGUGGCAUCAUGAGCUAGGUUCAUGCGUAGAUGUAAUCUCGAGUAGAACACAAAAGUUUUUGUGGGCGGUGAUGUGCGUUUUGCUGCCCUCCUUAGUCUUUUCUUGAUUCCACGGUAUUGUUGGAUCGAAGCGGCUCGGAUCGACAUUACUCGUAGACUUACGAGAGACUGGUUUCAUCGCUACGAGUAACUCUGUUGCUCAAAGAUGACCGGCGAGUGUCGGUUUCUCCAACUUUAGUUGAAUCGGAUUUGACCGAGGAGGUCCUUGGAUGAGGUUAAAUAGCAAUUCAUAUAUCUCCGUUGUGGUGUUUGCGUAAGUAAGAUGCGAUCCUACUAGAUACCCAUGGUCACCACAUAAAACAUGCAACAACAAUUAGAGGACGUCUAACUUGUUUUUGCAGGGUAUGCUUGUGAUGUGAUAUGGCCAACGAUGUGAUGUGAUAUAUUGGAUGUAUGAGAUGAUCAUGUUGUAAUAGUUAAUAUCGACUUGCACGUCGAUGGUACGGCAACCGGCAGGAGCCAUAGGGUUGUCUUUAAACUAACGUUUGUGCUUGCAGAUGCGUUUACUAUAUUGCUAGGACGUAGCUUUAGUAGUAAUAGCAUGAGUAGCACGACAACCCUGAUGGCGACACGUUGCUGGAGAUCAUGAUGAUGGAGAUCAUGGUGUGACGCCGGUGACAAGAAGAUCGUGCCGGUGCUUUGGUGAUGGAGAUCAAGAAGCACAUGAUGAUGGCCAUAUCAUGUCACUUAUGAAUUGCAUGUGAUGUUAAUCCUUUAUGCACCUUAUCUUGCUUAGAACGACGGUAGCAUUAUGAGGUGAUCUCUCACUAAAAUUUCAAGACGAAAUUGUGUUCUCCCCGACUGUGCACCGUUGCGACAGUUCUUCGUUUCGAGACACCACGUGAUGAUCGGGUGUGAUAGACUCAACGUUCACAUACAACGGGUGCAAAACAGUUGCACAUGCGGAACACUCGGGUUAAGCUUGACGAGCCUAGCAUGUGCAGACAUGGCCUCGGAACACAUGAGACCGAAAGGUCGAGCAUGAAUCGUAUAGUUGAUAUGAUUAGCAUAGAGAUGCUUACCACUGAAACUAUUCUCGACUCACGUGAUGAUCGGACUUGAUAUAGUGGAUUUGGAUCAUGUACCACUCAAAUGACUAGAGAGAUGUACUUUUUGAGUGGGAGUUCUUAAGUAGUAUGAUUAAUUGAACUAAUUGUCAUGAACAUAGUCUAAUGGUCUUUGCGAAUUACGAUGUAGCUUGCGCUAUAGCUCUACUAUUUCUAUAUGUUCCUAGAGAAAAUUUAGUUGAAAGUUGAUAGUAGCAAACUUUGCAGAGGAUUGUCCUCGUUGCUGCAUAGAAGCCUUAUGUCCUUAAUGCACCACUCAGUGUGCUGCACCUCGAGCGUCGUCUGUAGAUGUUGUGAACAUCCGACAUACACGUUUCUGAUGACUACACGAUAGUUCAGUGCAAAAUACUUAAUGGCUUAGAAGCAAGGCGACGAAGACGUUUUGAAACGUUACAGAACAUAAGUGAUGUUCUAAAGAGAUGAAAUUGUGAUUUCAUGCUUGUGCCCUUGUUAAGAUGUACGAGACCUCCGACAAGAUUCUUUGUCCACAAAGUAAAGGAGAAAAGCUCAAUCGUUGAGCGUGUGCUCAGAUUGUCUGAGUACGACAAUCGCUUGAAUCAAGUGGGAGUUAAUCUUCCAGAUGAGAUAGUGAUGGUUCUCCAAAGUCACUGCCACCAAGCUGUGAGAGCUUCGUGCUGAACUAUAACAUGUCAAGGAUAGACACAAUGAUCCUUGAGCAAUUCGCGAUGUUUGAGAUUGCGAAAGUAGAAAUCAAGAAGGAGCAUCAAUAGUUGAUGGUUAGUAAAACCACUAAGUUUCGAGAAAGGCAAGGGCUAGAUGGGACACUUCGUGAAACGGCAAAACAGUUGAUGCACUAAUGAAGAGACCCAAGAUUAAACCCAAGCCCGAGACUAAGUACUUCUGUUAUGAGGGGAACGGUCACUGAGGCGGAGCAAUUCUAGAUACUUGGUAGAUAAGAAGGCUGGCAAAAGUCGAAAGAAGUAUAUUUGAUAUACAUGAUGUUGAUGUGUACUUCACUAGUACUCCUAGUAGCACGAGGGUAUUGGAUACCGGUUCGGUUGCUAAGUGAUUAGUAACACGAAAUGAAAGCUACGGCCUAAAUGGAUACUAGCUAAAGGCGAGGUGACGAUACGUGUUGGAAGUGUUUCCAAGGUUGAUAUGAUCAAACGUCGCACGCUCCCUCUAUCAUCGGGAUUGGUGGUGAAACCCAAAUAAUUGUUAUUUGGUGUUUGCGUUGAGCAUGAACAUGAUUGGAUCGUGUUUGUUGCAAUACGAUUAUUCAUUUAAAAUAAUAAUAGUUAUUCUAUUUGCUUGAAUAAAUACCCUCAAUGGUUUAUUGAAUCUCGAUCGUAGUGUUACACAUGUUCAUGAUAUUGGUGCCAAAAGAUACGAGGUAAUGAUGAUAGUACCACUUACUUGUGGCACUGCCGCUUGAGUCAUGUUGGUAUAAAUUGCAUGAAGAGGCUCCAUGCUGAUGGAUCUUUAUACUCACNNNNNNNNNNNNNNNNNNNNNNNNNNNNNNNNNNNNNNNNNNNNNNNNNNNNNNNNNNNNNNNNNNNNNNNNNNNNNNNNNNNNNNNNNNNNNNNNNNNNAGAUAUCCACAAAAUUGUUUUUAGCACACACCUGGGGCACUAUGAUCCUUUGGCCUAACUAAUUAUCCAUCUACCUUCCAAUUGCUUAUGAACAUUGUACUUGGGCCCUACUUGAGGAUAUCUGUGUUAGUCUUCUUUGAUGAUAUCCUUAUAUUCAGUAAAUCAUUGAAGGAAUACCUAGAACAUCUCAAGUUGGUGUUUGAUAAACUCACGGAAAAUCAGCUAGUAGCAAAGCUCAGCAAGUGCACUUUUACACAAGAAAAAGUGGAGUAUUUGGGACAAAUUAGCACUUGCCACGGAGUAGCAACUCACUCCUCGGAGAUUUUUGCGAUCGUCCAAUGGCUUGCUCCUAUCACUGUCACACAACUCAGAAGCUUCCUUGAUCCAGUGAAAGCACAUAUGCUCCCUUGGUGAUUUUGAUAAUUCAUGACAACAUACAUUACCUCCUGGACUAACACUUUUACCUACAUUACCUCUUGUCUUAAGGUUUAUGUGGAGAUGCCCCUAGAUGCAAGAAAGGAAUAAUAUUGGCUCAAGCUUCAAGCUAGAAGACUCUUCAUUUUAUAUUUGUGAGAAAUCACUUUUGAGUUCAUAGGAAAGCCAAUAAUAUUAAAAGGCGUGAGGUAGUAUAAUGAACGGAUUGCUCAAAUGCUCAAAUUUAGCUACCAAAACACUGAGUCUUUUUUCCCACAUAUCCACUCUAUCAAGUUCCACAUACACAAAUUCGGAGUCACCAACAUUGCCACAUCGAACCCACUGAGUUUGAACCUUAGACAGAACUAUAGCCAUUCCCUCCAAAUCGUGCAACUGAAACUGCAUCGGUGCUACCGAGUUCAGUGUGACCAACAUUCUAUUGCCAAGAUACACAAAAUUGGAAUUCCCGAGUUUGUGUAUCGGUGCCACCGAGUUUGCCCAUCUGACCGUUAGUCACCCUUUCGGUGCCAUCGAGUUCUAUAUAUCGGUCUCACCAAGAUUCAAAGUUCACACUUUCAGUACUAGUCGGUUCCACCGAGUUGUCCACUUCGAUGUCACUAAGUUUGCACUUUUGUGUGUAAUGGUUGGAUUUUGGCUGCUGCCUAUAUAUACCCCAUCACCCACCUCUCAUUCGUGGGAGAAGCACUCGGAACACACACUUCAUUUCCAGAUCCAUUUUCUGAGAGGGAACCACCUACUCAUGUGUUGAGACCAAGAUAUUCCAAUCCAAUCAUAUGAAACUUGAUCUCUAGCCUCCCCAAACUGCUUUCCACCAAAUCAACCUCUCCUACCCAUGCAUAUUCUGUGUGAGCGAGAUUUGUGUCGAGGAGACUAUCUUUAGAAGCACAAGAGCAAGGAGUUCAUUGGUCUACACCAUCUAUUACCUUUUGGAGGGUGGUGCCUCCUAGAUCGGUUAGGUGUCGCUUGGGAGCCUCCUACUUCGUGUUGUGGAGUUGAUGUUGGGGAACGUUGCAUGGGAAACAAACAAAUUCAUACGCACACGAAGACAUAUCAUGGUGAUGUUCAUCUACGAGAGGAGAUUAGAUCCACAUACCCGUGUAGAUCGCUAAGCAGGAAGCGUUAAGAAACGCGGUUGAUGUAGUGGUACAGCUUCGUGAUUCAAAUCACCGUCGUCCCACGAUCCGUUCCGAUCUAGCGCCGAACGGACGGCACCUCCGCGUUCAGCACACGUACAGCUCGAUGAUGAUCUCGGCCUUCUUGAUCCAGCAAGAAAGACGGAGAAGUAGAUGAGUUCUCUGGCAGCGUGACGGCGCGCCGGUGGUGGUGAUGAUCUACUCCUGCAAGGCUCCGCCCGAGCUCCGCAGAAAUUCGAUCUAGAGGAAGAACUACGUGAUAUAGGUUUGAGUUGCACGUGGCAAAGUUGUGUCUCAAAAAGCCCUAAAACCACCAAUAUGUAUAGGAGGAGGGGAGGGGCUAGCCUUGGGGCUCAAGGGAACCCCAAGGGCGCCGGCCAAGGAGGAGGAGGUAGACUCCCAACCCAUUCGGUUUGGGGGAAGGAGCCCACUCCUUCCUUCCCACCUCCCUCUUUCCUUGGUUUUCUUUUUCCUUUGGUAUUUUUCUCUUGUGGCGCCAUAGCCCUCUUGGGCUGGCCUCACCAGCCCACUAAGGGCUGGUGCGCCACCCCAGGGUUAUUGGGCUCAGUCCCGGGUGGGUUGGCCCCUCUCGGUGAAUACCUAGAACCCAUUCGUCACUCCUGGUACGAUGCCAGUAAUGCUCGAAAUCUUUCCGGUGACCAAAUGAAAYCAUCCUAUAUAUCAAUCUUUGUUUCCAGACCAUUCCAGAAACCCUCGUGACAUCCGUGAUCUCAUCCAGGACUCCGAACAACCUUCGGUCACCAACACAUGUAACUCAACUAUACUAAAACAUCACCAAACCUUAAGUGUGCAGACCCUGCGGGUUCGAGAACUAUGCAAACAUGACCCGAGGCACUCCCCGAUCAAUAUCAGAUAGAGGGACCUAGAUGUCCAUAUUGGAUCCUACAUAUUCUACAAAGAUCUUACCGGUUGAACCUCUAUGCCAAGGAUUCAUAUAAUCCCGUAUAUCAUUCCCUUUGUCCUUCGGUAUGUUACUUGCCCGAGAUUUGAUCGUCGGUAUCCCUAUUCCUAUUUCAAUCUUGUUACCGGCAAGUAUCUUUACUCGUUCCGUAAUACAAAAUCCCGUGACUUACACUUGAGUCACAUUGCUUGCAAGGCUUGUAUGUGAUGUUGUAUUACCAAGUGGUCCCCGAGAUACCUCUCCAUCACACGGAAUGACAAAUCUCAGUCUUGAUUCAUGCUAACUCAACGAACACCUUCGGAGAUACCUGUAGAGCACCUUUAUAGUCACCCAGUAACGUUGUGACGUUUGAUACACACAAGGUAUUCCUCCGGUGUCAGUGAGUUACAUGAUCUCAUGGUCAUAGGAAUGAAUACUUGACACGCAGAAAACAAUAGCAACAAAAUGAGACGAUCACAUGCUACAUUUAUAAUUUGGGUCUUGUCCAUAACAUGAUUCUCCUAAUGAUGUGAUCCCGUAUCAAGUGACAACACUUGCCUAUGGUCAGGAAACCUUGACCAUCUUUGAUCAACGAACUAGUCAACUAGAGGCUCACUAGGGACAGUGUGUUGUCUAUGUAUCCACACAUGUAUUUGAGUUUCCAAUCAAUACAAUUCUAGCAUGGAUAAUAAAUGAUUAUUAUGAAGAAGGAAAUAUAAUAAUAACUAAUUAAUUAUUGCCUCUAGGGCAUAUUUCCAACAGUCUCCCACUUGCACUAGAGUCAAUAACCCAGUUCACAUCACUGUGUGAUUGUAAUGAAUCUAACACCCAUAUAGUUCUCGGGUUCGAUCAUGUCUUGCUUGUGAGAGAGGUUUUAGUGAACGGUUCUGAACCUUUCAGAUCCGUGUGUGUUUUUACAAAUCUUUAUGUAAUCUUAUAGAUGAUGCUACUACGUGCUAUUCGGAAAUAUUCCAAAUGUCUACUCUACUAUACGAAUCCAUUUUACUACCCACAGUUAUUCGGAUUAGUCUCAAAGCUUGCAUCGACGUAACCCUUUACGACAAACUCUUUAAUCACCUGCAUAAUCGAGAAAAGUUCCUUAGUCCACUUGUUACUGAGGAUAACUUUGACCGAUGUUUAGUGAUUCAAUCCUGGAUCACUCUUUGUAGCCCUUGACAGACUCAUGGCAAGGCACACAUCAUGUGCGGUACAUAGCAUGGCAUACUGUAGAGCCUACGACUAAAGCAUAGGGGACAACCUUCGUCCUUUAUCUUUCUUCUGUCGUGGUCGGGCUUUGAAUCUCACUCAAAUUCACACCUUACAACRCARCCAAGAACUCCUUCUUUGCUGAUCUAUUUUGAACUCCUUCAAAAACUUGUCAAGGCAUGCAUCUUGUUGAAACUUCUAUUAAGCGCUUUCGAUCUAUCUCCAUAGAUCUUUGAUGCUCAACGUUCAAGUAGCGUAAUCCAGGUACUCCUUUGAAAACUCCUUUCAAACAACCUUGUAUGCUUUACAGAAAUUCUACAUUACUUCUGAUCCACAAUAUGUYAACCACAUAUACUUAUCAGAAAUUCUAUAGUGCUYCCACUCACUUCUUUGGAAAUACAAGUUUCUCAUAAACAUUGUAUAAACCCAAAAUCUUUGAUCAUCUCAUCAAAGUGUAUAUCCCAACUCCGAGAUUCUUGCACCAGUCCAUAGAAGGAUCGCUGGAGCUUGCAUACUUGUUAGCUGAUACGUCUCCAACGUAUCUAUAACUUUUGAUGGUUCCAUGCUAUUAUCUUGUCAACUUUGGAUGUUUUAUAUGCAUGAAUAUGCUAUUUUAUAUCUUUUUUGGGACUAACCUAUGAACUCAGUGCCAAGUGCCAGUUUCUGUUUUUUCCGUGUUUUUGGCCCAUUUUCAGACGGAGUCCAAAUGGAAUGAAACUUUACGAUGAUUUUUUUGGACCAAAAGAGACCCCGAAGCUUUGGGAGAAGGCCAGAUGGGCCACGAGGGAGUCACAAGCCCUCACUCGACCCCCCCCCCGGUGGUGGCGCGCAGGCUUGUGACCUCCUCGUGGGCCCAACUGACGAAAUUCCACCGCCAUAAAUUCAGAAACCCCCAGAAAGAAACCUAGAUCGGGAGUUCCACCGCCGCAAGCCUCUGUAGCCACCAAAAACCAAUCUGGAGCCCGUUCUGGCACCCUGCCGGAGGGGGAAUCCAUCUCCGGUGGCCAUCUUCAUCAUCCCGACGAUCUCCAUGAUGAGGAGGGAGUAGUUCUCCCUCUAGGCUGAGGGUAUGUACCAGUAGCUAUGUGUUUGAUCUAUCUCUCUCUCGUGUUCUUGAGAUGUCUUGAUCUUGAUGUACCAUGGGCUUUGCUACUAUAGUUGGAUCUUAUGAUNNNNNNNNNNNNNNNNNNNNNNNNNNNNNNNNNNNNNNNNNNNNNNNNNNNNNNNNNNNNNNNNNNNNNNNNNNNNNNNNNNNNNNNNNNNNNNNNNNNNACAUUUCGUAUAACUCUGCUAUCCCAAAAAUUCUAAAACAAUUAUGAAAAUUAGGGAAAUUUGCAUAUCAAUCAGAAUAAAAAAGAAUCAACUCAAAAUCUCUUUCUGGAUAGGAAUUAAAAAUAAUUUCGUGAGCACAAAGUUUCUGUCUUUUUCAGCAUGAUUAAACAACUAUCACCAAAACUAAUCUUAAAGGUUCUACUUGGCACACACACUAAUUAAAACAUAAAAGAUAUAAUCAUAACAGAAUCAUGAUGGUGUGAACUCAACGAAAUAGAAAGCAUUAGGUUGCCUCCCAACAAGCGCUAUUGUUUACGCCCUUAGCUAGGCAUAAGGCAAUAGAAUCAAGUAUUGUCAUCUUUAGUGCUCAAACCACUCAUACCAUCAUCAUUACUAGGGAUUUCUUUAAUUUUAUCAAUAAUUAUACUCCUAUAUAGGCAACAAAGAUAAUCAUUAGUGAUGAUAGGUUUUUUUUUAAGAUAUCAAGAUUGGUAGGGUGAACACUCAACAUUUUAAGAUCUUCAUCUCUCUUACUAGAUGGUUCACCAUUGUUUUUAGGAACAUAAACAAGCUUAGUGGCCUUAUUGUGGGCAAAAUUUGGAGUGUUCUGAACAGCAGCAAAAGCCGGAACCCAAGUUGGUUAUAACAUCCUCUAGUUUGCCAAUUCUAGCGGAAUCAUGAUCUAGUUUUUCGUUAACUAUGGGUUCCUUCUCCUUUAAUUUUUUUAAAGUCAUUACCACCCUGGAUCCAUAUUGAGUGAUUUGAUUGUGGAUAUUUUUAUCCAAAUUUUCAAUGAGUUCUAUCGUAGCAACUUUAUUUUCAAUAAUAUCCAGCCUACGCAUCACAUGUUCCACAGUUAAAGUAGUUCCAUUAACCAUGAGUGGGGGUGAGCCUACCAAAUUUACUAAAGCACCAUAAGAAUCAACGGUAUGGAUACCCAAGAAAUUUCCGCCUACGAUGGUGUCAAGAACAUACCUAUUCCAAGGGGAAAUACCCACAUAAAAAUUGCGAAGUAAAACGGUAGUAGAUUGCUUACGAGUAGAUCUAUUCCGAGCAUUGCAAAUUCUAUACCAAGCAUAUUUUAAGUUUUCUCCCUCAUUUUGUUUAAAGUUAAGAACCUCGCUCUCGGGAGUAAUGAUCAUAGCGAUAGGACUAGCCAUAAGGAUAAGUAGACUAACCCACACAAGCAAACAUAAAGUAAGCGAAAGAAAGGGCGAACGAAAAAGGCAAAUAAAGAAAGGCAAAUAUUUUUUUAAAUUUUGUUUUAGAAGUGGGGGAGAGGAAAACAAGAGGCAAAUGGAAAAUAAUGUAAAUGCAAGAGAUGAGUUUGCGAUAGGUACUUGGUAGAUAUGCUUCACUUGAAUACUCCCCGGAAACGGCGCCAGAAAUUCUUCCUCCUACUUCUUGAGCUUGCGUUGGUUUUUCCCUUAAAGAGGAAAGGGUGAUGCAACAAAGUAGAGAUAAGUAUUUCCCUCAGUUUGAGAACCAAGGUAUCAAUCCAGUAGGAGUAUCAAGAUGAGGCACCAAGGCACCUGCGCAAAGACAAACAAAAUUGCACCCAACGCGAUAAAGGGGUUGUCAAUCCCUUUACGAUUACUUGCAAAGUGAGAUCUGAUAGUGAUAAUAGGUAAAUAUAAAUAAAUAAAUAAAAGUGCAACAAUGUAUUUUUGGUAUUUUUGUAUGUAGAUCUGAAUAUAUAAUGUGUAAAAUAGACCUGGGGGCCAUAGUGUUCACUAGAGGCUUCUCUCAUGAUAUCAAGUAUUACGUGGGUGAACGAAUUAUUGUCGAGCAAUUGAUAGAAUCGCGCAAGGUCAUGACGAUAUCUAAGGCAAUGAUCACACAUAUAGGUAUCACGUCCGAGACAAGUAGACCGAUAGUUUCUGCAUCUACUACCAUUACUCCACACAUCGACCGCUAUCCAGCAUGCAUCUAGUGUAUUAAGUUCAUAACUAACAGAGUAACGCCUUAAGCAAGAUGACAUGAUGUAGAGGGAUAAAUUCAUGCAAUAUGAUAUAAACCCCAUCGUUUUUACCCUUGAUGGCAACAACACGAUGCGUGCCUCGCUACCCCUUCUGUCACUAGGUGAGGACACCGCACGGUAUGAACCCAAAAUCAAGCACUUCUCCCAUUGCAAGAAUUAUAGAUCAAGUUGGCCAAACGAAACCCAUAACUCGAAGAGAAUUACAAGGAUACGAAAUCAUGCAUAUAAGAAAUCAGAGGAGACUCAAAUAAUAUUCAUAGAUAAUCUGAUCAUAAAUCCACAAUUCAUCGGAUCUCGACAAACACACCGCAAAAGAAAGUUAUAUCGGAUAGAUCUCCAUGAAGAUCAUGGAGAACUUUGUAUUGAAGAUCCAAGAGAGAGAAGAAGCCAUCUAGAUACUAGCUAUGGACCCGAAGGUCUGCGGUAAACUACUCACGCAUCAUCGGAGAGGCAAUGGUGUUGAUGAAGAAGCCCUCCGUGUCCGAAUCCCCCUCCGGCAGGGCACCAGAACGGUCCCCAGAUGGGAUCUCGCGGAAACAGAAGUUUGCGGCGGCGGAAAAGUAUUUUCGUGUCUCUGUGUGUUGGUUUGGAGAUUUUAGGGAAUUUAUAGGCGAAAGAGGUAGGGCAAAGGAGGCACGGGGGGCCCAUGAGCCUGUUAGGCGCGCCCCCUAGGGCGCGCCUAGGGGGCUCGUGGCCUCCUCUGUGGCCCUCUGCCUUGGUUCUCAAGUCUUCUGGAUCCCUUCUGUUAUGGAAAAAAUCAUCCCGAAGGUUUUAUUCCGUUUGGACUCCGUUUAAUAUUCUUAUAUAAAAAAGGUCAAAAACACGAAAAAACAGAAAUUGGCACUGGGCACUGAGUUAAUAGGUUAGUCCCAAAAAUGAUAUAAAAUAGCAUAUAAAUGCAUAUAAAACAUCCCAAGUUGAUAAUAUAAUAGCAUGGAACAAUAAAAAAUUAUAGAUAUGUUGGAGACGUAUCAGGAAUCCACUUGAUCUUGGCUUGAAGUUAUUCCUCAAAUGAGUUAAUCUCCUCUUGAAGCUUGCCAUUACCUUGUGGUCUUGUGGUGGAAGGUCAUAUUGAGAGCUUGUUCCCUUGGGGAGAGUAGGAUCAUACUUCUCCUUUUGGGGAACAAACUUCGGGAUGGGGUAUUGACCUUCUUCCCAUUCAACUAUGUUGGCAUUGAAGUACCCAACACAUUGCUUCUUUUGAUGUCCUCCUUGCUUGCAUACAAUUUCCUAGAAUUGCUUACUUCCGGCAAGACUAUUGAAGACACCUCUCUCUAUAAUUCCUUUCAAUAAAUCGUUUUCUUCCUCGAGUAUAACUUGGCUAAGAGCAUUAUUAGUGGAAUCAAGAGAGCUACUAGCAGCAACAUCAUUUGAUUUAACUUUAGAAUUGUUGUUACUAGAUGAAGAAACCUUCUUGCCUUUGUUAAUAGUGUUCUUAGGUUUAACUUAUGGAACAAAAGUAGACAAGAGUAAUCGUUUGGCUAGAUAAGAAGAACUCUUCUUUCGAAGAUCAUCAUUGAUUGCUUUUAGAAACUCAUGCUCUUGCUCUAAGUUUAUCUUCUCGAAGUGUAGCUUCUCAUGAGUUCUUGCAAGAUCUCUAUGAUCUUCUAGAGUAGUUUAUGGGCUAACUUAAGAGUGUUUAAUUCUUUAGCUAGUCGUUCAAUCUCUUUCUUAUCAUCAUCAUUCGACUCCUCUUGACUAGCAUGAUUAUUAUCAAGUUCAUUUUUACCACUGUCACUAGUUUUAUCAAAGAGCAAGUCAUGUUCUCCUAACAAGUCAUCCUCAUCACUAAAAAAUUAAAAGUACCCGGGGUGUGAUACCUUGGGGCCUUUUUGCCACGAAACAGUUUCCAAUCCCUUCAUUUGGUGAAUCGAAUAUGUCAUAGGAGUUGAAGGAAACGAGUGCAAGACCGGAAACACCUUCAUCUUGACUAUGGUCAGAGUUGGAGUGGUAGCUUCUCUCGGAUUGGUUGUCGGACUCAGAGCCAGAUACCCAUUCACCAACAUGAGCUUUAUGCCUUCUUCUUGAGUGGCUCUUGGUGUAGUCGACCUUCUUCUCUGAUUCCUUCACUACAGGAAUCAGCUUCUUUGCCGUCUGCCAUCACAAACAGCAAAGACAAUAUCACAGACAGCAAAGAUUCUCACGGACGGCAAAAUUUCUGCUUCAGCCUACGAUGACAUAGGACCUUCUUUGCCGUCUGCCCAUGCAAAGCGGACGGCAAAGCUCUUUGCCGUCAGCUUUCCUUAGGAGCAGUCGACAAAGUGCUCGAGACGGCAGCCGACACGCGUUGCCUCCGUUAGGCGUUAACGGAGGCUUUGUCGUCUGCCUCCCCGUCCAUCUUUUCCGUCUGCCUCCCCGUCCAUCUUUGCCGUCUGCCUUCUCCUCCCCUCCCCUCCCCCUCCAUCCUUGCCGUCUGCCUCCCCGUCCAUCUUUGCCGUCUGCCGGCUCCUCCCCUCCCCCCUCUCUNNNNNNNNNNNNNNNNNNNNNNNNNNNNNNNNNNNNNNNNNNNNNNNNNNNNNNNNNNNNNNNNNNNNNNNNNNNNNNNNNNNNNNNNNNNNNNNNNNNNUCCGGGAUUAGGGGGUCCUCACACCGCCUACUUGUCCUCAUGGGUAGGACUCUCUGGAAUGUUCUGCCAUUGGCACAAGAGUUGGAUUCAACAUGAACUCUUUCGAAGACUUGACAUGUAGUCCAUGGAGAUGUAGUAAUCGGCAUAUUCCUUCUCUGUUGUAACUGACCUUGCGUAAACCUUGAAACCCCGGGCAUCAAUAUAAGUCGGGGGUUUGUAGAUCGUAGGAUAGAUCAAGCUCAAUGCGAUUGGGGUUUAGACCACAACAUCGAUCUCGUAGUAGAUCAACAUUGUACUAUGUACUAUCUCCUCAAUAACAAAAAGAGCAGGACAUAGGGUUUUACCUCCAUCAAGAGGGCCUGGACCUGGGUAAAUCACCGCCCCAUUGUCUCUUGUUACCCAUCGAACCUAGAUCAAUAGUUCGGACACCCUACUCGAGAUCGACCGGUUUUUACACCGACAAUAGUAACCACUUUUUAGAACAAUCUUACUAAACACUUUUGCACCAUUUAGCUCAUCCAACAUGUCUUCUAUGACUGGUAUGGGAUAUUUGUUCUUGAUGGUGUGGGAAUUAACCUUUUUGAAAUCAUUGCAAGGCCUCCAAGUAUUGUCCUUUCUCUUUACUAGGAUAGCAUGGGAGUUGUACGGACUAGAGUUGUUUCUGAUAAUGUUCUUUUUCAACAUAUCUUGCACAAUUUCUUCCUUAAUAUUCUUCUCAUGGUGAGGGAUGUUGUAGCACCUCUGAUUCAUGAUUGGAGCUCCUUUUCAUUGGAAUAGUGUGAUCACAUAGUCUUUUAGGAGGCAGUGUUGUAGGUUCAAAGAACAUGCAAGAGUAUUUAUCAAUGAUUUGUCGCACAGAUUGUGGGUGUUGUAAUGCUAUUACAUUUUCAACUGGGACUGGUUGUACCACAGUAAUGCUCGACAAACCAUGUCUUGAACUAGGUCUAGUUGUUCAGGAGUGAUAACUUCACGAGGGCAGAGCAAGCAAGCUGUCGCCAAAGAAAGAUGCCAUUUUCCCAUUAUCUAGUUUCCCCCCCCCAUCAACAUUUUAGGAAGGUCCAUUGUAAUUGAGUUGUGUCUGUACAUCCAAUCAGCUCCUAGGAUAAUAUCACAUCCCCUUAAGUUGAGCAAUUUGAAAUCUAAGGGGAAUUGUUCUCCUUGUAUGACAUAAGAGGUGUUAGUGCAGCUGAAUUCACUCCUGAUUUUGCCCCCAUUGGCUACAUUAACUUGCAUUUUAUUUACAACAAUUAUAUUGCAAUUUGCCCUUUUUUGCCAUAUCACAUGAGAUGAAAGAUGUAGUACUACCACUAUCGACUAGAGCAGUGCCCAAACAGUUCUUGAUAGAAACACUCAUAGUGAAAGUAUAUUUCUUUUUAAUGAUUUUCUCUCCUUGCAUAGCAUGCAUAGAAAUGUGCAACGGUUUAGUAUCAUUAUUUGUCUCCUGAUUAUCUUGCUCCUCAUUGUUGGCAGUAAUGUAAACCAGUUCAGGUUCCUCAUGAUAUGGUCCAUGCAAAGCAUGUAUUUGGACCUUAUUUGCUAGUCUGCAAACUUGUUUGUGACCAGGAAACCAGGGCUCCUUGCAUUUGUAGCAUAUUCCUUGGAGCCUUGCUUUAUGAAUUAUUGUUACAAGAUUAGUAACUAUAGUAGCAGGGGGAGAAGUGAUUUGCUUGGGGUAUUCAAACUACACUUGUCUCUUUUCUUGGGGAUAAUAAUAUUUAGACUAUUGUGGCACACGGGGCAAGCAGGUUCCAUCCUUCUUGCAUACUAAAUUGCUUGCUGCAUAUUGGUUGGUUUCUGAACUUCUACAUGACUCUAGAGAUAAGGUGUCAGACCAGCAAUGAAGCUGCUAAUAAAAUAAUCACCAGUCCGAGCAGGGUUAUCUCUCCUCAUUAAGUUCAUGUUGCACUCAACUUGAGUUAUGUAGGCACUGAUUGUAGAUGUCUGUCUCGGGGAAUGGAAAGCCUUGACAUUAUCACAAACUGAAGAUACCACAAAUCUAUGUGUUAGGUAAGAGCAAAACUUGCGCUAGGGCAGUGUGGAGGCUUGGAAUCCAGUGCCUCUUCACCAUUGUACAACAUUUACCUUGAGAUAGGACACAUCAACUUAUGUUCUCUGGUCCAAGAGAGUUCUGGCAGAGUCCAAAUACUAUUCAAUGUUCUGUAUCCAAAAGUCUGCAUCAAAACCAUCAAAUUCUACAAUGUUUAUCUUGAAAGGUUUAACAAUGAGAUUACUUGUUCUGGUAUCUGUGGUGGUGGGUCUUCCCUUUCUAUUAUUGUUCUAGUUACCAUCAUCUUUCCAGUCUCGGAGUUGGUGAAUUUGAUAUAUUUGCACUUGCUCUUGUUUGUUGGCAACAUGAUUAGGAUGCCUGUAGGGAACUUCAAUAGAACCAUCGAAGUUUCUUUCUUGACCAUUGUCAUCUUGGUGUGUAGAGGAUCGAGUCACAAUGCUAUUGGGUCUGUCGACAAUGGCCAGUGAUUGCAAUUGUUUGGUUUUGUCGGGGGAAGGAGGGUUAGUAACUCACACAUGUUGACCACUGGUUGCUUGAAUAGAAGCUUCAGCUUGCUCACCAUCAGUGUCAGGUAUGCGAACUGCAAAUAACUUUUUGAAGUUGGUUUGGAUCUUACCAAAGUUUGUUUGGAUACAAGCAAAAUUCUAGUUGCAAGUAGGGGGAAAUUCUUGGAAUCACUUUAUGUCCUCUUCACGAAGCUCAUGCAGAGUUUUGAUAUCAAGUUGCAAACUUUCAAGAUCGAGCUCGGCAGUUUGCUUGGAAUCUCUUGGUAAUUUGGUCACGUCGACAAGAGAAGAAUGAGGAGCUUCCGUUUAUAGCUCCACUUGUUGCUAAAUUCCAACUCGGAGGGAGAGGGGGGUUUUUACCAUUGUUGCCGGCAACCAGUCGCUCUUCUCCAUAGUUCUGCCGCCGCAAACACCUCCAACGCCGCCACCCGCCAUCAAGUGAUGCACCAAAGUGGUUGGGUGGGUGGGAUUUAACACUGAAGGUGAUGAUCUUUAGCAUCCACUCCCAAGACUCUGCUGCAUCUGAACGGUGUACUCCACCACUCGUCUCCGGUCGAGCUCAUCGUCGCGCAGAAAACGUGCUCAACGGAAGGAUUUUACGGCCUAGCCAACUUUGCUUGAGAACGAUUUGAUCGUCUCCGAGGAACGCUCGCACUUGAUACCAAUUGACAAUAUCUAGUUUUUGAUCUAUGCUAUAUUAUCAAAAUCAAGCUCAAAACCGAUUUGAUUAGCUCACUUCGAGAGGAAAGAUUUAUGGAUAUGGGGAUUACAAAACUAGGGUUCCUAGCCAGCCGAAAUAUGCACGCCUGCGGAAAACCCCUUACACAAGAAGAUGGUUCUCACCAUCCCCAAAUUGUGGCUUGUAUAGCCACAGAAAGUGUACAAGAAAUUAAAAAGAGCAGCAAAGUAGUUGGCCUUUGUCGUAAAGGCAACAACGACUCCCACACACGUACGAGCCAUUGGGUGGAUGACCUGGGGUCAGUAGGAGCUUGUCGUUGUGAAGCGGUAUGAUGCGAUGACAUGCGUUGGAUAUCCAUGAGACGACAGUGAAGGCGCCCGACAACGACAAAUGACGUGAAACAAUGAAAUGGUAGCAAAUCUUUAGUUUUGUUAGUUGAGGGUCUGAUGGCUGUUGUGUAUCCCUUGCAAUGGCGCCAGAAAUAGUUGUGUCGACGGCACCAGGAAUCCUUCAGCUGCGGCUACGCCUUAAGGGACUUCCUAGGCAAGUAUGCAAAGGAUUUCCCACGUGGCCUUGGAGCCUUGCGUUGGUGUUCCCUCGAAGCGGAAAGGGUGAUGUAGCACAGCGACGGUAAGUAUUUCCCUCAGUUUGAGAACCAAGGUAUCAAUCCGGCGGAAGAGUAUCUCAAGAUCCUACACAAACACAAAAGCUUGCACCCAAUGCUAUGANNNNNNNNNNNNNNNNNNNNNNNNNNNNNNNNNNNNNNNNNNNNNNNNNNNNNNNNNNNNNNNNNNNNNNNNNNNNNNNNNNNNNNNNNNNNNNNNNNNNAAUUGAACAGGGACUGAUGCCUCGUGAGGCCCGGCCGACGUACUGGCCGACUUACAAGAUAGGAGGUGGAGUUUUAUUAUACUGGAAUUGCACAGUUGUGUCUGGAUUUUUUUGGUAUGUACUUAGUAUGCUGUCCAGCUUGCGUUUCUUAUAAAUUUCUCAGAAAGCGAAGCUGCUUUCUCCUAUUGUGUCGUAAACAAGUGUUGCAUAAGUUUCCAACAUUGAUUGGAUUUCAAAACUAGUCAACCUAUUUGAGUUGCUCUUCAUCAAAAUGCAAUUCUCUUCACAAUGCCCACGAUUCUCCACUUCGGUCUCUUUUGCUGUACAGUACAACCCUGCUCACCUUGGUUUUAUUCCAGCCUCGUGAUUGCCUUACUACUUCGGCAAUGUACAAGAACCUAUCGAAAUCAAAGCAUUGCCCUCGAAAAAUCUCCCUGCCAACAUAUGAUCCCAUCGGUAAGUAUUAUCCCUUAUACAGAAGCUUAUAAGUUUGCUUAUGUGUUGUUCAACCCCUGGUGCCAAUGCUAAUCUUGAUCUCUGAAUAUCUGCAGUACUCGCCAAUUCAACACUGGAGAUUGUCCCAGAAGCCAGCGCCAAUGGGUUGUACUUCUUUACAUCCUAAGAUACUGAGCAUUGCUGGGUUACGAGGAAACAGAUGCCUUCACGGCCCCGACUGCUUGCAAGACCUGUAGCCACAGAUGCUGGGCACUAAGAUCCCAGUAAAAUGGGUCUCUGGUUUGUCCAUGCUAUUUGUAAAGGAGAACAUUCCACAUUAGAACAACUUAGUUCAAUUAUGUUCUGAAUAUUUGUAAAACUGCUGGAAAUCAAAUACUCAGCUCAGAUGCCUCGUUGUAUGAAUAAUGAAAGUUGCAUGUACAUACUAACACGCUUUAGCUGGGCAAGGGCCCUUUGUACUUCAUUGGAUCUUUAGCUGGCCAGGGCCCUUUAUACUUCUUUGGAUUACCAAAGGAUUUGGCAUGCCAGUAUGCCACUGUUCUAAGCACGUCUAGUUAUGAACGGUUUACGCUGCACACUGUUUGUUUUCCAGCACAGACUUUAGAUGCAAUACAAGUUACACUAAAAACUAGACUUUUUUGACACUAGUGCAGUGCCAAAAAAUGUCUUAUAUUAUGGGACGGAGUGACUAGUUAGCAUGGCACAAUACAUUCUUGAAUGAAAAUUGAGUUGAUGUGUCAUCAUCACUUGGGUACAUAGUUGCCAUCUGUGAAGGAGGAAAAUGGGGACUUCGCAGUUCGCACCCAGGAACUGCAGCCAGUACAGAAUAACAGAUGCAUAUGCAAUACAAAGUCCUUAGCUGGUGCUCAUGAUGCACGUGCAGAACACGUUUAAUCAGAAAAGCCGCGAUCAGUUACAAACUGUGCUGUAUCACUGGGCCAUACUGUUACGGAGGAACUGCAGACUAGUUUAUACCACCCCGUAGUAUAACAGAUGCAUAUGCAGUACGAAGUCCUUAGCUGGUGCUCAUGAUGCACGUGUAGAACACGUUUAAUCAGAAAAGCCGCGAUCAGUUACAAACUGUGCUGUAUCGCUGGGCCAUACUGUUACGGAGGAACUGCAGACUAGUUUAUACCACCCCGUAGUCAACACUAAGAUCUGUAAUAUCAAAAACAGCAUUUAAACUUGUUUCCAGGGGAAAACUUGAGCUAUUUUGAUGUCCAUGCGGGUGGAAUUUCCAUCGGCCCCAACCUACUCGGAUGAACUUCAGGAAACAUUGUGUUUUGGAUCUCAUUAUAACUCACACAGUUAACACAUCCAAAAUGCGUGAAUCUGCAAAACAAAAAAAGAAGUGGCAGAGGUGAGGGUAGCUUCAUAUGGAGGUAAAACAAUGCUGGAAGUAUGUGCAAUUUACAUAACGACACAUGGAUAUUAUGGAGUAUAAGAUAAACACAUGAAGCAUCAUUCAAAUCAUACAGAAGUCAUAAAACUACAGGUUCUAGAGUUUAGGGACUUUGUGAACUUGAGCAUUUUACAGAAAAGUCAAUGCCAUGGUACUCAACAAGUAGGACAUAUAGGAAGCGAUCACUCACCAUCAGGAUGCAUGAUCAGAAGAUUGCACAUGGCAUGUGGGAAAAUGCAUGUAUAAAUAGCUCCAUGCUGAAAGAUUACUUCACCAUAAAAGCUAGUAUGAUUGCCACACAUGCGUCACAAGGAGGAGGAUCAUCUAAAGCAAGCCCAUUUCAGCCAUACUCUAAGAUAACGAGUAGAAAUGUGAUCCGGUAUGUCGGCCUGCAUGAGUAAGAUGACAGCCAUGAAUAUACGAAUAAAAACCGAUGAGUUGUCUAGUGAAGACAUUGGUUGAUAACUUAAAAUAGUAUAGGGAAGGCAAGAAGAUAGCAUACAAUGUCCCAAGGAGCAGAGAAAUCAUCAGUUGACAGGUACCAGCUUCCACAUUGUGAUUCAAUAGCCCUCUUCCCAGUGAAGGUUCCAAGUUCAAGCAGCUCAUCAACAUUAUCCUCGUCAGAAUCAUAUCUAUGUCGUCUUCUCUUUUUAUCUCUCUUCCUUCUUUUAUGGCUACUUCUAGUCGGAUCCUUCUCAUCAAUAUCUGAAGUAUGUGGAACUGAGUGCCCAUCUUUCUGAACCAAUGAGUAAUCAUAAGCCUUGCGAAAUUCUAUGCUGUUACCAGUGAACAGAGAUUCACAAGAAUCAGCCGAUUUGCAUAAUUUUGACAAACCACAGAAAGUUACCCAGGACAGGAUGCCUAUCCACUUAAGUGCAUCAGGAAACUUUGUACCCAUGAAAUCCUUUAUGAGAGCAAAGUGAUCAGCAUCAGUCAAGUCAUUCAUGGUCCUCACAACCUCGUCCAUCCUCCCUCGUUCUUCCUCAUGUUCUUCGUCGUUCAUGAGGUGCCAAAGUUGCCUACCCUUGACAAUGACACAGUUCAAUAGGAUAAGUUCAUCAAGAGAUAUUUGAUCAAUAUGUGCCGACAAAAGAACCUCAAGCCAGCAGCAUGGGAAUGCUAACUUUUUGCACUGUGCAUUCGGACUGAUGAACUUCCCUAAUGUUUUUAAGAAACGAAGAAGCCUUUGUUCGUCAAGAUGAAUAAGAAUAUACUGAGACAGAGUGGAAAACUGCUCCUCCAUCAGAAAAUCUUCAACUACUUGCCACACAUCUUUGAAACUUCCCCUCAUACAUCAAAUAGACAAACUGAUCUACAAAAUAUUCUGUAUCAAUUUGCAGUAUUUCACCAUCUUUGACAGAAUCAGCAAGCUCUUCUGAAGACCAAAAGUCUGGGACAUAUUCAAGGAAAUUUUCCACUGUCUGGAGAACAUCAAGAUCACGAAAGUAAUGAGGCUUAGUAGCAACAACAGCAGGAGACUGACCAUGCCUGCCUUUCCACUCAAGCUCCUCCCAGCAAACAUCACGAUUCACAAAUGCAAACUGAGCAAGUGCCCGAGCACCCUUUUUGUGUGCUGACUCCCCAGUAGCAGCAAAGUGGCUAAACCAUUGCAGUAUCCGCUCAGGGUUUCCUGCAGGUCAUGAUAUAUAAUGUAAGCAAUGAUAGAUCACAUGUAAGAAAUGGCAUCAGAACUAAAUUAUGUUGUACUGCAUAAUGAAAGACAAAACAAUAUUAUAUCUAAGCUCUAACCCCUAACAUGUUUUUUUUAAUUUNNNNNNNNNNNNNNNNNNNNNNNNNNNNNNNNNNNNNNNNNNNNNNNNNNNNNNNNNNNNNNNNNNNNNNNNNNNNNNNNNNNNNNNNNNNNNNNNNNNNAAAUUCCCGCAAUCCGAUAGAGGACGAGAAUAUGUGAGUUAUGAGUUUGGCAUGCACUUAAGGCAAUGUGGAAUUGUUUCACAACUCACGCCGCGUGGAAAACCAGAGCCUAAUGGUGUGUAUGUAUGUCAUAAUCGUACUUUAUUGGAUAUGGUUCAUUCUAUGAUGUAUCUUACCGAUCUGUCACUGUCAUUUGGGGUAAUGCAUUAGAGACACUUGCAUUCACUUUAAAUAGGGCUCCAUCUAAAUCCAUUGAGACGACACCGUAUGAAUUAUGGUUUGGCAAGAAACCUAAGCUGUCAUUUCUUAAAGUUUGGGGCUAUGAUGCUUAUAUCAAAAUGCUUUAGCCUGAAAAGCUCGAACCCAAAGCAGAUAAAUGUGUCUUCAUAGGAUACCCGAAGGAAACUGUUGGGUAAACUUUCUAUUGCAAAUCUGAGGAUAAAGUGUUUGUCGCAAAAAACAGGUCCUUUCUCAAGAACGAGUUUCUUGAUACGUCUCAGACGUAUCUAUAAUUUUUUGUGGUUUCAUGUUGUUAUCUUGUCAACUUUAGAUGUUUUAUAUACCUUUUAUAUGUUUUUUGGGACUAACUUAUUAAUUCAGUGCCAAGUGUCAGUUCCUAUUUUUUCUGUGUUUUUGACUCUUUUCAGAUCUGAUUUUGGAACGGAGUCCAAACGGAAUAAAAUCCCCAAAAUAAAUUUUUCCAGAACAGAAGAAGAUCGGGGGACUUUAGGGCCAAGGCAGGAGGCCCACACGGAGCCCACAAGCCCUAACGCCGCAGCUAGGGGGGCCGCCGCGACCAGGCUUGUGGCCUCCCCGGGCGCUCCCCUGCCCUAGCUCUUCGCCUAUAUAUUCCCUAAAAUCCCAGAAAACAGGGCAUCCACGAAAACACUUUUCCGCCGCCGCAAGCUUCCGUUUUCGCAACGAUCUCAUCUGGAGACCCUUCUCGGUGCCCUGCCGGAGGGGACUUUGGAGUUGGAGGGCUUCUACGUCAACAUCAUCGCCUCUCCAAUGACUCGUGAGUAGUCCACUUCAGACCUACGGGUCCGUAGUUAGUAGGUAGAUGGCUUCUUCUCUCUCUUGGAUCUUCAAUACAAAGUUCUCCAUGAUCUUCAUGGAGAUCUAUCCGAUGUAAUCCUCUUUGGCGGUGUGCUUGUCGAGAUCCGAUGAAUUGUGGAUUUGUGAUCAGAUUAUCUAUGAUAUAUAUUUGAGUCUUUGUUGAUUCCUUAUAUGCAUGAUUUGAUAUCCUUGUAAGUCUCUCCGAGUCUUGGGUUUUGUUUGGCCAACUAGAUCUAUGAUUCUUGCAAUGGGAGAAGUGCUUGGUUUUGGGUUCAUACCGUGCGGUGACCUUUCCCAGUGACAGAAGGGGCAGCAAGGCACGCAGGUCAGUGUUGUUGCCAUCAAGGGUAACAAGAUGGGCUUUCAUCAUAGAUUUGAGAUUGUCCAUCUACAUCAUGUGAUCUUACUUAAGGCGUUACUCUGUUCUUAUGAACUCAAUACACUAGAUGCAUGCUGGAUAGCGGUCAACAUGUGGAGUAAUAGUAGUAGAUGCAGAAAGUAUCGAUCUACUUGUUUUGGACGUGAUGCCUAUAGAUAUGAUCAUUGCCAUAGAUAACGUCAUGACUUUGCGCGGUUCUAUCAAUUGCUCGACAGUAAUUCGUUCACCCACCGUCUACUUGCUUUCAUGAGAGAAGCCACUAGUGAACACUACGGCCCCCGGGUCUAUUCACAACUAUCGUCUCCACUUUUACUUCUACUUUGCUUUGUUUACUUUUUUGCUUUCAGUUCUCACUUUGCAAACAAUCUAUAAGGGACUGACAACCCCUUCAUAGCGUUGGGUGCAAGCUCUAUGUGUUUGUGCAGCUACUUGUGACUUGACGCGAUCCUCCUACUGGAUUGAUACCUUGGUUCUCAAACUGAGGUAAAUACUUACCGCCGUUGUGCUAUAUCACUCUUUCCUCUUCAAGGGAACACCAACGCAAGGCUCCAGGGCCGUGGGGGAAUCCUUUGCAUAUUUGCCAAGGAAGUCCCUAUAGGUGUAGCCCAUAGCAGAAGGAUUCCUAGCGCCGUUGCCAGGGAAGGUCUUUUGUUGCCGUAGCAGAAGUAUUUCUGGCGCCGUUGCGGGGGAGGAUCGCUUGCCGAGGAGUAUCAAGAUAAGAAUAAUCUCCUAUCAACACGCCUAUUUCUAGCGUCGUUGCCGGGGAGAGAUCAAGUCAAGAUCUAUCCAAGUAGGUGUCACAAACUCAUCUCUUGCAUUUACCUUUUUUGCCAAUUGCCUCUCGUUUUCCUCUCCCCCACUUCACAUUUGCCGUUUUCAUUUGCCUUUCUCCUUUGCCAUUUUCAUUUGCCUUUCUCCUUUGCCGUUUUCUUUUGCCUUUUGCCGUUUUCCUUUGCCAGUUUUCUUGCUUGCCUGUGUUCUUGUUUGUUUGUUGAAGUCAUCAUGGCUGAAAACACCAAACUUUGCGACUUCUCGAAUACUAAUAAUAAUGAUUUUAUUAGUACUCCGAUUGCUCCCGCCACUAGUGCGGAAUCAUAUGAAAUCAAUGCGCUUUGCUGAAUCUUGUUAUGAAAGAGCAAUUCUCUGGCCUUCCUAGUGAAGAUGUCGCAUCCCACCUCAAUAGUUUCAUUGAACUUUGUGAUAUGCAAAAUAAGAAAGAUGUGGAUAAUGAUGUUGUUAAGUUGAAGCUUUUUCCGUUCUCUUUGCGAGAUCGUGCAAAAACUUGGUUUUCUUCUUUGCCUAAAAAUAGUAUCGAUUCUUGGAAUAAGGUGCAAAGAUGCUUACAUAUCCAAGUAUUUUCCGCCGGCUAAAAUUAUCUCUCUACGUAACGAUAUCAUGAAUUUCAAACAACUUGAUCAUGAACAAGUUGCACAAUCUUCGGAGAGGAUGAAGUUAAUGAUUAGAAAUUGUCCUGCUCAUGGCUUGAGUUUGUGGAUGAUUAUACAAAUCUUUUACGCUGGUUUGAAUUUUGCUUCUCGCAAUAUCUUGGACUCCGCCUCAGGUGGAACGUUCAUGGAAAUCACGUUAGGAGAAGCUACAAAACUCCUAGACAAUAUCAUGACCAACUACUCUCAGUGGCACACUGAAAGGUCACCUGCUAGCAAAAAGGUACACGCUAUAGAAGAAAUUAACUUGCUUAGUGCUAAGAUGGACGAGUUGAUGAAUUUGGUUGCUAGURRAAAUGCUCCUUUAGAUCCUAAUGACAUGCCACUAUCUUCUUUGAUUGAGAGUAGCAACGCUAGUUUGGANNNNNNNNNNNNNNNNNNNNNNNNNNNNNNNNNNNNNNNNNNNNNNNNNNNNNNNNNNNNNNNNNNNNNNNNNNNNNNNNNNNNNNNNNNNNNNNNNNNNCUAUACUUCUACCACUAUUGCUAACUCAUAGUGAUCAAGUAAAGCAAAAAGGCACAAAUAAUUAAAGACAACCCUAUGGAUCUUGUCGGUUGCCGUACUCAUCAACAUGCAAGUCAUGAUAAUCUAUACAAAACAUGAUCAUCUCAUACAUCACAUAUAUCUCAUCAUGUUCUUGGCCAUAUCAUAUCACAACAUACCCUGCAAAAGCAAGUUAGACGUCCUCUACUUUGUUGUUGCAUGUUUUACAUGGCUACUAUAGGUGACUAGCAAGAACCAUUCUUACCUACGCGAAGCCAUAACGGUGAUAUUCAAGUUGCUAUUUAGUCUUCUACAAGGACGGCCUAUGUCGAGUCCAUUUCAACUAAAGUGGGAGAGACACACACCCGCCAGCCAUCUUUAUGCAACACGUUGCAUGAUAGUCGAUGGAACCGGUCUCUCGUACAUUGACCACUAAGGUUGGUCCGGGCCACUUCAUCCCACAAUACCGCUGAAUCAAAAUAAGACUAAUGAAGUAAUCAAUAUGAACAUCAACACCCACAAACUCUUUUGUAUUCUACUCAUGCAUGUUAUCUACGCAUAGACCUCACUCUCAUACCACUGUUGGGGAACGUUGCAUGGGAAACAAAAAAAAAUCCUACGCUCACCAAGAUCAAUCUAUGAAGACUAACAUAUACGAGAGGGGGAGUGCAUCUACAUACCCUUGUGGAUCGCUAAGCGGGAAGUGUUAAGGAACACGGUUGAUGUAAUCGAACGUCUUUGCGGUCCAAUCACGAUCCGUCCUGAUCGACCGCCGAAUGGACGACACCUCCGCGAUCAGCACACGUACAUCUCGAUGACGUCUCUGCCUUCUUGAUCAAACAAGCAAGGGCAGGGAGGUAUAAGAUUUCUCUAGCAGCACGACAGUGUGGCGGAAGUGGUGGUGGAGCUGUCCGUGCAGGGCUUCGCCAAGCACUACCGAAACCGAUCUAGUGGAUAAAACUGAUCUAGAGGGAGAUAGGGCUGCGUCGUGGCCUUUUAGGUGCGGCAGCCCUCUCUCCUCUCCACUAUAUAUAAGGGGAAGGAAGGAGGGACGACGACCAAGAAAAGGAGGGGCGGAGGCCCUAGGGUUGGCUUUGCCACCCAAGUUAGGGUGGCGCCACCUCUUAGGGUUGGCCCUCCACCAUCCCAACCGCAUGGGCCUAGGUGGGGAGGGGAGCCCAGCCCAUGAGGGGCUGGUGCGCACCCUGCUCAACCCAUGUGGCUGGUGCGCACCCUUCUCAACCCAUGUGGCCCCUCCGGGGCUGGUGGACCCCCAGUACCCUUCGGCACUCCCCGGUACACUACCGGUGACGUCCGAAUUCCUUCCGGUGACCAACACGGAACUUCCCAUAUAUUAAUCUUCACCUCUGGACCAUUCUGGAACUCCACGUGACAUUCGGGAUCUCAUCCGGGACUUUGAACAACCUUCGGUCACCUACAUACAUAACUCAACAAUACCAAAUCAUCACCGAACGUUAAGUGUGCAGACCUUGCGAGUUCGAUAACUAUGCAGACAUGACUAAGACACUGUCAGGUCAAUAACCAAUAGUGGAACUUGUAUGCCCAUAUUGGCUCCUAUAUAUUCUACAAAUAUCUAUAACGGUCGAACCACGAUGUCAAGGAUUCAACCAAUCCCGUAUGCAGUUCUCUUUGUCCAUUGGUAUGUUACUUGCCUGAGAUUCGAUCAUCGGUAUCUGCAUACCUAGUUCAAUCUCGUUACCGACAAGUCUCUUUACUCGUUCCGAAACACAAGAUCCCUUGACUAACUCCUUAGUCAGAUUUCUUGCAAACUUAUUGUGAUGUUGUAUUACCGAGUGGGCCUCGAGAUACCUCUCUGUCACACAGACUGACAAAUCCCAGUCUUAAUCCAUGCCAACUCCACAGACACCUUCGGACAUACUUGUAGAGCAUAUUUAUAGUCACCCAAUUACGUUGUGAUCUUUGAUAUGCACAAGGCAUUCCUCUGGUGUGAGUGGGUUGCAUGAUCUCAUGGUCAUAGGAACAGAUACAUUGACAUGUAGAAAGCAAUAUCACUAAACUAGAUACGACCAAACGCUAUGCUUAAGGUUUUGUUCUUGUCCAUCACAUCAUUCUCCUAAUGAUGUGAUCCCGUUAUCAAAUGACCACUCAUGUCUAUGGCUAGGAAAUCUUAGCCAUCUUUGAUCAACGAGAUAGUCCAAUAGAGGCAUACUAGGGACACUUUGUUGUCUAUGUACCCACACAUGUAUUUUAGUUUCCAAUCAAUACAAUUAUAGCAUGGAUAAUCAACGAUUAUCAUGAACAAGGAAAUAUAAUAAUAACCUGUUUAGUAUUGCCUCUAGGGCAUAUUUCCAACAUGCACGGGUCUGUCCCACCGAGUGGUUUCACGUGGUCCCACCGAAGUUUGCAUAAACGUGUGUACCCGUUUUAUUUGUGGUGCUGCCUAUAUAUAUCCCCACCCACUCCACCAACUCUGAGAGAGCAACUAGAGCGAAGCAUACACUUCUCAUGUCCAUUUUUUGAGAGACAACUCUAUAUCCUUGUGUUGAGAUCAAAGGGAUUCCACUCCAACCAUAGAACUUUGAUCUCUAUCCACCUCAAUUGCUUUCCACCCAAACCCCUCUCCUACCACAUAGCCAAAAUCUGUGAGAGAGUGUUUGAGUUUUUAGGGGGCUAUCUUUUGAAGCACAAGAGAAAGGAGUUCAUCAUCGACUAUGUCUACCUUUUGGAAAGUGGUGUCAACUAGAUUGGUUAGGUGUCACUUGGGAGCCUCCAAUUCAUGUGGAGUGAACCAUCGGUUUAUAAGGGAAAGAAGAUCGUCUACUUCAUGAAAAUAUACCCGAGUGAGGCUAAGACAUGGUGGAAUAGGCAAGUUUGCUUUUUUGUGGACCCUUUGUCAGUGGAGCCCUACGUGGACUCACUCAAGCAUUAUCCUUUGUGGAUUUAGGCGUCCAUCAACGUGGAUGUAUGACAACACCACCUAUCAGAACCAUGGGAAAAAUCUUCGUGUCCCCAUAGAGUUUGCAUAUCUCCAAAUCCUUCCUAUAUUUACUAGAACUUGCAAAGUUGGUACUUUCUGCUCCUGCUUUAUUAGCCUUGCAUGUGUAGGGUGUUUGUAGAAUUGCUAAAAUCUGCCAAGAAAUAAACUAUGGAAAAUCUUUCCAGCACAUUGGGAUCCUAAGCUUNNNNNNNNNNNNNNNNNNNNNNNNNNNNNNNNNNNNNNNNNNNNNNNNNNNNNNNNNNNNNNNNNNNNNNNNNNNNNNNNNNNNNNNNNNNNNNNNNNNNCGCAAGUCGAAGGUAUGGAGUAUGGUGAGACUUAUGCUCAUGUGCUAGACUUGAAGCCAUUCGUAUUCUUAUAGCUUAUGCCAAUCAACAUGAUAUAACCCUCUACCAAAUGGAUAUUAAAAGUGCCUUUCUCAAUGGAGAAAUUGAAGAGUAAGUUUAUGUUAAACAACCUCCUCAUUUUGUGAACCCUAAGAAACCUGAUCAUGUUUAAAAACUUCGCAAAGCUUUUUAUGGCCUUAAACAAGCACCUAGAGUUUGGUACAAAUGCCUAACGAAGUUUCUCAUUGAAAAGGGUUUUGAGAUUGGCAAAAUUGAUGCAACCUUAUUCACUAAAAGAGUAAUUGGCAAACUUUUUGUUUGUCAAAUGUAUGUGGAUGAUAUUAUCUUUGGUUCUACUAACCCACAUUUUAGUGAAAAGUUUGGAAAGCUGAUGUCACAGAAGUACGAGAUGUCCGUGAUGAACAUGUUAGGCAAAAUUCCACAUAAAAAAUUCUGUUUUUAUCAUUUACCUACUCGAGGACGAGCAGGAAUUAAGCUUGGGGAUGUUGAUACGUCUCCAACGUAUCUACAAUUUUUUUAUUGUUCCAUGCUGUUAUAUUAUCAUUCUUGGAUGUUUUACAAUCAUUUUAUAGUCAUUUUAUAUCAUUUUUUGGUACUAACCUAUUGACAUAGUUCCCAGUGCCAGUUGCUGCUUUUUGCAUGUUUUUACAUUGCAGGAAAUCAAUACCAAACGGAGUCCAAAUGUAGCGGAACUUUUUGUGGAUUUUUUUGGGCCAGAAGAGAUCCAGUGGGCCAGGAACGCAUCUCAAGGGAGCUCCAAUGGGAGCACUACCCACCAGGACGCGCCUGGGGGCCGCGCCCCGGUGGGUUGUGCCCUCCUCGUUGGCCUCCCGCACCGCCUCUUUGCUCUAUUAAUACCCCAAUAUUCCAGAAACCCUAGGAGGGGACGAAAAUCAAUUCCAUCCACCGCAGAGUCCACAAACACCAGAUCCAAUCUACACACCAUCACGGAGGGGUUCAUCAUGUCCAUUGGUGCCUCUCCGAUGAUGCGUGAGUAGUUCUUUGUAGACCUACGGGUCCGUAGUUAGUAGCUAGAUGGCUUCCUCUCUAUCUCUUGAUUAUCAAUACGAUGGUCUCUUGGAGAUCCCUAUGAUGUAAGUCUUGCGGUGUGUUUGUUGGGAUCCGAUGAACUUUGAGUUUAUGAUCAGAUCUAUGUUUUUAUCCAUGAAAGUUAUUUGGGUCUUCUUUGAUUUUUUAUAUGCGUGAUUGAUUAUAGCCUCGUAUUUCUUCUCUGAUAUUUGUUUAUUUGGACAACUUGAUCUAUUUAUCUUGCAAUGUGAAGAGGUGCUUUGUGAUGGGUUCGAUCUUAUGGUGCUUGAUCCGAGUGACAAAAAGGGAAACGACACAUAUGUAUCGUUGCUAUUAAGGAUAACAAGAUGGUGUCUAUUUCUACAUAAAUAGAUCUUGUCUACAUCGUGCUAUCGUUCUUAUUGCAUUACUCCAUUUUUCCAUGAACUUAAUACACUAGAUGCAUGCUGGAUAGCGGUCGAUGUGUGGAGUAAUAGUAGUAGAUGCAGGCAGGAGUCGGUGUAAUAAUUGUUUUUUAACUAAAUUUCACCUCUCGACAAGAGGGUCGAUUGGAAGUUCCAGUUCACAUACCUCCUAGAUAAAGACAUCUAUGUCAAGUUGGUCGGCAUAAUUUUCAUAAACACUAAAUGAAACAAAUAGUUAUAAAAGUUAAUAUGCCACAUCCGAAUCAUAGACCGGACGAGAGCCGACGGGGGCGGAUACCAAACCAUUGCACUAUAUAAUAACGAACAAUAAAACGAGUAAGAAAAUUAUACAAGUAGCUAUCUAAAUCAUACAAGUAAGAAUUUUUAUUUAAAAAAAAGAUAAGAACAAGAAGCUCACCACGGUGGUGUCGGCGAUGAGAUCGGCGCAGACGAUCGACGGCGGUGAGGACGAGGACGGGGACGGUACGACACCCUACACAUGUGCAAACUAAGAAGUUAAUUUGAGCUCAAAUUGUACAUCUAAAUCAAAUAAACUCCCACACACACUCCUCCACUAAAACUCACAAACCACUCUACUUCUACAGCAUAUGAAAUGAGUAAACUAGUAGUGGGAGAUGAAAGGAUGAAGUUGCUAACCUUUUAGAACCCUUGGAUAGUAGGUGCACUGCCAAAUCUAGACAAAUUUUGGGGGAAAUGGAGCUUGGAGGUCGAGCUUGGAUAAAGAACAAUUAAGAAUGCUUAAGUGUGCCUCCGGCAUUUCGUUGAACACCUCAUGUGCAUAGAAAGACAGAACAAAGCAGCACACACCUCCCACCUCUACGGCCAAAAAAACAGAGGAGAGGGGUUGUCACACUCUCUGUUUUGACUCUCCUGACUAAAUUAACAUAUCUCGAAAAUUAGGACCAAGUUUUUUUUUUGAGUGCUUGUGAUGCUUGAUGUGAUUGUUGUUUGCUUGUGUUUUAAAUCACAAGAGUUCCUACUACUCUUUAGACUCACCUCCAUGCCCAAAGUCUUUUAACAUUUAUUUAAUUUAGGCUUUAAAAAACCCCUCGGUUGGGAUUUGGACUACAAGUCCUCAAAUUAGGGAAGUUGUUUUGCACCAAAUAUUUUAUUUAAAUCCCAUUAUUAAAACUACAAUAUUAUUAUUUUAAAACUUAUUUUACUAUUUUAUUCAAAUACCUUUUCUGAGGCUAGAAAUGGUCUUUUAUGAAGGAAAAUUAUUUUUCUUGAAUUCAAAAUAUUUGAGAAAAUUUAGGGAAACUCAAUGGACAUAUAUAUUCCAUAUAUAAGAUUUUCAACACAUGAUCAUGUUAAAAAUAUUGGACAAAACCCUUCAAAACCCUUUCUGUCUAUUUCAAGAUUUUGAAAUAUUUCUACAAGAAAUUUUCUCAAUAAAUCCUAAGAAAAUUAUAGCAAGUCACAUAUGAUAUAUGUAAUGAUGUUACCAAGUUUCAUCUCAAUACAAGUUGAUUUGGAUCACCUAAAUAUUCCAAAACCCGAUGUGUCCAGAACCAAAUUUGAGCAACUCUACAUUGCCAAGCGUCUCAAAUUGUGCUCAAAUUUUGUUGACAUGUUCUGAUACUCUAAUAAUACAUCCAAAUCAAGUGUUGCAUAAAUGAGAAUAUAUGAACUUGUCCANNNNNNNNNNNNNNNNNNNNNNNNNNNNNNNNNNNNNNNNNNNNNNNNNNNNNNNNNNNNNNNNNNNNNNNNNNNNNNNNNNNNNNNNNNNNNNNNNNNNAAAGGCACGUAGAAACGGGCAGAGAGGCCGGUGUUACAGUAACGAUGUAAUGAAAACAUAAUUUCAUUUUUUUCUGUUAGUUUAUGGCAGUGAAUUACUGUAAUGCCAUGAUAUGCUACUAAUGUGACGUACACUUAACUUGUUGAAGCAAUGCCCACAAGCGAUGGGCAUUAGUUAAUUUGCUGAACCAUUAUGAACAAGUUGAACAGAUAAUUUGCUGAACCAUAACGAAUGAACUAAUGAUAUAUAUGAACAUAAUAUCUAUAAAUAUAUUUAACUACAUAAAGUAAGUUCUGGAUACUAGAUACAUAAACUGGUGAAUUGCAGCGAGCAAAAUAAAGUAAAACCUAUGUGAGUAGAAGCAGAGAACACAUAGAGAACCAAGUAGUUAGUGAACCUGCCUUCGAAAAACUUCUCCAGCAUAUGACAGUUUUUCGCUAAAACAGAGCCAGCCUUGGCAGGCUUCUUGUCGAAAAUCAUCCGCAGCAGGCGAGCGGCAACGUCGCGCCUAGAGUCCUUCAUCUCCAGGAGAUCGAGGAACAGGUCCCGCUGGUCACGCGGAUCGAGCAGAUGAAUCGACGAGACCGUACUGCACAGCCACAUCCGAGCCUCAUACCGGCCGCCAGACCUUACAACCGACUUGAUCACAGACUCGGCCUUGUCCAGCAGAGAUCUCCUCGCUCUCACAGCAUCUGUAUCAACACUGCCCUCGUCUGCCGGCACUUGAAGAAAGAGCUGAACCAUUUUGUUUCCCUGCUGGUGAUUUCUGACAACCUGAAGGUCACAAGUAUACCGAUGGUCAAGAACGAGCUUCCGUUCAGUUCAGUUCAACCCCCCAACAUUUUUAGGGAAAUAAGCUCCGCCCACAACUUAUCACUAAGCCCUUGGGGAUCGAACUUGGAAGGGCAAGGAGAGGAACCUAAUGGAUCGAUGGAAGCCCACACGGAGCAAACUAAUCGGCAACGAACGGAAGGGAGGAGAAAGCACGGUUGCGUCGAACCCUAGCCCCCUCAACGGAGAUCCUCAGAAACAGUGCGAGCUCAUGGUUCCAAAAUCCAGCCAGUGGAGCUAGGGUUCCUUACCUAUGCCAACAUGAGAGGGAAUCAAUUAGCGCCGCUCCGGUGCCGACGCCAGUAGGGCAUGGGCGCCGUGGCUCGUCGCCGUCGGCGCAACAAAUUGCGAUGGGGGGAGGAACGAAUUGUAUCGAACCAGACAGCGGGGAAGGAUCCGGGCGAGAGAGAGAGAGGGAGGGCCAGGGAUGUCAGGGCGGUCGGGAGUUGCUGUUCAUAAUCCUCAUUAACCCUUUUUUUCUAGACUAGAAAGAAUUCCUUAUCUGGUCUUCUCCAAAGUCUGCUUCCCUAUUUGGCCCAUAAAUAAACAAAUAAAAUCAUUUUUGACACUGCAUCUACAUUUUGUUCCCUGAAUGGCAUUUCCGUCGGUUCCGUUACACUUUUGUCUAUUUGGCAUGUCAGUAUCGGUAUUUUGUUCCAUGCACUAAAUUAUCCGUGUUAACAACAACAAAUGAGAGGAGAAGACCGACCGACUGAAAAGUUUCCUUCUCCCCCGUUUGAACCCUCUCUCUAACUCUCGAAUCCCAGCCCUAGUUAUACUAUGGCGGUGGCGCGAGGCUGAGUGGCAUGGGCAACCCAACAAUGUCGUAGGCGGUGGCACGAGGCUGAGUGGCAUGGGCAACCCAAACAAUGUUGUAGCUGCCGGGUGGAGAGUGGUGGCCAAGGCACGUCCGUAAAGGGGGAUGACACGGUUGGGAAGGCCAUCGGUCAGGGCACGUAGACAACAAUAGCUGGCCAAGGUUGUGGUGUCUCAACCAUUAGUGAGCGCAGCCGAAGAGGGCUUGGUCCAUCUGGUUAGAAACAUGAACUUCAUAGAUGUACUUGCGGUGAAUCUCCGCAUCCAUCUGCUUUCCUUCCUUCUUGAAACCCACAAACAUCUUGCCACUGUAUGGAAUGGAAAUCCCAUCAUCCAAACUACCGCGGGUGUAGGUACAUAUUCACUUGUUCAGUUAACGCUUUGCUCUAGGAUGAGAGCAUGGUACGUUUUUCAAUGACAUGUAGUAGAGAUUAGGGUCCCGGUCGGCAGCGUGGAACCCGUUGGUUAUGGGACGUUGUGCUUAUGUUCUAGCCUCUCUAGGCAACAUUGGUUCUUGUCUGUACUCGGACAUGUGUUCUCAUUCUUCCGCUGCAUGUUGUAAUAUUGGGCCACGCGACCUUUAAUUGGUGUAUAACCAUGUUAUCAUAUUGGCAUAUGUUUGCCCUAUUGUUCACUCGUAUCAAACUCUUCUUUCCUGUUUAAUUGUACUUGUUGUGAUAUCCCACCUUUUGUUCACCGGCAUAUGACAAUGUGUGUAUGUUAUGAAGUCAUAUGCUGGGGUGACCAAUAUGCGCUUCUAGCCUUAGCAAGAAUUUCGAAGUCUUCAUUGAGACUAGGAUCACAUGUUGGGCGUUACACCUAUGGUAGCGAGAGGGGAAAGACCCAUUCUAUGCAGAGGAUAAUUCUAAAGAAGAAGAGGGAAGAGUGGCUCCUUCCCCUCACUUUCAGCGCCUCGAAGCACAACCAGGGGCACCAUCAUCCCUACCAUCGCAUCCAUCAUGUCUCAGUAUGAGAGUGGGAAACACCUGAUACCGAAGAGGAUGUUAAUAAAGAUUGCUAUUUUCAUCUCUUAUACAUUGGAUGAGUAGUUUCGUUUUGUUCUUACGGCGUAAAUAAGGUGGUAUGAUUGAUAUGAAAUAUAUGUUUGACAUGGUGGUGCCUUUGUACUAGUAUAUAGGUUUAUGAUUAGAAAUUGACUAGAGGGGGAGGGGUUGAAUAGGAUAAUUUGAAAGUUUCUUUGAGAAAAACAAGUUUAUCGAAGAACCACAAUGUAAAUUAUCUAUAAUACAGAAACUAAACAAAGAUAGAAUUGCAACAACUACAUACUUAGAGAAAUAACAAAACAAAUGCAAUAGAGAUAAAGUCAUAAAAUUAAUCAAAACAUACGAUAGACAUAUGCAUGCAUUCUGAAGUACAACAAGAGGGAAAACUAAGGACAACAUAGCGAGUAGGUAAACACUUAACAAUUUUUGAAGAACUGGUCAUAGAGAGAACCNNNNNNNNNNNNNNNNNNNNNNNNNNNNNNNNNNNNNNNNNNNNNNNNNNNNNNNNNNNNNNNNNNNNNNNNNNNNNNNNNNNNNNNNNNNNNNNNNNNNCAACAGGAGUACCAAGAGCUUUCCCACUGUCUAAUUCCAAUGUAUAUAGUGGAUCUUCUUCCUCAUACCUCACAAACACUUUCUCAUAGUAGAAUGCAGUUUUAAACAUUAGGUGCGUGGAAUUCCAUCUAGUGCAUACAUCCAAACUCAAGAAUGCCUCGAUAUCCACCUUUUCUAACUCAGCAAGCUCUUCAAAUCUUGCAAUUCUAGAUGGUUCGUGUCUUAUAUAUCUAACUGCAGCUCGCACACGCUUAACUGAUUCAUCCAACUCUUUUAGACCAUGAGUAACAAUCAAAUUUAUAAUAUGGUCAGCACAUCUCAUAUGAAAAUAUUUACCUUCAGCUAUGCUAUUUCUAGUUUUGAUCAUUUUCUUCCUUAUGUAACCUACACCAUGAUCAUUCGCGCUAGCGUUAUCAAUAGUUAUUGUCAUAACUUCGUUUAUUCCCCACUCCAUCAAGCAUUGCUCUAAGGCUUUUCCAAUAUCAUCUCCCUUAUGACCUUUUAGUAAGAAAAAGCUAAUGAUCUUCUUGUGCAAAUUCCAUUCAGGAUCAAUAAAAUGUGUUGUGACAGUCAUAUAACAAUCUUGUGUUUGAGAAGUCCAACCAUAAGUAGUGAGACAAACUCUUUGACAUUAUUGUUUGAAAAAAAGUUUCAGCUUUGCUCUCUCUUCAAAAUAAAGCUUCACAACAUCCAUAGUGCAUGUUCUUCUAGAAGGCAUAUUGAAACAUGGACAUGCAAUUGACAUAACUUCUCUAAAACCAGAUUUUUCAGUAGAUGCAAAGGGAAGCUCAUCUACUAUGAUCAUCCUAGCAAUAGCUCUCCUUAGUAAUUCAGGAUCAAAUUUAUGCACUGAAGGACUUUAUCCUUGGAUUACUUGCAAAGUACCUUGAUUCUUAUUCUUCUCGUUAUGAGGAUUAUACUUGCAAGUAUUAAAAUGAUUGUUUAAGGCAGAUGUACCGUUUAUCUCUGAGACGGCCUUGAUAUUACGGUUGCAAUAGUUGCACUUUCCAAACUUGAGGAGACCACCAACUAGUACCUCAGAAAAAUGAUCCCACAUCGGUGAUCUUUUUUUCAUCUGCCUUCUUCGAGGUCGUUCAUCCAUGUCUUUCUUUUUAUUUUCAAACUCCUCAUUCUUCCAUUCUUCUUCCUCAUAAAUUUGCAUCUCCUCUUCUGUCAUAUCAACAUCACCAAGCCCACUAGGUUCAACCAUCAAAAAAUAAUAGAAAAAAAUUAAACAAGUGCAUCAGAAAAUCAGCAAAUCUAAACUACUGAUUUAACUUAUCUAACAUUCUAACUGAUAAGUGUAUUAAACAAGUACAGGACCUAGACUACUGAUUUAUUCACAAGUUUACCAUCUACUAAUUCACAAGUAAAGGAUGGGAUAUUGGGCAUCUUACAUUGACUGAAUGCUAAGUUUCUCCCGUGGAAGACGUGGUGACGAAUUGGAGAAGACACCGGUGAGAUCCUGCGGGCUGCGGUGGUGCCUUGGUGGACUAGGAGUCGCUGCUGAGUUCCUGUGGUGGUGGACUAGUGAGUGGUGAGAUCCUACGAUGCUGCGGUGGAGGCGUGGAUCGUGAUGGAGUAUAGUAUGUGCGAGGUUGCGAUUCUGCUGCAAGCCUGCGACGGGCCGACGGCUGCUCCUCUUCUUCCUUGGUGAGAGACGCCUGAGUAGGGGACUAGCGGCGGCGGCGGCGACUGAGUAGUCGGGGCGGCGCGGCGACUGACCAAGGUGAUGGCGGCGAGCUGGCGGGGGGCAAACCACGAGAUGCGGGGUGAGGGACUAAGGGAGGCAGGGAGGGGUGAGGGUGCGGUGUCGUGCGGGUCUGUGGGACUGCGUGAGUGCUGGUAGGUUUAGGUCGUGCAUGGCUGGGGGGUUGCUGGUCUUUCACUGGGUCGGGGCCGGGGCGGGGAAUGGGCUGGCCGGCUGGGAUCUUUGGUACUUCGGUAAACCAACUAAAAAACUGAACCGACCGAAUUAGGUUUGUCUUUUUAGCCCAGCUAACCGAUUUUUUCUGUACAUACUAAAUAAACCAAAAUUUUGGUUAAUUCAGUUUCGGUUUCAGUUCAGUUUUUAUGCGUGGGCCGAGGUUGGGCGCCCCUCCCCACCUAGGCCCAUGUGGUUGGGGAUGGUGGAGGGCAAACCCUAGGAGGUGGCGCCACCCUAGGGCCGCUACCCCUCCUUCUCUUGCCGCCGCCCCCCUAAGGGGGGAACCCUAGGUCGCAGCUCCUCCUCCCUUCCCCCUAUAUAUAGUGGAGAUGAGAGAGGGCUGCCACACUUAAAAGGCCACGACGCAGCCAUGUCUCCCUCUAGAUCAGUUUUCUCUAGUAGAUCGGUUUCGGUAGUGCUUGGUGAAGCCCUGCCAGGACAGCUCCACCACCGCCGCCGCCAUGCCGUCGUGCUACUGGAUAACUCUUCUACCUCCCCGCCCUUGCUUGCUGGAUCAAGAAGGCAGAGACGUCAUCGAGCAGUACAUGUGCUGAACACGGAGGUGUCGUCCAUUCGACGCAGGAUCGGGACGGAUCGUGAUUGGAUCGCAAAGACAUUCGACUACAUCAACUGCGUUUCUUAACACUUCGCGCUUAACUUUCUACAAGGGUAUGUAGAUGCACUCCCGCUCUCAUAGAUGUUAGUCUCCAUAGAUUAAUCUCGGUGAGUGUAGGAAAUUUUUUAUUUCCCAUGCAACGUUCCCCAAGAGUGCAAAAGGUUUGAACUUUAGGAUCUUCGGGGAGACCACAUGAAACCUCUCAGUGAGACCAAGUCAAGUUGUCCUAAGCACUUUUCACACUUUGAUGCCACUAAUUAAAACGGAUCAAAAAUUCCAAUUUAAUUUCAGUUGGUAACCAAAGGUUGGCAAGUGCUCUUUAGUGGGGCCUGAAAAGGAUCGAGAUGGACCUAGAGGGGGGUGAAUAGGUACAGUUCCAAAUUUUAAUAGUUACUUAGCAAUUUUAGGAAAUGGUGCGGAAUAUGAGAGUGAGCCUAAAAAUUGCAAGGACANNNNNNNNNNNNNNNNNNNNNNNNNNNNNNNNNNNNNNNNNNNNNNNNNNNNNNNNNNNNNNNNNNNNNNNNNNNNNNNNNNNNNNNNNNNNNNNNNNNNAAGUAAGUUUGUGUAACUUACUUGUGCUUGUGAGUAAUCUUGUUGUGUUCAUCUUAGUAGAACAAGUUGUAGGUGCAUGUAGUUGAGCCUAUUAUAUUUAUGAUUUGUGCUUGAAAAGUAUCCUCUUAGUUUAUUUCCUCAUUAGGAUAAAGCAAAAUCCACAUAAGUUUUUAAAACUCCUAUUCACCCCCUCUAGGUGACAUCUUGGUUCUUUCAACCGUCAAGUCUCUUUACUCGUUCCGUAACACAAGAUCCCUUGAUUAAGUCCUUAGUCACAUUGCUUGCAAGCUUAUUGUGAUAUUGUAUUGCCGAGUGGGCCUCGAGAUACCUCUCCGUCACACAGGGUGACAAAUCCCAGUCUUGAUCCAUGCCAAUUCCACAGACACCUUCGGAGAUACCUGUAGAGCAUAUUUAUAGUCACCCAAUUACGUUGUGAGUCUUGUCCAUCACAUCAUUCUCAUGAUCAGUGGGUUGCAUGAUCUCAUGGUCAGUGGGUUGCAUGAUAUCAUGGUCACAGGAACAUACACAAUGACAUGCAGAAAGCAAUAGCAAUAAACUCGAUACGAUCAAAUGCUAUUCUUAAGGUUUGAGUCUUGUCCAUCACAUCAUUCUCCUAAUGAUGUGAUCCCGUUAUCAAAUGACAACUCAUGUCUAUGGCUAGGAAACCUUAGCCAUCUUUGAUCAACAAACUAGUCCAGUAGAGGCAUACUGGGGACACUUUGUUGUCUAUGUACCCACACAUGUGUUUUAGUUUCGAAUCAAUACAAUUAUAGCAUGAAUAAUAAACGAUUAUCAUGAACAAGGAAAUAUAAUAAUAACCAGUUUAUUAUUGCCUCUAGGGCAUAUUUCCAAUAGUCUCCCACUUGCACUAGAGUCAAUAAACUAGUAUUACAAGGUAAUGAAUCUAACACCCAUAUAGUUCUUGUGCUGAUCAUGUUUUGCCCAUGGAAGAUGUUUAGUCAACCGAUCUGCAACAUUGAGAUCUGUAUGUACUUUGCAAAUGUUUAUGUCCUCCUCCUUGAUAUAAUCGUGGAUGGAAUUGAAGUUCCGCUUUAUGUGCCUGGUCCUUUCGUGAAACCUUGGUUCCUUAGCUAGAUAAAUGGCACCAGUGUUGUCACAAAACAGGGUCAAUGGAUCUAGUGCACUGGGCACAACUCCAAGAUCCGUCAUGAACUGCUUCAUCCAAACACCUUCCUUCGCUGCUUCCGAAGCAGCUAUGUACUCCACUUCAUACGUAGAAUUAGCUAGCAAGCUUUUCUUGGAACUGCACCAGCUUACCACUCCAUCAUUCAUAAUAAAUACGUACCCGUAUUGAGACUUCGAGUCAUCCUGAUCAGUGUCAAAGCUUGCAUUGACAUAACCCUUUACGACGUAGCUCUUGAUCACCUCCAUAUACGAGGAACAUCUCCUUAGUUAUUUUCAGGUACUUAAGGAUAGUCUUGACUGCUGUCGAGUGUUCCACUCCUAGAUCACUUUGAAACCUUCAAGCCAUACUUAUGCCAAGGCUGACAUCUCGUCUGGUGCACAACAUCACAUACAUUAUAGAGCCUAUGGCUAAAGCAUAGGCGUUGACAAUCAUCUUUUCUCUAUCCUCUCUAGGUGCUGGGCGUUGAGUCUUACUCAACCUCACACCUUGCAGGACAGGCAAAACCCCCUUCUUGGACCGAUCCAUUUUGAAAUUCUUCAAAACCAUGUCAAGGUAUGUGCUUUGUGAAAGUCAUAUUAGGCGUAUCGAUCUAUCUUUAUCGAUCUUGAUGCCUAAUAUGUAAGCAACUUCUUUGAGGUCUUACAUUGAAAAACUCUUGUUCAAAUAUAUCUUCACGCUAUCCAAAAAAAUUAUAUUGUUUCCAAUCAGCAAUAUGUCAUCCACAUAUAAUAUUAGAAACGCUAUGGAGCUCCCACUCACUUUCUUGUAAAUACAAGCUUCUACAUAAACUUGUAAAACCCAAAUGCUUUGAUCACCUCAUCAACGCGAACUAUUCCAACUCAGAGAUGCAUGCACCAGUCCAUAAAUGGAUCGCUGGAGCUUGUAUACUUAGUCAACAUUCUAUGGAUCGAAAAACCUUCCAUUGUAUCAUAUACAACUCUUCCUUAAGGAAAUCGUUAAGGAACACUAUUUUGACAUCCAUCUGCCAAAUUUCAUAAUUGAAAAAUGCAACUAUUGCUAACAUGAUUCUGACGGACUUAAGCAUCGCUACGGGUGAGAAAGUCUCAUCGUAGUCAACUCCUUGAACUUGUGAAAACCCCUUUUGCACAAGCCAAGCUUUAUAGACGGUGACAUUACCGUUCGCGCCCGUCUUCCUCUUAAAUAUCCAUUUGUUCUGAAUAGCCUUUCGGCCUUCAGGUAAUACUUCCAAGGUCCACACUUUGUUUUCAUAUAUGGAUGCCAUCUCGGAUUUCAUGGCCCCUAACCAUUUGUUGGAAUACAGGCCCACCAUCGCUUCUCCAUAGCUCGUAGGCUCAUUGUUGUCCAAAAACAUUACCUCCAAGACAUGACUANNNNNNNNNNNNNNNNNNNNNNNNNNNNNNNNNNNNNNNNNNNNNNNNNNNNNNNNNNNNNNNNNNNNNNNNNNNNNNNNNNNNNNNNNNNNNNNNNNNNCCCUUUCCCUCUGGCUGCUGGGUGGGUCGUGGUUUCAGAACCGAGCGUAGUACAUACACAGAGUACAAUCAAGACGCCAUCGGGUGCUUUAAUAAUGGGCGCGGUUGGGGAAGGAGAUGGUGUCGCUGGCAAGUGGGGCCAGCGCCGUCCCAGCAGGUAGGAGUACCUCUCCGUCUAUUCUCUGUUCUGCUUUCGUCAUUCAAGAUAUAGUCAGUUUUCUAGGGGAUAAAAUCCGUUUUCUACUAGUAGCUCUGCCGUUCAAAAAUCUGAAGUACACCUAAGCUAAAUAAUCGAUAGGGUCGAUCUAUAGAUAUAUUCUGAAAGGUGGCUGCUACAAAUCAGUCGAUUGAUUUGGCGCAGAAAUAAGUCACCUUUUCCACCGUCAGAUCUAAUCGUCGCGAACCGUCUGGUCAUUCUUGGCACUGAAGCGCCCCGCUUCGUCCUCCUCUUUUCCUCCGUAGCACACCGAUGCCUUCUCAGUUCCCACACAUGCCUCGCGCGGUGCACACCACCACACCCAGCAAGAGCUUGCAGCACGCCACCACCCAGCCAGCAAAUCUCGACGGCCGCUUGCAGCCCAGCUUGCAGCAGUGUGAAUGCACUGAUGACCCUUAACAUUGAAGCGUCAUCGCCUGUUACCAGGACGACACCCAUUCCGUCAAGGCUCCAAUGCAAAAUGUGUCCAAUCCAACACCAUGAGGCCGAGGCAAUGCUCCAUUACAACACCGCGCGUCCCCGGCGGCCCGACGAUGCCCAUGACAGCAAUAGCCAAUGGGACUCGGCGAUGCUCCAUCGCAGCAAGGGAGCUGCCCCAUUUGCAGCACUAAUGCUCCGGCGGUGUUUCACUGCUGCGCUGACAGCCCCCUGGCAAUGCUCCAUCGCAGCAUCCGUGGUCCCCUCGGUGAUGCUCCAUGACAGCAACAGAGGCCCAACGAAGCUUCACCGCAGCGCGACGAUGCCAUCACCGUAAAGGAAGUGAUGCAUAACCCCGACGAGCCCCUGAUUGCACCAUCCGACACUCGCUUGAACCACGAGCAUCUUCGACGACCCUGCAUGAUCCCCAUCAUAACAUAGUUGCCACAUAGUUGACACUUAGCUCGCCUUGCGCCUACACCAACAACGACUGUUGUGAGCCUGCGUAGGUGUGGCUGCAACCCUAGCGCCAACCUGCAUCAGCGAACCAUCGUGGAGGACGAGCCGUUGGAGCUGAGAGAAAGCCAUAGGGAUCGGGAUGCAAGAGUAAAGGUAGGAGACGAAGCGGGGGCAAGGGAAAGACAUGUGGUUGUGAUUAUUCUUACGAUAUAAGGGAAGGGAAUUAGUAAAAACACUUUGUGAGCGUGAUGCGGACGCGUGUCAAGCAACACAUAUGGCUUACGUCUCGAGUAAAUCAGUCGGAUGUUUUUAAACAGUUUCCAUCUUGAAAUGUGCUUCGGGAAACUUGUGAAAUGCACGUUAUUCUAUUUAUUCAUCAACGUUAAGGAUCACAGUGUAUCAAAUCAAAUAACAAUUUUUGUCCAGCAAUAAUAUACUCCCUCCCUUCCUAAAUAUAAGUCUUUCUAAAUGUUUCCCUAAGAGACUACAUACAUAUGUAUAUAGACAUAUUUUAGAGUGUAGAUUUAUUUAUUUUACUCUGUAUGUAGUCAUCUAAUAUUUUUUUUAAAAAUACUUAUAUUUAGAAACGGAGGGAGUAAUAUCUUAUAUUGUCUUAUUUUUAUUUAAAUAAAUUAAAUGAUUUUUUACUACCGACCAACCGUUACAGAGGCUUUUUCCUCGUUCAAUACAUAAUGACCGAGGCCAACUUUGGUUGGUUAAUCCGAUUAGUUCAUCGAUGGUCAGAAUGUAUGAUGGUUUUAAUGAUGAUCUUGCAUGUAUUUCAUGUUUAUCUCAUUGGGGAUUUAAAAAAUGAAUUAACUUGGGUCACAAGUGGGGCUUUUGCUGUUUUGAUGCAUCAUCGUUCCAAAUUAAUGCCUAAUAAAAAAGAAAUUUGGAUAUAGUUUUCCUUGUGACGGCCCAGGGUGCGGCGGUACUUGUGAUAUUUAUGCUUUGGACCCAUUUUUUGGUAGUUUUCUUGAUGUUAGAUACAAAGAGGAGCAAGCAUAUCGACUGAGAAUAGCAAGCUGAAAUUAGACGAUGCUAAUCACAAUAUUCAAUGAAAUCGUUGCAUCGGAAUAAGAUAGACCCGCUUCGUUGUUAGUAUUUCAGUAUGUUAGCUAGGAGCCAGAACUCACUAUGCCAUAGUCAUACAAUCAACUUCUGUAUUAACAACUAAUAUCUAGACAUGCGUGAUGGACUAAUUAUAUAUAAGGUGCUCAAAGGGAAAGCACUCUUCAUCAAGUAAUGACCCAUANNNNNNNNNNNNNNNNNNNNNNNNNNNNNNNNNNNNNNNNNNNNNNNNNNNNNNNNNNNNNNNNNNNNNNNNNNNNNNNNNNNNNNNNNNNNNNNNNNNNGAUCUAUACUUGCGUGUAUACUUUUAUUCGCUGAUCGUCACUCCGCACCACUAACGUCAAAGGAACUGAUACCUUUGAGUUAGCCUUUCACUUGAGCUUGAUGUUGUUGUUCCUUCUUGACUCAAGUUGAAAGCAAGACAUGAUGAAGUCUUCAAGAAGCUCUCCCAUACACGAUGUGGAGAGCCUAGCUUGUGUAUUCAUCUUCAUCUGUCCACCAUGUGGGCAUCCACAAGAUUCAAGCAUGUAGUACUCACGAAUGCUUAUCUUGAUCUUGUCCUUGUUAGCACAUGAGCUUGUCCUUAUCAACACAUGAUCAUUAACAACAUCUUAAAGGGGAUUAGUGAUUAGUUAUCUAUAUGUGUGUUGUCAGCAACACCAAAACACGAUUAAGGGCAUGACUGCACUUUCAGGGCCGAAGGGCCAACUCGAUGGGACUAAGAUGCUGGGGUUUAGGCAACAACUAUGUCAAGUGUACCUCGAUGGAUUCGACUGUAUAUGGUUUGGUGGGACCGAUGUGAACUUUACGCUUUUGGACAUAGUGGAAUAUGAGAGAGUCAAUGAGGAUAUAGGAGCAAUAUCUCUAAGCAUUUCAACAGUUAGACCAUCACCAAAACCUCAUCUUCCUGUAGCAGUAUUGGCUUUCCUAUGGACUGAGUGCAAUCUUUAAUCGUUUAAAUAAAUGUGUAGAGUCUUGAAGCUUGGCCCUAGAAUUUUUGGGGCUUCACAUUCACUUCCAAUUAUUGUACUAGAUUGAACUUUCCUGAAAUAUCCUUUAACUAGGCAUUAGUUCAAUAAUGUAUAUGUUGUGAUGAAUUACCAAACUCACUCGGCAAUUGGAUGCACUUUCACCCCCCCCCCGUUGGUAACUGGAUGACAACAUAUAGAUCGAAGGUUUGACAUAAUACAUAAUCAUGAAUAGCAUCUCACUUUGAGAAAUAUAUGAUAAGCCAGAGCUCCCCCUAAAUUUGUGCACUAUUUGAAUUUGUCUUUGAAUGCAAAUGCACAGUCGAUUAGGUUCAUGAGGUAACCCUUCCAUGUCACAUAAAUAGUAUUGGUGUGCACAAAUGAAUAGAAUGAGAUUUAAAAUAUCACACAUGUGAAUGACCAUGAAACAUGCAUAAACAAAGUACGGUCAAGCACACAACUAAAGUUUACAACCAACCAAGGUAUCAUGAAUAAAAACCAAAUAAAGUCCAAAGCAAUCUAUCUCAAAGCCCUACGAUCUAUAGCACUCUCCCCCUUUAUCAACAAAUACCAAAAAGAAGUGACAUACGACUAAGUGUAUCUCUGGGCAUGAUCCACAUGUGGUGGCAAUGAAGAUCUCUGACGAGCAGUGCAUGUGUGGGUCGAUGGAGUCAAGCUGAGAGCGUCUAGGAAUGCUUCUGAAGAAGUUUGUUGGACUGGAGGUGUGGUCACUAUAGGAGGUGCAGAAGGUACAAUAGCAGGUUGAGCAGCUCUAGACUUAGUCUGAUACUGGGUAAUGGUCAUCUAAUCUGAAUCAAUGUGGGCUCGUGCAUCAAAUUCACCCUUCAACAUUCCAAAGUCUAUGGCUAACUGAGUUACCUUGACAGUGUGGUCAUGGAACUUAGUCUCAACGACUAUCUCCAAGCUCUCCUGAUUCUUGAUAAGGGUACCUAAGCCUACCUCGAUCCUCUUUGUAGCCUAAAAAUAAGUAUCAUAUGAUUGUUUAUGGACUUGGGCAUCUCAAUAGCAGCAUCACUCGAGGUAGAAGAAGUGGGCCCACUAGCAUAUGCAACAACCAUGGCAGCCUUAGCUUGUUCAUCAUCAGCAUUUGAACUUGGAUCAGUAGGAUUCAUGGCAACUGAAUAUAAGGUGCAUACCCACAUGGCCACUUUUGAUCACCUGCAGUCCUCUUAAUGGUUUCCAUAAUGAGGUCCAUGACAUUGCAGUUGACAAGCUUGUUAAUGUGAUGCAACAUGUCAAUCGAAUAUCCUCUAAUCAUCUUGUCAUCUCUAGACUUAGGCAUCAAAGUAUAGCUCCAUAUUGGUUUCAUGUUUGCUAGCCCUAGCUGACGAAAAUGUACAAAGCCCAACUUAUGUUUCUCCACCUCUUCAACGUGUCUAGAUUUGUACAUGUCUUUCAUAGUAUCAUGGUUCAUGUGGCACUUAGCAUCAAAUUUAAAAAAACGCACACGACUUAAUUAUGCGUUCGACCACCUACUUGCGUUUUUUUAUCUUAGACGUGAUUAGACGCAAUAAGGCGGUAAUUAUGCGUUUCGUACACAGUUAUACGAAUACGGGCAAAUAAGAGCAGUUUAUCAUCAAAAAUAAUACUAGAAUGUAAACUCGAGGUAUAAUUAUAACUNNNNNNNNNNNNNNNNNNNNNNNNNNNNNNNNNNNNNNNNNNNNNNNNNNNNNNNNNNNNNNNNNNNNNNNNNNNNNNNNNNNNNNNNNNNNNNNNNNNNCCCCUCCCUGUUUGUGUGUUGUCCUCUAAUCCUCUCCCUCCAGCGCAACGGGUAGCAACUAUAUACAUCAUAGAGAAGAUGGCAAGAUGAAGAUGUUAGCACCAGCAACCAUCAACAAAGCAAAACAUCAUAUAUGUAAAUUGUAAUGUAUAUGUAAAUUGUAAACUUGUAAUGAGAAGAUUAUCUAGUUGGUUCAUAGCCUUCUCCCCUUCCCAGCUUCACAAUGCAAUGGGCAAAUCAUAUCACAACUUCACAAGCAUAUUACGUCAAAUAGAAGUCUUAAACUUGCAUAGUUCAACGACCAUGAUCCACGAUAGUCUCACCACUCUGUCAUAGUCUCUUACAUAACAAAUAACAAACGAAAUAAAAAYUGCAUGAACCCAUAUGCAUGACAACUUGAUCACUUGAUGGCAUGAUGACAAUCAUCAUGCAAUGAUCACUUGCUCAACGCCUCUUAAAGUCUCAAUCAUCCUCAUACUCAACGUCUUCACCAUCCACCAUCUCAUCAUCACCAUCAGAUUCAAACUCCUCCUCCUCGAGGUCUCUCACUCUUGCACUCCUAUGAAGUUGGAGUUGCUCUUGUGCCCCCAUUGCUUCACCAAGUAGAUCCCAUGAUAUCCCCGUACCUGGAUGGACAUCCCCAUCCUCCUCAUCAAGAUAAAAAACAUUUGCAUGAUCAUCCCCUCCUUCAAAUAUAAAUCCUUGAGCUUUGGUAGCAUCGGUGCUGAGGAGCACAUCACAUUUCUUCUUCUCUAGGAGCUUUUGUUUCCUAGACACCAUCCUAUUACUGAACCUUAUGAAGACCAGAAUGUUGCAUCAUUCCGUUGUGAGUCUAUUUCUUCUCUUUGUAUGUAUCUACAUAUUAACCGUCACAUGAGCAUAUUAGAAAACAGAAAUGCCAAAUGAACUAGAGAUGAGAUCAAAUUUGGAUGAGAUAUACCCAUUCAAAGGCGCUCCACUUUCUUUCACAACCAGGAGAGCUAGAGGCCAAAGAGAGGAUUCUCAUAGCCAUCUCUUUCAAGUUUGGUGUUUCUCCUCCAUAAAACCUCCACCAACCAACUGUUUGGAGAAUAGCAAAUUAGCAGCAACAACAAACAGUAGUAGGGCAGCAACAACAACUAAGCAGCAGCAGUAGCAAUGAGACAACAGUAGUAUUGCAGCAGUAGGGCAGCAACAACUAAGCAGCAGCAGUAAUGCAGCAACAACAAUAACUAAGCAGCAGCACUAAUGCAACAACAACAACAACUAAGCAGCAACACCAGCAAGGCGACAACAUCAGUAAUGCAGUAGCAGGGCAGCAACAACUAAGCAGCAGCAGUAGUAGCAAGGGAAAGAAGGGGCAGGAAGUAAAACCUGGGUUAUAGCUCUUAUUUUCACAUGCUUUUGCAAUCCUAUUUUCAAAAGUUCCUUCUUUGUUUUCAUAUUUCAAAAACUCAUCAUUGACAACCAACAUGCAAGUAUCAGGAUCAUCUGCAAAGUAUUGUUCAUGCCACUCCUGGAAUCCUUCAUUUGAAGUGGUAAAGAUGGAGCUAUCUGCGUAACUAUAGUAUGGGUUCAACACAUAUGCGGCCAUGUGCAAUGGAGAAUCAAGCCUUCCAUUCAUCUUGUUGUCAACAAUGCCCAUAGUAUCUUUGUAGUUCCUCUCCAAGUUGUUAAAUGCAUCCUUCAUCUCCCUCUUUGCCUUCACCAACUCUCCAUACAACCAAGUCAAAGAGGGCUUAAUAUCCCCAUCAAACAAACGAUGAACUUUCACCAAUGGCUCAAACACCUCUAUGCAUAGGAGGACACAUUUCCAAAAGAUAGCAUCCAUCAUCGUUGUCGUUGCAUCCUUGCCUUUCUUUGUUUUCACAUGGCUCAUCUCUUCUCAAACUCUUUCAACCACCAUAGACCUUAAAGCGUCUUUCUUCUCUAAUAAACUUUGCAAAAUGAGAAAAGCAAAUGCAAAUCUAGUCACCCCAGACUUAUGAUAUCUCUCCUUUUWGUACGCAACCCUCAUCAAUSSCAAAGUCUUGUGAUGUGCAUAGGUGAAGAUGGUGAUGUUCNNNNNNNNNNNNNNNNNNNNNNNNNNNNNNNNNNNNNNNNNNNNNNNNNNNNNNNNNNNNNNNNNNNNNNNNNNNNNNNNNNNNNNNNNNNNNNNNNNNNGGUAGGGGUCUCACGACCCAUCAAAGCAGUCAUUCAGUUAMAAGCCAGYGGAAGUGUUUAAAAYURUCUGAGUACAGACAAGAGAAACUAGAAGGCACAUGGCCUGACUAUACUACAGACCCAACCUAGGGCCAGAUCGUAGCUGGGACACCAGCUACUCGUCGUCGUCGAUGUCUAUGAAGAACCCUCCAUCAGGGUCAUUACCAACCUCUGCWAACAUUUAUUAAGCAAACAUGAGUACGGAGGUACUCAACAAGACUUUAGGAUAACUAUCWACUCAUGCAAUGUAUCAAUAAGGUAUUGUGGGGUUUCAUGCGGAAAGCCAGCAUUUGAGUCGUGGCUAGACAACUUGCAUUUUUAAAUAAUUUUGACAACUUGAUUUCUCGCACACGAGUCCACUAACACCAGAAAAAUACUCCAUCAUGGAAUCAUUCCGUCCACGACACUCACGCUUAUCUUGACAAUUUUAUGUGUAGCCAUUGAAGUUAUCUAUGAACAACAUAUGUCUCCAAGUAGUCCAUAUCCGCGGACGCGGCUAUACGAAUAGAUCAUAACCCUGCAGGGGUGUACUUCGUCACACACGCUCUCGCCACUUAUCCCCAUGUGCACGUCAUGCACCUCGGCAACCUUCAAGAGGAAGCCCAGCGAGGGAGUCGGCCAUGACCGUUAACCACAUUAGUACCUAGUCCAGGUCUAUCGCCUAUCUGAGGGUAACCCGCACGGAAGUCCGGCCGAGGUUUCCGCCACGGCCCCAAACGAUGGGCGCAGGGUUCCCAAGCCCACCAUCCAGGUGCCACUUGGUACACCGUGCCACUGCCUACCGCAUCACAGCCCACCUCUCAGGUCAGCACUAUGCACGGCCUCCAGCAUGACUAUAAACACCAGAAACUACUUAGCAACUCCUGGACCGAGUACUAAGCGAUUAAUAAGUCGAGCGGGGUCAUAUUUCCGGGCCCAUCAUGUGGUAGUAUCUAGUCUUGGAUUACAUACACGGAACUCAGUUCCUAAGGACGGUUCAAAUGAAACAACCCGCCAUGUACUCCUACACAGCCUUUCACCGGUACCUUUACCAAAUCAGGUUCAACACACAACCUUUGCUUACCAAACACAUUGUCACAAUUCUGUUCAUCUCCCAGAUGACAGACCAUACACAACUCUAAGCAUAGCAUGCAUAGCAGGAUAAGGCACAUCAUGGCUCAAGCAACUACCAGGUAUGCUAGGUUGCAAGGUUCAACUAUUUACUGUGACAAGGAUAGGUCAUGCAAAGGAAGUGGGUUCAACUAACGUGGCAAAAGCAUUUGAAGCAUUUGAUCCUAAUGCAAUAAGUAAGUGUAGGAGCAAGAAUAAGGGAUUUAUCGGGAUGAUCAAAAUGGUUGCUUGCCUUGUUGCUCAGAGGAGUGACAAUAUCCGUCAGACGGAUAUUCGGUGGAAUCCUGGGGAACGGAGCCUACCAAAAGAAAUGACAACAAUCGAUAAAAAUCAUGUGCAACAAGAUGAUGCAUGAGCAUGGCAUGAGGAUGCAAGGUGGUAUACUAUUAUAGCUAACAUGUAUUAGGUUUGAAGUUGAUUUGAAUCAAAUUCAAAUAUCACUUCAAAUGAGGUAUUCUCGGAUACCAUUUUAAUUGAUUCGACCUGAUGCUCAGAUCAACUUGCUUUUAUCAUGCAUGGAAUGACAUGUUCGGCUGCUGGUUUGUGAUUUGGACAAUGUUUGAUCAUAUCAUUUGUAGUGAAAUUUAAUUAUUUUCCAAAUUCCAUCUCCAAAGUAUUUAUAAGAAUUAACUUAUUCAUUAAUCUACAUGUUUGGGUUCAGAAACAUUUUCAAACAUGUUUGAAAAUGACAUAUUCGGAUUCCUUGAAUUUUUCUGAUACUUUUCGUAUAUAAAUUAUUUUCAUUGGACUUACAUAUUAUUUUCUAUGAUUUUUAGAAGUUUUAGGCAUUUUCUGGAAUUAUUAAAAUCCAGAAAUGCAUUUACUACAUCAGCCAUAUGUUAGCAUGACCUCAGCANNNNNNNNNNNNNNNNNNNNNNNNNNNNNNNNNNNNNNNNNNNNNNNNNNNNNNNNNNNNNNNNNNNNNNNNNNNNNNNNNNNNNNNNNNNNNNNNNNNNAGGAGGAGGGGGAGGGGCUGCGCCACCCCUAGGGUUCCCUCCCUAGCGGCCGGCGGCCACCAGAUGGGAAAGGGGGCGGCGGCUAGGGUGGGGAGGGGGUGGCGCACCACCUGGUGGGCCUUAGGCCCACCUGGCUUAGGGUUUGCCCUCCCCCCUUUUCUCUCCCCACGCAUUGGGCUGAGUGGGGAGGCGCGCCAGCCCACCUAGGGGCUGGUUCCCUUCCCCACUUGGCCCACCUUACCUCCCGGGGUCGUUGCCCCCCUUUGGUGGACCCCCGGGGCCACCUCCGGUGGUCCCGGUAUGUUACCAGUGAUGCCCGAAACACUUCCGGUAUCCGAAACCAUCCGUACUAUAUAUCAAUCUUUACCUCCGGACCAUUCCGGAGCUCCUCGUGACAUUCGAAAUCUCAUCCGGGACUCCGAACAACUUUCGGUAACCUCAUAUAACAAUUCCCUAUAACCCUAGCGUCAUCGAACCUUAAGUGUGUAGACCCUAUGGGUUCGGGAGACAGACAGACAUGACCGAGACACCUCUCUGGCCAAUAACCAUCAGCGGGGUCUGGAUACCCGAUGGUGGCUCCCGACUUGCCCCACGAUGAUCUCAUCGGAUGAACCACGAUGUCAAGGAUUYAAUCAAUCCCGUAUACGAUUCCCUUUGUCUGUCGGUAUASAACUUGUCCGAGAUUCGAUCGUCGGUAUACCUAUACCUUGUUCAAUCUCGUUACUGGUAAGUCUCUUUACUCGUUCCGUAGCACGUCAUCGUGUGACUAACUCCUUAGUCACAUUGAGCUCAUGAUGAUGUUCUACCGAGUGGGCCCAGAGAUACCUCACCGUCACACGGAGUGACAAAUCCCGAUCUCGAUUCGUACCAACCCAACAGACACUUUCGGAGGUACCCGCAGUGCACCUUUAUAGUCACCCAGUUAUGUUAUGACGUUUGAUACACCCAAAGCAUUCUUACAGUAUCCGGGAGUUGCAAAAUCUCACGGUCGAAGGAAAAGAUACUUAACAUUAGAGAAGCUUUAGCAUACGAACAAUACGAUCUAGUGCUAUGCUUAGGAUUGGAUCUUGUCCAUCACAUCAUUAUCCCAAUGAUGUGAUCCCGUUAUCAAUGACAUCUAAUGCCCAUGAUCAGGAAACCAUGAUCAUCUAUUGACAAACGAGCUAGCCAACUAGAGGCUUGCCAGGGACACAUUGUGAUCUAUUUAUUCACACAUGUAUUAUUGUUUCCUGUUACUACAAUUAUAGCAUGAACAAGGAAAUACGAUAAUAACCAUUUUAUUAUUGCCUCUAGGGCAUAUUUCCAACAUCAUGUACAUCAUCAGGAUCAAUCAUCUUAUAGUCUCCUCUUUCUUGAAACAUCAGAACUAGAGUUAUCAAAAUGAUGGAUCAAAAGAUCUUAAUAGUUUCUUCACAACUUCAUGGUCAGUGAUGUCUCGAGCUCCCAGUGCUUGCAGUUCAUUUGAUAUGUCAGUGAGGCGAUCAAAGGUGUCUUGGCAGCUUUCAUUGUCAUGUCUCUUGAAGCGAUUGAAGAGAUUGCAAAGAAUAUCAACACGAGAGUCACGCUGGGUUGAUACUCCUUCAUUUACCUUGCACAGUCUCUCCCAGAUCAGUGUUGCAGGCCCAAAGCACUUACUCUUCAAAACUGGCCUGGGCUCAGAUGGCCACAGAUGAUGUUCUUCGCUUGAGAAUCGAGUUGCUUGAAUUUCUUCACAUCAGCCGCAGUGACACUGGCAGAGAUAAUGGGGACACCAUUUUCCACAAUAUACAAGAGAUCAUUAUCAAUAGCUUGUAAAUGCAUUUGCAUUUUGUUCUUCCAGAAGGGNNNNNNNNNNNNNNNNNNNNNNNNNNNNNNNNNNNNNNNNNNNNNNNNNNNNNNNNNNNNNNNNNNNNNNNNNNNNNNNNNNNNNNNNNNNNNNNNNNNNGAGAGUAGGGAUAGGAAGAUAAACCCAAAGGUUGAAACGAUUAUUUUUGGCAUGGGUUCCAAUAGGUGCUACUAUCGUACGUCCAUGUUAGUGGAGACUUCAACCCACAGAGGGUAAUGGCUGGGAGAUUCCAUAGAGGGCUCCAUCCACAAGGGGUCCACAAAGAAGCGGCCUUGUCUAUUCCACCAUGGCUUAUGUGCACAGAGGACUAGCCUCACUCUGGGUAGGUCUUCAAGAAGGAGGCUAUCUCCUUGCCCUUACAAACUCCUUGAUUCUAUCUGUGGACGAAUUGGUAGGGUCGAGUGGAAAUUAUUGGUGGCACUGAUUUUGAUGUUUAGGCUUUGGACAAAAAAUAUUGCGCAAGAAUGUGUGAGUAUUUUUGGUGGCUAUCUCUAAGCACCCGAGCAACCAAUUCAUCUUAGACGCCUCACCGCUUUUAAUAUUACUGGCUUCCCUUUGGAGUCAAAUGCGAGUUCUCAUAAAAUGUGGAGUCUUAUAUGUUGAAGCUUGGCCAAUCCUAUUCCUUUCCUUGCAUCAAGGUGUUUCUCCUCACAACCCUUUUAGCCAAUGCAUCAUUGAAAUUUUCUGAAAUAUGCUUGGAUGGAAUCAUUAGUUCAAUGACACAUAUGUUAUCAUUAAUUACCAAAACCACCUUAAUUAGGGGGAAAUUGUGCUUUCAAUCUCCUCUUUUUGGUAAUUGAUGACAACAUAUAGAUCAAAGCUUCAACCAAAGAUGUAACAAUGAUUAUCAUCAUUGCUUUGAGAAUUAUGUCAAAAGCAAGAGCUCCCCCAAAAAUUUUACAUUAUUUAAAAUUUAUGUUUGAAUGCAAAUGCAUAAUCAAUUAGGAUCAUGGGUCACUCUUCCAUGUUGCAUACAUCUUGGUGAUGUGCAUAAAUGAUAUGAAUGAAUAGUAAUGCACAUAACACCAAACAAGUGAGUGAAUGAUCAUCAUGUAGAUGGCUCAAAUACAUAAUGUAUUAGUAUCAACAAUCAAAGCGUGUGAUCAAACAGAACAAUGUUUAAGACAUACCAAAAACAAAUGUUUUGAAAAACGAAAGAGAGGAAUAAAAGGAAAAACUCUCUCUCUCUCGAAGCCCUUAUGAUCUAUACACUUCUCCCCCUUUGGCAACCAGUUACCAAAAAGUUCAAAGGUCCAGAACUAAGCGUCGCUCUGGGAUCGAUCUCCCCUAGUAGCACUCAAUGGAGUCGAGAGGAGAGAGUUGGCGAAGGCUUCAAUGGAUGUCCUCUAAGGUGGAGGCAUUGACACUCGAGGUGCAGGACCUGGUGGAGUGAAGGAGCUGAAGGUGGUGAUGCUUGGGAUCAUGAUGAUGGUCUAGCUUCCGGAACUGGCAUUGUUGCAGACCUAUUCCGAGUCCUGACCUGAGCAGUUGUAGGAAGACAAAUCAUCUUCAUCACAGCUAGAGCUAGUUACAUGCACUGCAUCAACUUCAUGCUUUAGCUGCUCUAAAGUGGUAACCAACUCCAUUUCUUUGAUAUCUACGUCAUGGAAUUUAGUCUCCAUGAUCCUCUCAAGCCUCUUCUAGUUCAGCAAAAUUUCAUAAAUAUUCUUCUACCAAUACCACUAGAUAGUGCUGACAAGAAAUCAAAUCUGCUCCUUUCUGGAUCUCAGCUGUGGUGCUGGUGCUGGUCUGGCUUCCUCUACCUCUAAUGUUGUCUUUGCUUGCUAACGAGUUGUAGCUGAGCUGGGACGGUGGGGUCCAUCACUACCUAGUUGUCCUUUUACUCUNNNNNNNNNNNNNNNNNNNNNNNNNNNNNNNNNNNNNNNNNNNNNNNNNNNNNNNNNNNNNNNNNNNNNNNNNNNNNNNNNNNNNNNNNNNNNNNNNNNNAUUUUGAACUCCUUCAAAAACUUGUCAAGGCAUGUAUUUGAUUGAAAGUUCUAUUAAGCGUUUUGAUCUAUCUCUACAGAUCUUGACGCUCAAUGUUCAAGUAGCUCUAUCCAGGUUUUCCUUUGAAAAACUCCUUUCGAACAAACCUUUAUGGUUUUACAUAAAUUCUACAUUACUUCCAAUCAAUAAUAUGUCAACCACAUAUACUUAUCAGAAAUUCUAUAGUGCUCCCACUCACUUCCUUGGAAAUACAAGUUUCUCAUAAACCUUGUAUAAACCCAAAAGCUUUGAUCAUCUCAUCAAAACGUAUACUCCAACUCUGAGAUGCUUGCACCAGUCCAUAGAAGGAUCGCUGGAGCUACCAUACUUGUUAGUAUCUUUAGGAUCGACAAAACCUUUUGUUUGUAUCACAUACAACCUUUCCUCAAGAAAACCGUCGAGGAAACAACGUUUUGACAUCCUAUGUGCAAUAUUUUAUAAAUAAUGCAGCAACUGCUAACAUAAUUCCAACAUAUUUUUAACAUCGCUACGAGUGAGAAAGUCUCAUCAUAGUCUACUCUUUGAACUUGUCGGAAACAUCUUUGCGACAARUCGAGCUWUUCUUAAUGGCGACUUUUCGCCAUCAUUGUUUGUCUUUAUUUUUAAGAUCCAUCUUUACUUAAUAGUCCUACGACCAUAAAGUAGUUCUUCCAAAGUCUACACUUUGUCUUCAUACAUGGAUCCUCUCUCGGAUUUCAUGGCCUCCAGCCAUUUGUGAGAAUUCGGGCCCACCAUCGCUUCUCCAUAGCUCGUAGGUUCAUUGUUGUUCAACAACAUGACCUCCAAGACAUGGUUACCAUAGCACUUUGUAGUAGUACGCGACCUUGUCGACCUACAAGGUUUGUAGUAACUUGAUCCGAAGCUUAAUGAUCACCGUCAUUAGUUUCCACUUCAAUUGGUGUAGGCGCCACAGGAACAWCWUCSUGCACCCUGCUACACACUGGUUGAAGUGACGGUUCAAUAACCUCAUCAAGUUCCACCACCCUCCCUCUCAAUUCUUUCGAGAUAAACCUUUCCUCGAGAAAGGACCCAUUUCUAGAAACAAACACUUUGCUUCUGGAUCUGAGAUAGGAGAUGUACCAAACUGUUUUGGAUAUCCUAUGAAGAUGCAUUUAUCCGCUUUGGGUUCGAGCUUAUGAGACUUGAAACUUUUUCACAUAAGCGUUGCAGCCCCAAAAUUUCACGAAACUACAGCUUAGGUUUGUCCAAACCAUAGUUCAUACUAUGUCAUCUCAACGGAAAUACGUGGUGCCUAUUUUAAAGUGAAUGCGGUUGUCUCUAAUGCACAACCCAUAAACGAUAGUGGUAAUUCGAUAAGAGACAUCAUAGUAUGCACCAUAUCAAAUAGGGCGCGGCUAUGACGUUCAGACACACCAUCACACUAUGGUGUUCUAAGUGGCAUGAAUUGCAAAACUAUUUUCACAUUGUCUUAAUUAUGUACCAAAACUCGCAACUUAGAUAUUCAUCUCUAUGAUCAUAUCGUAGACAGUUUGUCCUCUUGUUACGACGAUCUUCACUCUAAAAUAGCCUUGAACUUUUCAAUAUUUCAGACUUGUGAUUCAUCAAGUAAAUAAUCUUUGUAUUUACUCAAAUCUUAAGUGAAGUAAGAACAUAACGAUAUCCAUUGCGUGCCUCAGCACUCAUUGGACUGCACACAUUAAAAAUGUAUUACUUCCAACAAGUUACUUUNNNNNNNNNNNNNNNNNNNNNNNNNNNNNNNNNNNNNNNNNNNNNNNNNNNNNNNNNNNNNNNNNNNNNNNNNNNNNNNNNNNNNNNNNNNNNNNNNNNNAUCAUCACGUGAGUUGAGUAUAGUUUCAGUGGUGAACAUCUCCAUGUUGAUCAGAUCAACUAUAUGAUUCAUGCUCGACCUUUCGGUCUCUUGUGUUCUGAGGACAUGUCUGUACAUGCUAGGCUAGUCAAGUUUAACCCGAGUGUUCCGCGUGUGCAACCGUUUUGCACCCAUUGUAUGUGAACGAUGAGUCUAUCACACCCGAUCAUCACGUSGUGUCUCAAAACGACGAACUAUCGCAACGAUGCACAGUCGGGGAGAACACAAUUUUAUCUUGAUAUAAGUGAGGGAUCACCUUAUAAUGCUACUGUUGUUCUAAUCAAUAUAAGGUGCACAAAAGGAUUAACAUCACAUGCAAUGCAUAAGUGACAUGAUAUGGCCAUGAUCUUGUGUUUCUUGAUCUCCAUCACCAAAGCACUGGCAUGGUCUUCAUCAUCACUGGCGCCACACCAUGAUCUCCAUCAUCGUGCCGCCAUCGAGGUUGUCGUGCUAUCUAUGCUAUCACUACUAAAGCUACAACCUAGCAAUAUAGUAAAUGCAUCUGCAAGCACAAACAUUAGUUUAAAGACAACCCUAUGGCUCUGGCCGGCUGCCGUAGCAUCGACGUGCAAGUCGAUAUUUAACUAUUACAACAUGAUCAUCUCAUACAUCCAAUAUAUCACAUCGUGUCUUUGGCCAUAUCACAUCACAUGCAUACCCUGCAAAAACAAGUUAGACGUCCUCUAAUUUGUUGUUGCAUGUUUUACAUGGCUACUAUGGGUAUCUAGUAUGAUCGCAUCUUACUUACGCAAAGCCACAACGGUGAUAUGGAAAUUGCUAUUUAACCUUUUCCCAAGGACCACCUCGGUCAAAUCCGAUUCAACUAAAGUUGAAGAAACAGACACCCGCCAGUCAUCUUUAUUAACAAGUUGCAUGUUAGUCGAUGAAACCAGUCUCUCAUAAGCGUACAAGCAAGGUUGGUCGGGGCUGCUUCAAUCCAACAAUACCGCCGAAUCGAGAUAAGACUAAGGAGGGCACCAAAUCGAACAUCAAUGGCCACAAAAACUUUUUUGUUACUACUCGAUAUUUCAUCUACGCAUGAACCUAGCUCAUGAUGCCACUGUUGGGGAACGUUGCAUGGGAAACAAAAAAUUUCCUACGCACAUGAAGAUCUAUCAUGGUGAUGAUCAUCUACGAGAGGGAGAUCAGAUCCACAUACCCGUGUAGAUCGCUUAGCGGAAGUGUUAAUAAACGUGGUUGAUGUAGUGGUACGUCUUCACGAUCCGUCCCAUGAAUCGUCCCACGAACCGUCCCACGAUCCAUCCCGAUGAAGUGCCGAACAGACGGGACCUCUGCGUUCUGCACACGUACAGCUCGAUGACGAUCUCCGCCUUCUUGAUCCAGCAAUAAAAGUGGGGAAGUAGAUGGGUUCUCUGGCAGCGUGACAGCGCGCCGAUGAUGGUGAUGAUCUAUUCUUGCAAGGCUCCACCGUAGCUUUGUAGAAAACCAAUCUAGAUGAAGAACUGUGAUCUAGAGGAGAGGGUAAGCACAUGGAAAACGUUGUGUCUCAAAAGCCCUAAACCUCUAGUAUAUAUAGGAUGAGGGGAGGGGCAGACUUGGCGUGCCAAGGAAGUCCUCCUUGGGUCGGCCUAAGUGGGGAAGGGAGGAGUCCUCCUCCAAUACCACUUGGAUUAGGACUCCUUCCUUAUUUUCCCACCUCUUUUGGAUUUUCCACUUUUNNNNNNNNNNNNNNNNNNNNNNNNNNNNNNNNNNNNNNNNNNNNNNNNNNNNNNNNNNNNNNNNNNNNNNNNNNNNNNNNNNNNNNNNNNNNNNNNNNNNAACACAUAUGCGGCCAUGUGCAAUGGAGUAAUCAAGCCUUCCAUUCAUCUUGUUGUCAACAAUGCCCAUAGUAUCUUUUCGUAGUUUCCUCUCCCUAAAGUUGUUUAAAUGUACAUCCCUUCAUCUCCCUCUUUGCCUUCACCAACUCUCCAUACAACCAAGUCAAAGAGGGCUUAAUAUCCCCAUCAAACAAACGAUGAACUUUCACCAAUGGCUCAAACACCUCUAUGCAUAGGAGGACACAUUUCCAAAAGAUAGCAUCCAUCAUCGUUGUCGUUGCAUCCUUGCCUUUCUUUGUUUUCACAUGGCUCAUCUCUUCUCAAACUCUUUCAACCACCAUAGACCUUAAAGCGUCUUUCUUCUCUAAUAAACUUUGCAAAAUGAGAAAAGCAAAUGCAAAUCUAGUCACCCCAGACUUAUGAUAUCUCUCCUUUUUGUAGCAACCCUCAUCAAUGCCAAAGUCUUGUGAUGUGCAUAGGUGAAGAUGGUGAUGUUCUUUGCUUGAUCAAUUAUUGUCUUGAAUCUUUUGAGGUUGCCAAUUCCUUGGAGCAUCAAGUUGAUAGUGUGAGUUGCACAAGAGCUCCAAAAGAUCUACGGCCUCUUCUCAUGCAACAUUUUCUUGGCUCCCAUGUUAUUGGGAGCAUUGCCCGUAACCACUUGCAUCGCAUGCUCCACCCCUACCUCCUCAAUUGUGUUGUCCACUAGCUGAAAGAUAACUUCACUUGUAUGUAACACAUCGGAUGUGUCCUUUGAUUUGAGAAAACUUGUCCCCCACUACCAUGCAUGCACACAUUCAUUAUGCUCCUCCUCUUCAUGUUUGUCCAUGCAUCGGUGAUUAGGGUGCAUCCAAGUUUUAUCUUCUCCUUCCCACGUUCAUCUAACAAACUCAUGGUCCUUGCAUAUUCAUCACUCAACAACUUCUCCCUGAGCUCAUAUUGAGUAGGAUGCUCAUAUACAGGACCAAAUUUUUCUAUGGCCUCACACACCUAACAAAACUCAUCAUUGUCAAGAGCAUUAAAUAGUAUGCCUACAAGGCACAAGCAAAGCAACAUGAUGGAUUUAGACUUAGCAGUUAGCAAUGAAGCACAAGAAAGUAAAGAAAUGAAGGACUUUGAAAUUACCAUGUGAAUACACCCAUCUAGCAAUAUAUGGUGAACAUUGACCUCUUCUCUCCUUGAAUAGUGCUUUGUUCACACUUAGAUGUCUCAAGACUUCCUAUUUGCUUGAUUUUCCAUCAAUAGGACGCACAAACUUAUCCAAUGGUCCUAAUUUGUUGGGCUUCGAUGAUGGGCUACCAACACAAACAGAUUCUCUAAACUCCCUUGCUUCAUUUAUGGUUGUAACAUGCACAUCAGCCCUCACUUCUGCCUUACGUUUUUUCUUCGCCACCUUCUUUGCCUCAUAAGCAUCAAGAGAUCUCUAGCACAUUGCUUUAGCCUCCGGACUUGAUCUUAAACAUGAAAGAACACUUGAUGUGGUGCCCGUGAUGUGGAGCUUGAAACCAUUAAUUUCUCCAGUGCUAAUAUGGCCACAAAAGUCACACUUCACCUUCUCCUUCUUUGUCACAUCACAUAGCUUCCCAUAGUUCCAUCCAACAUCAUUUGACUUCCUCUUAAGAGCUAUCGGCCUUUCCAACUCUGUCUCCACGGUGGUUGACAUCCUGCUNNNNNNNNNNNNNNNNNNNNNNNNNNNNNNNNNNNNNNNNNNNNNNNNNNNNNNNNNNNNNNNNNNNNNNNNNNNNNNNNNNNNNNNNNNNNNNNNNNNNUCGCUAGUGAAAGUAUGAACCCUAGGCCUUGUUUCCACGCAUUGCAAUACCGUUCGUGCUCACUUUUGUUACUAGUUACCUUGCUCUUUUUGUAAUUUUCAGAUUACAAAAACCUUUAUCUACCAUCCAUAUUGCACUUGUAUCACCAUCUCUUCGCCGAACUAGUGCACCUAUACAACUUACCAUUGUAUUAGGUGUGUUGGCGACACAAGAGACUCUUUGUUAUUUGGUUGCAGGGUUGCUUGAGAGAGACCAUCUUCAUCCUACGCCUCCCGUGGAUUGAUAAACCUUAGGUCACCCACUUGAGGGAAAAUCGCUACUGUCCUACAACCCUCUGCACUUUGAGGCCCAACAACGUCUACAAGGAGAAGGUUACGUAGUAGACAUCAAGCUCUUUUCUGGCGCCAUUGCCGGGGAGGUUAGCGCUUGAAGGUAUAUAUUUAGAUCUUGCAAUCGAAUCUUUUUGUUUCUUGUUCUUUCGCUAGAAAACUACAAAAAAAAAUUGGAAUUGAGGAUGACUCAUAUGCUCCACCUUUUCAAUGUCUUUCGUGAGCAUGAUGGGAAGGAAAAUUGUGCUCAAGUGCUGAAAGAAGAAUUACAUAGAAUGCUUGGCAUAAAAUAUGUGAAUGACGAGCAUGAUUGCAAUGUUGUUAGCAUGAAUUCUAUGAAUAUCCAUGAUGCUAAUUGCGAUUGCACUAUUCAUGAUGAAAAUGCCUCCUAUAAGCAUGUUGAUUUCUCUGGUAUACAUAGAGUUUGCAAAUAUAUACCAAAAAAAGAAGAUAGAUUUUGCAAGAGGCAUAAGUAUUUAGAAACUAAGUCGUUGCAUGUGAGGCUAGAUGAUUGUGCUGAAAUAUUUAAUAUUGAUAGCCGUCCUUGUGAACUUUGCAAUGAACAUGGUCAUUUAAAUCUGCAAUGCAAAUUGUUUCAUGAUCAAAUCGUGUCCAAAAAUUGUGAUGACUUGAUUUCCCUUGUGUAUCACAAUGAACUUAGUUUGCUUCUGAGAUAUGAAGAAAUGAAACGUAUAACUAAGGACCUUCCAGAUUGGGCUGUCAUGAAAAUGCUUGAUUAUGAUCUAGAAGAAAUUUAUUUAUAUUGUGCGGUGAAUUGCAUGGAGAAUCCUUAUAUUGCCAAUUACCUAAAGGCAAGGAAACAAAUAGGAGAUAAAGAUAAGACUAACGAAGGGGAAGAGGUUUCCCAAUACCCUCCUAUUAUUUCUUAUGAUGAAUCAGGUAACGAGGAGGAGCUCUCUAUUCAACCAACCUCUCCAAAAGGAAGCUUGGAAGAAUUAAGUAAAUCUUCACCUGGGGUGAAGAAGAAGAAAAGAAGAAAAAGUAAAGGUAAAGAGGUAUCUCUCCCAAAUGGUAUAAAUAUGGAGGAUGGCAAUAAUUGCUAUACUCUUGGUGUUAUUCAUGCUAUUAAUGAUGAGAGUGAUUAUGUCUAUGAUUUGCAAAAUCACAAGCUUGGGAUGCCAUGUUUGAGAAUAUAUUUGCUACAAUUAAAGUUUGUCCCAAGCUUGGGGAUGCUAUACUUGAUGAAGAUGAUAUUUUUAGUUCUUCCACUUUGAAUGAUCAAAAUUAUUUUGAUGAAAGCAUGCCCCCUAUCUAUGAUGAUUAUUGUGAGGAUAAUUAUGCUUUAAAGAAGAGGGAUGAGAAAACUUNNNNNNNNNNNNNNNNNNNNNNNNNNNNNNNNNNNNNNNNNNNNNNNNNNNNNNNNNNNNNNNNNNNNNNNNNNNNNNNNNNNNNNNNNNNNNNNNNNNNAGAUGGGAAGAAUGCAAAGAUACUAGCGACUAGAUCCUUCUAGUAGAUUGGAAGAUGCCAAUAUCUUUAUUUUAAUUUGUUGAUGUAUGGCCUGGUUUGUUCUGAUAGAUCGAAAGGUUUCUAUGAAUAAUAAGGGUUGACCUUUUUCUAUCUAUUGAUGAUAUAAGAUAUUUAUGGAUCCAUCAGAAAGAAAUCGAUAUAUAUUUUUUUUCAUUGAAUCAAUUCUACUUUAUUAGAUUAUUGCUUAAAAGAAUAAAAAAUUCCAAUAAAAAUAAGAACACAUAAAAAAUAAGCACCGAGGAUCAACGCCAUUACCAAAAGUUUCUCCCAAGGAUCCUAGCCCAUUGGGUAUAUGUUCCCUGCCUUUUCUCGCUAAUAUUGGAAAUAUUAUAUUUUCCAUGUCCAUAUAUCAUUAUUUUUUUUUGGGGGGGGGGGGGGUCCAAAAUCUGCCUAUUUUACUAGCCUUCGAAAACGGGAAACCCUCAACCAAGAAAAGUUGGGUAUGUUUUUUUUUACUUCCUCCGUCCGGAAAUACUUGUCCUAGAAAUAGAUGUAUCUAGACUUAUUUUAGUUAUAGAUACAUCCAUUUUGUACAUUUUUAGGACAAGUAUUUUCGGACGGAGGGUAUAUUAAUUUUAUCCUUAGCUCUCAAGAUAUCCAUAUAUACAUAUACAAUAUAUACAUAACGUCUCUCUCUAUAUAUUUAUAAAUCGAUUCCCACUCCAUACUACUCCCUCCGUUCCUAAAUAUAAGUCUUUUAAGAGGUUUCGCUAAGGAGACUACAUACGGAUGUAUAUAGACAUACUUUAGAAUAUAGAUUCACUCAUUUUUGCUUUGUAUGUAGCCCUCUAAUAAAAUCUCUAAAAAGACUUAUAUUUAAAAACGGAGGGAGUACUUCAUAUAAAAAGCCGGAACCUUCUAAGUAACAAUAAAUAAAUAACAUGUUUAGAUAAUUGUAAGUCGAUUUUCGCUGCAGAAAAAAGUGAGGACUAGAGCUAUAAUACGGAGGUAGGGCAACGCAGAUGGUUCUGGUGUCUUCGUUCGGCGAGGUUGGAAGUGUCAUAGUUGCACGUGCCAUUCGCUUGUAAGAGCAAGUCCAAGACUUGGCGUUUCAGUGUGCGUGGUUGCAUGCGGGCGUCGGAGAAGAAGAAGAAGGAGGGGUGUUAAAAGGACGGUCUGGGUGGUGAGGCGACGCACGAUGUACCCGCCAACCAAAUGGUUGGUGAGGGUGAGGGGCGACGUUAGGCAUGAGUUAGAGGGCGGCUCGGCCCGAGGAGGGACGCUUCAAGAUUUAAUCAAUUUUGCAAAAAAAAUGGUUUGAAUCUAUUAUAAAAAAUCACCAGCAAAAAUACAAAACCUCACAAACAUGAUAAAAGUGCAUCGAGAUCCGUGGACAAUCAAAAUGACCACUUACCUAGCCAGAAAGAAUCGUCGACACAUCAUUGUCGCUUCUUGUUUAUCGAAGCCGACCUGACUUUGUUGAUGAUAGCUGAAGAAUCUUAAUGCACGUGUCCCCAAGAAUUAANNNNNNNNNNNNNNNNNNNNNNNNNNNNNNNNNNNNNNNNNNNNNNNNNNNNNNNNNNNNNNNNNNNNNNNNNNNNNNNNNNNNNNNNNNNNNNNNNNNNUUAAGAACCUUGCUCUUCAUCACAUUCCUCAGAUUCUUCUUCAGAAUCCAUUGCUGUCGGUGCACUAAAUAGUGGGGUCUCUAGUGCCCCGGACUAGUGUGUGGACGCCGGCAGCCCCUCUAAAGUGGCAAGGCGCGUCGCUUGAGCGUAGGGUGGAAGCAAGACUCAGAAGCCACCAAAAACAGAUUGCAAGCCCUCGGCAGGCACUCGCUCGUUGGGAAGGAAGAACAUACCCCGAGAGGUGCUCCCUGCCGGGGAGAUAGACAAUGCCACGGCGAGAGCCUCCUGCCAAGGAAGAAGGACUGAGCCUCGGCAAGCCAUCCUUGCUGGGAAGAUUAACAAGGCAUCGGCAGGCUAUCACCUCCCUGCCGAGAGGAACAAGAAGAGCCCCCGGCAAGGUAACCCUCCAAGAAGAAAGAGAAGGCCUGAAGAGAGGCGCGGGCCUAGGGCGCCUUCGCAACUUGUGAACGCCUCCACCAACGAACACGCCACCGUCGAUGCAUGGACCACGCGUCCACCAGCAUGCUAGCGCAACACCCCGAAGUUGUAACAACCAAACCUCGAAGGAUUUAGAGUCUUGCUUUACUGCGCUAGUCCCUGGAUCGACUCGCUAGCACAAACAGUAUAGAUGAAUACCAGAAUAGGAAGUGCAUCAUUUAUUACAAUGUAUGAUCCAGAAUUUAUAAAGUAUAACAAUAUGCAUAUCACUUAGCUAUCUUUAUUCUAUCAAACAGUGGAAAAGUAGUAGAAUAAUAACGAUGAGUCCCAUUAUAGCCCACUUUCGAUGUUGAGUGAACACUCGCGACCCUAAAGGUACCUUACUCCUCGUCUGAAUAUCCUGCAACAUGAUACAUUGCAGCCAUAUAGGUCAAUACUUUGAAUGUAUUAGCAAGUUACACUGGAAGAAUAAUAUAGCAGACCUACAUGUACAUGCAUAGUAUAACAAAGGAAGGGCUGGUGGUUAUUUUGCAUAAAGCUGAUUUUAUCCUCACAACUACCUAAUACUCAAGUUUUAAUUUGUUUGCUGCAAUUAACUAACAUAUGGUUGAAUUGGCAGCUCCAACUCCAACCUAUUACCAUUAUUAAGUUUCGACCAAAUUUUAUUAAGUGUCCCAUCUGUCAAGAUCAUCCAACAACUGUAAUGGCCUAGGUGCUCAAUAUUGUCCAUAACCGGGGACACAAUUAAUCAUUAUUAGUUUAUACACUCUCCAGAUGUUUGCACACUCUACCCACUAGACCCAACCCGAAGAUUGAGACGAAGUCUUUCAGAAGCACACUCUACUACUCACUAAGUCUGUCUGAUCUUUUUGAUCCUGGGCGGCAUUCCACUUAUAUUUAGAGGUUUGAAACCAUGAUGUUCUUGAAACCACCCAGCAAUAGCAUAUUCGCCGAUAGGUGUAUNNNNNNNNNNNNNNNNNNNNNNNNNNNNNNNNNNNNNNNNNNNNNNNNNNNNNNNNNNNNNNNNNNNNNNNNNNNNNNNNNNNNNNNNNNNNNNNNNNNNAUCUGCUCCUCCACCCGCCACUGCUGCGCCGUCAACGGCUGCUGCCGGUACGUGCUACUGCUCCGCCCUCCCUCCCCCUCGUUCCCUCCCUCCACCGCCACCGCCCCAUCGACCCCCGCGCGCGGUCCCGUUCGAGUUCGGCUCGGGUGGGGGUUUCUGGCGCUCCGGAGAUUUGACUUGACCCGUGCUCGCGUAAUCUGCUUUGCUUUGUUUCACCGCUGCAGGAAGGAGCCGCUCCACACGUUCACGAUCCGUAAGUGCACGGCGCCCAUCCUGCUCAAUUUUGUGCUUUAUCGGUUCCUGGUCGAUGGAUGUGAGUUCCUCACUGGCGUGGUUGGAUUUUCGCUCAUGGAACAGACGGGCUGUGGCCGGACUACGAUGACGGGACUUGGCCGUCGUGCUGCCGCCGCACCAGUUUCGACAUGGACAAGGUGCUAGCCGCAGGGACCUUGCUUACACUGAUACGCGGCCGCUCUAGCUUCAUUUAAUCAUGCACAAGUUCGAUUCCAUUCGUUACCGAUACACGAAGAUCGACUUGCACUCACUCCGUUUUCAGAUUCUAUUAAUGAUGCAUGGUUCUGCCGUGUCUUGGUUGAUUUGGUGUAGAUAACGCCUCUGAAGCCCACGCUGGACAAGUACUGGCCGUCCCUCUACUGUUCGUCCUCUUCCACUUGUUUCAGUGGUAGGGGCCCCUUCUGGGCUCAUGAGGUAUAGUGUCACAACUGAUGGAUUCGACUCUAAAAAUUAUUCAUCGAUUGGAAUUGUUACUAACCUUUUGUGCUGUUCCCUUACCUGUUGUUUUGCAUAAUGGCAUUGUCCCUGCUUGAUUGAUCAUUCGUGGAUUGUCUUUAGUGGGGUAAUGUUCUUCAAUCCACUCGACUUAAUGAACUGAAAUAUUGUUAUAAGGGAGAGUUACUAGUUUUGAUCCAUCUGCACAAACAUUGUCUCAUUUCCAUUGCUAAGUUUCCGUCGUUUUUAAUUUUUUUACAGAGAAGCAUGGAACAUGCUCGGCCCCUGCUGUUCGGGAAGAAUUACAGUACUUCAGCACUGCCCUUGAUCUCUACUUCAAAUAUAACGUGACAGUAAGCAUCUGGUCACUGACUCAUUAGAUGUAGCGCAUUAUUGUUAUUUCUUGCAGGAAUUAUUGGUUUCUUUUGUUGGCUAUAGCACCUGAACCUUUGUUAUUUCAGUUAGCUUGGUUUCUGGAUGAAGAAAACAAACUUAAAACCACUUGAAUUGUAGUUCGUGUGAAUUUGACUCAUGCUAAACCGUGUCAUAGAAAUUUGUCUCUUUUGCAUUGUUAUAAUUUGGUUUGGAAUUGCAGGAAAUGUUGGCGACUGGAGAUAUCNNNNNNNNNNNNNNNNNNNNNNNNNNNNNNNNNNNNNNNNNNNNNNNNNNNNNNNNNNNNNNNNNNNNNNNNNNNNNNNNNNNNNNNNNNNNNNNNNNNNCGCCUGCCCAGGCAAUAGUGCAACGCACUGGGAGACACCUAUGAGCCCCAGUGGCAAGCCACCGUGGUGGGCCCACCCCCACAAAAAAUAAAUUUAAUAUCGUUGUGAGGGUGUACCCCACAUAUCAGAUAUUAAACUGAUAAGAACAGAUACUACACUUGAUCUUAGCCAAAAGGCCGAGAAAGGUAUGAGUUGCAGCGCUGCCCAGCCCCUCUAUUUGAACCCUCCUCGCCCUCCCGUUCCCUCCUCGCCGGGCGAGGUGGGACUAAACGAAUCGAUGUCGCGUCUGCCGACGGUGCAUGCCCCCGAGCCCCGAGCCAGCCGCUUUGCAUGGGCCUCAAACAGGACGGCCUUUUCCUGUGAUCCGAUGGGCCCGUGCUGCUCCUGGCCUUUAUUUCGAGCAAAACGUUCCCCGUGGCCACGAAGAGACCCGCGGGCGUCGAUCGAUCAGCAGCCGUUGCCUCCUGGCUCUGUAUCUCGUUCUUCAGCGCAUUCUUCUGCGGCAGAAAAUUGGCGUUAACACCAUAGCCACGUAGGGUGUAUGUACCCCAAUGCAUUGUAGUAGUACAUGUGAAGACGGCAUCAAAGAACGACCACGGAGGUAGUACAUGUGAAGAUGGCAUCAUAGGAUAUCGGAGUGAUCGACCACAGCCCUUGCUCUCAAUGCACCGUAGUAGUGUGUUUCGCCCACUGCCCUGACGAGCUGGACCAAACGCGUGUCUGCUGCUCGCUUUGGUUCUAAUCAGACUACCAGAGACAAGUGCUCGCUUGCUUGUCUCUUUCGACGGUGUUUAAUGAUGGCAAAAUAAUCUGAGAGAUUCGGGAGCAUCAGGCCCACAUAUGCCGGGGCAAAAUAGUCACCCCGCCUCGGGGCGUUUGCUGCAUCCGGCGGGCUCUUUUCGUCCUCAAGUAACAGCACUUUGCAAUUUUCCACGAGGGAGGUGAUGCGUGUGGUAAUCUCUACGACCCCUCCCGCAAGUUGCAGGUCCGAAAAAAUGUUUGCGACGGGAAAAAACACGGGUGUGAGGAUUAAUUCUGAGGAUUGAUGGAUGAUUUAAGGGGUUUACUCCCCUUUUUUUUGCGGGAAAGGGGUUUACCCCCUUGACUUGAUAGAACAAAGUUGCAGAAUGUUUGUGUUAGUAUGUUCGCCGUAGUAAAAUAUACGGUGUCAAACGAUUUCAAAUCAAUUUAAGGGUUUAACGACGNNNNNNNNNNNNNNNNNNNNNNNNNNNNNNNNNNNNNNNNNNNNNNNNNNNNNNNNNNNNNNNNNNNNNNNNNNNNNNNNNNNNNNNNNNNNNNNNNNNNGGUGAGCAUCAUUGUGCAAUGUCAAGUGAGCUCUCAGCUUCCUUGGCAUAGAAAGAUCUUCUUCCUCCUCUGCAGUAGUAUCUCUGGAUGCAGAUCCCUUGUUCUUCUCUGUUGCAGGCAUAUCCCUAGUAUUCCUCUUGGGAGCUAAUGGCUUCUUAGACUUGGGAGCACAAGGUUUUGUCUUGGGUGCAAACCUAAUUGGCAUAGCAUCUGCCAUAACAUAAUCUUCUUGGAAGGAUGUGGAUUAGCAGUUUCCUCUUCCUCUUUUUCCUUAGCAGCUUCUACUAGAUCUUCAUACAUGGAGGUUGGCCUUCCAACAACAUGCAUGACUCUCUUCCUGGCUCUCUUCUGCCCUGGCUUCUUAGCUUGCUUCGAAUAGGGGUUCUCAAGGGUGAGUUUCAUCCCUUUCUGAGCAGUCUCUGGAGCUCUCACAGAAUCAGUCCACGCAUACUCCUUUAUCAUAGUUUUCUUGACUAGGAUACUCUCCUUUUUAUUUUGGGGAAUGAUUUCCCGUGGAACGAAGCUAUCGUACUCCUCAUCUGAAGUAAGCUUCUUUUUGGACCUGCUAGCUGCCUUGGGAAAAUCAUGGGAGCUUGUAGUACCUGGGUCAGAAGCGGCCCUCUCAGGACUAGUGCCUGAUACCAUUUCCACACUAGGAUCUUUGGAAUCAUUCUGGAUAUCCUCUGAACCUGACAUACUCACAAGCAACCAAGCAAACAAGCUGACCCUGUGAAUAGAAGUAGAAGAGCAGGAGUGGAUGAGCAUCACAAAAAACAAUAGUUUUCAAAAAUUUGGACUAAAAUUCUUAAAUUUAACUUUUUGCAAAAAGGAUUUUGGUUCCAUGGAGUCAAGAAUUUUGGAGCAACCGAGACAAACAAACUCCUUAAUAGAAACUUCGCAGGCUUCACCGAAAAGACAAACUCGGUUUCAUCGAGAUUGUUCUCUGUAGCCCUAAACCAUAAAUCCGUCAGACCGAUUUUUGUGACUUGGUGACACCCAGAUUCCGUUUGCGGACGGUUUCACCUAAAAACCUCUUGUUCUAUAAUCUAAUGGAGAUAUCUUAUGGAUAGGAGCAUUGCAAACAUGGAUUGUAGAAGGACAUAACCUAUUUGCGCAAGAAUCAAAUUAGGAAAGAACAAAGAAGGGCGAGAUCUUUACCCUACUUUCGGUGNNNNNNNNNNNNNNNNNNNNNNNNNNNNNNNNNNNNNNNNNNNNNNNNNNNNNNNNNNNNNNNNNNNNNNNNNNNNNNNNNNNNNNNNNNNNNNNNNNNNCAAUACUAGCAAAGCUUAAUGGGUGAGGUAUAGUUAAGUGGUGAGGCUGCAGCAAGCGACUAAGCAUUUAUUAGAGGUGGCUAACUUACGAGUCCAGGUAUAAAAGACGGGGAUAAUCUACGCAUAGUAGCCAUGAACACUGAUGAUCAAAUGGAUGAUCCUGAACACCUACUUCCGUCACCUACUCACUCAGUUGGCAAGUUUUAAUUAAGUUAACUUCAAGUUAUCUAGAACCGGAUGUUAAACAAAGUUUCCACGUUUCCACAGAACCAUGGGCAUGGCUUUCCAAAAGAUUUAACCCUGCAGGGGUGCUCCAACUAGUCCAUCACAAAUUACCACAAUCCGCAUAGAAAACCUCAAUGACRWAACUCGUGAUCUCCUCGGRUUCCUUAGUGGAAAACCYCAACUCURAGUUAUCCCAAAGMAUCACCAGAAUCCCAAUGCACAUGAUWUUUCGUCAAAAGUAAAACUAAUCCAGAAAGGCCACCCGAUGUGUCGACGAACCCGAUAGGAGAAGCGUAUCUCAUUCUCGGGACACAACCGUCUAUGCAUAGUGGACRAUAGCCAAACGACUCGAGUUGCCCCGAGGUGGCACCGCCGACUUCUAGGUGGGUGGACAAACACUCAUGAGGAGCACUGGCCCGGGGGCUGAUUAAUGAUCCGUGGGUGCCGGUGGGUCCCUGUAUUAUUUAUUAGUUAUUAGGAAAAUGUAAAACCAAAGUUGGGCAUUUCUAGACAAGCUUUAACUAAGACGAAUUAUCAAGGGUGUCCCCAURACAACCCYGAYCGUGUUAKRAGCACUCAWUUAUGSAAUAUAACACCSGUAGYYGAAACUAAGGSGRCAAAKRUGGAACAAAACACYAGGCUAGAAAGCCGAGCCUUCCACCUUUUACCAAGUAUWUAGGUGCAUUGAAUUAAAUAGCAAGUAUAUGGUGAUAUAACAAGGAACCCAUGUUAACACAUGGAAGCAACUGCACCUGCAACUAGCAACGCUAACACAUGGUUAAGCAAGAGGUAAUAUAACCAAUCAGUGUUUUGCUAGGUUGUAGAAGGUUGAWGGUUUCAURGCAAYGUUGAGAGGCUGACAUUUAAUAGGUGGUAGGCAAUGGGACAUAACGAAAGAAACAAGACAACUAGCAUGGCAUUGAUAGUAANNNNNNNNNNNNNNNNNNNNNNNNNNNNNNNNNNNNNNNNNNNNNNNNNNNNNNNNNNNNNNNNNNNNNNNNNNNNNNNNNNNNNNNNNNNNNNNNNNNNAUAUGGUGAUAUAAAAAGGAACCCAUGUUAUCACAUGGAAACAACUGCACCUGAAACUAGCAACGCUAACACAUGGUUAAGCAAGCAGUAACAUAGCCAAUCAGUGGUUUGCUAGGUUGUGAACAGGUUGAAGGUUUUCAUGGCAAUGUUGAGAGGCUCAUAUUUAACAAGUACUAGGCAGCGUGACAUAACGACGGUAAAACUAGCAUGGCAAUGAUAGUAAUGGUAUGUGGGGAAAUGGUCAUCCUGCAUGAGAUCCCGCUUGGAAGAAGAACGACUCCGUGAAGCAGACGAACCAAUGUAGUCGAACGGGUACUCACUUUCCAACACGCUUGCGGAACAAUAUCGAGACGAAGCAAACCGGAAACAAGCAUCAACACAUAUAUUCACCACGGCAUAUGCACGACAAGAUGCAAUCCGCAUAUGAUGCAUGAUCAGUGAACAUAUGCAAGACAAGGCAUGUCAUGGCAUUUCCCAACAAUCAAACACUACACAUUAAGUGAAGUUCAAUAUGCAACGAGUUGCAUAUUGAUGAACUCCACAUUUAAUUUUUAAGUUAACUCUUGUUAAAGUACACGACAAUAUUAUAUGUCGUUAAACAUGGCAAGGGGUGAGGCAUGUGAUUCUACACGACAUUUUAGUUGGUUAACACCUAAGAAGAUCGGAGGGCGCUACGGUUAAAAGAUACGUGCAACACAAGAUAAUAUGCCAUGGACGCAACAUGACUGCAAAAGAAACCUAAAUACACAGGGAGAAAAAAAUAAAAGAGAGGCUGUGGGGAUUUGAUACCUGGACCUCACGGUGCUAGCGUUGUGAUUACACCAGCUAUGCUACAACUAGUGUUUGAACAUAAAAAGGUUUGAGUAAAGGUGAAAGUAUGCCCUCGGUAUCUGAACCAGACACAUAUAAGGCACAACAGAAAUCAACCAAAAUUGGGGCUAGCUGAAUCCGUACCCAGGACCUGCAGAUGCAUUUGAGUAGCUCCUGCCACUUCACUACUGCACUUUUGGUUAGCGAAUAGGGUUGGGUGUGCAUCAACUAGUGCUCUCACGUGUAUCUGAAGAUCUGAACCGAAACAAAGCAANNNNNNNNNNNNNNNNNNNNNNNNNNNNNNNNNNNNNNNNNNNNNNNNNNNNNNNNNNNNNNNNNNNNNNNNNNNNNNNNNNNNNNNNNNNNNNNNNNNNUCCCUUGCCGGGAUGACGACUGAAGCCCCCGACAAGCCCCCUUGACGGGACGAAGACUCAAGUCCCCGGCAAGCUCUGUGCCGGGAUGACGGUCCCUUGCCACAGUGCCACCACCCCCAAGUGAUGACGGUCCCUUGCCACUGGUGGGCAACCACCCUUGCCACAGUGCCACCGCCCCCAAGUGCCAGCGCAUUCCGCACGCGCCAGCAUAGCGUCCAGGUGUCGAAACACCUGGAUACGAGUCUUCACCAGCACAUCACUGACAAGGACAGACGUGCAUUAAGUGCAUCUUACAGCGGUAGACGGAUAAGCACUGCCCUAGGUUCACUGUAACUCCCCGUGAACCUACCACCAAGCUCUAUAGGCGACCCCUUUGCCUACAAAGGAGGCCAUAGAUAAUUUCGAAGGAAUUAAACUUUUUGGACAUCAACCCAUAAGACGGUCAUCAACGGUCACUGUAACAAUCAACAACAAAACGCUUAAUACAACCAAACAAGGAGGAUGUAGGGUUUUACGCGUAAGCGGGUAAAAAGGCUUGCCGGGUGCUGAUUAUUAGCUCUGCUCUUCACGUCACCUCUCCCUGCCCUAUGAUCACAAGGGUUUCACGUUAAUUCCGAUAGGUGUCGACCUUGCAUUGCUGACUUCUUUGGCGCGCCAGGUAGGGGGUGUGGAGUUUUGCGCAAAUCUGAGCAAACUCAGCACUAGAUUCUUGGAAGUUUGGGCGCUGCGCCGCAGUUCCCCCGAAAACGGGGUACCGUGGCGGACGCUCUAUUCUGCUAUGUAUUCCUAAGGCUUGCGCGAGCUCUAGGCAGGGAGGCGGAGGCUCCAAAGGCGGCACCGUGAGGCCGAUGCGUCGCUCAGGGCCAACACGCAGCUGACGAGUGCGUACCUAGGAGCUUCUCAGAGGCCUCGGUGCGUACUCCAGCGGACGCAUCUCUGCGGAGUAAUGCAUGUCGUUGAGGAUGCGCCAAACGGUCCCGAAGCUCCGGCGCGCACUCCAGCAAAGUGUUGUGCCCCUGAGAGCGCCGUAUCAUCGCCCAAGUUGCGCNNNNNNNNNNNNNNNNNNNNNNNNNNNNNNNNNNNNNNNNNNNNNNNNNNNNNNNNNNNNNNNNNNNNNNNNNNNNNNNNNNNNNNNNNNNNNNNNNNNNUUUCUAUAUCUCGUUGCCUACCACCUGUUUAAUAAGCCCCUCAACGUUUCCAUGAAAAACCACUAACCUUUCCAUAACCCAGCAAAUUGGCUAUGUUACCGCUUGCUCAACCUUUCUAUAGCAUUGCUAGUUGCAGGUGUAGUUGCUUCCAUGUGAAAACAUGGGUUCCUUGUUAUAUCAUCUUAUUAUUUCUAAAUAAUUUAGUGCACCUGUAUAUUUGGUAAAAGGUGGAAGGCUUGGCAUUCUAGCCUGGUGUUUUGUUCCACCUUUGAAGUCUUAGUUUCGGCUACCGGUGUUAUGUUCCAUAAUUGAGCACUCCUAACACAUUUGGGGUUAUUCUGUACACCCCCUUGACUUUCAUUUUGGGAUAAAACUCUUGUGGCAAGGCCCAACAUUGGUACUAUAUUUUCCUAAUAAGUAAUGAACCGCAUAGGGAGUAAUUAACCCGUGGAUAGUUAAUCAACCUCCGGGCCAGUGCUCCUCACGAGUUUUGGUCCAAACUAGAGCCGUGUGCGGGCCAACUCAGGAGAUGUCUAUCAGGCCACUUUACGCCGUGCUUAUCAGUCGUGUCCAUAGAACAAGAUAUGCAGCCCCUAUCGGGAUCGUCGACAUGGCGGGUGGCCUUGCUUGAUUUGUUUUACCUUUCCCAAACAUCUUCUGCGAGGGAUUUCGAGGAUACUUUGGGUUAUCUCGAGGUUGAAGUCCUCCACCACGAAUCCAAGGAGAUCAUGGGUUUUCCAUGGUCGAGGUUUCCGUCGUAGCAUGUGGUAAAGAAAAUGAAACACAAAGAAUAAAUCUUCACGCUUCAAAGUCUUGAGACAAUUUUUUCUUCAGGAACCACCGAAUUCCUCAUCUUCAAUAUCUUCAUGAGGUAUAUCAAUUUCAUCGCAAUUUCUUCGCAGUCAAAGUCUUCAAGGUAAGACCAAAGUCUUCAGCCGAAGACAUACAUUUUUAGGUGUCGAUAUUCAUCGUAUAACUCAAACUCCUCAAUGACUUAUAGAUCCUGUGUACACUCAAAAANNNNNNNNNNNNNNNNNNNNNNNNNNNNNNNNNNNNNNNNNNNNNNNNNNNNNNNNNNNNNNNNNNNNNNNNNNNNNNNNNNNNNNNNNNNNNNNNNNNNAGAACACGGAAGAAAUAGCUCAGCUCCGCCAGUACUAGCCAUUCAUCCUCAGAAAUAAAGCCACAUAACAUCACCGGCAUUACCCGCUCUAGCCAUAUGUGCCAAUCAUGACUCUUGAGACCAAAGAUUUUUAAUUUUUCAAGACUCGCUCCCCUCUUUAGAUUCACUGCAUACCCAUCGGGGAACAUCAAGUGCAUUUUGACCCACAAGAUAAUUUCCCUCAUAGCUGGCCUUCCAAGAUUGAACCAGGCCUUUGGCUUCGACCACUUCUGUUUUCCUUUGUCUUCCCAUCUAUGUCGACCAAUGUACCAAAAUUAGCCUCUCCGAUAUUCUUUUCAGUGUGCAUCAUGUCGAUAUUGUGUGGAAGAAGGAGGUCUUUAAAGUAAGGCAGAUCCCAGAAGCAUGGCUUGUGAGUCCAGGCGUGUUUUGAAUUAUACCCCUUGAAAUACCCUGGACGCUCUGGAUCAGGCUCAAGGGCGUUUAACUGAUCCAGGAUCUGUUGGCCUCUGAACGCAGGUGGUGCAUACUCCUUCCUAAAUAAGACACAUCCUUUCUCACAUGCAUAUAUCUUCUCAUAGGGCAUCUUAAGUACACGAAGUAUUUUGUCCGACUGGUACAGGUUUGCAGGCAUGACAUGGCCUUUGGGUAGGAAGCGUCCAAAUAGUGUCAUCAUCGCGUCGUAGCAUUCUCUUCCCAAGUUGAACUGAGCCUUCAAAGCCAUUACUUGUGCAAUUGCAUCCAGCUCAUAGAGUUCAGUGUGCUCAUGGAGAGGACGUUUUGAAGACUCCAACAUUUCAUAAAAGGCCUUCGCAGAUUCCUCCAUCUCAUCUUCCGAAUCCCGAGCAUCAUCAAAGUCUUGCACCAUGUCUUCGAUCCCGGUACCAUGCUCGUCUGUGCGACGACGGACCACCUCAGCUCUUGUGUGUUGUAUAGACUCACCAUGAAAUGUCCACACCGUAUAAUUAGGCUUAAAACCCCUCCUCUGCAGGUGUUUAAUCAUUACAGCCUCUAUCGUCUUUUNNNNNNNNNNNNNNNNNNNNNNNNNNNNNNNNNNNNNNNNNNNNNNNNNNNNNNNNNNNNNNNNNNNNNNNNNNNNNNNNNNNNNNNNNNNNNNNNNNNNGGGUCUGAGCCCUGAGCUUCGUCGUGAUUUGCGCCUCCACGAGUGUGCAAGCUUUCAAGCCCUGGUCAACAAGGCGAUCAGUGCCGAGACUGGUCAUACCGACUUUGAAGCCACAAGGAAGCACUCUCGUGACUUGGCUCAUCAUCUGGUUCCGCGUUUCCAAAACGCAGGCUGUGUGUUCCAAACAGUUCUCUACCGCCAAGAUACACUCCGAGGCCAUCCUACGUGGCGCCUCAGACGAAUCAGACCAACCCUCCAGCAAAACCUUAUGGUGGUCCAGCUAGCAAUGCUGCACCACGUGCCAACCAAGUGAUAUGCUACAAGUGUGGAGAACCAGGGCACUAUUUCCGUGAGUGUCCUCAAAAUGUGGGUGCCAAUCAACCCGGAAAGUCCGUCGGGCAAGGCAAGUUGGGCAACGCUUACUAUGUGAAGCCAACUCCUGCAAGUGGCCUUGUGAACUAUGUCUCAGCAGAAGAAGCUGCAGAGGAUCCCGACGUCACACUGGGUACGCUUCUUGUUAACCAUCACCCAGCGUCUGUUCUCUUCGACACUGGGUCUUCUCGUUCCUUCAUUUCAGAAAGUUAUGCACAGUUGCAUAACAUGUCUUUUUGUGAUAUGCCAAUUCCAUUGGUUGUCCAAACUCCUGGUAGUAAAUGGCAAACCUCUAGGAUAACCUAUGAUAAUGAAACUCUAGUAGACAGGCUAGUUUUUCUAGCCUCAUUGAUAGCCUUGAAAUCUUCAGAUAUCAAUAUUAUCUUGCGUAUGGACUGGAUGUUAGCUCAUUAUGCCAAGAUUGAUACUCAUUCUAGAAAUGUUCAGCUUACCCAUCCCUCGGGUGAGAUAGUCAAUGUCUCUACGAGUUGCCGAAUGCCAACUCUAUUCCCUAAAUGCCAACCCUCUUCCGGAACUUGAAGACAUUCCGGUAGUCCGUGACUCCCCGGAUGUUUUUCCAGAGGAACUGCCAGGAAUUCCACCUNNNNNNNNNNNNNNNNNNNNNNNNNNNNNNNNNNNNNNNNNNNNNNNNNNNNNNNNNNNNNNNNNNNNNNNNNNNNNNNNNNNNNNNNNNNNNNNNNNNNUCAGAGAAAGUCUUCAGCAAAUUCUUCAAACGGUCACAGUGAAAGUCAUCAACACACGAUACAAGAAAAGUAAAGAGUUGAGGAAUUAGAACCCGUUUCUCAGUGAAGACUGGUGUUGAUGACCCAGUUCCAACUGCUGUGACAGUUGUACAUCUGGUUUGGAGCGGCUUGGUAUUGAAACUAAAGGACACCCAGUCCCGGGACACACAGUCCCUACCGUAUUUUCCUUGCGCUAAGGACACACAAUCCUCACCCAACACUCGUGGUAAGUCUUCAGGGCAGACUUCCAAACUCUCACAAACUUGGUCACCCGGCGAUCCACAAUUGACUGCUGCAUUGCUCUAGACCAUGACGCCUAACCGUCUGGAGGAUGCAUAGUCCUCAAAGUUAAAAGGCUUCAGUCCCACACAGGAACAACUUUUUCAGUGAUGCUCAAUCACUAGGUUUGGUUUGUGGUUUCGGUGGGUGGUGUAUUUACUCACUGAUGAAUUACUCUCGAAAGCUCUAAGGAAUUUGGGUUGCUCUUAUGACAAGUGUCAUUUUCUAACGGAGCAGCCAACCAGCUAGUGGUUGUGGGGGGUGGCUAUUUAUAGGCUAGGAGCGUCCCGACAUGAUUUGACACAAAUGCCCUUAAAUAAUAUGACCGUUGGAGUGGAUAAGACCAAUGACUUGGUGUGGUUGUCGACACGGUCGGAACCCUCAACUGUGAGAGUCCUCAUGUCACUCAUAUUCCUCACCUGAGGCUUUUGAUAGGAUUAGGCUUGGGUUGAACAUCGUGAGGAAAUUCAUUUCAUAGUGUAACUUCGACCCCCUUUAACUGUACGGUGUUCCUAUUACUCAAAUGCGAAGAAAGUAAAAUAGAAUGUAUAAAUCUUCAUGCUUCAAAUUCUUCAGAAUGAUUUUCUUUAGGAACCACCGGACUUCUCAAUAUCAGAAUAUUCAUGAGGAUUAUCAAUNNNNNNNNNNNNNNNNNNNNNNNNNNNNNNNNNNNNNNNNNNNNNNNNNNNNNNNNNNNNNNNNNNNNNNNNNNNNNNNNNNNNNNNNNNNNNNNNNNNNAUAAACACCACAACAUAUGCAUGACAUGAUAUGCAAUUAAAUAUAAUGCAUGUCCAUUUAGUUAUGCAUGACUUGGUAAGGCCAAACAAUCAACUCCUACAUAUUAAGUGAAGUUCAGUAUGCAAUGAAUUGCAUAUUGACAGAACUCCACAUUUGAAUCAUUUGGUUCAGUCUAAUUUAUUUACCUGACAAUUUUAAAUGUUUAAAUAUGGCAUGAAGUGAAGCUCAAAUAAACUACCUAUCUAGGCAUUUUAAAUGAGAUCAGAAACAACUUAUAGUAUUUCUGUAGCGACCCCAUAUGUUAAAAUCAAAAUUGGUCCACAUCUGAUCUAAUCACAUUUUUACAUUUAUUACAAAUUGCACGUUGUGAUUCUACAUGUAAUUAUAGUCCAUUUACGUAUAUGUAUAAUCUUAAAUAGAGUUAUGGUCUAAAAGAUAUGACCAAGAGAAGAUAAUAUGUUAUUAAUGCAAAAUGUAUGUGAAUUACAACCACAAACAUAUUGAAACAUGGAUGCAUCAAGAUAUUAUGAAAGUACAUGAGAUUAUACACAAGUUUCAUAUAUGGCAUGUUCAAAACAGGGCCACGGUUCGACAAUUAUAACCAACAUAAGUUAUAACUAUAAUCUGCCCAAAACAGCAAAAUGUCUUUUUGCACACACCAAAUGAACAAGCUAUAGAUAUCUAAAAUGCAAAAACAAGACAUGGGGCAUUAGUUGACAUGAUGCACAACAAUUCAUGACAUAAAACAAAUUGAAUAGAAGCAUGGAUCACUAGGAAAUGAGCUCACAAAAUGGCAGCUUGAACAUAGUUUCAGACUUAGUGAAAAUAACUGUUUUUAACAUUGUCGUUUUAUUACAAAGGCAUAUUGACAACAAGAAAACAUAUGCUACAUGAGAUAUAAUGGCAUGAAAAUUUACAACAUGGUAGUAGGCAUGAUGNNNNNNNNNNNNNNNNNNNNNNNNNNNNNNNNNNNNNNNNNNNNNNNNNNNNNNNNNNNNNNNNNNNNNNNNNNNNNNNNNNNNNNNNNNNNNNNNNNNNGAUAUUGUCCUACAAAACUCUGCAAUUGGAGGGCCAAUAAAGUGUAAAAGAACAAAGUUGCAUAUUAGACAUCUAGGAGCGAGCAAACACUAUCAACAGGAAUGAGUAGAAUGAAUCUUGGGUCCAAGAACCCAAAUUUGGAUACCUACUAACUAAAUAACAUCAUGGGAUGCUAUCAAUAAUGAGGGCCAGAAUCAGAUGUAUCGGGUGGUUCUCCGGGACAACAUGGUUUGCUAACACUUCAAGCACAUAUGUCGAGGUAACAGAGUACAUCGACACAAUAAUUAGUGUGAUUCAUUUGUGCCAAAAGGCAUUAACUUAGGAUGAAAGGAUUUGCAAUUGCAUUGGAUUAUUUAGCAACGUUGGAUAAUGUGGACAAUGUAAUUGCUAUAUGGGCAUGAAAUAUGAGGCAACCUGGAUGAAAACUGAAAAUACAAUAACUGAAUUCUUAUGGAGACAUCGAUCCGGGAAGACAAUAGCUUUCCUACAGUUCAUCAGCAUAGUUAAUUGUCAUCCUGAUAGAUAGUAGAGAAAGCCUAGUUUCUUAAACCCAGUAGAUUAAAGUAGAGGGUGGCUCAGAAUAUGAAUGACACACAAAGGAGUAAAAUGUAUCUUACUUUCCCCUCGACGAUCAAUUCCCUUUUACAACUAAAGAAGUUCUAGACUCAACAUCGACUAGUUUGGCUUGGUAAACCUGCAGUCAGUCAGGCUCUUUUACCAAAGUUGUCAGGACCGUGAUCCUAAGCCAUACGAAGCUGGCAUGUAAGACAUCAUAUCACUUUGCGGUCUCAUGCACGGUAAGAUCCACGGUUGCCACCUUAAUUUGGCCAGGACCUUUUGUGCCUUUUGGCUCACCUGUAUCAAUAUGUCGCUAGCCAUCAUAUGUCAAAGAACCCGGGNNNNNNNNNNNNNNNNNNNNNNNNNNNNNNNNNNNNNNNNNNNNNNNNNNNNNNNNNNNNNNNNNNNNNNNNNNNNNNNNNNNNNNNNNNNNNNNNNNNNAAAAUCAAAUUGACCACCGUUGAUACGAAGCAAAUGGUUGCACGAGAGGACGAGAAGGGCGACAUUUUGACCAUAAGUACCACCUUCAACAACAAAAGGGAAAGCGCGCUCAUCGCCUUCCUAUUGGCGAAUGCCAAUGUGUUUGGGUGGAAGCCAUAUGACAUCCCCGGUGUUCCCACGAAGGUGAUCGAUCACCACAUUGUCGUUUAUCCCUACUCAUAACCUGUCAAGCAGAAAGUCCGUAAGCAAGUUUUGGAGCGGCAAGUGUUCAUUGCCGAGGAAAUCAAGAAGCAGGAGACUGCUGGUGUGAUCAGAUCUGUACUCCACCCGCAUGGAUAGGGACUCAAGUGGUGGUGCGGAAGUCUAGCCAAAAAUGGAGACUUUGCAUGGACUUCAAGGAUGUCAACAAAGCUUGUCCAAAGGACCCUUUUCUCUUGUCUCGCAUCGACCAGAUAACAGACUCAUCUGCUGGCUGCGACAUGUUAUCAUUUGUCGAUGCCUACUCUAGCUACCACCAGAUCUUCAUGGCCAAGGAAAAUGAAGAAAAAACUYGUAUUCAUUACCCCAUGUGCCACAUACUACUUCAAACAUAUGCCAGUGUUGGUUCAACAUUUGCGAGGGCUGUCCAGUUUGGUUUUGGGACACAACUACACAGGAAUGUGAAAGGUGUACAUGGAUGACAGAGUCGUCAAAACCAAAGACAAGGCAAUGCUGAUUCCAGACUUAGAAGAAACCUUUCCAAGCUUGCGCAAGGUAACUUGAAGCUCAUCCCUAAGAAGUGCGUGUCUAGAGUCCUAUCCGGCAAGCUCCNNNNNNNNNNNNNNNNNNNNNNNNNNNNNNNNNNNNNNNNNNNNNNNNNNNNNNNNNNNNNNNNNNNNNNNNNNNNNNNNNNNNNNNNNNNNNNNNNNNNGGAUCGCCACUCGCUUGGCAUGGCAAAGAACUCACUCGAUGGUGAGGGAGACACAGAACAAGACAGUUUACCCAGGUUCGGGCCACUGAGAAGCAUAAUACCCUACUCGUGCUUUGGUGGAAUUCCUCUCGUGGAGGUUGGUGGAUGAACUUGUAUUGUGUUCGAGGGCCUCUGGAGGCUGGGUGGCCUCUGUGUGGUGCUAGUGGGAAAAUGAAUGAAUCAGAUCCCCCCUCUACAAAGUAGCCUAUCCUCUAAUUAUAGCGGCAGCCCAAAUCCUCUUCCCUUGUCGCCUGGGCGGGAAGGAAUCCCAUAAUGGCCAAUUUUAAAAGGGAACACGGGAACAUGCUCCCCCUGCCCAAAUGUGGUCUUCGCCCACAAAGUGGCUGUCAGCGCAGCAGGGAUGGGUCCUGGGAUGAUGUCCGUCCUGCUGGCGCGCGGUGGUGGCCUCGUUUCACCAGAAUGGAAACCUUUGGGAGAUGCCUUGGGAACCCGCGUACGUCCUUCCCUCCUUUGCCUAAAAGGGGAAACUUCACCGUCAUGCAAUCCGCUGCUCGCUUGUCCUUUCCCAGCAUCACCCUGGACCCAUGAGGCUGGGUCUUGGCUCGGAAUCUCCGCCGCUCCGGAGGGGUCCUGAGGAGGCCUCCUCCGGGUCUUGAAGUUGCUCCUCCUCGCGAGGCUUGGCCCCUUGCGAGGGCCUUGCCUUGAGUGGUGUCGAUCCCGUUGGUUUUGGUCAAUGAAGUGGGCCAACCCUGGGCCGCAGGCAGGCNNNNNNNNNNNNNNNNNNNNNNNNNNNNNNNNNNNNNNNNNNNNNNNNNNNNNNNNNNNNNNNNNNNNNNNNNNNNNNNNNNNNNNNNNNNNNNNNNNNNAGGGAUUAAAAAUAUGAAGUGUAAAUACUCAUUUGAGGAAUUUGAAAACAAGAUUCAGAGAGACUCCCCCUGAAGAUGUGCAUAUCUUGAGGAUUUUUCUUUUCACAGCAAAUGCACAUUGAUGAUUUAUAUCAUAGUGAUCUCCCCCUGAGUCUUGUAAAUCAUGCAUACAUAUAACAUAUCAUAUGAAGAAAAUGAAAAUGCAUGAUGGCAAAUGGUAUCUGACGAAUUCCAGCAAGCGUGCGUUAAAACUUGAGGAAUAAGCAUGCGAAGUAAAAACAUUCAAAAGCGUUAGAGUACCAUCGGGCUUAAGUUACAACUCAUUACAUAAAAGCUUCACAAGAGCCAAGAGUUUGUAACUUAAAUAUAGUUUAUAAGCCCCAAAAAUAUCCCGCUUGAAGACUAACUCUCGAGUUUCUCCCCCUUUGUCAUCAAGUGAUAAAAAGGGACAAACUGAGGACUAACGCCCGUGAAGACUUCAUUUCUUGGCGGUCGAGGAAGAGUCGUGAUGCUUCUUGGGAGUAGUCUUCUUCCUGGGGCCGGUUGUAGUGUCGAGCUGUUCUUCAUCAGAUUCAGAAGUGCGGAAUGAAGAAAAGGAGGUGUCUUCAAGGUCUGGCAGUGGAAUGGGCCUGAACUUCUUCUUGGGAGGCCACGACCAGUCAAAGUCUCGCUCUAAAGUCCAUUUCUUCAACGCUCAGUCUGAGUCUUCAGAUGUGCAAGUGUANNNNNNNNNNNNNNNNNNNNNNNNNNNNNNNNNNNNNNNNNNNNNNNNNNNNNNNNNNNNNNNNNNNNNNNNNNNNNNNNNNNNNNNNNNNNNNNNNNNNAGAGGAGAAGAGGAGGAGGAGGAGAAGAAGAAGAAGAAGAAGAAGAAGAAUAGGAGGAGGAGAAGACAAAAAGAAGAUCACAUGUUUGGUAUUUAUAUUUUGGAAUUAAUUAGUAGUUUUAGUGGUAGAUUCUGUUAGUUAAUUAGUAGAUUUAGUGGUAGAUUCUGUUAGUUUAUUCGCCCAUCAUUAUUGCUUAGGUUCAAGACUACUUCAAAGAAGAUCACAUGUUCUUUUGUUGAAAUCAAGUCUGUCAAAAUAAUGUAUCGUCUAUAUUUAUUGGUACCGGAGCAAAACAUGACAACUUAAAUAAUAUUGUCAUCCUCAAAUGUAGAAAAUAUCGAAAAGUUUUAUAUAACCUAAAAAGUAGUAUAGGUAACCUGGAAAGUCCUCUGGACCAAAAGGGCAACUUUUGGACCAGCGAACUUUGCGUGGUAGGUGCAUGUCCAUGCACGAGGGUAAUUAACCCAACAAUGACAUAAUUAGCCCAUUUAGCUCCAAAAUACCAUAAUAAGCUCAAAAUGGCAUAAGAACCUUGGUUAGCUCAGUAAUAUUAUGUACUUAGCUAGUUUUCCUCUAAAAUGGGAUAAUUAGCCCAUUUAGCUCAAAAAAGACAUAAUUAGGUAAUUUAGCUCCAACAAGAGGAGAAGAGGAGAAGAAAUAGGCAAAAUGAAAAGAAAGAAGAAGAAGAAGAAAAAGAAGAAGAAGAAGAAGANNNNNNNNNNNNNNNNNNNNNNNNNNNNNNNNNNNNNNNNNNNNNNNNNNNNNNNNNNNNNNNNNNNNNNNNNNNNNNNNNNNNNNNNNNNNNNNNNNNNCCCAGGUUGAAGGAAUAGAUUUCGAUGAAAAUUUUUGCACCUGUUGCUAGACUUGAAGCUAUUCGAAUACUACUUGCUUAUGCUAAUCAUCAUAACAUYAUCUCUAUAUCARAUGGAUGUGAAAAGUGCAUUCCUCAWUGGUAWGMUUGAGGAAGAAGUAUAUGUUGCUCAGACCCCCAGGUUUUGAGGAUCCGAACCAUCCAGACAAUGUCUUCAGACUCGAAAAGGCACUCUAUGGCCUCAAGCAAGCCCCUUGAGCGUGGUAUGAUACAUUGAAGGAAUUCCUCAUGAAGAAAGGCUUCAAACCUGGUUCACUCGAUCCAACUCUUUUCACAAAAUCUUAUGACAAUGAACUAUUUGUGUGCUAAAUAUAUGUCCACGACAUUAUCUUUGGUUGUAGUGACCAACGUUACAGGGAUGAAUUUGCUUACAUGAUGAGUGAAGAAUAUUAGAUGUCUAUGAUGGCUGAGCUGACAUUCUUCUUAGGUCUUCAAAUUCGUCAACAACGCAAUGGAAUCUUCAUAUCUCUAGAGAAAUACCUCAAGGAUGUUCUGUGGAAAUUCGACAUGCAUGAAUGCAAGGGCGUCAAGAUUCCUAUGCAUACCAACGGCCACCUUUGCACAGACGAAAAUGGUAAAGAUUUCGAUCAGCACGUAUAUCGCUCUAUGAUUGGCUCUUUAUUAUAUCUAUGUGCAUAUAGGCCNNNNNNNNNNNNNNNNNNNNNNNNNNNNNNNNNNNNNNNNNNNNNNNNNNNNNNNNNNNNNNNNNNNNNNNNNNNNNNNNNNNNNNNNNNNNNNNNNNNNGGGUGACCUGUACGUGAGUUCCGCGGGAGCAGCGCCUCUGCACCAUAGACUAGGGAGAAGGGUGUCUUGCGGGUGGCUCGAUUCCGUGUCAUUCUGAUGGACCAAACAACCGUCGUCAGUUCAUCAAUCUAGUGCCUCCCAUACUUGUGCAGCUUGUAUAAAGUCUUUGUCUUAACACCUCGCAACACUUCAACAUUUUCCCUCUAUACUUGUUUAUUGGUCCUACGGUGUGCAAUGAGCGUGAAGUAGAUCUUGCCGCUGAUGUCUUGGCAGUACUGCAUGAAGAUGUUGAUGUUGAAUUGCGUCCCGUUGACAUUGAUGAUCAUGUUGGGUACACCAAAGCGACAAACAAUCCCUUUGACGAACUCGACUACUGCUUGCACCGUCACCGUCCUCAUUGGCUCUACUUCGGUACACUUUGCAAAUUUGUCGAUUUCUAUGAACAAGAAUUCAAAUCCCCCGGCAGGAUGAGGGAGAGAGCCGACUAUGUCGAUCCCCCAAAACCAAAAUGGUCAGGAGAGUGGGAUGGUUUGGAGGGCUUGUGUUGGCUGAUGUAUUUGUUUGGCAUGGAAUUGGCAUGCCUCGCACAUAGUCAUCCUCGCCAAGGCGUAUUGAAGGGCUAUUGGCUAAUAAAAGCCUUGCAGAAUGCCUUUCCGACAAGGGCUCGUGAUCCUAAGUGGGAGCCAUAGAUCCCUANNNNNNNNNNNNNNNNNNNNNNNNNNNNNNNNNNNNNNNNNNNNNNNNNNNNNNNNNNNNNNNNNNNNNNNNNNNNNNNNNNNNNNNNNNNNNNNNNNNNUUCCUCUCGUGCGGGUUGGUGGAUGAACUAGUACAGUGUUCGAGGGCCUCCAGAGGCUGGGUGGCAAAUGUGUGGUCCCAGUGGGAAAAUGAAUGAAUUGGAUCCCCCUCUAAGAAGUAACCUAUCAUCUACAUAUAGCGGCGGCCCGGGUCCUCUUCCCUUAUUGCUUGGGCGGGAAGGAAUCCCACAAUGGCCAAUUUUAAAGGAGAACAGGGUAACGUGCUCCCCCUUCUCAAGGGUGGUCUUCGCCUGCAAAUUGGCUAUCAGCCCAGCAGGGACGGGUCGAGGGAUGAUGUCCGUCCUGCUGGCGACGGAUGGAAGCUUGAAUGUAUUUUUCUUUUCUUAGCCUGCCGAUGUGGUGGUGUAAUGGAUAGCUUAGUUAGUCGGAUUACAAUAGUACGUCAUUCCAUAGACAACUUUUGAGCAGCUUGUUUUGACAGGUCAUCGACAAUGCUGUUCUCCGCCCGCGGAAUGAAAUCCAUCUGUAGACCAUCAAAGUGCUCUUCCGACAUCCUCACUUCAUCUACAUAUGUUUCCAUCAUAGGGAUCUAGUAAUCUUUGUUGAUUUGAUGCACAACCAGUUGUGAAUCUCCUCGGACUAUCAACUUCCUAAUACCAAGUCGACUACCAUUCCAAGACCGGCAAGAAGCCCCUCAUAUUCCAUCGUGUUGUUCAUUGAUACCUCCUGGGAAAANNNNNNNNNNNNNNNNNNNNNNNNNNNNNNNNNNNNNNNNNNNNNNNNNNNNNNNNNNNNNNNNNNNNNNNNNNNNNNNNNNNNNNNNNNNNNNNNNNNNUUCAAAAACUCUGAACAAUUACGACAGUCUGAAGACAUUUGCAUAGAAAUCAGCUGCAAAAAGAAUCAACUCAAAAGCUCUUACAGAAUAAAAAUGAAAAUUCUUUUCGUGAGCGGAAAGUUUUUGUCUUUUUCGAGCAUGAUCAAACAAUCAUCACCAAGACUAAUCAUAACGGUUUUGCUUGGCACAAACACAAAAAAAACACAAAAUACACAAUCAUAAUAGAAUUAUGAUGGUGUGGAGAAAACAAAACAGGAAGCAAAAAAAUCAAAGAAAAACUUUAUUCAUUGGGUUGCCUCCCAACAAGCGCUAUCGUUUAACACCCUUAGCUAGGCAUUGAUUUCAAUGAUGCUCACAUAAAAGGUAAGGAUUGAAACACAACGAGAGCAUCAUGGGGCAAAUGGCUAGCACAUUUAAGUCUAACCCACUUCCUAUGCAUAGGGUUUUUGUGAUCAAACAAUUUGUUGGAGCAAGAAUCAACUACCAUAGGAAGGCAAACACAAGCAUAGCUUCAAAAAUUUCAACAUAUGGAGAGGAAGCUUGAUACUAUUGCAAUAAGUAGAAGCAUAUGAUCCUCUCUCGUAGUAAAUUUCAGUAGCAUCAUGAAUGAAUUCAACAACAUAACCAGCACCUAAGGCUUUCUUUUCAUAGAUCUACAAGCAUAGGAAUUUUACUACUCUCCANNNNNNNNNNNNNNNNNNNNNNNNNNNNNNNNNNNNNNNNNNNNNNNNNNNNNNNNNNNNNNNNNNNNNNNNNNNNNNNNNNNNNNNNNNNNNNNNNNNNUAUUGUUGUAUUCAUCAACUGCAUUAGUUGCGGCUUUGACGAAUUGCRCUUUGGCAGCCUUUUGAUCAGCAUGAAGACUUGUAUCUCUGUCAGUGAGGGUCUUCAGCUCAGCCUGAGUACAAACAAGCUUGUCAGGGGAUAGGUUGAGGAGCUUCUCCUUCAAGAAUUUCUCCUUUUUGAUCUUUGCAAGCCUAGCUUGUUUGGCUUGCUGAUCCUUCCAUUUUGCUUUCAUUUAUGAAUGUAGAAACCAUAUGGCUUACUCCGAGGAGGAAGCUUCAAAUCAUCAAUUGGAGUGUUUGGAUCCUCAUGCCAAAGAUCAAUGAAGUUUAACAAUUCCUUCGGAUCCUGUGCAAGGGGAAUGGUGCUACCAGUGGCUUGCGUAACUCUUUCUUGCUUGUUUCUGAUGAUGGCUUGAAGAGUUUCAUCAUCAUAUUUUUCACUUCCUUCUAAUGCAGAAGGAAUGUUGACGACGUUGCCUGGACUUGGUCUGGUACCUCUAUCAACACUCAACUUAGUCUUCAGCAGACUUGGUGAAGAUUUUGAAGCUGAGCCAGUGGCAGAUGAUAGAGAGGACCUUGGGUUUUCAUAUUGAAAUUUACAGAGCUGCUUCUGCGGAGGAGGUGCAGACUUUGCUGCAGUUGAGAAUAUUGCAGUAGCUGCUACUUUCUGNNNNNNNNNNNNNNNNNNNNNNNNNNNNNNNNNNNNNNNNNNNNNNNNNNNNNNNNNNNNNNNNNNNNNNNNNNNNNNNNNNNNNNNNNNNNNNNNNNNNAGGAAGUCCAGAAACAUUUUUUGCUCUUUUGUAAGUCUCUGUUCCGAUAGGAGGCUAUCUAGAGCUCCGUACCAACACCCUGCCAUAGGGGGAUCGAUCACGGAGGGCCACUUCAUCAACCUUGCUUCCCUCAUGAUGAUGCUUGAGUAGUUCAUCUCAUAUCUACGGGUCUAUAGCUAGUUCCUCGAUGCAAUCUCUCUCUCUCUUGAUCUUAAAUACAAUGAUCAUAGCAUCUUUUGCUUUUGAUCCACAUGAUGUAAUUCCUUUUGUACGGUGUCAUUUGUUGGGAUCCGAUGAAUUGUGGGUUUAUGUUCAGAUUAUUAAUGAUAAAUAUUUGAGUCAUCUCUAAAUACUUUCAUGAUUCUUAUGUGCAUGAUUAUGAUAGCUUCGUAAUUCUCUCCGAUCUUCUGAAAUAGUUUGGCCAACUAGAUUGAUAUUUCUUUGGUGAGAGAGGUGUGUUGUUGUAGGUUUAACCUGUCAAAUUUCUAUAUCCUAGUGAAAGAAGGGGAUAAGAUGUGUCUUGGUGUUGCUGCUACUAAGGACAAAAUUUUGGGGUUAAUUCAUAUUGCUUGAGUUUACUUUGCCUACAUCAUGUCAUUAUUCUCCAUGCAUUACUUUGUUUUAAUAAUCUGGAUGCAUAUUGGAUAGUGAUCAACGAGUGGNNNNNNNNNNNNNNNNNNNNNNNNNNNNNNNNNNNNNNNNNNNNNNNNNNNNNNNNNNNNNNNNNNNNNNNNNNNNNNNNNNNNNNNNNNNNNNNNNNNNCUUUGAGCUUGAUGGCUUCCUCAAGAGUCAAUUUAUCUGGCAGAGGAGGCAGUUCCUAUCUUUGCGAGCCAUUAGUUUCAUCGAACCACACCUCUAGAGUUUGAACAACCUUGUUGUGAUAGGUGUUGAAGACUCUCUAGGUGUGCGAGUCCUUUCCAUAACCAAGCAUAAAACUGUCAUGUGCUUUAGGUGCAAACUUUGAGAUAUGGUGAGGAUCUCUAAUCCAGCAUCUUACCCCGAAGACUUUAAAUUACUUACAUUGGGUUUCUUAUCAGUGAGGAAUUCAUAUGAGGUUUUCUUGAUGAAUUUGUGAAGAUAUACCGUUUUGAUGGUGUGGCAAGCAAUGUUGAUUGCUUCAAGCCAUAAGUGACGAGGAGUUUGAUAUUCUUCAAGCAUUGUCCAUGCCAUUUCAAACAGAGUCAUGUUCUUGUGUUCAACGAUGACAUCUUGUUGUGGAGUAUAGGGAGUAGAUAAUUCGUGAGUAAUACCAAGUUCAUCAAGAUAAUCAUCAAGACCAGUAUGUUUGAAUUAUGUCCCAUUAUCAGUACUGAUGUGUUUUGAUCUUGAUGUCGAAGUUCGUCGAGGCCCUAGAGGAAAAUCGUUUGAAGACUUCCUGCACUUCAANNNNNNNNNNNNNNNNNNNNNNNNNNNNNNNNNNNNNNNNNNNNNNNNNNNNNNNNNNNNNNNNNNNNNNNNNNNNNNNNNNNNNNNNNNNNNNNNNNNNUUUAACAUCAUGUCAGUCUCAAUGCUUUGUGACUUGAUAUGGUUGUUAUCUUUGGAAAAUACAGAUGUGUAGUCAUCAUGGAAUUUGACAGAUCCAAAGUCUUCGAUGGCUUUAGGAGAGGAGAUUUGUACAUUGUUGAUUUUCCCACAGGUCCUCAACCAGCCACAUGCUUACUAGCAAAAACCUCAGAAGGCUGGCUAUGGCAUCGAAUCAGUAAAAUUCCUCAAGGACCACCUCUGCGGUGCUUGUGACUCUGAAAAAAUGACCAGAUCCAAAGACCCCUCGAAGACUAUCAUGACUACCACUCGUCCGUUUGAAUUGCUUCACAUGGAUCUGUUUGCACCUACUCAUUAUGCUACUCUAACAAAUGCAACAUCUUCAUAUGGCUUUGUCAUCGUUGAUGACUAUUCUCUAUAUACAUGGGCACAUAUCAUUCUGUAUAAAACUGAAGUGCAGGAAGUCUUCAAGCGAUUUUCCUCAAGGGACUUGACAAACUUCGGCGUCAAGAUCAAACACAUCAGAAGUGACAAUGGGACGGNNNNNNNNNNNNNNNNNNNNNNNNNNNNNNNNNNNNNNNNNNNNNNNNNNNNNNNNNNNNNNNNNNNNNNNNNNNNNNNNNNNNNNNNNNNNNNNNNNNNAACAAUUUGAUGCUACAACAAGGUCAACCACAUCUCUAUGAGGACUUUCGGAAGUUGAAUCUUCAUAUUGUUCCUCAAGGAUUCCUUUCUACCCUGGUGGCGAAGCCUACCCUUAAGGAUCAAAUUAUCCAUGAAUGAUCAAGGUGUUGUGUUCUUCCAGAAACGUCUAGUGGUUCCUAAGAACUUACAUCUAAGGCAGUUAAUCCUUAAGGAGGCCAAUCAUUCUCCUCUCCCCAUUCAUCCCGGUAUUACUAAGAUGUAUCAGGACCUACGCCAGAGGUUCUGGUGGACCAGGAUGAAGAGAGAAAUUGCUGAGUUCAUUGCUAACUGCGAUGUUUGUCGUUGUGUUAAGGCAGAACAUCAAAGGCCUGCUGGCACCCUUCAACAUUUAGCUAUUCCUGAAUGGAAAUGGGAUAAAGUUAGUAUGGAUUUUAUUACCGGAUUUCGCAAGACCAAGAAAGGAAAUAAUGCUAUCUUUGUGGUCAUUGACCGUCUCUCCAAAGUAGCUCAUUUUCUCCCCGUUCGUGAGAGUNNNNNNNNNNNNNNNNNNNNNNNNNNNNNNNNNNNNNNNNNNNNNNNNNNNNNNNNNNNNNNNNNNNNNNNNNNNNNNNNNNNNNNNNNNNNNNNNNNNNUUACGGCAUCCAGCACAGCAAUAUCCUGUCGGUCAAGCAUGAAGAAAAAGAUCGCAGAGACCAGCAAGCCUUCUUGCUAGUGAAGAAUGCCCGACAAUAGGUGAGCCCGGCAAGACCCCUGCUAUCAGGUUGUCGCUCCAUGUCAGGGUACGACAAUCUAUGGGACCUAGGAGGCCCCUUUUGUAGAUUCAACUAUGGGGAUGCGCAAGCACAAAGAGCAUCACCAACUUCGUACGUGCUCGGUCUUUAGACAAGUUCAAGCCAGUCGGAACCGUAAAACAACGUCCUAUGUUUGUGGAUUAUAUUGGUCCAUGUAAUCAAGUGCGAUAACUUGACGAAAAUGCUAGAGGAGUGCAGCUACACAUGCAAAUGGACAAACUGUCGUCAUUUGUACAGGUAGCCAUGGACCUCCUUUAUAAUUCAAGGGGUUACCACCGUGGCUAAAUGGUCAUUACAUGGUGCAAUUAGCAGAUCCUAUAGCUGCCAAAACUACACACAGGAGCUACAAUUGCAAAUACCUAACCCUNNNNNNNNNNNNNNNNNNNNNNNNNNNNNNNNNNNNNNNNNNNNNNNNNNNNNNNNNNNNNNNNNNNNNNNNNNNNNNNNNNNNNNNNNNNNNNNNNNNNAUGCUAUAUUUAUUUAUAAUAGAUGCCAUUUUUAUUAUUGUGAGGAUUGCAUUUUUAAAAUUGAGAGGUGGCACUUUUUAAUGACAUUUGUUUUUUUGCAAACAACAUUUUUGGAUCAUGACUAGGAACAUGGCAACUUGGCGGCAUUUUUUCCAUUUUCUAUUUUUUGUUAAUGGCAUUUUCUUGAAAUAACAUUUAAUGGGCCUUUGGGCCAAUUGAGGGGUCGUCGUGGCUUUCCCCGCCGGCCAACAAGGAAAACGCAUUCCCAUCUUCCGGGUCGGGACAAGUGGCACAGUACAUAUACGCCACUUGUUGCAAUUUGGGAGUUUUUCUUUUUUCCAUAAAGUUGUUUAUUUAAAAUGUCUUAUCUGUUGAACCGUGCGUUUAAAUUAUGUACCAUUUUCAUCGUUGGAUUUUCCGCAUUGAAAUCUUGAAAACUAGAUCCCUGUUGAUAGGUUUUGAUAAAAAAAAACAUUCACGAAUAAAAGCUAAAUCGGGAGCACUAUUUAUUUCCUAUAGAAAAGAGGCACGGCCUCUCACGGAAGUAAAUUUGUGCUUUCAUCAGAAAAAAAAACUUUUUUUACGAGAGGCAUGGUCGUGCCUCUCACGGAACGAAAAAAACACGUUUUUGUUUGUUUCUAAAAAGCACGGCUAUGCUUCUCGCGAAAGCAAAUCUAUGCCUCUCACAGAAAAAAAAAACCAAGCCUCAUGCGGAAGGAAAAAACACAUAUUUUAUUCCAUUUCGGAGAGACACGACAGUGCCUCUAGCGAAAGAAAAUCCGUGCCAAUCACGGAAGGAAAGAAACGUGUUUUUAUUCUAUUUCAAAGAGGCACGACAAUGCCUCUGGUGAAAGCUAACUUAUGUCUCUCGCAAAAAAGAAAAAUGCAUUUCUUUUUUCCUUUUUGAGAGGCACGCCUGUGCCUUUUGCAGAAGCAAAAAACGUACCUCUCGUAAAAAUAAAAUCGUGUCUCUCGUAAAAGAAAACAAUUUAUUUUAGCUCGCAAUUUUUUUAAUUUGUUUUCGUUCAAAAGCUAAGAAAGACCAAUGCGAAAAGUCGAAACAAUCCGAAGAAACUUAACUAAAAAGCCAAAAACGCGUGAGAUUUGUUUUUCAAAGAAAACGUUCAUGCCGGCUGAAAAUCUCAACCCAUCCUAGUGACUGUCGGAAAACGUUAGUCAAAUGACCUUCCCCCUUGCGAACUACUCCCUCUAUCCAAAAAUAUUUGUUGUAUAAACAGAUGUAUUUAGCACUAAAAUACAAUUAGAUACAUUAUUUAAGCGAAAAUCCUACACUUAUGAAUGACUUACGAAAGUCUACGUAACCUUCCAUGAACACAAUUCUCUCCCCCCCCCCCCUCCAUGAUUUUAAGUGGGGUGGGCCGCACCUCCCCCUCGUCCCAAUCACAAUAUGCCAUGUGGCUAAUUACGUAAAAUUUACAUUAACUCAUUCGUAGAUGUAGCAUUGCUUUUAUUUAAGUGACACAUAUUUCCGCAUUAAAAGCAUCUCUAGCAGACCCCGCAUAAUGCCCUCACCUGUAAAAUAACCUUCAAAAUAUGGGUUCACGCGAAAAAAAGUUGCCCGAUCAAACUCUACAAACGCGUCGGACCUGUAAUUUUUUUUACACGGCACGGUAAAAAGCUCAUUCUGAUCUGCAAAAACACAAUUUCCGCGUCCGCUUCUACAGUGCCCUGUAUCGAGAGAAAGCAAUUGGCGAGAGCCUAAAUGUCACGGAAACUUUCGUGUCCGCCGUCCACGUCCGCCGUGUGCCGUCCCGGACGUCGCCCCGCCCGCCCCCGAACGUCGUCCCGUCCGCCUCCGACCGUCACCGCCGCCCCACCCAUCCUUACAGCUACCCUGUCGGUCCUGGCCGGAUUCGGCAACGACGAUUGGAGCUAGCUAGCUCCUCGAGGAUUCAGGGACGGGAGCGAGCUAGCUAACUAGCUCCUAUGUGGAUUGGCAACCGGAGCUAGCUAGCUCGUGGAUUCGACGACCGGAGCUAGCCAGCUACCGCGACGGUCGUUUUGUAUGAGCCGUCCUGGCGUCGGCGGCUCUGUAUUUAACCAUUUCGUGCGUUCUUUGUGGGCUUUUAGAAACAAAAUUAGUUGACCAUGGACACGGGCGAGAGGAAAAAGAAGAUGUGGAAAAAAAUAUAAAAAAAAAUUGAUUUACAGUUUAAAUUUAAAGGGUAUGUUCGUCCGCAGCUCGAACAGAGCCUUAAAAUGCGUUUUCUAUUGCAGUUUCGUGUUUUAAGCUAGAAUGCGUUUUCCGUUCCAGUUUCGCCUUUUAAGCUAGAGAUGCUCUAAGGUAAGGUAAUAACGUCCUGUUUAGAACCAUCCAGAUUAUAUAAUUCAGUUUUUAUAAUCUAUUAUGUCUCCAAACAGGACAACUUAUGGUGUACAGUAGAUUAUAAAAACCAGAUGGAUAGAUUAUUAAAAACUCAUAAUCUACUCUAUAUCAGCUAAAAUCAGAUUAUGAAUUACUAAUGACCCAUUACACUUGUAAAGUUGGAGGUAAUUACAUUCCUACCACCGCCACCCUCCUCUUUAAAAAAACAGAGGACAGAUAGGUUAUAUGCAAUGUAAAACCUGGAUUACUGUUUAUAUAAUGGAAAUCGUUUAUUUUCAACUGGCUGAUAACAGGGACGAAGAGCAUGGCGGCGCCGGUCGACACUGCGAUGAAGCACACGGCGGCACGAGUGGAUGCCAUGAUCCAGCCCCUGCUCCGUCCCUUCAAAGCUGGCUCGCCAGUGGCUCGUUGCUGCUUCAUUGGUGAAAGAACAGGGGUACAUGAGAGAGCGGAAUGCGUGAGGAAAAUGAUUCUGGUUGUUGGUGAAGAUAAGAUGGAUAGAGAGAAAAGCGGUGGGUGCGUUCUGGACACGUGGCAGGAGAGAGAGGCGACUUAUGCGUCCCUGUUAUCAGCCAGUUGAAAAUAAACGAUUUUCAUUAUAUAAUCUGAUUAUAAAAAUAAUCUAGGUGAACAUGCUUGAGGCCAGAUUAUAUAAGGCAGCUGCUACAAAUCAUCCGGUUGAUUUCCUAGAAAAUCAGCCGGGUCCCGAGCCGUCCGAUCCAUCCCCUCACAGCCGUUAGAUUUCGUCAACACGUCAUUCUUAUCUCAUUCUCAUCUCCUUUAGCCCGCAGCAAAAGCAAUGGCGGACGUUGCCAUUGAAGCAGCGUCGCCUGACUAGUAGCAGCAGACGCACCCCUCUCUCCCCUCGUCAAUGGAGCUUGUCAUCCACAGCACGCACCACAGCCCCGUCUCCUCUUGCAGCGGUCUAGGCGCCGACGAGUGCUGGACCGGCGCCCCGCAUCCUGGUUUGCAGCUACAGGAGCACAUCGAUUCCUCUGUCGCGGAGGUGCUCCAUGGCAGCCCAUCGCAGCUCCAUCAAAGAAUCGACGAAAGCUAGCAUGCUUCAUUCCAAUGACAGCACCACCGCGGCGGAGCUCCAUUGCAGCACCGGCGGCCCGUCAGAGUUUCACCCAACACCGACGGAAGCCCGCAAUGCUUCAUUGCAACGCCAGCACCAACGCGGCGGUGCUCCAUCGCAGCGCGCGGCGAUGACGGUGGUUGAUGCUACGUCGACGGCGGUUGAUGCUAUGCAGCGUGAGAUGGCGACGGUUGUUGCUGCUAUGCAGCCACGGCAGCGGCAACGGUUGCUGCGAUGCAACGUGUGGUGGCGACGACCGGUUGCCGGGAUGAGAAGUAGCCAUGCUCCGUCCGUCACGGCAUCAGCAGUCGGUGGUGGCUUGUUGUUGCUUCGUCAGUAGAUGCUGCGAUGCAGCGCGCGGUGGUGAUGGAGGUGGCUCAUAUGCAUCGUGUGACAUGAUGCAGACGUUGUGAUGAAGAGUACGAUGGCGCCGGCCUAUGAUGCGACGAAGAGCACGGUAGACGUUGCGACGAAGAGCAUGGCGGCGCCUUAUAUAAUCUAUGUUCAUAAUUCAGAUUAUCAUAAUCUAUUAUGAUUUCAAAUAUGGCCUAACACGUUCGAUGGAGCACCGCCGCGUUGGUGCUGGCGUUGCAAUGAAGCAUUGCGGGCUUCCGUCGGUGCUGGGUGAAACUCUGACGGGCCGCCGGUGCUGCAAUGGAGCUCCGCCGCGGUGGUGCUGUCAUUGGAAUGAAGCAUGCUAGCUUUCGUCGAUUCUUUGAUGGAGCUGCAAUGGGCUGCCAUGGAGCACCUCCGCGACAGAGGAAUCGAUGUGCUCCUGUAGCUGCAAACCAGGAUGCGGGGCGCCGGUCCAGCACUCGUCGGCGCCUAGACCGCUGCAAGAGGAGACGGGGUUGUGGUGCGUGCUGUGGAUGACAAGCUCCAUUGACGAGGGGAGAGGGGGGUGCGUCUGCUGCUACUAGUCAGGCGCCGCUGCUUCAAUGGCAACGUCCGCCAUUGCUUUUGCUGCGGGCUAAAGGAGAUGGGAAUAAGAUAAGAAUGACGUGUUAACGAAAUCUAACGGCUGUGAGGGGAUGGAUCGGACGGCUCGGGACGGAAAUCAGCCGAAUGAUUUGUAGCAGCCGCCUUAUAAAUCUAUGUUCUUAAUUCAGAUUAUCAUAAUCUAUUAUGAUUUCAAACAUGGCCUAACACGUUCUAGAGGUUCCUCCGCAAUCCUUAGGACUGGUCGCCGGAAUAUGGAGGUCCAAAGUUUAUUUAUGCUAACAUGUCUCGGAAUCGGCUGCAGAGAGGAGGCCACGUUGCAGUCGCGGCGGAUAGAUGAGUGCCGCCACCGCGGCCGAUCGCCGGUCGCUGCUCGGCCAGACGGGAUCGCUCCCGUGGGGCCGGGACAGAUGAGGAGAAGACGAUACUACCGUGGACUUGCCGAGCCAAUAAUACUGCACGCGGCGCACGCGACGAAGCCAGAUGAGCCGCGGACAUCGCCGUCGGGAGGCUGCCCUGCGACGAGCCCACGACCCACGACAGGAGCGGCCAAGCGCUGGACGCGCGGUGCAGUACGUGCGUGCGUGCGUCCAUGUUUCUACAUGCUGUAGCCGGUGUUUAACAACGGUUUCCAUUGACGAGAACAUGGCCUACCCUACCCUACCCUACCCUCGAACGUGUACCCAACACAGUGGAGGCAAACGCGCACAUGAGCCUUCUUGAUUCCAUAUGACACAGCUAAGCUAAGUGCGGCAGUGCCCAUUGGAUUCCACGGGCCAAAUGCUUCAAACGCACCCAAACAAGAAGACCGACACAAAAGAAGGUCGCUUUGCUCUCUUCCAACCUGCCAACGCACUCUGAUCGCCACAAAAAAGAUAUAUGCGCGGAUGCUUCCACGGGUCACCACAGGUCGCCAACGCAGUCGGAUCGCCACAAGCAUUAAACCGCAAAAUGCGAGGGAAAACAACUCUGGUUGUCUUCCAUGGGUCACCGCAGGUUGCCAGCUCAGUCGAAUCGCCACAAACACAAAAGCAGUUUUGUUGAGCCACAAGAAUUCGGGACUCACCUCACUGCCCAUCGUUGUCGAAAAUUUGCAGGGGACGCACCUGUCAAGCCCUGCCCGACCGCUUGAUCGCCUCGUGACUCCAAAGUGGUUGAAUCUCACCUGAGGACACAACAGGUUUUAAGUUUCAGUAGUUGAAACUAACGACUUUUUAUCUGGAAUUUAUGAUUUUCUUGAUCUUAUCAAGUUUCAUAGAUAAAUUUUGAAGUCAUUUUUUUUGUCGUUCGUAGGUACAAAAAACAUGAUUUUGUCGAUAGCUCGUACUAAGUUUCAAGAGUUAAAACUUGACGUUUGCAUUCAAAAUUCCUCAAGGCAUAUUUAAAAUGAGUUUUAUUUAAAUACCAUCAUCAUGAGAAACAUGAAUAUAAAACAUAACUUAAUUUGAACUGAUCGUUCAGAAGAUAUAAAUGUUUAAAAAUUAAAAGCCAAAAAUAAAAGCAUGCAUAGGGAUCCAGUGGCCCGCACUUCCUGUCACAAAUCCACUUCCCUCUUUAUUUUUCCCUUAGAAAGGUGGAUAAGUCCGACAUCCAGCGAUGCAGACAACCAUAUAUUAUUUAUUAAUCAAAAUCAUCAGCCGAACAACAUCGACUCUGAAUAAAACAAAAAGAAAAUCCAAGGCUACAUGCCUUGCGAUACUAACUCCAUCACAUAGCCAUUAACCCUACGAAAAAGACAAAUUCAAAAUAAAAAUAUAUAACUCCUAAGGGCGCGUUUGGUUGCCUAUAGUGAAUAAUACCGGCAUUUUGUUCCCGUCUCGAACCAGCCAGGUUGAUCAAAAACAAACAACAAAUCAACAUUUGCAUGUUGUUUGGUUGUGUGCAUUGCAUCAAAGGCCAUUUUAGGGUCGGCUGUUUGGUUGCCAGUAUUUGUGCUUAAGUGAUGAGCAGAUGCAAACACAAUUGUUUGGCUGCAUACACGUUUAUGUCUUGCCACCACAUUAUGCACGACAACAAGCAGACCACUAACAUGACCUAAACAAGCAGGUUAACACCAACAAACAACACAAAAACAAGGAGGUAAACAAUAGAUAAACCAUAUUGCUAACUAACUAGCAUCCAUACUGCUAACAGAAGUAAGUUUUAAGACAGCAGGGGCAUCCCAUGCCCCUACACAGGGUGCUGAACCCUGACAAAAUAUUAACAUGUUCCCAGCAAUGUCUCACUUCACCACUGCAAACUAACUACAAGUUCAUCAUAACAAGUUCAGAGAGUGACAACAACAUCAUGAUGCACUUGUGCCUGCUGAAGCGCACCCUGCACCAGAUGGAGCUGUCGUGGUUGUAGAUUUGCACCUUGAGCCCUAGGAUAAAUAUGCACAGCACGACAAGGUCGUCGGGGACGAUCCUGUGGUGGCGGCAUAAGUACUCCCAGCCCCUGCCAAGGACCAUCCGACCCUCGAAGUUCUGGACCUGAACCUAUAACUCGCACUACUUGUUGUGUGACAGGCUCACCACGCGCAGGAGCUUCAUCGUCAGCCACUCCUUCAUCACUUGCAUGAACUUGGGAGGCAUGAUGAGCAUGGUGAAGUCCUCCUCGUCCCUGAUUUGCACGAAGAAGUGAGGAGGUUCUGGGGACCUGAUGACCCACAAGUAUAGGGGAUCAAUCGUAGUCCUUUCAUAAGUAAGAGUGUCGAACCCAACGAGGAGCAGAAGGUUUUGAUAAACGGAUUUCAGCAAGGUAAUAACUGCAAGCACUGAAAGUAGCGGUAACAAGUGAUUGUGUAGCGAGGUGAAACGUAGCGAGCAAAAAGUAACAAGUAACAAGUAGUAGCAACGGUGCAACAAGUGGCCCAAUCCCUUUUGUAGCAAGGGACAAGCCUGAACAAAGUCAUAUAGGAGGAAAAACGCUCCCGAGGACACACGGGAAUUUCUGUCAUGCUAGUUUCAUCAUGUUCAUAUGAUUCACGUUCGUUACUUUGAUAGUUUGAUAUGUGGGUGGACCAGCGCUUGGGUACUGCCCUUACUUGGACAAGCAUCCCAAUUAUGAUUAACCUCUCUCGCAAGCAUCCGCAACUACAAAAGAAGAAUUAAGACAAAGUCUAACCAUAGCAUUAAACUAGUAGAUCCAAAUCAGCCCCUCACGAAGCAACGCAUAGACUAGGGUUUAAGCUUCUGUCACUCCAGCAACCCAUCAUCUACUUACUACUUCUCAUUGCCUUCCUCUAGGUCCAAAUAUGGUGAAGUGUUAUGUAGUCGACGUUCACAUAACACCACUAGAGGAAAAGACAACAUACAGCAUAUCAAAAUACCGAGCGAAUAUCAAAUUCACAUGACUAUUAUUAACAUGACUUAUCCCAUGUCCUCAGGAACAAAAGUAACUACUCACAAAACAUAAUCAUAAUCAUGAUCAGAGGUGUAAUGAAUAGCAUCAAGGAUCUGAACAUAAACUCUUCCACCAAGUAAUCCAACUAGCAUCAACUACAAAGAAUAAUCAACACUACUAGCAACCUUACAAGUACCAAUCAGAGUUGCGAGACGAAGGUUGGUUAUAAGAGAUGAACUAGGGAUUGGAGAGGAGAUGGUGCUGAUGAAGAUGUCUUCCCUCCGACGAUACGAGUGUUGGUGAUGACGAUGGCGACGAUUCCCCCCUCCGGGAGGGAAGUUUCCCCGGCAGGAUCGUCCUGCCGGAGCUCUAGAUUGGAUCUGCUCAAGUUCCGCCUCGUGGCGGCGUCGAAACCACGAAAAAGCUCCCUCUUGAUUUUUUCAGGACCAGGACGCUUCAUAUAGCAAAAGAGGGGGGCUAGUGAGCCGUCAGGGAGCCCACAAGCCCACACUCCGCCACCAGGGGGGUGGCGGUUUCACGGCUUGUGGCGCCCUAGCAGCCCCCCUCCGGUAGUUCUUUCGCCCAGUAUUUUUUAUAUAAUCUAGAAAAAAUCCACGUAACUUUUCAGGGCAUUUGUGUUGGAAUUAUGCCCUAGAGGCAAUAAUAAAUAUAGUUAUUAUUAUAAUUCCUGUAUCAAGAUAAUAGUUUAUUGUCCAUGCUAUAAUUGUAUUGAAUGAAGACUCAUUUACAUGUGUGGAUACAUAGACAAAACACCGUCCCUAGCAUGCCUCUAGUUGGCUAGCCAGUUGAUCGAUGAUAGUCAGCGUCUUCUGAUUAUGAACAAGGUGUUGUUGCUUGAUAACUGGAUCACGUCAUUGGGGGAAUCACGUGAUGGACUAGACCCAAACUAAUAGACGUAGCAUGUUGAUCGUGUCACUUUGUUGCUACUGUUUUCUGCGUGUCAAGUAUUUAUUCCUAUGACCAUGAGAUCAUAUAACUCACUGACACCGGAGGAAUGCUUUGCGUGUAUCAAACGUCGCAACGUAACUGGGUGACUAUAAAGAUGCUCUACAGGUAUCUCCGAAGGUGUUGGUUGAGUUAGUAUGGAUCAAGACUGGGAUUUGUCACUCCGUGUGACGGAGAGGUAUCUCGGNNNNNNNNNNNNNNNNNNNNNNNNNNNNNNNNNNNNNNNNNNNNNNNNNNNNNNNNNNNNNNNNNNNNNNNNNNNNNNNNNNNNNNNNNNNNNNNNNNNNNNNNNNNNNNNNNNNNNNNNNNNNNNNNNNNNNNNNNNNNNNNNNNNNNNNNNNNNNNNNNNNNNNNNNNNNNNCACACCAGCCCUUAGUGGGCUGGUGGGAUAGCCCACAAGUGCCCUAUGCGCCAAGGAGAAGAAAAUCAAGAGAGAAAGGAAAAAAAAGGAGGAGGUGGGAAGGAAGGGGGACUCCCUCCCACCAAACCUAGUCCAACUCGGUUUGGGGGGGGGGAGAGUCCUCCCCCUUGGACUCGGCCGACCCCCUUGGGGCUCCUUGAGCCCCAAGGCAAGGCCCCCUCCCUCCCACCUAUAUAUACGGAGGUGUUAGGGCUGAUUUGAGACGACUUUUCCACGGCAGCCCGACCACAUACCUCCACGGUUUUUCCUCUAGACCGCGUUUCUGCGGAGCUUGGGCGGAGCCCUGCUGAGACAAGGUCAUCACCAACCUCCAGAGCGCCGUCAUGCUGCCGGAGAACUCUUCUACCUCUCCGUCUCUCUUGCUGGAUCAAGAAGGCCGAGAUCAUCGUCGAGCUGUACGUGUGCUGAACGCGGAGGUGCCGUCCGUUCGGUACUAGAUCGUGGGACUGAUCGCGGGAUUGUUCGCGGGGCGGAUCGAGGGACGUGAGGACGUUCCACUACAUCAACCGCUUUCUCUAACGCUUCUGCUGUACGGUCUACGAGGGUACGUAGAUCACUCAUCCCCUCUUGUAGAUGGACAUCACCAUGAUAGGUCUUCGUGCGCGUAGGAAAAUUUUUGUUUCCCAUGCGACGUUACCCAUCAGUGGUAUUAGAGCCAGGUUCAUGCGUAGAUGUCUUCUCGAGUAGAACACAAAAGUUUUUGUGGGCGGUGAUGUGCGUUUUGCUGCCGUCCUUAGUCUUUUCUUUAUUCCGCGGUAUUGUUGGAUUGAAGCGGCUUGGACCGACAUUACUCGUACGCUUACGAGAGACUGGUUUCAUCGUUACGAGUAACCCCCUUUGCUCAAAGAUGACUGGCAAGUGUCGGUUUCUCCAACUUUAGUUGAAUCGGAUUUGACCGAGGAGGUCCUUGGAUGAGGUUAGCAACUCAUAUAUCUCCAUUGUGGUGUUUGCGUAAGUAAGAUGCGAUCCUACUAGAUACCCAUGGUCACCACGUAAAACAUGCAACAACAAAAUUAGAGGACGUCUAACUUGUUUUUGCAGGGUAUGAUUGUGAUGUGAUAUGGCCAACGAUGUGAUAUGAUAUGUUGGAUGUAUGAGAUGAUCAUGUUGUAAUAGAAAUAUCGACUUGCACGUCGAUGGUACCGCAACCGGCAGGAGCCAUAGGGUUGUCUUUAUACUAACGUUUGUGCUUGCAGAUGCGUUUGCUAUUUUGCUAGGAUGUAGCUUUAGUAGUAAUAGCAUGAGUAGCACGACAACCCCGAUGGCAACACGUUGAUGGAUGAUCAUGGUGUGGCGCCGGUGACAAGAAGAUCGUGCCGGUGCUUUGGUGAUGGAGAUCAAGAAGCACGUGAUGAUGGCCAUAUCAUGUCACUUAUGAAUUGCAUGUGAUGUUAAUCCUUUUAUGCACCUUAUUUUGCUUAGGACGACGGUAUCAUUAUGAGGUGAUCUCUCACUAAAAUUUCAAGACGAAAUUGUGUUCUCCCCGACUGUGCACCGUUGCUACAGUUCGUCGUUUCGAGACACCACGUGAUGAUCGGGUGUGAUAGACUCAACGUUCACAUACAACGGGUGCAAAACAGUUGCGCACGCGGAACACUCGGGUUAAGCUUGACGAGCCUAGCAUGUGCAGACAUGGCCUCGGAACACAUGAGACCGAAAGGUCGAUCAUGAAUCAUAUAGAUGAUAUGAUUAGCAUAGGGAUGCUUACCACUGAAACUAUACUCAACUCACGUGAUGAUCGGACUUGGGAUAGUGUAAGUGGAUCAUGAACCACUCAAAUGACUAGAGAGAUGUAUUUUUUGAGUGGGAGUUUAGCAUAUAAUUUGAUUAAGUUAAACUCUAAUUAUCUUGAACAUAGUCUAAGUCCACUUUGAAUAUAUUUGUGUUGUAGAUCAUGUCUCACGCGACAGUCAUCCUGAAUUUUAAUACGUUCUUAGAGAAAGCUAAGUUGAAAGAUGAUGGAAGCAACUUUGUAGACUGGGCUCGUAAUCUUAAGCUAAUCUUACAAGCUGGGAAGAAGGAUUAUGUCCUUAAUGCUGCGCUAGGAGAUGAACCACCCGCUACGGCUGAUCAGGAUGUUAAGAACGCUUGGUUAGCACGUAAGGAGGACUACUCAAUAGUUCAAUGUGCAGUCUUGUAUGGCUUAGAACCGGGACUUCAACGUCGCUUUGAGCGUCAUGGAGCAUUUGAGAUGUUCCAGGAGUUGGAGUUUAUCUUUCAGAAGAACGCCCGGAUCGAGAGGUAUGAGACCUCCGAUAAAUUCUAUGCUUGCAAGAUGGAGGAAAACUCGUCUGUCAGUGAACAUGUGCUCAAAAUAUCUGGGUACUCAAACCGUCUAGCUGAACUGGGGAUUGAACUCCCGCAAGAAUCUAUCACUGACAGAAUCCUUCAAUCACUGCCGCCAAGCUACAAAGGCUUUGUGUUGAACUACAACAUGCAAGGGAUGAACAAGUCUCCCGGCGAGUUGUUUGCGAUGUUGAAGGUCGCAGAGUCUGAACUCCCAUAAAGAGCAUCAAGUGUUGAUGGUAAAUAAGACCACUAGUUUCAAGAGAAACGGCAAAGGCAGGAAGGGCAAUUUGAAGAAGAGCGGCAAGCCUGUUGCCAAUCCGCCGAAGAAACCCAAAACUGGACCUAAGCCUGAAACGGAGUGUUUCUAUUGCAAGGGUAUGGGUCACUGGAAGCGCAAUUGCCCCAAGUAUCUGGCAGAUAAGAAGGCGGGCAAAGAAAAAUCAGGUAUAUUUGAUAUACAUGUUAUUGAUGUGUACUUAACCGGCUCUCGUAGUAGUGCCUGGGUAUUCGAUACCGGUUCUGUUGCUCAUAUUUGCAACUCGAAGGAGGAACUGCGGAAUAGACGAAGGCUGGCGAAAGACGAAGUGACGAUGCGCGUAGGAAAUGGUUCCAAGGUUGAUGCAAUCGCCGUCGGCACAGUGUCACUUUAGCUACCAUCGGGAUUAGUGAUGAACUUAAGUCAUUGUUAUUUAGUGCCUGCGUUGAGCAUGAACAUUAUAUCUGGAUCUUGUUUAUUGCGAGACGGUUACUCUUUUAAGUCUGAGAAUAAUGGUUGUUCUAUUUCUAUGAGUAACAUCUUUUAUGGUCAUGCACCGAAUGUGAGAGGGUUGUUCAUAUUGAAUCUUGAUAGCGAUACGCAUAUACAUAACAUUGAGACCAAAAGAGUUAGAGUAAACAAUGAUAGCGCCAUAUUUUCGUGGCACUGCCGCUUGGGUCAUAUUGGUGUAAAGCGCAUGAAGAAACUCCAUGCUGAUGGACUUUUGGAGUCACUUGACUUUGAUUCACUUGACACGUGCGAACCAUGCCUCAUGGGCAAGAUGACUAAGACUCCGUUCUCCGGAACAAUGGAGCGUGCAAGUGACUUAUUGGAAAUCAUACAUACCGAUGUGUGUGGUCCAAUGAGCGUGGAGGCACGCGGCGGAUAUCGUUAUUUUCUCAUCUUCACUGACGAUUUAAGUAGAUAUGGUUAUGUCUACUUGAUGAAGCACAAGUCUGAAACAUUUGAAAAGUUCAAGCAAUUUCAGAGUGAAGUGGAAAAUCAUCGUAACAAGAAGAUCAAGUUCCUACGGUCUGAUCGUGGGGGUGAAUUUCUGAGUUUCUAGUUUGGUGCUCACUUAAGACAAUGUGGAAUUGUUUCACAGUUAACACCGCCUGGAACACCACAGCGUAAUGGUGUGUCCGAACGUCGUAAUCGUACUUUGUUGGAGAUGGUGCGAUCUAUGAUGUCUCUUACUGAUUUGCCGUUAUCAUUUUGGGGUUAUGCAUUAGAAACAGCUGCAUUCACUUUAAAUAGGGCACCAUCAAAAUCCGUUGAGACGACACCAUACGAAUUGUGGUAUGGCAAGAGGCCAAAGUUGUCGUUUCUUAAAGUUUGGGGAUGUGAUGCUUAUGUCAAAAAGCUUCAGCCUGAAAAGCUGGAACCCAAAGCGGAAAAGUGCGUCUUCAUAGGUUACCCAAAAGAGACAGUUGGGUACACCUUCUAUCUCAAAUCCGAGGGCAAAGUGUUGUUGGGGAACGUCGCAUGGGAAACAAAAAUUUUCCUACGCGCACGAAGACCUAUCAUGGUGAUGUUCAUCUACGAGAGGGGAUGAGUGAUCUACGUACCCUUGUAGAUCGUACAGCAGAAGCGUUAGAGAACGCGGUUGAUGUAGUGGAACGUCCUCACGUCCCUCGAUCCGCCCCGCGAACAAUCCCGCGAUCAGUCCCACGAUCUAGUACCGAACGGACGGCACCUCCGCGUUCAGCACACGUACAGCUCGACGAUGAUCUCGGCCUUCUUGAUCCAGCAAGAGAGACGGAGAGGUAGAAGAGUUCUCCGGCAGCGUGACGGCGCUCCGGAGGUUUGGUGAUGAUCUCGUCUCAGCAGGGCUCCGCCCGAGCUCCGCAGAAACACGAUCUAGAGGAAAAACUAUGGAGGUAUGUGGUCGGGCAGCCGUGAGAAAGUCGUCUCAAAUCUGCCCUGAAAGACCCAUAUAUAUAGGAGGAGGGAGGGGGACCUUGCCUUGGGGUCCAAGGGAUCCCCAAGGGGUCGGCCGAGCCAGGGGGGAGGACUCUCCCCCCCCCAAACCGAGUCCUACUUGAUUUGGUGGGAGGGAGUCCUUCCCCCUUCCCACUUCUCCCUUUUUUUUUCUUUCCUUUGAUUUUUUCUCUCUUGGCGCAUAGGGGAUUGGUGGGCUGUCCCACCAGCCCACUAAGGGCUGGUGUGACCCCCCCAAAAGCCUAUGGGCUUCCCCGGAGUGGGUUGCCCCCCUCCGGUGAACUCCCGGAACCCAUUCGUCAUUCCCGGUACAUUCCCGGUAACUCCGAAAACCUUCCGGUAAUCAAAUGAGGUCAUCCUAUAUAUCAAUCUUCGUUUCCGGACUAUUCCGGAAACCCUCGUGACGUCCGUGAUCUCAUCCGGGACUCCGAACAACAUUCGGUAACCAACCAUAUAACUCAAAUACCCAUAAAACAACGUCGAACCUUAAGUGUGCAGACCCUGCGGGUUCGAGAACUAUGUAGACAUGACCCGAGAGACUCCUCGGUCAAUAUCCAACAGCGGGACCUGGAUGCCCAUAUUGGAUCCUACAUAUUCUACAAAGAUCUUAUCGUUUGAACCUCAGUGCCAAGGAUUCGUAUAAUCCCGUAUGUCAUUCCCUUUGUCCUUCGGUAUGUUACUUGCCCGAGGUUCGAUCGUCAGUAUCCGUAUACCUAUUUCAACCUCGUUUACCGGCAAGUCUCUUUACUCGUUCCGUAAUACAAGAUCCCGCAACUUACACUAAGUUACAUUGCUUGCAAGGCUUAUGUGUGAUGUUGUAUUACCGAGUGGGCCCCGAGAUACCUCUCCGUCACACGGAGUGACAAAUCCCAGUUUUGAUCCAUACUAACUCAACUAAUACCUUCGGAGAUACCUGUAGAGCAUCUUUAUAGUCACCCAGUUACGUUGCGACGUUUGAUACACACAAAGCAUUCCUCCGGUGUCAGUGAGUUAUAUGAUCUCAUGGUCAUAGGAAUAAAUACUUGACACGCAGAAAACAGUAGCAACAAAAUGACACGAUCAACAUGCUACGUCUAUUAGUUUGGGUCUAGUCCAUCACGUGAUUCUCCCAAUGACGUGAUCCAGUUAUCAAGCAACAACACCUUGUUCAUAAUCAGAAGACACUGACUAUCAUCGAUCAACUGGCUAGCCAACUAGAGGCAUGCUAGGGACGGUGUUUUGUCUAUGUAUCCACACAUGUAAAUGAGUCUUCAUUCAAUACAAUUAUAGCAUGGAUAAUAAACUAUUAUCUUGACACAGGAAUUAUAAUAAUAACUAUACAUUUAUUAUUGCCUCUAGGGCAUAAUUCCAACAAGUGUUUGUUGCUAAGAACGGAACUUUUCUCGAGAAGGAGUUUCUCUCGAGAGAAUUGAGUGGGAGGAAGAUAGAACUUGACGAGGUUGUCGAACCUCUCAUCCCUCUGGAUGGUGGCGCAGGGCAAGGGGAAACCUCUGUCGUUGCGACGCCGGUUGAGGAGGAAGUUAACGAUGAUGAUCAUGAAACUCCAGUUCAAGUUUCUGUUGAACCACGCAGGUCGACGAGAUCACGUGCUGCUCCAGAGUGGUACGGUAAUCCCGUCUUAUCAAUCAUGUUGUUAGACAACAAUGAACAUGCAAGUUUUGAAGAAGCAAUGGUGGGCCCAGAUUCCAACAAAUGGCUAGAAGCCAUGAAAUCCGAGAUAGGAUCCAUGUAUGAGAACAAAGUGUGGACUUUGGAGAUACUACCUGAAGGCCGCAAGGCUAUUUAGAACAAAUGGAUUUUUAAGAAGAAGACGGACGCUGACGGUAAUGUGACCGUUUAUAAAGCUCGACUUGUGGCAAAGGGUUUUUCACAAGUUCCAGGAAUUGACUACGAUGAGACUUUCUCACCCGUGGCGAUGCUUAAGUCCGUCAGAAUCAUGUUAGCAAUAGCUGCAUUUUUCGAUUAUGAAAUCUGGCAGAUGGAUGUCAAAACGGCGUUCCUUAACGGUUUCCUUAAGGAAGAGUUGUAUAUGAUGCAACCCGAAGGUUUUGUCGAUCCUAAGAAUGCUAACAAGGUGUGCAAGCUCCAGCGAUCCAUUUAUGGACUGGUGCAAGCGUCUCGGAGUUGGAACAAACGCUUUGAUGAGGUGAUCAAGGCAUUUGGGUUUAUACAAGUGGUUGCAGAAUCUUGUAUUUACAAGAAAGUGAGUGGGAGCUCUGUGGCGUUUCUAAUAUUAUAUGUGGAUGACAUAUUACUGAUUGGAAACAACGUAGAGCUUUUGGAGAGCAUAAAAGGUUACUUGAAUAAAAGUUUCUCUAUGAAGGACCUACGAGAAGCUGCUUACAUUCUAGGCAUUAAGAUCUAUAGGGAUAGAUCAAAACGCCUGAUAGGACUUUCACAAAGCACAUACCUUGAUAAAGUUUUGAAGAGGUUCAAAAUGGAACAGUCCAAGAAAGGGUUCUUGCCAGUUUUGCAAGGUACGAGAUUGAGUAAGACUCAGUGCACAGCAACUGAUGAAGAUAGAGAGCAUAUGCGCUCCGUCCCCUUUGCUUCAGCCAUAGGUUCUAUCAUGUAUGCGAUGCUGUGCACUAGACCGGAUGUUAGCCUAGCCAUAAGUAUGGCAGGUAGGUUCCAGAGUAAUCCAGGAGUGGAUCACUGGACAGUGGUCAAAAAUAUCCUGAAGUACCUGAAAAGGACUAAGGAGAUGUUUCUCGUAUAUGGAGGUGACGAAGAGCUCGCCGUAAAAGGUUACGUCGAUGCAAGCUUUGACACAGAUCCGGACGACUCUAAGUCGCAAACCGGAUACGUAUUUAUUCUUAAUGGGGGUGCCGUAAGCUGGUGCAGUUCCAAGCAAAGCGUCGUAGCAGAUUCUACAUGUGAAGCGGAGUACAUGGCUGCCUCGGAGGCGGCUAAGGAGGGUGUCUGGAUGAAGCAGUUCAUGAUGGAUCUUGGAGUGGUGCCAAGCACACUGAAUCCAAUAACCUUGUUCUGUGACAACACGGGUGCCAUUGCCUUAGCAAAGGAACCACGGUUUCACAAGAAGACCAGACACAUCAAACGACGCUUCAACCUCAUCCGCGACUACAUCGAGGAAGAGGACGUAAAUAUAUGCAAAGUGCACACGGAUCUGAAUGUAGCAGACCCGCUGACUAAACCUCUUCCACGGCCAAAACAUGAUCGACACCAGAACUGUAUGGGUGUUAGAUUUAUUAUAAUGUAAUUCACAUGGUGAUGUGAGGGCUAGAUUAUUGACUCUAGUGCAAGUGGGAGACUGUUGGAAUUAUGCCCUAGAGGCAAUAAUAAAUAUAGUUAUUAUUAUAAUUCCUGUAUCAAGAUAAUAGUUUAUUGUCCAUGCUAUAAUUGUAUUGAAUGAAGACUCAUUUACAUGUGUGGAUACAUAGACAAAACACCGUCCCUAGCAUGCCUCUAGUUGGCUAGGCAGUUGAUCGAUGAUAGUCAGCGUCUUCUGAUUAUGAACAAGGUGUUGUUGCUUGAUAACUGGAUCACGUCAUUGGGGGAAUCACGUGAUGGACUAGACCCAAACUAAUAGACGUAGCAUGUUGAUCGUGUCAUUUUGUUGCUACCGUUUUCUGCGUGUCAAGUAUUUAUUCCUAUGACCAUGAGAUCAUAUAACUCACUGACACCGGAGGAAUGCUUUGUGUGUAUCAAACUUCGCAACGUAACUGGGUGACUAUAAAGAUGCUCUACAGGUAUCUCCGAAGGUGUUGGUUGAGUUAGUAUGGAUCAAGACUGGGAUUUGUCACUCCGUGUGACGGAGAGGUAUCUCGGGGCCCACUCGGUAAUACAACAUCACACACAAGCCUUGCAAGCAAUGUAACUUAGUGUAAGUUGCGGGAUCUUGUAUUACGGAACGAGUAAAGAGACUUGCCGGUAAACGAGAUUGAAAUAGGUAUGCGGAUACUGACGAUCGAAUCUCGGGCAAGUAACAUACCGAAGGACAAAGGGAAUGACAUACGGGAUUAUACGAAUCCUUGGCACUGAGGUUCAAACGAUAAGAUCUUCGUAGAAUAUGUAGGAUCCAAUAUGGGCAUCCAGGUCCCGCUAUUGGAUAUUGACCGAGGAGUCUCUCGGGUCAUGUCUACAUAGUUCUCGAACCCGCAGGGUCUGCACACUUAAGGUUCGACGUUGUUUUAUGCGUAUUUGAGUUAUAUGGUUGGUUACCGAAUGUUGUUCGGAGUCCCGGAUGAGAUCACGGACGUCACGAGGGUUUCCGGAAUGGUCCGGAAACGAAGAUUGAUAUAUAGGAUGACCUCAUUUGAUUACCGGAAGGUUUUCGGAGUUACCGGGAAUGUACCGGGAAUGACGAAUGGGUUCCGGGAGUUCACCGGUGGGGGGGGGGCAACCCACCCCGGGGAAGCCCAUAGGCCUUGGGGGAGACACACCAGCCCUUAGUGGGCUGGUGGGACAGCCCACAAGUGCCCUAUGCGCCAAGGAGAAGAAAAUCAAGAGAGAAAGGAAAAAAAAGGAGGACGUGGGAAGGAAGGGGGACUCCCUCCCACCAAACCUAGUCCAACUCGGUUUGGGGGGGGGGAGAGUCCUCCCCCUUGGACUCGGCCGACCCCCUUGGGGCUCCUUGAGCCCCAAGGCAAGGCCCCCUCCCUCCCACCUAUAUAUACGGAGGUUUUAGGGCUGAUUUGAGACGACUUUUCCACGGCAGCCCGACCACAUACCUCCACGAUUUUUCCUCUAGAUCGUGUUUCUGCGGAGCUCGGGCGGAGCCCUGCUGAGACAAGGUCAUCACCAACCUCCGGAGCGCCGUCACGCUGCCGGAGAACUCUUCUACCUCUCCGUCUCUCUUGCUGGAUCAAGAAGGCCGAGAUCAUCGUCGAGCUGUACGUGUGCUGAACGCGGAGGUGCCGUCCGUUCGGUACUAGAUCGUGGGACUGAUCGCGGGAUUGUUCGCGGGGCAGAUCGAGGGACGUGAGGACGUUCCAUUACAUCAACCGCGUUCUCUAACGCUUCUGCUAUACGGUGUACGAGGGUACGUAGAUCACUCAUCCCCUCUUGUAGAUGGACACCACCAUGAUAGGUCUUCGUGCGCGUAGGAAAAUUUUUGUUUCCCAUGCGACGUUACCCAUCAAUUUGGAGAUGUGCAGAAUAGUGGACUAGGAUUUGCUCCUUUUCCAGUCCAGAAUUUCAGCUGCCUGAAUUCUCCCUCUUCAAAUAAACCUUGCAAAAUAAGAGAGAAAAGGCAUAAAUAUGGUACCACAAGUAAUAUAACAGCCCAAAAACCAAUAAAUAUCAACAUGAAAGCAUGAUGCAAAAUGGACGUAUCAACUCCCCCAAGCUUAGACCUCGCUUGUCCUCAAGCGAAAACGAAGUCCCAUAAACAUGUCCACAUGUUGAGGGACGAAGGUGUCGAUAAAACAUAAUACGGACAUGAGGGCAUCAUGAUCACACAUAGAACAUCAAUACAUCAUAAAUAUUCUUAUGGGAAAGUAACAAUUCCUUCACAAAGUAAAGCAUGAAGCAAAAACCUUACCGAGAAGUAACCAACAAUAAUCCGUAGUCAUUGAAGCAAUUGCAAUUUAUCACAACAUCACAAAGAGUCAAAUAAGAGCUUGUAAGGCAAACCCACAUACUCAAUCAUCUCUUUUGUUUUCCACAAUUAUUACAACUCACGUGGUACUCAUGGUGUCAAAGUUUCAGCUCGACACAGAGGAAGAUAGGGGCUUAUAGUUUUGCCUCCCAACCAUUUACCUCAAGGGUAAAGUCAACAACAAUAAAGCAUGAGUACUCAACUCCAAGUUGAUAUAUGAAUAUAGAUCUUUCCCAAGCAUGUGACGGUAGCCAAGACAAAGGCAAAAAGGGAUUGGUGAAGAUCACCAUGACUCUUACAAGGGUAAAAAUAAAGGUACAAGAUAGGCCCUUCGCAGAGGGAAGCAGAGGUUGUCAUGCACUUUUGAGGUUUGAAUGCGUGUCCUCUUAGUGCGGAGGAACGUCACUUUAUAUUGCCUCCUGUGAUAAAGAACUUUAUUAUGCAGUGUGUCGCUUUUAUGUCUUCCUCAUCACAGGUUCGUACAAAGCUUAUUUUCCACACACUAAUAGAUCAUACAUAUUAGAGAGCAAUUUUUAUUGCUUGCACCGAUGACAACUUACUUGAAGGAUCUUAUUCAAUCCAUAGGUAGGUAUGGUGGACUCUCAUGGCAAAACUGGGUUGGAGGUUUAUGGAUGCACAAGCAGUAUCUCUACUUGGUGCGGGAGUUUUGGCUAAUAUGAGGUGGAAGCAAUCGUCACAUGCUAAGGGAUCUCUAAUCAUAUAACAUUGUUUGGAACCAAGCAAACACAAUUCAUUAUGUUGUCUUCCUUGUCCAACAUCUACUUCUAAGCAUGUAAUAGUUUGGUGAGUGCUCACAAUUGCAAAAAGUGUCUAAGAUGAUAUAUUUAUAUGUGAACCUCUCUUUCCUUAUUACUUCUUAUUAAUUGCAACAAUGACUAAUGUCGAUGUUGAUUUAUUCUCAACAAGUUUCAAUCAUCAUACGUGUCCUAAGUGAAGUUAUCACUUUCCAUAAGAUCGUCUCAUGAUCUUUCAUGCCAUCGUUCUUUUCGUACUCUUUGAUCAUGGCACAAAGCAAAGCCCUUGACUAAGACACUCUUUAUUAUAUAGCUCGUAAACUCGAAUACAUCGGGGGAGAGACAAAAUCAAAAGACUCAAACUAAAAACUAAAGACUUAUUCCUCUAAAAGAACAAAUAAAAACUGAAAAGGAAAGAACUAAAACAAAGGUAAAAGCAAAAGAUAUAAAGGUGAUACGAUACCAGGGCAACCCCCCAAGCUUGGAAGAAGCCAAGGGGAUUGCCCAUACCAAUGCUUAGUUAUCUCCCCCCCCCGGUGGUGUUGUUGGAGCAGUCUUGAGCUUGUCUAAUUUCCACUUGAGCAAAAAGUUUUGCUCCCUUAGAUCGUCAUUUUCCUCCUCAAGUUUCAAAACUCUAUGGCAAAGCUCCUGCUUACUCUCCUGCAAGAAACGAGUAGGGAUAAACAAGGCCUUAAGCUUCUUCAUAUGGUCAGGGAGGCUUGACUUCUUGAACUCCACAUGGGUGUUUGCAGGUUGAGGUAAAGGAGCCUCCUCUUCAUCGGAACUCGUUUGCUCCUUCCCUUUGGGCUCAUUGUCCUCUUCCUCAUCAGUGGUCCAGCCAUAUGGUUCCAAGUCCCCAUAGACCUUGGGGUUAGCAAGGUAGUCAGCCACAUAGCUCUCUCCCUCUGAAUCUUGAGAAGACAUCUUGACCUAGAUCUGCGGCAGAACAAGCUCGAAACAAAAACACAGGAAAACUGCGCGAUAUGGAGAUCAAAACCUUCGGGCAACUAUAUAUUGAUUUUUUCUGGGCCAAAAGGAGUCCUCCGCAAGAAAACGGAGUCUGGGAGGCACACGAGGUGCCCACAAGCUUGCCCUCCGCCACCAGGGGGGUAGGGGCGGUGGCAGGGCUUGUGGCCGCCUCGUUCGCUCUCCGGACUGCUUUUAUUUUUCUAAUUUUCCAAAAAUUCCAAAACGGAAGAAAUUUCCUAUUGGAAAAGUAUCGGAGUCCAAUUUGUUACCGAAACAGAUACAUCUUCGUUUCCAAGGUCUCAAACAGGCUGAUAAACAUCCUUUAUGUACUCCUUUGGAGUUAUGACAUUGAUGAUAUUGGUCUCAACAUUUAUGGGAGUACGAGAGAUGUAAUGCUUGAUUCUUUGCCCAUUUACCACUCUAGGAAAAUUUCCUUCCGUGUUAUUGAUUUUGAUGGCACCGGAACGAUAUACUUCCUCGACAACAUAGGGACCUUCCCAUUUAGAGAGAAGCUUGCCUGCAAAGAAUCUCAAACGAGAAUUGUAUAGCAAGACAUAAUCACCUACAUUGAACUCUCGUUUCCGUAUUCGUUUGUCAUGCCAUCUCUUAACCUUUUCCUUGAACAACCUGGCAUUCUCGUAUGUCUGGGCUCUCCAUUCAUCUAACGAGAUGAUAUCAAACAACCGCUUCUCACCGGCAAGUUUGAAAUCAAAGUUGAACUCUUUGAUUGCCCAAUAAGCUUUGUGUUCCAGCUCAAGAGGUAAAUGACAGGCCUUACCGUAAACCAUUUUAUACGGUGACAUGCCCAUGGGAUUCUUGUAAGCAGUCCUAUAAGCCCAUAGUGCAUCGUCAAGUUUGCUAGACCAGUUCUUUCGAGAUCUAUUGACAGUCUUUUGUAGGAUCAACUUGAUCUCCCUAUUACUCAACUCCACUUGACCACUAGAUUGAGGAUGAUAAGGAGAUGCAACUCUAUGGUUGACAUCAUACUUAGCUAGCAUCUUGCGGAAAACACCAUGAAUGAAGUGUGAACCGCCAUCAGUCAUCAAGUAUCCAGGGACUCCAAAUCUUGGGAAUAUGACUUCUUUAAGCAUCUUAAUAGAGGUGUGGUGAUCAACAUUUUUAGUGGGGAUAGCUUCUACCCACUUAGUAACGUAAUCCACAACAACUAAGAUGUGAGUGUACCCAUUGGAACUCGGGAAGGGUCCCAUAUAAUCAAAGCCCAGACAUCAAAUGGUUUAAUGACAAGUGAAUAGUUCAUAGGCAUUUCCUCACGCUUACUGAUGUUCCCUAUUCUUUGGCAUUCAUCACAAGACAAGAAAAACUUACGAGCAUUGAUGGGGUCAUAGUCCUAGGGUAGGGUCAUAGGCCUGUCAUGUAGGUCCUACCCAAGGACUACCCCUCACAAAGGACAAGGCCCUUAGUCAGUCCCGACUGAAUCAAGGAGUCCCCAUCAUCCAGUCGGUAACAGGUCCUCAACCAUCCAGUCGGAGACUAGCAUUUGGAGGAUACCAAGCUAACCGUCUGGCUACACUCGGUACAUCGUAACCUCUCUGGAGGGAAACGACCGUACGUUUCCGGGUGCAUUUAUUAGCAUUUAGAGCAUAUGUUACCUGUAACAUACGCAUUCAAUCCCCACUACUCCACCCCUGUACCGGAACCGUUGUGGAGGGCAGCGCACUCUAUAUAAGCCGCCCUCCCCCACUGGUAGAGGGGUUAGCAACUCAUUGUAUUCCCUAUUCCACUCGACAACAAAGCUCCCUGAGCACUGAGACGUAGGGUUAUUACCUCCACCGCAGAGGGGCCCGAACUCAUACAUCCUCGCCGUAGCUGGGACUAUGCCCAUCCUUUUCAUACCCUACACAUCUAUUGUCAGGCUUAUACCCACGACAGUUGGCGCCCGCCAUGGGGCAGGCGUCUAAGCGACUUCCGGCGAGUUUGCGACUACUUCCUUUCGUCAUGUCGUCUGGUGGAGAUUCGAGCAUGGGUCACCAGAUCUUCUUCGGCGCUCUCUCCUUCAUCGUCGACGAUUCAGCAUGGCUUCGGGAUGCGCCCCUCGACAUCGAGGCGCUUCCCCGUCGCGGGGCUACGCACUUCCGUGCCGGCGCCCGCGGCAUUCUUCUUCUCCAGCACUCGACUCCGGUGUCGACCUACACCGCCGUCACGCGCCGCGUCAAGCGGUCCCGCCGUCCGCGGCUCCAGCGUUAGGUGCAACACGCCCAGGCGCGCCAGAACGCAUCUUCACAAGUGGCGGUUCUAGAGUCAGUUGUGGUUGCCCCGCUGUCCCAACGCUCGGGCUCGGUUCUGACUGAGUUUCCUUCCGAGUACGCAGGUCACGGGCCUGCAGCAGAAGUACACAUGGCCAAUUCCCAUGAAGAUCCCCGUCAGGCUGGCCGGAACGAGCACGAGAUCAGCGAAGCGUCCGGCGCGCGUCGUCCACCUUGCCGUUCUGCUAGUCGGCACACUCGGCGGAGCAACGUGGAGCUGUUCCGCACACCCCUCCUCAACUUGGCUGCAGCUGCCAAGAUAGCCGAUUCCCUCCAGCCGACUGAUUCAGAGGCUGGUAGAGGGAUCGAGCAGAUCCGAGCCCUGUUGCACACGGCGCAGCAGCAGAAUUCGGCGGUCUCCUAGUCGCACAACAGGAUCUAUAAUAGUUCUGUUCAUGCGAAUACGCACCGGUCGGUUCACAGCCCAGGUUCCCAUCAGCGGCACAGAGGAGGCAGCCGUUCCAUAAAUCACGAAGAUCGCCACCGUUCAUGCACCCCUCCGCGGGGUGGGCCCUACGGGCCCCGACAUCAUGAUGAUCGGCGUUCAGUCGGUGACACUUAUGACCCAAGGCCCGACGCAAGAGGGCAUAUCGCCCAGCGGAGGGUUGACAGGGGUCGGGCCCACCGCGAUGGUCGCGAUAUCGACCAUCCGAGUGGAAGCAGGGCCACCAUUUCUGGUCCCGAGUGUUUCAGUCGAGCCAUCCGUUCGGCUGACAUCCCUCCCAACUUCCGAUUGGCGACGGGAAUUAGCAAGUUCACAGGAGAGUCCAAGCCAGAAACGUGGCUGGAUGACUACCGAGUGGCAGUCCAGAUCGGAGGAGGGGACGACCAUGUCGCCAUGAAGCACCUCCCUCUGAUGCUCGACGGCUCGGUGCAAGCAUGGCUGAACCAGUUGGCCCCCUCAAGCAUCUACAGUUGGGUAGAUCUGGCCCGAGUGUUCAUCAGGACCUUCGAGGGACGUGCAAGCGCCCUGCUGGCCUUGUGGAGCUCCAGCACUGCGUCCAGAAGCAGAAUGAGCCCCUGCGUGACUUCAUCCAGCGCUGGACAACUCUCUAUCACACGGUGGAGAACGUCACCGAGCAUCAAGCAGUCUGCGCCUUCAAGGCAGGCGUGCGGUACAGGGAUCUGUACCUGAAGUUCAGCCGAACAGGCGACAUCUCCAUGAGCAAGAUGAUGGAGAUAGCAACGCGCUAUGCAAAUGGUGAAGAAGAGGACCGCAUCCGAAGCGGCAAGCACAAAACAGUCGCUGAUGGCGAUGGUGGCAACACUCGGAAGCAGAAGUAGAAAGCUCCGACCGCUCCGCAAGCAGAAGCUGCAGCCGUAACCAAUGCCAAGUUCAAGGGCAAAGGGAAGGCUCAGUUCACCCCCAAGAAGAAGCAGUUCAAUAACCCCAUCCUGGACCAGCCAUGUCCGGUUCAUACGAAGAUGGAUGAAGAAGGCAACCCCAUAUAUGCGAAGCAUACCACUCGACAGUGUCGCCUCCUGAUCCAGGGGUUCAGCGAAGGGCAACCGAGUGAGAAGGACCAUGAACAGGAUGAGGAGGAUAAGGAGGAUCCGUUCCCCCAAGUCCAUGCAACCCUGAUGAUCUUUGCUGACGUCGAGAUUAAGAGCCGACUGAAGCUGGUGAACAGAGAGGUGAACAUGGCCACCCCUACCAACCCCAAGUUCCUCAAAUGGUCUUAGACUGCGAUCACCUUUGACCAGUCGGAUCAUCCAGCACAUGUACCCACCCCGGGGAGACAGGCCCUGGUCAUCGACCCGGUGGUAGAAGGAGUCCGACUGCGCAAAGUCCUCAUGGAUGGCGGCAACGGCUUGAACAUCAUGUACGCCGACACACUCAAGGGGAUGGGCAUCCCAAUGUCCAAACUCAACGAGAGCAGCAUGCAGUUCCACGGAGUCGUCCCUGGAUGGAAGGCGAAGUCACUCGGCCAGAUCGCGUUGGACGUCGUUUUCGGCUCCGACAAGAACUUCCGCAAGGAAAAGGUGACGUUCGAAGUGGUUGACUUCCAGAGCGCUUAUCACGCAAUUCUGGGUCGCCCAGCGUAUGCGCAGUUCAUGGCCCGUCCAUGUUACGUAUACCUGAAGCUGAAGAUGCCAGGCCCGAAGGGUGUAAUCACCAUCACAGGCAAUCGGCAGCGGGCUGAAGAGUGUCUGCAGCAGGGAUCAAGAAUCACCGACCAGCAGAUGGCCGUCCUCGAGCUGGACGAGUGCAAGAAAACAGUCGACCCCGCCGACCUGAUGCGCUCGAAGAAGCCAGCUUCAGAGUCUGCAUUUCAGUCGGCGGGAGAGACGAAGAAGGUCAGCAUCCACCCGACAGACGCCACUGCUGCCCCGACGCACAUCUCCACCACCCUCGAUCCUAAAUAGGAAGCCGAGCUCACCCAAUUCCUCCGUGAGAACUGGGACAUCUUCGCAUGGAAACCCUCUGACAUUCCAGGUGUACCCAGGGAGUUGGCUGAGCACCGACUGCACGUGGAUGCCACUGCUCGGCCUGUCCGAGAGCGCCUGCGCCGGUCCGCCGCGCACAAGAGGAAGGCAAUCGGGGAAGAGGUGGCCAAGCUGUUGGCAGCCAACUUCAUUCGUGAGGUUCACCACUCCGAGUGGCUCGCCAAUGUUGUCAUGGUGCCCAAGAAGGACAAGUCGCUCCGAAUGUGCAUCGACUUCAAGCAUCUCAAUAAGGUCUGCCCGAAAGACCAUUUUCCGCUCCCCCGCAUAGAUCAAAUUGUCGAUUCGACUGCGGGUUGUGAGCGUCUAUCAUUUCUUGAUGCCUACUCGGGCUAUCAUCAGAUCCGUCUGUAUGGUCCCGAUGAGUUAAAAACAGCCUUCAUCACCCCAUUCGGGUGCUUCUGCUACAUCACUAUGCCAUUCGGUUUGAAGAAUGCAGGAGCUAGCUUUAUGCGCAUGAUCCAAAAAUGUCCUCGACCAGAUCGGUCGGAAUGUGGAGGCGUACAUGGAUGAUAUCGUAGUCAAGUCACGCAAAGGUUCCGACCUGCUGACUGACUUGGCAGAAACAUUCGCCAACCUUCGUAGGUACGAUAUCAAGCUCAACCCCGCCAAAUGUUCAUUCGGCGUUCCCAGCGGAAAGUUACUCGGUUUCUUCAUUUCCGAACGAGGGAUCGAUGUCAACCCCGAAAAGAUUGGGACCAUCGUCCGAAUGGAGAGGCCGGUCAGAAUACACGAUGUUCAACGGCUCAUAGGUUGCCUAGCAGCUUUGAGCAGGUUCAUCAGUCGACUCGGCGAAAAAGCACUUCCUCUGUACCGACUCAUGAAGAAAUCAGAUACUUUCGAGUGGUCAGAUGAAGCCCAAGUCGCAUUCGACGACCUCAAAGUCCUACUUUGCACCCAGCCGGUUCUUACUGCUCCGCUCAGUAAAGAGCCCCUUCUUCUGUAUAUCGCGGCUACAAAUCAAGUCGUCGGUACUGUUCUUACAGUCGAACGAGAAGAAGAAGACAAAGCAUACAAAGUUCAGCGGCCAGUGUAUUACGUCUACGAGGUCCUGACUCCUUCCAAGCAGAGGUAUCCCCGCUAUCAAAAACUUAUCUACGGGAUUUACAUGACUGCGAAGAAGGUGGCCCAUUAUUUCCAAGACCACUCGGUGUCUGUCAUUUGUGAUGCUCCAUUGUCGGAAAUUCUCCACAAUCGAGAUGCGUCAGGCCGAGUGGCGAAGUGGGCGAUGGAGAUGCUGUACUGUGACAUCAAGUUCGAGGCCAAGAAAGCUAUUAAGUCUCAAGCUCUGGCUGACUUUAUAGCAGAAUGGGUAGAACAACAGCAACCGACCCACAUCUGCUCGGCCCAUUGGACAAUGUUCUUCGAUGGGUCCAAGAUGUUGAAUGGCUCCGGCGCUGGCGUUGUGAUCAUAUCACCAAAGGGCGACAAGCUCAAGUACGUGCUACAGAUACACUUUGAUUCCUCCAACAACGAGGCAGAGUAUGAAGCUCUCCUCUACGGGUUGCGUAUGGCCAUCUCACUCGGCGUUCGUCGCCUGAUGGUCUACGGCGAUUCGGAUUUGGUGGUCAAUCAAGUGAUGAAAGAGUGGGACGUCAGGAACCCCACCAUGUCUACAUACUGCAAUGCAGUGAGGAAGCUCGACAAGAAGUUUGAAGGUCUAGAACUUCACCAUGUUCCAAGACUGAAGAACCAAGCAACUGAUGAGCUAGCAAAACUCGGAUCCACUCGGAGACCAGUCCCGAGUGACGUCUGCCUCGAGCACCUCCACCUCCCCUCAGUCAAAGAAGAUCCUUUCACAGAGGAGCCGGUACAACCAAAGAGUUCAACGGAUCCGACUGAAGUCGAUGUACCUGCUGUGGUUGAUUUGGUCAUGGAGAUUCUUGCCGUCAUCCCCGAUUGGACUGUGCCGAUCAUUGCAUAUAUCCUGAGGCAGGAACUACCAGAAGACGAAGUCCAGGCCAGGCAGAUAGUCCGCAGGUCGAAGUCAUUCACUGUCAUUGAUGGCCAGUUGUACAAAGAAAGUAUCUCAGGCGUUCUUCAACGAUGCAUCUCCCUAGAGGAGGGGCAGCUGAUUCUAGAGGAUAUUCACUCAGGAACCUGCGGUCAUCACGCUUCUUCAAGAGCAAUCGUCGCCAAGGCAUUCAGGGCUGGUUUCUUCUGGCUACAGGCUAACGAGAUGGCUAAAGAUAUGGUUCACCGAUGUGAGGGCUGCCAGUUCUACUCCAAUAAGUCUCACAAGCCGACGUCUGCGUUGAAGACUAUCCCUCUUGUGUGGCCGUUUGCUGUUUGGGGACUAGAUACAGUCGGACCAUUCAAGACAGGCCAAGGUGGAUACACACAUCUGUUGGUGGCAGUCGACAAGUUCACGAAAUGGAUCGAAGCAAAGCCCAUCAAGAAGCUCGACGCCUCAACAGCCGUCAAGUUUGUCAGGGACAUCAUCUUCAGAUUCGGCGUACCUCACAGCAUAAUCACGGACAACGGGACAAACUUUGACUCGGACAGAUUCAAAGGUUUCUGUACAAGCCAGGGCAUCCGAGUGGAUUUUGCUUCCGUAGCGCAUCCUCAGUCCAACGGACAAGCAGAGCGGGCAAACAGACUUAUUUUGCAAGGUUUGAAACCCCGACUCCUGCGAGAGAUAGGACAUGCCGCUGGCGCUUGGGUUACCGAGCUACCUUCAGUGCUUUGGGGACUUCGCACAACCCCGAACAGGUCUACAAGGCGAUCACCGUUCUUCCUCGUUUAUGGAGCGGAAGCAGUCCUUCCGAGUGACUUGCUUCACAAUGCGCCACGAGUCGAACUCUUCUCCGAAGCCGAAGCAGAACAAGCAAGGCAAGAUGGAGUGGAUCUUUUGGAGGAGGAGCGCGAGAUGGCACUAACUCGCUCAACCAUUUAUCAACAAAACCUGCGGCGUUUCCAUGCACGCCACGUCAGAAGUCGCACGUUCCAAGCAGGCGACCUGGUGCUACGAGUGUAUCAGCAAAGACCUCACAAGUUGGCUCCGGCCUGGGAAGGACCCUUCAUCAUCUCCAAGGUGCUGAACAACGGAGUAUACAGACUUUACAACAUCGAGAGAGAGACGGACGAGCCGCGUGCAUGGAACGGAUAUCUCCUGAAGCGCUUCUACGCGUGACCGUCGACUGAAGCAAUGUAAAGAACAAGUAUUGGUGAAAUAAUAUAAAGCAAAUUGAGUUUUUUGCAGGUUCAAAGUUCUUCCACGGUCGCAGACUCCGGUCCCAACAAAAAAAAAACUUAGCUGCGAUCCAGCAUUGCCUAAGUAUUCACCUUCUCCGAGUGUGCACUACACGUCACACUCGGGGGCUUAGCUGCGAUCCAGAAUCGCCUAAGUAUUAACCUUCUCCGAGUGUGCACUACACGUCACACUCGGGGGCUUAGCUGCGAUCCAGAAUCGCCUAAGUAUUAACUUUUUCCGAGUGUGCACUACACGUCACACUCGGGGGCUUAGCUGCGAUCCAGAAUCGCCUAAGUAUUAACUUUCUCCGAGUGUGCACUACACGUCACACUCGGGGGCUUAGCUGCGAUCCAGAAUUGCCUAAGUAUUAACCUUCUCCGAGUGUGCACUACACGUCACACUCGGGGGCUUAGCUGCGAUCCAGAAUCGCCUAAGUAUUAACUUUUUCCGAGUGUGCACUACACGUCACACUCGGGGGCUUAGCUGCGAUCCAACAUCGCCUAAGUAUUAACCUUCUCCUAGUGUACUCUUAACGUCACACUCGGAGACUUAGGGAAUUCCACGGACCCUCAAUGAGGCUCAUGCAGAUGUCAAAACAACUGACAUGUUCCGAAUGUUUGCCUUUGGCUUCACCAAGAAACGCCAAACAAAAACUCGAGUCAACAUUGCAACAGAAGAGCAAAAGAAUCAAUUCAAAGUUCAACCAAAGAUAGUGGCUCGGUGUAGAUCAAGCUUACCCACACCGAACCAAGAAUGUGAAGGCCAACAGCAGUGGCCAAAGUUUCUUACAGAUCCACUCGGCAUACCGAGGAUAAAGUGUUUUUACGCUUCAUCUGGAUUAACACCAGGACUGGAGGGCUCUACGAACGUGUCCAUAUCAAUACCGUCGGCGAUGCGGGUGGCGCUUUCAAGGAAGGUUUCCAUGAAGUCUUCGAAUCGAAGUUUCCUCAUGUUGUCCACCUUCAACGUCUUCAACUUCUCCUCGCGCACCUCCUUGCAAUGGAUUCGGACCAGGGACAUAGCAACAUCUGCACCACAACGAGCUACAGAUUUCUUCCACGACUGCACUCAGUUGGGAAUCUCCUCCAGUCGGGUCAUCAGGUUCUCCAUCUCCUGCCUCGACUCAUCUUCUGGCCAAAGCACCUUAUCGAUUCGGCCGACAACUUCUCUCAGUCGAUCGAUGAAAGGACCAACUUUGCCCACGCGGAUGUGCGCACGGAGCAAAUCCCGAUUGGCGUCCUCGCCGAGUGGAACGUUCUCGAGAAUCGACCGCUCUACAUCAGCCGCUUCAGCUUCAGCGUCAAAGCAAAAAUCUGCGACAACAGGACAAGCAGACAAUAAGUCCCGAGUGUGACGCGCAUAACACAACCACUCGUAAAGAGCAAGACUUAGCAGCCAGACGCGUCAUCAUCUGCCGAGCCCAGUCGCUGACGUAUUUCUCCUGUGCUCUGCACCGUUUGUUCAGCACGUCCAUCUGACCCAUCAGCGCAGUCCUCUGUUUCCCCAUCUUUUCCACUUCCUCAGUCAACACCUUGUUCGCUUCACGCGCCUGCUCCAAUGACUUCUCUCGUCCCGCCAGAGCAUCCUUCAUGCCAUCCAUUGCAAGCAGCGCCGCAUCAAGCUCACCAGCUAACUGAUUCUUCUCCGCCCUGAGAGUCUCAUAGGCUGUUCCCAUUUCACAAGUUUUCUGCCAGCAAACACCAAGGGACAAUCAGAAAAUCCAACAACAAAAGUUUAAGUUCUUCAGACCCCUGCCGACGCAAGCAGUCGACAGUGGCCUCGGGGACUACACCAAGUGGGUUCACUAAGAGUGACCCCACUGGCAUGCAACUCAAGCAGGGCCGCCCUAUUGAGAUGCAUGUUACCACCUACGCCUACGAGGCCAAUACUACCCGACCUGAGUACAAAUUACUCUCGAGGACUCUUACAGUAAGUGCACUCCGAGUGCCACAACUACGCGCACUCGGUCAUGUUAUUUACAUACCUGACCAAAGCAAAGACAAUAUGUAUAAAGACAACUGUCGGUGCAAGCACUCGACAGAAGUCUCGGGGACUACACCCACUGGGUUCACUCAGAGUGAACCCAUUGCGAACAACAGAUGCUAUCCAAAAACACCCAGUGGGUUACAAGAGAAAAGUAAAUACUCACUAGCCCACUUACUCGGAUAUCAUCCCGCAGCUCCAGGCUCCGCUGGUACAAGGACGCGACGGAGUCGUAGGCCCUCUUGGCCUCCCCAGCCAUCAGCUCCGCCUGCACCAUGGCUCCCUUGGCCGCUCCCACCUGCUCCUCCGGGAGAUGCUGGAUGUUGAACUCGACAUUCGACGAGCCUGGCAUCGUCGGAAGCUCCUGAGGCAUCCCGAGGUCCGCUCCAGUCGGCACCUCAACCACCAGCGCCGGUUCAGUCGGCGACAGCGCCUCAGUCGGCGGCACGUUGGCGGCGAGAGCAGCAAUAGGCGGAGCGGCCUCAAGAACGGGCUCCGCAGCCUGUUCAGCUCUCCCCUGAUCACCCUCGUCCAUGCAAAUCGCCCCUGAUAGACCGAACGAAGCAAGAUCUCAGAAAAAGAAAGAGGCAGAACCUAUGAUAGAAUAAAACACUCGAAGUCACUACAACACACCUGGCUGGGACGAGACGACGUUGUCCGUGUCCAUGGGGUCAUCUUCUUGGCGCGGCGGAGAGGUGGCAGAAGUAGCAACUCUGUCGAGUGAAAUCCGUUCGACCAAUGAACAAGAAUUCACUCGGAUAUCAGAAGAAAUUAGAGGAUCGAUACACUUACGUGGAGGUGACGGGGACAGCAACCCUCAUCCGCGGCAGAGCCUUCCGAGGUUUGGACCCACUCGGUUUUGCCGCCUUGGAAGACUGACCCGCAGGCUCAGCGGCAGCAUCCCUGGCCCUUUUGGUGCUCCGAGCACUCGGGACCACCAGGGCAGUGGGCGGAGCACUCGAAGAUGCUGGAGGGGCCGAGGGAACGGCAGGCUCGUGCCGGCGCUUGGUCCGAUGCUCUGUUUGCGGAGGCGGCGAGUCCUGCUCUUCGUCUUCCUCCUCAUCCUCGCUGGUCUCUUCCUCCGACUCCCCGCUGUUGGAGACAUAUUCAGCGCUCUCGACGCUGCCCUCCUGGCUGCCUUCCUCCUCCUCGGCCGGGUUCCCGUUCGAGACGGGAGAAAACCAGUUGGUCCACUCCUGCAUAAAAUUCAGUCGGCGACAUCAGACGUCACACAGAGAUUCAAGCAAACAAUAAGAUUAAGACAGUUAGGAGCACUCGACAAGUGCCACUCACCUGAUUCGGAGGAGGAUUAUCCACGCAGAAGGGCUUCACUCGCCGAGAUCCUUUGGGAUUCUCGCAGGGGCAUGUGAUCUGGAGCACCCACGAGGUCACCCUCUCCUCAGUCACGCCCACGACGUUGGUCCGAGUGGAAUCCUCGGGCCCCGUAUAAUGCCACAUGGCGUGGUCGCGAGCCUGCAGGGGCUGGAUACGUCGACCGAGGAAGACCUCCAGCAAGUCUAUGCCAGUGACCCCCCUCCUAACGACAUCUACGAGCGCCCCGACCAGAGGCUGGAUGUCGUUCUUCUCCGCCCUCGUGAGCGCGUGUUGCUUAGGUGGGGCGGGCCGAUCUAAGCUAAAGGGAGGCAUCCCUGUCGAAGCAUUCAGGCAGGCGAUAUCCUGGCAGUAGAACCACGUCGACUGCCAGUUCCUGACCGACUCACUUAGCUGGAGGGUGGGAUAACUGCUCCGACUCUUUUUUUGGAAACCUAGACCCCCGCAGAGCUGGAGAAGAUGUGUUUUAUCAUCCGACUGGCUAAGUCGUUUGAUGGUCUGGGAUCUAGCAGAAAAUAUGUGCUUGAACAGCCCCCAAUGGGGAGGACAGCCAAUGAAACACUUGCACAGAACUAUAAAGGCAGAGAGAUGGGCAAUGGCGUUCGGGGGAAAGUGGUGAAGUUGUGCCCCGAAGUGAUUCAUGAUGCCCUUGAAGAAAGGAUGCGGGGGCAAGGAGAAACCUCGAUAGACGUGGCUGAGAAGCAAGACGCACUCCCCCUCCCGGGGCGCCGGCUCGACUUUGUUCUCCGCCGGCAGCCUCCAGGACUUGUGCACGAUCAUCCCGUGCUCCACCAGCUGCAGCAGAUCCCCUCCGUCACCGUGGAGGGGAGGAAGUCGCCCUGGAUCCAUCCCGCCGGCAGCGGCCGCUGCCGCCGCUGAGCAGGCGCCGCCGUCUUCCCCUUCUUCUUCCUCGCCUCCAUCUUGCUGGUCUGGCCCUUGGUCAUGGCGGCAGCUGCGAGCCCUCGGGAGGAAGGAGAAGGGAGGAGUAUAGGAGCGCUGGAGGUGGCGAGAAGGGUGGAGCAGGCGAAAGCAAGAGAUUCGGCGAGCGUAGUGGAGAAGCCUCGCCACCGAGAUUUAAAUAGGGUUCCGACUGGGUCGCUGGCGGGUGGGCCCGAAACCUUAUCCCCCGACCCACCGCGGCGAUAUUAGUGGAGAGGUUGAAGGCGCGAGAAUUGAGGCGUCAGGCGCUACUCGAGCGUGAUGACGUCAUCCCCGCUGAGCGUGCGGAACCCGAAAUUUGAGAUCCCGGAAAAUCCGCCGCUGUCAGUUGACCGGUCGCGUCAAAAGAUGCCGCACAAGCACUCGGCUUCCGACAAUCUGUUUCGCGAGUACUUCCACUCGAAUCGUUGGUCAGAAAAGAUAAAAUGGAUCGGGGAAGGCAACGCCCAAGCCAAAUCUGUUCCAGUCGGAUCCAAACUUCAAGCACCGCUUCGUCGUUUCAACCACAAUCCAUUCGGGGACUAAUGAUGGGGUCAUAGUCCUAGUGUAGGGUCAUAGGCCUGUCAUGUAGGUCCUACCCAAGGACUACCCCUCACAAAGGACAAGGCCCUUAGUCAGUCCCGACUGAAUCAAGGAGUCCCCAUCAUCCAGUCGGUAACAGGUCCUCAACCAUCCAGUCGGAGACUAGCAUUCGGAGGAUACCAAGCUAACCGACUGGCUACACUCGGUACAUCGUAACCUCUCUGGAGGGAAACGGCCAUACGUUUCCGGGUGCAUUUAUUAGCAUUUAGAGCAUACGUUACCUGUAACGUAUGCAUUCAAUCCCCACUACUCCACCCCUGUACCGGAACCGUUGUGGAGGGCAGCGCACUCUAUAUAAGCCGCCCUCCCCCACUGGUAGAGGGGUUAGCAACUCAUCGUAUUCCCUAUUCCACUCGACAACAAAGCUCCCUGAGCACUGAGACGUAGGGUUAUUACCUCCACCGCAGAGGGGCCCGAACUCAUACAUCCUCGCUGUAGCUGGGACUCUGCCCAUCCUUUUCAUACCCUACACAUCUACUGUCAGGCUUAUACCCACGACAAGCAUCCUUGAAGAGAGUGGGCCAAUAGAAACAUGAUUGCAAUACCUUAUGGGCAGUUCUAUCUCCAGCAUGGUGUCCUCCGUAGGCUUCGGAAUGACACUUCUGCAGGAUCUGUCCCUGUUCAUGUUCACGCACACAAUGUCUAAUAACACCAUCUACUUCUUCCUUAUAAAGGUGAGGAUCAUCCCAAAAGUAGUGUCUCAAAUCAAAGAAGAAUUUCUUCUUUUGCUGAUAGGUGAAACUGGUUGGUAUGUAUUUGGCUACGAUAUAGUUUGCAUAAUCUGCAUACCACGGUGCACUAUGUGAAGUGCGGAUGACAUUUAGUUGCUCAUCAGGAAAGCUAUCAUCAAUAGGUAGUGGGUCAUUAAGGACAUUCUCUAGCCUAGACAAGUUAUCUGCUACAGGGUUAUCAGCACCCUUUCGGUCAACGACGUGCAAAUCAAAUUCCUGUAGCGGGAGAACCCAUCUGAUCAGCCUAGGCUUAGCGUCCUUCUUCUCCAUGAGGUACUUAAUAGCAGCAUGAUCAGAGUGAAUAGUCACUUUGGAGUCAACUAUGUAAGAUCUGAACUUUUCACAUGCAAACACGACUGCUAAAAAUUCCUUCUCCGUAGUGGCAUAGUUUCUUUGGACACUGUCUAGAGUUUUACUAGCGUAGUGAAUGACAUUCAACUUCUUGUCAACUCUUUGUCCUAGAACAACACCAACAGCAUAAUCACUAGCGUCACACAUGAUUUCAAAGGGCAAGUUCCAGUCAGGUGGUUGAACAAUAGGUGCGGUUACCAAAGCCUUCUUAAGUAUUUCGAAAGCUUCCUCAAAAUCCUCAUCAAAAACAAAAGGAACAUCCUUCUGCAAGAGGUUGGUAAGAGGCCUAGAAAUCUUAGAGAAGUCUUUAAUGAACCUUCUAUGGAAACCAGCAUGACCUAAGAAACUUCGUAUACCUCUGAUAUAUGUGGGGCAAGGCAUUUUCUAAAUUGCAUCAACCUUAGCCUUAUCAACUUCAAUGCCUCUUUCAGAGAUUUUGUGUCCUAAGACGAUACCUUCAUUAACCAUAAAGUGGCACUUCUCCCAAUUCAAGACGAGGUUGGUUUCUUCGCAUCUCUGUAAGACUCGAUCAAGGUUGUUGAGGCAAUCAUCAAAGGAAGACCCGUAAACGGAGAAGUCAUCCAUGAAAACCUCGACGAUCUUUUCACAAAAGUCAGAGAAUAUAGCCAUCAUACAUCUUUGGAACGUGGCAGGUGCAUUACAUAAGCCAAAAGGCAUACGUCUAUAGGCAAAGGUAUCGAAAGGGCAGGUGAAAGUGGUUUUCUCUUGUUCAGAUUGUGCAACAGGUAUUUGCGAGAAACCUGAAUAACCGUCUAGAAAGCAGAAGUGUGUGUUUUUUGAUAGCCUUUCUAGCAUUUGGUCGAUGAACGGCAAAGGAUAAUGAUCUUUCCUGGUUGCCUUGUUCAGUUUCCGGAAGUCUUUCACCAUUCUAUAGCCGGUAAUAAUCCUUUGUGGGAUUAGUUCAUCCUUAUCAUUAGGAACGACGGUGAUACCUCCCUUCUUAGGUACGCAAAGUACUGGACUUACCCAAUCACUAUGAGCAACAGGAUAAAUGAUUCCUACUUCCAGAAGCUUUAAUAUUUCUUUUCUAACGACCUCUUUCAUCUUAGGAUUUAAUCUCCUUUGAUGAUCAACAACUGGUUUAAAGUCAGGAUUGGUUUUAAUCUUGUGCUGACAUAGAGUAGGACUAAUACCCUUAAGAUCAUCAAGAGUAUAUCCAAUAGCAGCGCGGUGCUUCCUUAGAGUUUUAGUAACUUCUUCUCUUCGCGCUCUCAGAGGAGAGCACUAAUAAUGACAGGAUAUAUCUCCUUCUCAUCAAGAUAGGCAUACUUAAGAGUAUCAGGCAACUGUUUAAGCUCGAACACAGGAUCACCCUUUGGUGGGGGAGGAUCCCCAAGCAGUUCAACAGGCAGAUUAUUCUUGAGAAUAGGAUAUUGUUCUAAGACAAUUUUAUCUAUCUCAUCUCUCUCCUCCAUAUGCAUAUCAUUUUCAUGCUCAAGCAGAUAUUGCUCUAAAGGAUCCGUAGGAGGUAUCGCAAUAGAGGCAAGAGCAAUGAUUUCAUCUCUACCAGACGACUCUCUUUCAUGGGUUUGUCUUCCAAAGUUGGAGAAGUUAAAUUCAUGAGACACACCCUCGAAACUAACUGUGACGGUGUGCUUAAUGCAAUCAAUGUGAGCAUUGACAGUGUUGAGAAAGGGUCUACCAAAUAUGAUGGGGCAAAAGCUAUCUUGUGUAGUACCAAGGACGAGGAAAUCAGUAGGAUACUUCGCCUUACCACACAGGACUUCUACGUCUCUCACAAUUCCCAGAGGGCAAAUAGUGUCUGUAUUAGCUAGCGUAAUAGUGACAUCAAUGGGUUCUAACUCAGCAGGUGCAAUCUCAUCUUUGAUUUCAUCAUAUAGAGAACGGGGUAUUGCACUAACACUAGCUCCCAUAUCACAUAAACCAUGGUAACAGUGAUCUCCUAUCUUAACAGAAACAACGGGCAGGCCAACUACAGGUCCGUGUUUGUCUUUCACGUGAGGUUUAGCAAUUCUAGUGGAGUCCUCACAGAAUUUGAUAACAUGCCUGUCUAUGUCUUCGGUUAAGAGAUCUUUGAUAAUGGCAACACCAGGUUCGACUCUAAUCUCCUCACGGGGUGCAAGUGGUCUAAUGUAACCCCUAUGUAUCACAGUUGGAGCUUUAGAAUAAUCCUUUAUCCUAGCAGGGUAUGUGUUGGAAAUAUGCCCUAGAGGCAAUAAUAAAUUAGUUAUUAUUAUAUUUCUUUGUUCAUGAUAAUCGUUUAUUGUCCAUGCUAUAAUUGUAUUGAUUGGAAACACAAUACUUGGGUGGAUACAUAGACAAAACACUGUCCCUAGUAAGCCUCUAGUUGACUAGCUCGUUGAUCAAAGAUGGUCAAGGUUUCCAGGCCAUAGGCAAGUGUUGUUACUUGAUAACGGGAUCACAUCAUUAGGAGAAUCAUGUGAUGGACUAGACCCAAACUAAUAAACGUAGCAUGUUGAUCAUGUCAUUUUGUUGCUACUGUUUUGUGCGUGUCAAAUAUUUAUUCCUAUGACCAUGAGAUCAUAUAACUCACUGACACCGGAGGAAUGCUUUGUGUGUAUCAAACGUCGCACGUAUCUCUGAAGGUGUCCGUUGAGUUAGUAUGGAUCAAGACUGGGAUUUGUCACUCCGUGCGACGAAGAGGUAUCUCGGGGCCCACUCGGUAAUACAACAUCACACACAAGCCUUGCAAGCAAUGUGACUUAGUGUAUGUCACGGGAUCUUGUAUUACGGAAUGAGUAAAGAGACUUGCCGGUAAACGAGAUUGAAAUAGGUAUGCGGAUACUGACGAUCGAAUCUCACGCAAGUAACAUACCGAAGGACAAAGGGAAUAACAUACGGGAUUAUAUGAAUCCUUGGCACUGAGGUUCAAACGAUAAGAUCUUCGUAGAAUAUCUAGGAUCCAAUAUGGGCAUCCAGGUCCCGCUAUUGGAUAUUGACCGAGCAGUCCGUCGGGUCAUGUCUACAUAGUUCUCGAACCCGCAGAGUCUGCACACUUAAGGUUCAACUUUGUUUUAUGCGUAAUUGAGUUAUAUGGUUGGUUACCGAAUGUUGUUCGGAGUCCCAGAUGAGAUCACGGACGUCACGAGGGUUUCCGGAAUGGUCCGGAGACGAAGAAUUAUAUAUAGGAUGACCUCAUUUGAUUACCGGAAGGUUUUCGGAGUUACCGGGAAUGUAUCGGGGAUGACAAAUGGGUUCCGGAUGUUCACCGGGAGGGCCAGCCCACCCGGGGGAAGCCCAUAGGCCUUAGGGGUGCCACACCAGCCCUUAGUGGGCUGGUGGGACAGCCCAAGAAUCCCUAUGCGCGGGAGAAAGAAAAAUCAAAGAGAAAAGAAAAAAAGGGGAAGUGAGAAAGUGGAGAAGGACUCCACCUUCCAAUCCUAGUUGGACUAGGAUUGGAAGGGGAGGACUCUCCCCCUUGCUUCGGCCGAACCCCUUGGGGCUCCUUGAGCCCCAAGGCAAGGCCCCUCCCCUCCCACCUAUAUAUACGGAGGUUUUAGGGCUGAUUUGACACAACUUUACCACUGCAGCCCGACCACAUACCUCCACGGUUUUUUCCUCUAGAUCGUGUUUCUGUGGAGCUUGGGCGGAGCCCUGCUGAGAUUAGAUCACCACCGACCUCCGGGGCGCUGUCACGCUGCCGGAGAACUCAUCUACCUCUCCCUCUCUCUUGCUGGAUCAAGAAGGCCGAGAUCAUCGUCGAGCUGUACGUGUGCUGAACGCGGAGGUGUCGUCCGUUCGGCACUAGAUCAGAGCGGAUCGUGGGACGGAUCGCGGGACGGUUCUUGGGACGGUUCGCGGGGCGGAUCGAGGGACGUGAGGACGUUCCACUACAUCAAUCGCGUUUAUUAGCGCUUCUGCUGUGCGAUCUACAAGGGUACGUAGAUCGGAAAUCCCCUCUCGUAGAUGGACAUCACCAUGAUAGGUUUUCCUGUGCGUAGGAAAAUUUUUGUUUCCCAUGCGACGUUCCCCAACAAUGGCAGCAUGAGCCAGGUUCAUGCGUAGAUGUUAUCUCGAGUAGAACACAAAAGUUUCUGUGGGCGGUGAUGUGCGAUUUGCUGCCCUCCUUAGUCUUUUCUUGAUUCCGCGGUAUUGUUGGAUCGAAGCGGCUCGGACCGACAUUACUCGUACGCUUACGAGAAACUGGUUUCAUCGCUACGAGUAACUCCGUUGCUCAAAGAUGACUGGCGAGUGUCGGUUUCUCCAACUUUAGUUGAAUUGGAUUUGACUAAGGAGGUCACUGGAUGAGGUUAAAUAGCAAUUCAUAUAUCUCCGUUGUGGUGUUUGCGUAAGUAAGAUGCGAUCCUACUAGAUACCCAUGGUCACCACAUAAAACAUGCAACAACAAUUAGAGGACGUCUAACUUGUUUUUGCAGGGUAUGCUUGUGAUGUGAUAUGGCCAACAAUGUGAUGUGAUAUAUUGGAUGUAUGAGAUGAUCAUGUUGUAAUAGUUAAUAUCGACUUUGCACGUCGAUGGUACGGAAACCGGCAGGAGCCAUAGGGUUGUCUUUAAACUAACGUUUGUGCUUACAGAUGCGUUUACUAUAUUGCUAGGACGUAGCUUUAGUAGUAAUAGCAUGAGUAGCACGACAACCCCGAUGGCGACACAUUGAUGGAGAUCAUGGUGUGGAGCUGGUGACAAGAAGAUCGUGCCGGUGCUUUGGUGAUGGAGAUCAAGAAAGCACAUGAUGAUGGCCAUAUCAUGUCACUUAUGAAUUGCAUGUGAUGUUAAUCCUUUUAUGCACCUUAUUUUGCUUAUAACGACGGUAGCAUUAUGAGGUGAUCUCUCACUAAAAUUUCAAGCUCAAAUUGUGUUCUCCCCGACCGCGACAGUUCGUCGUUUCGAGACACCACGUGAUGAUCGGGUGUGAUAGACUCAACGUUCACAUACAACGGCUGCAAAAGAGCUGCACACGCGGAACACUCGGGUUAAAAUUGACGAGCCUAGCAUGUGCAGACAUGGCCUCGGAACACAUGAGACCGAAAGGUCGAGCAUGAAUCGUAUAGUUGAUAUGAUUAGCAUAGAGAUGCUUACCACUGAAACUAUUCUCGACUCACGUGAUGAUCGGACUUGAGAUAGUGGAUUUGGAUCAUGUACCACUCAAUGACUAGAGAGAUGUACUUUUUGAGUGGGAGUUCUUAGGUAAUAUGAUUAAUUGAACUAAUUGUCAUGAACAUAGUCUAAUGGUCUUUGCGAUACGAUGUAGCUUGCGCUAUAGCUCUACUGUUUUUAUAUAUUUCUAGAGAAAAUUUAGUUGAAAGUUCAUAGUAGCAAACUUUGCGGACUGAGUCUGUAAAACUGAGGAUUGUCCUCGUUGCUGCACAGAGGGCUUAUGUCCUUAAUGCACCACUCGGUGUGCUGCACCUCGAGCGUCAUUUGUGGAGGUUGUGAACAUCCGACAUACACGUUACUGAUGACUACGCGAUAGUUCAGUGCAAAAUACUUAAUGGCUUAGAAGCAAGACGCCGAAGAUGUUUUUGAAAUGUCACGGAACAUAAGAGAUGUUCUAAAGAGAUGAAAUAGUGAUUUCAUGCUUGUGCCCUUGUUAAGAGGUAUGAGACCUCCGACAAGACUCUUUGUCCACGAAGUAAAGGAGAAAAGCUCAAUCGUUGAGCGUGUGCUCAGAUUGUCUGAGGACGACAAUCGCUUGAAUCAAGUGGGAGUUAAUCUUCCAGAUGAGAUAGUGAUGGUUCUCCAAAGUCAUUGCCACCAAGCUGUGAGAGCUUCAUGAUGAACUAUAACAUAUCAAGGAUAGAUACCAUGAUCCUUGAGCGAUUCGCGAUGUUUGACACUGCGAAAGUAGAAAUCAAGAAGGAGAAUCAAUAGUUGAUGGUUAAUAAACCACUAAGUUUCAAGAAAGGCAAGGGCUAGAAGGGAUACUUCGUGAAACGGCAAAACAGUUGCUGAAGUAAUGAAGAGACCCAAGAUUAAACCCAAACCCGAGACUAAGUGCUUCUGUUAUGAGGGGAACGGUCACUGAGGCGAAGCUACCCUAGAUGCUUGGUAGAUAAGAAGGCUGGAAAAGUCGAAAGAAGUAUAUUUGAUAUACAUGAUGUUGAUGUGUACUUUACUAGUACUCCUAGUAGCGCGAGGGUAUUGGAUACCGGUUCGGUUGCUAAGUGAUUAGUAACACGAAAUGAAAGCUAUGAUAUAAACGGAGACUAGCUAAAAGCGAGGUGACGAUAAGUGUUGGAAGUGUUUCCAAGGUUGAUGUGAUCAAACGUCGCACGCUUCCACUAUCAUCGGGAUUGGUGGUAAAACCUAAAUAAUUGUUAUUUGGUGUUUGCGUUGAGCAUGAACAUGAUUGGAUCAUGUUUAUUGCAAUACGAUUAUUCAUUUAAAGAAAAUAAUAGUUGUUCUAUUUGCUUGAAUAAUUACCUUCAAUGGUUUAUUGAAUCUCGAUCGUAGUGUUACACAUGUUCAUAAUAUUAGUGCCAAAGAUACAAAGUAAUAAUAAUAGUACCACUUAGUUGUGGCACUGCCACUUGAUUCAUGUUGGUAUAAAAUGCAUGUAGAAGCUCCAUGCUGAUGGAUCUUUGUAAUCGCUCAUUUUUAAAACGUUUGAGACAUGCAAACCAUACCUGUUGGUAUAAAUGCAUGAAAAAAACUCCAUGAGAGAUGGAUCGUUUGGACUCGCUUGAUUUUGAAUCACUUGAGACAUAUAAAACAUGCCACAUGAAACAAGAGAGUAACUUGUUGGGAAUAAUACAUUUGAUGUGUGCAGUCCAAUGGGUGCUAAGGCACGCAGUGGAUAUCAUUAUGUUCUUACUUCACUGAUGAUUUGAGUAGAUACAGGAGUAUUUACUUGAUGAAUCACAAAGUCUGAAAUAUUGAAAAGUUCAAUUUUGUUUCAGAGUAAAGUUUGUCCUAACAAGAGGAUAAACUGUCUACGAUAUGAUCAUAGAAAUGAAUAUCUAAGUUACGAGUUUAGGUACGCAGUUAAGACAAUGUGGAAAUUGUUUCGCAGUUCAUGCCACCUGGAACACCAUAGUGUGAUGAUGUGUCUGAACGUCAUAGCCACGCCCUAUUUGAUAUGGUGCAUACUAUGAUGUCUCUUAUCGAAUUACCACUAUAGAUUAUGGGUUAUGCAUUAGAGACAACCGCAUUCACUUUAAAUAGGGCACCGCGUAUUUCCGUUGAGAUGACACAGUAUAGACUAAUGUUUAGAGAAAUCUAAGCUGUCGUUUCUUGAAAGUUUGGGGCUGCGAUGCUUAUGUGAAAAAAGGUUUCAGACUGAUAAGCUCGAACCCAAAGCGGAUGAAAGCAUCUUCAUAGGAUAUCCAAAGUAGUCGGAUACAUCUCCUACCUCAGAUCCGGAAGCAAAGUGUUUGUUUCUAGAAAUGGAUCCUUUCUCGAGGAAAGGUUUCUCUCGAAAGAGUUGAGUGGGAGAGUGGUGGAACUUGAUGAGGUUAUUGAACCGUCACUUCAACCAGUGUGUAGCAGGGUGCAGGAAGUUGUUCCUGUGGCGCCUACACCAAUUGAAGUGGAAGAUGAUGAUAGUGAUCAUUAGAGCUUCGGAUCAAGUUACUACAAAUCUCGUAGGUCGACAAAGGUCGCGUACUGCUACAGAGUGGUACGGUAACCCUGUCUUGGAGGUCAUGUUGUUGAGCAACAUUGAACCUACGAGUUAUGGAGAAGCAAUGGUGGGCCCGGAUUCCGACAAAUGGCUGGAGGCCAUGAAAUCCGAGAGAGAAUCCAUGUGUGAGAACAAAGUGUAGACUUUGGGAGAACUUCUUGAUGGUAGUAAGACUAUUAAGUAAGGAUGGAUCUUUAAAAGGAAGACAAACGAUGAUGGUGAUAAGUCACUAUUAAGAAAAGCUCGACUUGUCGCAAAGAUGUUUUCGACAAUAUCAAAGAGUUGACUAUGAUGGGACUUUCUCACUCAUAGCGAUGCUAAAAAGUCUGUUGGAAUUAUGCUAGUAGUUGCUGCAUUAUUUGUGAAAUAUUGCACAUAGGAAGUCAAAACAUUGUUUCCUCGACGAUUUCCUUGAGGAAAGAUUGUAUGAGAUACAAUCAGAAUGUUUUGUCGAUCCUAAGGAUACUAACAAGUAUGCAAGCUCUAGCGAUCCUUCAAUGGACUGGUGCAAGCAUCUCGGAGUUCGAAAAUACAUUUUGAUGAGAUGAUCAAAGAUUUUGGGUUUGUACAAGGUUUAUGAGAAACUUGUAUUUCAAAGAAGUGAGUGGGAGCACUAUAGAAUUUCUGAUAAGUAUAUGUGGUUGACAUAUUGUUGAUCAGAAGUAAUGUAGAAUUUCUGUAAAGCAUACAAGGUUGUUUGAAAGGAGUUUUUUAAAGGAAUACCUGCAUUGAGCUACUUGAAUGUUGAGCAUCAAGAUCUAUGGAGAUAGAUCGAAACGCUUAAUAGAAGUUUCAACAAGAUGCAUGCCUUGACAAGUUUUUGAAGGAGUUCAAAAUAUAUUAACAAAGAAGGAGUUCUUGACUGUGUUGUAAGGUGUGAAUUUGAGUAAGACUCAAAACCCGACCACGGCAGAAUAAAGAGAAUAGACGAAUGUCGUCUUCUAUGCCUUAGUCGUAGACUCUAAAGUAUGCCAUGUUGAGUACCGCACCUUAUGUGUGCCUUGCUGCAAGUCUGUUAAGAGGUACAGAGAGUGAUCCAGGAUUGAAUCACUGAUCAGCAGUCAAAGUUAUCCUUAGUAACUAAAUGGACUAAGGAAUUUUUCUCGAUUAUGGAGGUGGUUAAAGAGUUCGUCAUAAAGGGUUACGUUGAUGCAAGCUUUGUCACUAAUCCGAAUAACUAUGAGUAGUGAAACGGAUUCGUAUAGUAGAGUAGAUAUUUGGAGUAUUUCCAAAUAGCACAUAGUAGCAGCAUCUAUAAGAUGACAUAAAGAUUUGUAAAGAACACACGAAUCUGAAAGUUUCAGAACCGUUGACUAAAACCUCUCUCACAUGCAAGACGUGAUCAGACCCCAGAACUAUAUGGGUGUUGGAUUCGUUAGAAUCACAUGGUGAUGUGAACUUGAUUAUUGACUCUAGUGCAAGUGGGAGACUGUUGGAAAUAUGCCCUAGAGGCAAUAAUAAAUUAGUUAUUAUUAUAUUUCUUUGUUCAUGAUAAUUGUUUAUUGUCCAUGCUAUAAUUGUAUUGAUUGGAAACACAAUACUUGUGUGGAUACAUAGACAAAACACUGUCCCUAGUAAGCCUCUAGUUGACUAGCUCGUUGAUCAAAGAUGGUCAAGGUUUCCUGACCAUAGGCAAGUGUUGUUACUUGAUAACGGGAUCACAUCAUUAGGAGAAUCAUGUGAUGGACUAGACCCAAACUAAUAAACGUAGCAUGUUGAUCGAGUCAUUUUGUUGCUACUGUUUUGUGCGUGUCAAGUAUUUAUUCCUAUGACCAUGAGAUCAUAUAACUCACUGACACCGGAGGAAUGCUUUGUGUGUAUCAAAUGUUGCAGCGUAACUGGGUGACUAUAAAGAUGCUCUACAGGUAUCUCCGAAGGUGUUAGUUGAGUUAGUAUGGAUCAAGACUGGGAUUUGUCACUCCGUGUGACGGAGAGGUAUCUCGGGGCCCACUCGGUAAUACAACAUCACACACAAGCCUUGCAAGCAAUGUGACUUAGUAUAUGUCACGAGAUCUUGUAUUACGGAACGAGUAAAGAGACUUGCCGGUAAACGAGAUUGAAAUAGGUAUGCGGAUACUGACGAUCGAAUCUCGGGCAAGUAACGUACCAAAGGACAAAGGGAAUAACAUACGAGAUUAUAUGAAUCCUUGGCAAUGAGGUUCAAACGAUAAGAUCUUUGUAGAAUAUGGAGGAUCGAAUAUGGGCAUCUAGGUCCCGCUAUUGGAUAUUGACGGAGGAGUCCCUCGGGUCAUGUCUACAUAGUUCUCGAACCCGCAGGGUCUGCACACUUAAGGUUCGACGUUGUUUUAUGCGUAUUUGAGUUAUAUGGUUGGUUACCGAAUGUUGUUCGGAGUCCCAGAUGAGAUCACGGACGUCAUGAGGUUUUCCGGAACGGUCCGGAGACGAAGGUUGAUAUAUAGGAUGACCUCAUUUGAUUACCGGAACGUUUUCGGAGUUACCGGUUAUAUAUCGGGGAUGACGAAUGGGUUCCGGAUGUUCACCGGGAGGGCCAUCCCACCCGGGGGAAGCCCAUAGGCCUUAGGGGUGCCACAGCAGCCCUUAGUGGGCUGGUGGGACAGCCCUAGAAGCCCUAUGCGCAGGAGAAAAAAAUUCAAAGAGAAAAAAAGGGGAAGUGGGAAAGUGGAGAAGGACUCCGCCUUCCAAUCCUAGUUGGACUAGGAUUGGAAGGGGAGGACUCUCCCCCUUGCUUCGGCCGAACCACUUGGGGCUCCUUGAGCCCCAAGGCAAGGCCCCUCCCCUCCCACCUAUAUAUACGAAGGUUUUAGGGCUGAUUUGACACAACUUUACCAUGGCAGCCCGACCACAUACCUCCACGGUUUUUCCUCUAGAUCGCGUUUUUGCGGAGCUCGGGCGGAGCCCUGCUGAGAUUAGAUCACCACCAACCUCCGGAGUGCCGUCGCACUGCCGGAGAACUCAUCUACCUCUCCGUCUCUCUUGCUAGAUCAAGAAGGCCGAGAUCAUCGUCGAGCUGUACGUGUGCUGAACGCGGAGGUGCCGUCCGUUCGGCACUAGAUCAGAGCAGAUCGUGGGACGGAUCGCGGGACGGUUCGUGGGAGGGUUCGUGGGGCGGAUCGAGGGAUGUGAGGACGUUCCACUACAUCAACCGCGUUUAUUAACGCUUCUGUUGUGCGAUCUACAAGGGUAGGUAGAUCGGAAAUCCCCUCUCGUAGAUGGACAUCACCAUGAUAGGUUUUCGUGCGCGUAGGAAUUUUUUUGUUUCCCAUGCGACAUUCCCCAACAGUAUGGUGGUUUCUCAGUGUAAGCACAAGGAACAACAGGAUCACUAAAAGCAAUGAAUUUCUCCUCAACUAGAUUGGUUUUGGCUAUGUUGCUUUCUACAGGAGGAUGAUAUUUAAACCACUUCUCUUUGGGAAGAUCAACAUGAGCAGCAAAAGAUUCACAUAGAGAAGCUACUAUCUCAGAGUCAAGUCCAUACUUAGCGCUAAAAUCUCUAGAAGUGUUUAUCUCAACAAAAGAUUUAACACAAUCAAACUGGAAAUUCAUACCUGACUCCUUACCUUCCUCUAGCUCCCAAUCUUCAGAGUUGCAUUUGAUUCUCUCCAAUAAAUUCCACUUGUGAUCAAUAUCCUUCUUCAUAAAAGAACCGGCACAAGAAGUGUCAAGCAUGGUACGAUCUUCAUGAGAAAGCCGAGCAUAAAAGUUUUGAGUGAUGAUUUCUCUCGAGAGCUCAUGAUUGGGGCAUGAAUAUAGCAUUGAUUUAAGCCUCCCCCAAGCUUGAGCUAUGCUUUCCCUGUCAUGAGGCCAAAAGUUAUAAAUAAAGUUCCGAUCACGAUGUACUAAAUGCAUAGGAUAGAACUUUUGAUGAAAUUCCAAUUUCAACCGAUUGUAGCCCCAUGAUCCAGUAUCAUCACAUAGCCUAUACCAUGUCAACGCCUUAUCCUUCAAAGAUAAAGGAAAGAAUUUAUUCUUUACCUCAUCCUCGGGCAAACCUGCAAGCUUAAAUAAACCACAAACUUCAUCUACAUAGAUUAGAUGCAAGUCUGGAUGUGAAGAUCCAUCUCCUGUGAAAGGAUUAGCCAGCAGUUUCUCAAGCAUACCCGAAGGAAUUUCAUAAAAGAUAUUUUCAGUAGGUACCUCAGGUUGAGAAGCAACUCCUUGUGCUUAUGUUUGUGGUGAAGAUACCCCGAACAAACUCCUCAAAGGAACAGUUCCCAUAGUGACAAGUGACAAUAAAUUUCAGCACAAUAUAUAAAUGUUUCCUUACCAAUUUCCACUUACCAAAGGCGAUUCACUCCCCGGCAACGGCGCUAGAAAAGAGUCUUGAUGACCCACAAGUAUAGGGGAUCAUUCUUAGUCCUUUCGAUAAGUAAGAGUGUCGAACCCAACGAGGAGCAGAAGGCUCUGAUAAACGGAUUUCAGCAAGGUAAUAACUGCAAGCACUGAAAGUAGCGGUAACAAGUGAUUGUGUAGCGAGGUGAAACAUAGUGAGCAAAAAGUAACAAGUAACAAGUAGUAGCAAUGGUGCAGCAAGUGGCCCAAUCCCUUUUGUAGCAUGGGACAAGCCUGGACAAAGUCUUAUAGGAGGAAAAACGCUCCCGAGGACACACGGGAAUUUCUGUCAUGCUAGUUUCAUCAUGUUCAUAUGAUUCACGUUCGUUACUUUGAUAGUUUAAUAUGUGGGUGGACCGGCGCUUGGGUACUGCCCUUACUUGGACAAGCAUCCCACUUACGAUUAACCUCUCUCGCAAGCAUCCGCGACUACAAAAGAAGAAUUAAGACAACGUCUAACCAUAGCAUUAAACUAGUGGAUCCAAAUCAGCCCCUUACGAAGCAACACAUAGACUGGGGUUUAAGCUUCUGUCACUCCAGCAAUCCAUCAUCUACUUACUACUCCCCAAUGCCUUCCUCUAGGCCCAAGUAUGGUGAAGUGUUAUGUAGUCGACGUUCACAUAACACCACUAGAGGAAAAGACAACAUACAACAUAUCAAAAUACCGAACGAAUAUCAAAUUCACAUGACUAUUAUUAACAUGACUUAUCCCAUGUCCUCGGGAACAAAAGUAACUACUCACAAAACAUAAUCAUAAUCAUGAUCAGAGGUGUAAUGAAUAGCAUCAAGUAUCUGAACAUAAACUCUUCCACCAAGUAAUCCAACUAGCAUCAACUACAAAGAGUAAUCAACACUACUAGCAACCUUACAAGUCCCAAUCGGAGUUGCGAGACGAAGAUUGGUUACAAGAGAUGAACUAGGGAUUGGAGAGAAGAUGGUGCUGAUGAUGAUGUUGAUGAAGAUGCCUCCCCUCCGACGAGAGGAGUGUUGGUGAUGACGAUGGCGAUGAUUCCCCCCUCCGGGAGGGAAGUUUCCCCGGCAGGAUCGUCCUGCCGGAGCUCUAGAUUGGAUCUGCUCAAGUUCCGCCUCGUGGCGGCGGCGAAACCAUGAAAAGGCGCUCUGUUGAUUUUUUCUGGACCAAGACGUUUCAUAUAGCAAAAGAGGGGGGCUAGUGGGCCGUCAGUGAGCCCACAAGCCCCCACUCCGCCACCAGGGGGUGGCGGUGUCAGGGCUUGUGGCGCCCUGGCAGCCCCCCUCCGGUAGUUCUUUCGCCCAGUAUUUUUUAUAUAAUCCAGAAAAAAUCCAUGUAACUUUUCAGGGCAUUUGGAGAUGUGCAGAAUAGUGGACUAGGAUUUGCUCCUUUUCCAGUCCAAAAUUCCAGCUGCCUGAAUUCUCCCUCUUCAAAUAAACCUUGCAAACUAAGAGAGAAAAGGCAUAAAUAUGGUACCACAAGUAAUAUAACAGCCCAAAAAGCAAUAAAUAUCAACAUGAAAGCAUGAUGCAAAAUGGACGUAUCAGGACCCCUCCUCGUGGAUGGUCCGAGGAGCUCGUCCCCUUGAUAGCGGCUGCCUCAUAAAGGCGACCAUGCCAGGUAGGUUCUCCCUCUUCAGCCAACAGUUCGUGGGGAUGAAGUCCAUGGCGGCCUCGGCACUCGUGACGACAUGGGCUCCUCCUCCAUCCAUGUCCCACUCCGUCUUCAUCACCAUGAUAGAUAAGAAGACAUCCAUUAGUAAUAUGGGCACUAGUACUAUCUAAAAUAGCAAACACAUUUGCUGGGGAUAUUAUUUGUUGAUAACCCGCCCUAGUUGGGUCGGGUCACCAAAGCUGGCGACUCAUCUAAAAUGUAGUUUGGGCCUUGGUCUGGUAAAGCCGAGAGUAGUAUGGCGGUUUAUGACUUUCGGAAGGAGUCCAUAAUAAAGAAGGUCUCCAAGCUUCGGAAGGGCGGCGACUUAGAGAUGGCAAGAGUCGCGAUUUGUGAAAAGGAAAGGACCCUUGUAAACCCUAAGGACUCGACCUGUAUAUAAAGGCGAGUCCCAGGGGAGAAGAGGACAGGUUAGAAAUCAUCGAGUGCUAGGUCUGGCGAGUUACGCCCUCCUGGUAAUCAAAACUCCAUCAAUACAACUCAAAGCAGGACGUAGGCCUUUACCUCCUCACGAGGGGCCGAACCUGGGUAAAUCGCUGUCUCUCUCCCGUUCAACCCCUUUGAGUCGCCACCAAAGUGCGAUGGCUCCAAUACUAAGUCCUUUCACGAGGACAUCUGCCAUGACAAAACCACGACAGUUGGCGCCCACCGUGGGGCCUGCGCACGGUGGAGUUGAGUUCUCAAAGGGAGCCCUACCAGGGUUUGGGAGCUACGCGACGGGGCUCAUGACCCGGAGCCGCCGUGGGAAGUACUACAUCAACAACCUGCAAUGCGGGCCCGAGGCGGAUUCGAUCGAAUCUGGUUACAGGGUCCCCUUCGGCAAGAUCAACGUCUUCAUCGGCAUGAUUGGAUCAUCCAUGCCUGAGCCGGACAUCUCCACCGACAUCGUCGAGCCGGCCAGGUACGUCCGCCCACUAACGACGCCAAAUCUGAUUCGCCCGGUCUUUGUUGGAUUCACGCAGGGAUCGGAGGAACCAGAACACUCAGCGACCCAGGAAACCACACCAGUCAACACUGAUGACGAAUCAUCCAUGGGCGAUUCAGAUUCAAUCCGGUCUCUACAUGGGGAUUGUCUUGGGGGCUUGUCGUUGGCCUUGGACCCCGAAGUCCUUGACCGAACCCGCUGCCAGAUCGCCAUUUACAUGGCUGGGGCGACUCAACCCUCGCCAAACCCGGCAGGCGGGGAUGGGCCUGGCGAGACAUCUAGAAGCCCGACCACUGUCUUGGUGGAAUUAGCAGCGGAAAUUACAAGGCUUAUGGCGACCCCCAUCACACCGAAAAACCAGGAGGAAGUAAACACGGAAUUGGCAAAGCUAAGAGAGGCAGUGGCAAAGGCUCAUCGGGAUGCCAAGGUGGAGUCCGCCAGGAUUGAGACCCGGCAAGCUCAAAUUACCGCCGAGAGAACUCGCUUAAAUACUGACAACUGGCGGCUCGAAAGACACCAGCGCGCAUCUGACGCCGUCCAUCAGCGGAGGCACCAGGGUCGCCUACCCCCUGAUCUCAACCCGACCCGCCUGUUCGAUACUCCGCGAACUCCCGGGGCGGGAGCCGCCCCUGGGGGAGGACCGGGCCAACCACCUAACCCGUCGGUUCAACCAAUUGAGGAUCGCAUUCCCCGAUUCCGGACACCUCAAGGUCACUUUUCCAACCCAGUGGACAACAUCCUUGCUGCAACUCGCCAUUUGGAAUCUCUUCCGAUUCACGGCAAUACUCCUGCCGAGAUAGAAGCAAGAAACGCCAUUGAGAUGUUGAAGACGGCGAUGGUUCAAAACGCCCAGUUCUUACAUAGCCUAGAUAGGCUGCAUUCCACUCCCCAGGCGAGUCACACCAGGAGUCGGCCAGAGGACCAGCCCGCUGUAAACAGCAGACCGCGACUCAUCCCCCAGGACAACCCGCUUGAUCAUCAAAACCCGCCGGGCCGGGAUCUCCCGAACAUCCAAAUCGCCCCAGUCCCUCUCGUCGGGAGUGGUGGACGAGUGGGGGUGCCGUUCUUGGCCCUCGCCCUUCGCAACGAACGGAUGCCCAAGGAUUUUAAAGGACCAAGAAAGGUGCCUAACUACACCUCGGACCUUGAGACGGAGUCGUGGGUCGAGAGUUAUGAAAUCUCCAUGGACAUGCUCGACGUGAACGAAGCAGUUUGCGCCAGAUACUUCACAAUGAUGCUCGAAGGGUCAGCACGUACUUGGUUGAAAAACUUACCCCCCGACUGCAUCCAGACCUGGGCUGAAUUGAAAGAGCGCUUCAUCAAAAACUUCCGAGGAACCUGCAAGCGUCCAAUGACGAUUGUCGAUCUGCAGCACUGCGUUCAGCGCCCCGAUGAGUCGGCCCACCAAUGGUCACGGCGGGUCGCAGAAAUUAUCCGUUCAUCAGACGGUAUUACGGCGGCUCAGGCUGUGUUGAUCCUCGAGCAGAAUUGCCACUACGAACCCCUGGUGCAGAAGUUGGGGCGACUCAAGCGAAAGGUCCAAGACAUGGGGGAGCUAAUGGAUACCCUCACUAGAUACGCUCAAGCGGACGACACCAAAGAUCCCGGUGAGGACGGUAAAGCUAACUCGCCAAAGAAGGGCGAGUCAUCCAAAAAUCAUACCCGGUUCCAGGGACGUAACCGCCACAAUCAGGGAGCCAAUGGCAAGAGAAGGCAGCAAGAGGAAUAUUCGGAUUUAGUCGCCAAUACCAACACCAACAAUGGCAACCAACGCCAGAAGAAAAACAGGGGUUACAGUGGUAAGAAGCCGCGUAACUAUGAAGAGUUACUCAAGGGCCCUUGCCCGCACCAUGCCAUGGCAGACGGACCGGCGACUCAUUCCUGGGAGAACUGUUUCGUGAUGCGGGAGUUUCGGGCGGAGGUGAUCAAGAAAAGCCAAAAUGGUGAUCCGGACCAACGGCAGGAGCAGUUUGCUGCACCCAACCAACGUCAGAACCCCUUUGGCGGUUUUCCCGAGCCGGGGGCUCAGGGGGGCUUGCAGCCGAGCAAAGGCCAGUAUCCAGUGCAUCAGCAGCGGCGGUAUAACCUGCCCGGAGCUUUUCAGCAACCACCCCCACAAGGGGCUUCGCAGGGUCAGGAUGACAAUGGCGGCUUUCGCAACAACCCCAAACAGUUAAGCAAUGGGCAGUACCACGUUUUCACCACCAAUGCUUGCAGGCGUUAUAAGAAGGUGAGUCACCGGGCGUACAGUGUGUCUGAGCCGGCACUUCCCAGGUACCUCCACUGGCCCGAGCAGACCAUAUCAUGGAGUAGCGAUGAUCAUCCGCCAAGAGUUGACAAUCCUGGCGACUUAGCGUUGGUCGUAGCUCCCCAAGUUGAGGGGUACACCGUGUCGAAGGUGCUAAUGGACGGUGGCAGCAUCAUUAAUAUCUUAUAUUUUGACACUUUCCACAGGAUGAAUCUAUUGGAGAAGGAUUUGAUGCCUUCAACCACGGUAUUCCACGGAAUCGUCCCGGGCAAGUAGGCAUACCCCAUAGGCCGAGUCAGACUCACAGUCGCAUUUGGAACAACAUAUAACUACAGAAGUGAGUCACUGAUGUUUGAGGUGGUGAAAUUGAAAAGCCCCUACCAUGCGCUAUUUGGGCGGCCGGCUUACGCCCGGUUCAUGGCUCUCCCAUGCUAUGUUUACCUUAAACUCAAGAUGCCUGGUCCUAAGGGACCCAUCAUGGUGGACGGUGAUAGAAGAAUUGCAAAGGAAUGUGAAGAAGGGGAUGCGGCUUAUGCGGAAGUCGCCUGCGCUGCAGAAGAGCUCAAGUAUCAUCGGGCCAAUGUUGAUCCUGCUGACAUGUCACCCUUAAAGAAGCCAACGACAGAUGCUGAGCCGCCCCUCAAGUUCAAACCAACGGAUGACACUAAAACGGUUGAUUUCGUUCCUGGCGAUUCAUCCAAGCAGUUCACCAUUGGGACGGGUCUGGAUCCCAAAUAGGAAAGCGCGCUCAUCGAAUUCAUCCGUGAGAAUAGGGACAUCUUCGCAUGGAAACCUUCUGACAUGCCUGGUGUGCCGAGAGAAUUCGCUGAGCACCACCUUAAUGUUGACCCAAAAGAAAAACAUAUCCAACAGUAUCUUCGCAGGUUUAACGAGGAACGGCGCAAGGCAAUCGGGGAAGAGGUUGCCCGUCUCUUAGCCGCCGGAUUCAUCGUGGAAGUUUACCACCCCAAAUGGUUCGCUAACACAGUCUUGGUACUCAAGAAGAAUGGUACUUUCCGUAUGUGCAUUGAUUACACGGACCUCAACAGAGCUUGUCCAAAAGAUCCUUUCGCUCUUCCCCGCAUCGACCAGAUUAUUGACUCGGUGGCGGGAUGCGAACGUUUGUGCUUUUUGGACGCCUACUCUGGAUAUCACCAAAUCAAGAUGGCCGUGGAGGAUCAAGAGAAAACAGCCUUUAUAACCCCCUUUGGGGCUUUUUGCUAUGUAUCCAUGCCGUUUGGGCUCAAGAGUGCAGGGGCGACUUAUCAGCGCUGCAUCCAGAACUGCCUCCGCAGCCAAAUCGGAUGCAACGUCCACGCCUAUGUCGAUGACAUUGUGAUUAAGACCCGCCGGGGGGAGACGCUACUGGAGGAUCUCAAGGAAACUUUCGAUAAUCUGCGGGUGUAUCAGAUGAAGCUGAAUCCCACCAAGUGUGUUUUUGGUGUCCCUGAAGGGAAAUUGUUGGGCUUCCUGGUGUCUGAGCAUGGCAUUGAAGCUAACCCAGACAAAAUCGAAGCAGACACGUCCCUUGGGAAACCGGCAAAUGUUAACCAAGUCCAACGGAUGGCUGGUCGCAUUGCGGCUUUAAGUCGCUUCGUAAGCCGCCUGGGAGAAAAGGCGAUUCCACUUUAUCAAUUACUAAAGAAAUCUGACCAUUUUGUUUGGACAGAUGAGGCAGAUGAGGCUUUCAAAGCCUUGAAACGGCAACUGGUCAACCCGCCAGUCUUGGCCGCCCAGACUGAGAAAGAACCCAUGCUUUUGUAUAUUGCGGCAAACUCUAAAGCAUUAAGUGUGGUGGUGGUCGUUGAAAGGAAGGAGGAAGGGAAGGAAUACCCAGUGCAGCGCCCGGUGUAUUUUGUCUCCGAAGUGCUAACUCUUUCCAAGCAACGGUACCCACAUUGGCAGAAGUUAGUGUAUGGGUGUUUAUGGCGAGUCGGAAGCUUAAGCAUUAUUUUCAAGAGCAUCCCAUCACGGUGGUUAGUUCCGCUCCCCUCGGGGACAUCAUCCAGAAUCGGGAGGCAACAGGGCGGAUUGCCAAGUGGACGAUUGAACUUGGGCCGCAUCACGUGUGAUAUACCCCUCGCACAGCCAUCAAAUCCCAAGCUUUAGUUGAUUUCGUCAUUGAUUGGACGGAGUUGCAGGCCCCGAAAGACAGGCCUGAUCUUACAUACUGGACUAUUUUUUUGAUGAAUCCAAACAGCUCGAAGGCUCGGGGGCUGGUGUGGUACUGGUGUCCCCUCAAGGAGAUAAAUUCUGUUAUGUCCUCUGACUCAUGUUUCCGUGCACUAACAAUGCUGCGGAAUAUGAAGCUUUGCUUCACGGCUUGCGACUCGCCAAGGAGAUGAACCUUACGCAGGUUAGAUGUUUUGGCGAUUUUGAUCUGGUGGCGCAGCAAGUUUCAGGCACUUGGGAUUCUCGAGACCCUAUGAUGGCGGCUUACAGAAGAGCUGUGUUCGACGUGGCGGGUCAUUUCCAUGGCUAUCAGGUUGAUCACAUUGACCGGCGCCUUAACGAGGCAGCUAACGCCCUUUCACGUCUUGGUUCCCAGCGAAAGCCGGUUCCCCCAACGCUUUCCUGGAUAUUUUGCAUAAUCCCUCCGUAAGUUUGCCGUGAGAGGAGGAGAUGGCGAUACCAGAUCCCGAGUCUCAAUUCGUGGCGGCUCUCCACGUCACGCCGGACUGGGUUCUUCCCUAUCUGGCCUAUCUCGCCCGGGGCGAGUUACCAACAGACGAAGUUUUGGCCCGCCAAAUUGUUCGGCGAAGCAAAUCCAUGGUGAUCAUCAAUGGCGAAUUAUAUAAGCGGAGUGCCUCUGGGGUUUUUCAACGAUGCGUUUCCUCCAAAGAAGGAUGCAUAAUCCUAAAUGACAUUCAUUCCGGUGAUUGUGGGCAUCACGCCGGGUCACGCUCUUUGGUUUCAAAGGCAUUUCGUCAUGGUUUCUUUUGGUUGACGGCUCAUGCAGAUGCAGAAGAGAUAGUUCGUCGAUCCGAGGGAUGCCAACGUUAUGGACGACAAGCUCAUGUGCCGGCUCAAGAACUAAGAAUGAUUCCCAUCACUUGGCCUUUCGCGGUCUGGGGGUUAGACAUGGUUGGCCCCUUUAAAAUGUCAUCUAACAAGAAAACCCAUUUGCUGGUGGCGGUUGAUAAGUUCACCAAGUGGGUCGAGGCAGAGCCUGUUGGAGCUUGCGAUGCGGAGAUGGCGGUCAAAUUCUUGAAAAAGCUAAUCUUCCGGUUCGGAUAUCCACACAACAUCAUUACUGAUAAUGGCACUAAUUUGUCUCAAGGGGCGAUGCAGGAGUUUUGCCGUCGAGAGCAUAUCCGGCUUGAUGUUUCUGCGGUCGCUCACCCAUAGUCUAAUGGGCAGGCGGAACGAACGAAUCAGGAAGUUUUACGGGGAAUCAAGCCCCGGCUCAUGGUUCCUUUGGAAAAAACGCCGGGAUGUUGGGUAGAGGAGUUGCCUUCAGUGUUAUGGAGCAUCCGGACCACCCCGAACCGGUCCACGGGUUUUACCCCUUUCUUUCUGGUCUAUGGAGCAGAAGUUGUUCUUCCCACUGACAUGAGGCAUGACUCGCCCAGAGUCGCCGCUUACGUGGACAGGACAACGAACUGGCGCGUCAAGACUCUUUGGAUGCCUUAGAGGAGGCGCGUGACUUGGCUGCGGCCCGAUCAGCCAUUUAUCAGCAGGAUUUACGGCGUUAUCACAACCGCCGGGUCAAGAGCCGAACCUUUCAGGAAGGCGACUUAGUGCUUCGGCUGAUACAGGAUCAUGCUGGCAUGCAUAAGCUAUCUCCACCAUGGGAAGGACCGUUCAUCGUCAGCAAAAAUCUUCACAACGGCUCUUACUAUCUGGUGGAUCUCCGGCCUGACCGGCCAACCACGGAGGCUGAGUCGACUCGCCCCUGGAAUAUUGCCCACUUGCGGCCUUACUACACUUGAGCUUUUAAGCUCUGCAUUUUGUAAGUUUUUUAGUCCUUAUUAUAAAAGCAAUAAAAUUAAAAUGCCUCCCGACUUGGGGGCUUCCUCUUAUUGAGAUCAGUUUUAUUAUCCAUUUGGCCUAUGAAAUUGUUAUGUUGGGUGACGCUUGAGCUUUUUGACUCGCCCUAUCCUGUCGCGACCUUAUGAGCCGACGAAAUCAUUCUUGAGUGGCGCUUGAGCUUUUUGACUCGCCCUAUCCUGUCGCGACCUUAUGAGCCGACGAAAUCAUUCUUGGGUGGCGCUUGAGCUUUUUGACUCGCCCUAUCCUGUCGCGACCUUAUGAGCCGACGAAAUCAUUCUUGGGUGGCGCUUGAGCUUUUUGACUCGCCCUAUCCUGUCGCGACCUUAUGAGCCGACGGAAUCAUUAUCUUGGGUGGCGCUUGAGCUUUUUGACUCGCCCUAUCCAGUCGCGACCUUAUGAGCCGACGAAACUGCUAUCUUGGGUGGCGCUUGAGCUUUUUUGACUUGCCCUAUCUUGUCGCGACCUUAUGAGCCGACAAAACUGCUAUUUUGGGCGGUGCUUGAGCUUUUUUGACUCGCCCUAUCCUGUCGCGGCCUUAUGAGCCGACGAAAUUACUAUUUUUUACCUUCCUGGCACUGCCGCAAGGUUUUUCAGCAUUUUUUCUGAUUCGCCUCAAAAUAUUUUGGGGCGACUGCUAUUUGUUAUCACUUAUUAUUCAUUGAGAUGGUUUCACAUAUGUUUUUCAAAGUUUAGAACAGGUUGAUGAUCGAAAUCAUUCUAUCCAUGGCGGAUUAAGCAUCAUAAAAAAGCCUCAAACGGCGGAUCAAGUAUUUCAAAUCGCCUUAAGGGCGACAUCAGGAUUUUUUUAAAAGUAUCACAAUAGCAGUAUCGAUUCCUAAAGGAGACCUAUUACAUGGCUCUCAUGGCCAAUUCAAUGAAAAUUUAUUCUACUGGCGCCCUUGGAUCAGCCUGCUGCGAGCUUUGGCCAACCUCAAUCUGCAAGUCGCCCAGUACCCAGUUACACUUGGACAGAACGGCAAAUUCAUCUUCAUCGGUCAGGAUUGAUGAGAGAUCUGCGUCCAAGUCAAAAGGAUUCUUGGGUCGGCGCGGAGUUAAGCUGGUCGUCACAAAAGUUGGCGGGUUGACCUUCUUGUUCUUAUUGUCAUAGGCGGCCUGGUAUUUUGAUAAGUCCAAGCUUGCAGCAAGCUGAGUCGCCGCCAGACGGGAGUCCUUGACAACACGCUGAUAAUCUUCUUCAGCGAAUUCUGACCCAUCAUCCUUGAGUUGAGGAAAGCCCGCCGCUACUUCUUCUGGGUUGAUCUCUCGAGCAUAUGCUAAGCAUCGACUCAGCGUAGUCAGCACUCCUUUCCGGGCGGCUGACCGAGUUAACUUGCCAAUCUAUGGAGGAAGCGUGGAUAGGCAACCAAGCAUCUUCUUUAUUGAUGUUAUAGGCUCCUUGGCUCCCAUCACCGCUUUCACAGUCAGCACACUGCCGGUAUAUAGCUGCUCUGUCAGCGUGUAAAUUGCCUUCAGCGUCAGGACGCAAUCAUCUUGAAGAUUGGCGGCUCUUGGACCUGUAUAAGGGGUAAUGAUAGUCAGCGACUCAGAUAAGAGGUAUUUGUUUACAAAGGUCAAGAGUUAGUUAUUUACCAAAGACGGCUUGUGCCAUGUUUGAGAUAUGACGUUUUAAGCCGGACAGUUCUUGUUGCAAUGUAUCCAAUUUGGCCUCAGCUUUCUCUGCUCGCUUUGUUAAAACAUCUUGGUCAGCUUGAGCCCUUUUAAGUCGGCUUUAAGCUUUUCCAUCUCAGCUAGGACCAGUCGAUACUUCUCCGAUUUGGCUCGGGCAUCCUGCUGAUCAGAUAAGCUUUUCUUCAAGUCGCCAAGUGAUGAUUCAGUCUGGAUAAGAGAUUCCUGUUGAAGCAUAUGAUUAAGGGGCAAGUCUCAGAACUAUUGCAAGCAAUAUCCCUGACACUUGGGGGCUAAUGUAUAAUUUCCAGACAAAAUCAUACAGCAUCAAGACCCGGCUCAUCUUUUUCUGAUGACCCGGCCCUUGGGGGUUACUGGUCGAAAGUUUUUAAAGUCAUCAAGACCAGGCUCAUCUUUUUUUGAUGACCCGGCCCUUGGGGGUUACUGGUCGAAAGUUUUUAAAGUCAUCAAGACCCGGCUCAUCUUUUUCUAAUGACCCGGCCCUUGGGGGUUACUGGUCGAAAGUUUUUAAAGUCAUCAAGACCCGGCUCAUCUUUUUACUGAUGACCCGGCCCUUGGGGGUUACUGGUCGAAAGUUUUUCAAGUCGUCAAGACCCGGCUCAUCUUUUUACUGAUGACCCGACCCUUGGGGGUUAAUGGGGAUAAUAAGUAUACAACAAAAUUUACCUCAUGUUUGUUUUUCAGCAUCCGAAGCAGGCUGGAGGCGACUUGCAAAACUAGAGCAAAGUUCUUUGAAUUCCAAAUGUUCAUAUUGAGAGAGCUUGGCCUUGGAGAGUUCAUACUCAAGAAUAGUUUGAGAUGAUGAUGAUACAUGCUUUGAUAAAACCGCUGUGGCCGGUGUAGAGAAGCUAGUACGAGUGAUAAUAACAGCGUCCGGGUCUUCUGCUGUUGUCAAUGGACUUGGCGGCUUGGGGGCAUCCAUUGUUUCCUUGGGAGAGCUAGGGAGAUCCACUUGAUCUUCAGGUUUGUCUUGGUUCGGGUUAUCUUGGAUCGGCGCCGAUUUUUCGGUAGGCUCCGAGAUUAUGAUAGGAGUUGACCCGCCAGUCUUUCUUUUCUUCGCCUGUGCCCUGAAAGGAGCAGGGGUUGCGUUUAAAGGACUGAAAACUUAUCACCAUCAGAUUCAAAGUAAAAAUUAUCAAAAGACUUACCCAGGGACACGGAUCAUUGGCGGAAGUGCCGACAUUACUGAGUCGCCAGAUGUAGGAGGAGAACUCUGCAAGAAUUGUACGUCGAAGAUAUGAGCAGGUUACAAUUGCGAUCCAAAAAGACGUGAAGAAGUGUUGAUUAAAAGAUACCUCAUUUGGCCUUUUCUUGUUCCUUGUUGGUAAACCGGAUACCAGAUCGCCGGAAUGACUUCGGGUCUUCCGAUUUGAAGUGUGUUGUGCUUUCUUCGGAAGAAAAUUUGGGUCCAAACAAGCAUUUGGGUGUGAGAAGGGAACUUUCCCACAAAUUCGCCUGGCCGGCUUAGGUGGAGAAGGAGAUGAAUCGGAGGAAACAGAAAUUACCUCUACAGAAUCCUCCUGGCUGUCGUUGUCUUCAUUCUAUUCAAGAGAUGCAGAGGUAUAAAUACAAAGUUAUCAGUAAUGAAUGGCGAGUUAAGAAAGGAUAGGUUUUUACCUCCGAAGGUGCGUCGCCGACUUGGGAUUCAUCGGCCUCAGAUGGUUCAGUCACAGCAGCUUUUCCCUUGCCCUUGGAUUUCUUCUUUGGAGGCGGCCUAGCUUGCUUCAUGGCUGGCUUUUUUGGCUUCUUGGACCAAAAUUUAUCACCUUUCUCAAAUGGAAUAUUUUUUAAGAAGCCAUAGUUCGAAUGAGACAUAAAAAGUAAAAACAAAAGGCGGGUUAAAGUUGUUUACCUUGGGUGCCGGGUUAAUUUUGCAGAAAGGUUUGAGACCUAUUUGGCCGCAUUUUCCCGCGGGCUCGCCGGUCAGCUUCUUGAUAAUGGUGACAAUAUCACUUUCCGUAAGAGCCGUGUGGUAGUAGCAUUGAGGAUGAUCUAAAGUGUCGUCGAAUUCGCACAUUUGCCCGUCCCGGCGACUUAAAGGGAGGAUGCGCCACUCGACCCAGCAGCGGAUCAAAUCAACUCCAGUAAGGCCGUUGUUUGUCAAAGAUCUUAACUCGGACAAUACUGGGAUGAAAUCUGACUCCUCCUCUUCGGUGAGCUUGUCCGGGAGCUUGAAAUUCGUUGGAAGGCGAUCUUCCCUAUAACCCAGAAGUUUGUUUUCACCUACAUGCGAGGUUUCUUGACAAUAAAACCAAGACUCGCCCCAGCCUUUGGGAUGCUUGGCAUGGCGAGUGACGGAAAUGGGCUAUCCCUGCGGCGUUGAACAUUUACACCGCCGAGCUCCAAGCUGGGGCCAUUGUGAAAUUCUAUUUGGCGAUUUAAGUGGAAGAAAUACCAGAAUAUGGGAACUGAGGGUUCCAUCCGCAGGUAAGCUUCACAAAACACGUGGAACUGGCAUAGGUUGCUUAUCGAAUUGGGCCCUAGAUCUUGGAGGCGGACAUUCAUGAAAGCCAUGGCGUCUCUGAGGAACUUCGAUCCAGGCGGCUUAAAACCCCGCUCAAGGUGUUCAACGAAAGCAACUAUUUCCCCUUCUUUGGGAUUGGGGAUUUCUUCUGUGAACCCGGUACGCGAACCGAUAACAUCCCGAGGGUCCAGAUUUCCCGUUUUCACAUAAUCAUCUAGUAUGGCAUCAUUAACCUUGGUAGGGAGCCAGUCACUUUUGAAGACGGCGCCCAUGCUACAAAGGCAUAAAGUACGGGUGAAUUGACACGCCAAAACAUCUACUGUAAGAGAUGAAACGAUUUCAUUUGACUCGCCAAGUAAUUUAUCCGCUGGCUGAGGAAAAUUUUUGAUCCGCCAAUGAAGGCCUGGGUAAGGUUGCUAGGGCGACUUAUGAAACUUUGGCUACUUAAGGGAGCGAUGUUUCCAGGGCGUCAGAGGCAUUUAUCCAAAAAUGGCGAAGUAUGAAGAUUACAAACAGUUUUUACAUAACAAGCGGUAGCUUAUGGAUCUACUGGAUAGAUGGAAAUAAACGCGGAAAAUAACCGAAGACGGCAACCUACGACUAAGAUGGGAUAAUACUGCUGAUUUGAUGAAGUGCUACUUUAAGUGUGCAAAUCAAGAGCGGAUAGAUAAAGGUAUCAAGGACAUUGGCUUUCUCGUCAUCAUCGCCAUCAAUUAAAUAGGAACAAAUAGAGCCAUGCGGGAGAUGCCCAAAGCACAGUAGGUAUGAACUUCGGAAGAACUUGGAUCUACUCUUAAAAUGGCGGAAGCUAACCUGGUGGAUAUGGCCGGAGACGUCCGAAGAAGGUUUCGCCGUGAGUGCUGCGCGGACGGCGAUGAAGGUUUCAGACGAAUGCGAAAGCCUCGAGGUAGUGACGAGAUGUUCGGCGAUGACGAGGUGUACGGCGGCGACGAAGUGCUCGACGGCGGCGAGGCGUUCGACAGCGGCGAAACUGCUCGGCCCCGACGGGGUGUUCGGUGGCGACGAAGUCCUCGGGCAGCACCAAAGUUUUUGGGCGGCGACGAGGUCUUCGGACGGCGGAGGAGCUCUCAGGUGGCGGUGAGAUUUUCGCUGCAAUAAUGGGGGGAGAAGGGCGAUAAUGCGGGUAGGUGAAAUGCGCCCAGUCCUCCCCCCACCUAUUUAACAGGGCAGGCGCUGGAAUCGAGGCGCUGUGAGCGGGAACUGCCAAACGAUAAAGAUUCGCCAUGAUGGCGCCCCGAAAUUUUUGGGAUAACGAUGUCGAAGGAUCCGUUGAGAGAUUACGUCGUUGUCCUUUCCGAGAUUCGAGGAAGGAGCUAACAAGAAGCGGUUUGGCAACUCAGGUUUUUUCGCAACUGAUGGCGGUUUGAGUGCAUGGUGCAUAAGAAGAGUGAAGAUGAAUCGCCCUUAAAUUGAGCAAAGAUAUUGGCGUGAAGGAAACUCAAGUCAAUCUGGGGCCUAAUGUUGGGGAUAUUAUUUGUUGAUAACCCGCCCUAGUUGGGCCGGGUCACCAAAGCUGGCGACUCAUCUAAAAUGUAGUUUGGGCCUUGGUCUGGUAAAGCCGAGAGUAGUAUGGCGGUUUAUGACUUUCGGAAGGAGUCCAUAAUAAAGAAGGUCUCCAAGCUUUGGAAGGGCGGCGACUUAGAGAUCGCAAGAGUCGCGAUUUGUGAAAAGGAAAGGACCCUUGUAAACCCUAAGGACUCGACCUGUAUAUAAAGGCGAGUCCCAGGGGAGAAGAGGACAGGUUAGAAAUCAUCGAGUGCUAGGUCUGGCGAGUUACGCCCUCCUGGUAAUCAAAACUCCAUCAAUACAACUCAAAGCAGGACGUAGGCCUUUACCUCCUCACGAGGGGCCGAACCUGGGUAAAUCGCUGUCUCUCUCCCGUUCAACCCCUUUGAGUCGCCACCAAAGUGCGAUGGCUCCAAUACUAAGUCCUUUCACGAGGACAUCUGCUGUGACAAAACCACGACAACAUUGGUCCUACCUGCCAUGAAUACCAUGAGCAUAGUGAAAUCAUGCACCAAUCUAGCUAGCAUGCACAAGAAUACGAAGCACGAACAUCAGAGACAACACAAAUAUAGCUAACUAGCACAUGCACCCUAACUUGUAUCAUCAACCCUAAGCAUGAACAUCAAACACAACACCUGACUUGCAUUGGAACCAGGGAGCACGUGUUGGGGAACGUUGCAUGGGAAACAAAAAAAUUCCUACGCACAUACAAGAUCUAUCCAUGGUAAUGAGCAUCUACGAGAGGAGAGAUUGUAUCUACAUACCCUUGUAGAUCGCUAAGAGGAAGCGUUAAAGAACGUGGUUGAUGUAGUGGUACGUCUUCGCGAUCCAAUCACGAUCCGUCCCACGAACUCUCGAUCGAGCGCCGAACGGACGACACCUCCGUGUUCAGCAAACGUCCAGCUCGAUGAAGUCUCCGCCUACCCGAUCCAGCGAGCGAGGGCGGAGUAGUAGAUGUGUUCUCCGGCAACACGAUGGCGUGGUGGCGGCGAACACAUNCGGCGGUGGUGCUAUCCCGGCAGGGCUACGCCUAGCGCUACCGAAACCGUGAACGGAGGAGAAAAUGAUCUAGGGAGAGCGAGGGACGCCCCUCCCCUUUAUAUAUAGGUGGAGGGGCGUGGAGAACAGCCCCUCCAAGCCCUAGGGUGCAUCCAAGGGGGGAGAAGCUGGAAUCCUAGUCCUCUUCCUUCCCUUUCAUAUAAAGGUGGACUUUCCACCUUUCCCAACUGCAUGGGCCUUGAGGGACUUGUGCGCUUGGCCCAAUAAGGCCACUAUGUCUUCCCUCAGCCCAUGCAAACCCUUGGGACAUGGUAGAACCCUCUGUGGACUUCCGUACACCUCCAGUAGUUUCUGGAACCUUCUAGAAGCUUCCCGAUACAAUACCGAAAACCUCGAAACUUUUCCGAUAGCCAAAAUAUGACUUACCAUAUAUAAAUCUUUACCUCCAGACCAUUACAGAGCUCCUCGUGAUGUCCAAGAUCUCAUCCGGGACUCAGAAUAACAUUCAGUUAUCUUCACACAUAACUCACUAAUACCAAAUCGCCACCGAACUUUAAGUGUCAAACCAUGCGGGUUCGAGAAGUAUGCAGACAUGACCGAGACACUCUCCGGCCAAUAACCAAUAGCGGGACCUGGAUGUCCAUAUUGUCUCCUACAUAUUCUACGAAUAUCUUUAUCGAUCGACCACUAUGUUAAGGAUUCAUUCAAUCCCGUAUACAAUUCCCUUUGUCUAUCAGUAUGUUACUUUCUCGAGAUUCGAUCAUCGGUAUCUUCAUACCUAGUUCAAUCUCGUUACCGCUAAGUCUCUUUACUCGUUCCAUAAUACAAGAUCCGGUGGCUAACUAUUCAGUAACAUUGCUUGCAUGUUUCCUGUGAUGUUGUAUUACCGAGUGGGCCCUGAGAUACCUCUCCGUCACACGGAGUGACAAAUCCCAAUCUUGAUCCAUGCAAACUCGACAGACACCCUCGGAGAUACCUCUAGAGCAUCCUUAUAGUCAUCCAGUUACGUUGCGACGUUUGAUACACACGGAGUUUUAGUUGAGUCCACUUCAGGUAUGAUCAUUGUCCCUGUGGGUUGUCCUACCUUUGAUUGGACGGCCUACCCCUACUAGAAGAUCAAGAUGUGCAUGCAUCUUGAAGCAAUUGACAAUGAUCUCUGGUAUGUUGUGGAAAAUAGUGUUCCUCUAACACUUCCACUAUCAACGCUGCUGAUAUGAAGAGAUUCAAGCAACUCGACUCUCAAGUGGAGAAUAUCAUAUGUGGCCAUCUGAGGAAAGGUCAGUAUGGCAGAGUGAGUGCUUCGGAAACCGCGAAGCUCAUAUGGGACAGGUUGUCCAAAGUCAACGAAGGAGUCUCAACUCAACGUGACUCCCGAGUUGAUGUUCUUCGCAAUCUCUUCAACCGUUUCAAAAGACUCGACAAUGAAAAUGUUCAGCAAACCUUCGAUCGCCUCAUUGAUAUCUCCAAUGAGCUUCAGGCUCUUGGUGCCAUUGACAGCACCAACCAUGAGGUGGUGAACAAACUGCUAAGGUCUCUUGAUUCCUCAUUUGACACACUAACUUUGAUGAUUCAAGAGCGCGGAGAGUACAAGUCACUAGAUCCUAUUGAUAUUCUUGAAAGACUCAAUACUCAUGAAUUCCAACAAGCUGAGAAAACAAAUCUCUAUGGACCAAGCUAUGGAAAGUCUCGUGCACUGAAGGCAAAGGAAAUUUCCUCAUUUGAAGAAUAAAAAUCUAACAACAAUCUUGGUGAUCCUGAAGAAUUUGGUUAGAAGCUAGCAAUGCUUGCGAGGAAUGAUGACAUGCACCAAAACAAAAACAAUGAUAUUCGAAAUGUAACUUAGAACCGAAGCAUGGAGCAAUCACGCAAAAUUAUGUCGUUUUAAAAUUUUAUGUGCAAACAUAGAAUGUCCGAAUGUACACGCAAAAUUAUUGUUUAUUUUUUUAAUACUUAAAUUAUGUUUAUAUAUAUANNNNNNNNNNNUAUUUAUUUAUUUUCAUAAUAGAUGCAUUUGCAUCUAUGAACCAAAACACCACUCUCCUUAGUGCCCAUUAUAUUUCCAUGUAGCAAAACCUUCAAUGCUAAAAGGGCAAAAAAAAAAACUCAUGAUGAUGAGAUGCACCAAAACGAGAACAAUGAUUCAUAUUCUAACUAUAACUUAGAACCAAAGCACGGAGCAAUCACUUUCAACCCACAUGGCAUUUUCCCUCAACAGGGCCCACCAAAUUAAUCAUUGCCCCUCCUUCCACGGUCUUAUCUCCCUGCCAACAAGCGAGCAGAUCACUCCAUUUCGCUGUCUUCAAGCUUGCCCACGUACUCGGAUCGCUACAAACAUAUAAGAAAAUAAACUCAGCAAAUAAUUCUCUACCUCUUCUUCUUCCACGGGACGCCACAGGUUGUUGAUCCACUUGCAAGCCGGACCAGACAGAUAAACUGCCAGAUAAGAGCAUUUGAGCGGCAAGUCCACGUGAUUCCAUUUAUAUACGGAUACAUACAUCCACGAACCCCAUCCUCCUUGACCUGAUCUUGAGAUCUUGAUAUCCCUCCCGGAUUUGGAGAAACGGAGCUCAGUUUGACAGGAGGACAGGCAUGGAGGAAGACCAGAGCCCGGGGCUCGGGCUCGCCGGAGAGACGCCUGGUCUCAAGCACGGCAAUGGCGUCGGCAGCAGCCCGGAGGACCCAGGGAGCGCCGGCGACGGCAUCAGCUCCCUGGAGAAGCCGCUGCUGAAGAGAAGCAACACGCUGACCUCCAGCCACCUCGCCAUGGUCGGCGCCAAGGUCUCCCACAUCGAGAGCCUCGACUACGAGUGAGUGUUCGACCUCUCGAUACAUGCAUGCUUAGCCUUUACAACUCCGUUCGUGCAAUUAUAGGUUGGUUUGCUUUAGUGAAUUGAGCUGAAAUAAUGGCUGCAGGAUCAUCGAGAACGAUCUGUUCAAGCACGACUGGAGGAGCCGGUCCAACGUGGAGGUGCUGCAGUACAUCUUCCUCAAGUGGUCGCUGGCGUUCCUGGUGGGCCUCCUCACCGGCGUCAUCGCCUCGCUCAUCAACCUCGCCAUCGAGAACAUCUCCGGCCUCAAGAUGCUCCACAUGGUCCAGCUCGUCCGGGAGAAGAGGUGCGGCGAGAUCUAUCUACAGACGGCGGGACCAGAGUUGUUGGCCGGGGAAUUAAUUAUAUUCUAUCUGUGCAUUCAGGUACUGGGCCGGCUUCUUCUACUUCUCCGGCAUUAACUUCGUGCUGACGUUCAUCGCCGCCGUGCUCUGCGUCGUCUUCGCCCCCACCGCCGCCGGCCCGGGCAUCCCCGAGAUCAAGGCCUACCUCAACGGCGUCGACACGCCCAACAUGUUCGGCGCGCCGCAGCUCAUUGUCAAGGUACCAAUAAUGAAGCACUGAUUCCUUUCUUCUUCUGUUCAUGUUCCAGGCUGAAAUUGGAAAUGUGUGAUGCGACUACUCGAAGCUGCAAGAGAGACAUUAAUGGAUUGAAUUUUUUUUUUUGGUACGAUGGUCAGAUCAUAGGCAGCAUCUGCGCGGUGUCGUCGGGGCUGGAUCUCGGCAAGGAAGGCCCGCUGGUGCACAUCGGCGCGUGCCUCGCCAACCUGCUCAGCCAGGGCGGCUCCGGCCGGUUCCGCCUCCGCUGGAGGUGGCUGCGUUACUUCAACAACGACCGCGACCGGCGCGACCUCAUCACCUGCGGCGCGUCUUCCGGCGUGUGCGCCGCGUUCCGGUCGCCCGUGGGCGGCGUGCUGUUUGCGCUGGAGGAGGUGGCGACGUGGUGGCGCAGCGCGCUGCUCUGGCGCACCUUCUNGCGUUCGGCGCCGCGUGCCCGGCCACCGGGAGGAGCGGCAAUUUCAAGCAGUUCAACUGCCCGGCCGGGCAGUACAACGACCUGGCCACCCUCCUGCACGCCACCAACGUGGACGCCACGCGCAACAUCUUCUCCACGGGCACCCCCGGCGAGUUCCGGCUGGACUCGCUGCUCAUCUUCUUCG